GGUUUUUUGAUAGAACAGUGAAGUUUUUUUUGUGGGUUAAAGAUUGUUGUUUCUGAGGAAAAAAAGGGUUUUUUUUGCAGGGUUUUGGAGAAAAGAGAAAGAUGGGUUUUUUGCGACGGCUUAGGGUUAACAGAUGGAGAUGGGUUUGAGAGAGGGCAGAUGUUGGCGGUGCCUGUUGUGGUGGCUGCCAUUAAUGGCUGAAUUUAUUAUAAACAGGCAAAAUUAUGGUACCAUUGUUGCAAUCAGCCAUUAGAUUUAUAGUUGUAUAGUUACAUUAACAAGAUUCAAUGGCUGAAAGCAACAGUGGUACCGUACUACUGUUGCAACAUAGCUGGACCCAUUAUAAACACUUGAAGUCAAAGUUAAUGUUUUAAUUGUUAAGAAAAGUUAGAAGAAGAAAUUUUUGUAUAAGAGAAUUGGGUUUAAAUUUAGAAUUCUUUGGGAGGAAAUGAGUCUAAAUUCCAAUAAUAUAAUUCAGCACUAUUUAUAUAUAUCAUUAGUUGGGUGAAAAAUUAAUUUCCCUCCUUUGAUGUGAUUUUCAUCAUUUAUUUUCAUAUAACGGUAAUUUUUUGUUUAGAGUGAAGUUAUUGGCACCAUUUCAUUAUCCUUAUAAAAUCCUACUUCAAAUAAAAUUACACUUAAAGACAAUAGAAUUAAAUAACAUAGUUUUUUUUUCAAACAAAUUACUCACGUUCAUAAUUUUUUUUCUUCUAAUUUUCUACAGAUUGCUUUGUAUCUAACUAAAAUAAAUUGUACAAAUUUAGAAUAAUCUAUUAUUCUUUUUAAAUUUCUUAUUGAUUAAAUAUUUGUAUGCUUAAGAUAGUUUUAAAAUUAUAAGAUAAAAUAUAUAUAAUUUAAGCCAAUGAUUAAUAUUAAAAAAUUUAUCUCUCAUAAAAGUUUUUAAUUUGUGCGUAGGGUAAUAAUAAAAUUGCAAAAGAAAUGAAAAAUAGCAUAGCACUAUUUUGAGUUUAAACAAUAAAAAAUUAAAUGAAAAAUUAGAAGUGUAUUUAAAAAAAGGAUAUUUUUGAAAAUAAAUAUAAUUUAAAAAAAAAAGAGUUUCAUGAGGGGUGCAAUAGUUCAACUCUUUUGUUUAUAAGUUUUAAGAUGUUGGUAUCCGUAGCUUAGCUUUUCCCUAAUUAUUAUAUUAAAAUGUAACAACAAUUAUGAUCAACCCUAAUUUCAUGGAGGUCAAAGAUUUUGGUCAUGCCACAUUAUUUUUUUUUUGUUUUUAAAAAUAUCAUUUAUUUAUUUUUUUUAAAGGUAAAGAAGUGGGUAAAGUUCAAAUUCAACUUUUAUCCCUUACGUCAUGGCCCCUAAGAUUUGAACUUAGGUGACCAAAUUUAUAAUAAUAGGCAUCUCAAAUUUCAUUUCUAAUGAUAUGCAAUUUAUUAAGUGAUUGUUAAUCUUUAUAAGAUCCGAGUGAAUUAAUUGUAUUAUUUCACUACUAAUUGAUGAGUAUCAUAUUAUUUGGAAUAACUUGUGAAUAAAAAAAUUGUGAUGGAUGAAAUAUUCUUUUGAGAAUUUAUUGACUUAUCUCAUUUAUGAUUUAUUGUUGCAUUUAGGUGAUAUUGCAAAUAAUUUUUCCGAUAAUAUUAUUGUUUUGACGAGUAAGUUUGGAGUAAAUAAUACAUAUGACAAGUGUGAGGUUUGUUAUUGCAUAUAUUUUGUGGAUCCAUUUUAAAGCAAAAAAAAAAAAGGCAUUUCGAUUCAUUAUGAUUCCAGAUAAUAUAUAUGUAGAUCCUCACACAAUUGAUUAAAUAUUUAUAGUAGGAUAGAGUGAUAAAUAGUUUUACAAAAUUAUUGGAAUUAACUAUUUAAUACAUGAGAUCUAUCUCACUAAGGAUAAAAGAUUGCUGCUUCAAAAGCUUGACGUUGCUGGCAACAAAUUUAACACAAAAGUUUAAUUAACUAUCCUAGUUGAGAUAAUAAAAUUUCAUGUUGAAAACAAGAGGUUCAAACCUUCUCAUUCAAAAAAAUAAAGCCAAAAUAUUACAUCUUCCAGCACAUAUAAAAGAUUUUUUCUUCAAAGGCAGACUGAUAAUUCAGGGUAAAAAAACAAAAACAAAAAAAACAAAAAAAAAAAACAAAAGGAAUAUAUGCUAUUCAAGACAGGUAUACCUUGGACAUGAAGUCUGAGUCCAGAGCAAGAAGCAUUUAGCUGAUUUUUCAAUUUCCAAAACCCAACAAAAUCUUUGUCAAAAUAUAUGAUCUAGUCCCAUAUUAAGCACAUUCAUAGUCGUAUCACCAGGUUCAAAAUAUUUUCCCCAGAUAGAGAUAGAGAUUCCAUUGAAGUUGAGUUGUGACUGUCCCAACAUUUUGUAAUUAUAUGGUUCAGUAUACCAUGCCUAUGAAUCUUUUUUUUUUCUUUUUUUCCAUGUUUCGAAGUCUAUCAAAUGAAAAUGUAAUUAUAUGGUUCAGGACACCAAUAUGCCGGAGCUGCAAAGGUUGACUUCCACUAUCCUAUCAGUGUCUAUACUUUCUAUUGAGUUUCCUUGUUUUUUUUUAAAUUGCGAGAUUUAUUUUUGGAAAUCCUUGACACAUUUUAUGUAAGAUACCAUAAAGCCAAAUACAACCUUUUUUAUUCUCAGCAGCAACUUUUUUUUUCCUUUUAAAAAAAGGAAGCCAUAUAAAUAAUGCUUUAAACAUUAUUUGCAACAAGAAACAAUUAUUUCAUGCUUUCAGGUAUUAGAAACUUCCCAAAAAUGCUAGCAAGAAAAUGAAAUGGAACUUUACCUAGUCACGGAAUAUGUACUGCUGUUAGCACAAUUGUUAUGAAGUGGCUUCUGCAUCAGAAGAUUCCAGCUCCCACCAAGCAUUGUUAUCUCUCUUCUGAAUACAAUCUACAUCGCUGGGCAUGAGUUAUAUCAUUAAUGUCUGGAUCCUCACUUACAUCAUCCCAAUCAAGUGCUUUUUCUCCACAUUUGGAUUAUAAGUCCAAUCUCUUCAAAACAUCCUAGUCCUUCCAUCACAACUGAUACGACUUCCUUCCUAAUUACUUUCCCAUUAAUAAAUCGCUCCAAGAAAAAAAAGCAUUAGCAAUUCUCUUCAACGCCCCAUCACUCAUAUCCCCACAACAACCAUCUUCAGCCACCUCAACGUUGCCUCUUGAAAGACCUCCACAAAAUCCGAAUCAUCCGACACAACCACCAAACACCCAAACCUUCUUUUGUCCACCAUAGCCACCAUAUAAUUUCUCAACAAAACAUCGGCAUCUUGUGGCUUAACUAACACCAUCCUGACCCAAAACCAUGCUCUUUUUAACUCAUCUGCAAAACCAUAACCCACUUUUGGAGUCAAAAUUGCGCUUGCAGCCAUUUUAUUUUUUUCCAUCUUUAUUGAAUAGUUGCCAACCAAAAGCACUCUCACCUUCCCUCUAGCUGAUUCUAUUUGAUUCGACCUUUUCUUUUGUUCACCCUCAUGAAUUUGCCUAAAAUGAUUAACAAGUUUGUCAUUAUUAUAAAACCUCCUUCCACAAUCACCAAUACAUACGGCUUAGCAUGCCUAAUUACACCCUUGAUUUCUAAUUGGUUAAACAAUUCUCUUUCUUUCUUUGCUCUCUUACAACUUGAGGCAUAUAACUAAACGCGUGGCUAUUAGCAUUUGCCACCAUGCAUUUAACAACCCCAAAUGAAGAUAUUAAUUUUUUUUAGUUUAAUUGCUGCUUCAAAAUGGGGUACUGAAUUUGGAUUUUGUUAUCCAAAUACCAAAAAUUUCCCAUAUUGUGCUGGACAGUUUUUGGUUCUAAAGUUGAUGACUGGUUUUGCGAAUCAGGCUUUAAAUGAGAACUUCUAAACAAUAAGACAAAUGAGUUUUGAGUUUCUAAUCUUGUAAACUUUGUUCUAUUGUAUAAGUUAUGAAAUCACUGAAACAUCACUACAUCUGCAGGUCUUUAUGUGUCAAUGAACUGCAGAAGCUGAUGAUCUACCUGUAGCAGACUUCUAUUGCCCCUGCCGUUCUAGGAAGACAAACAAGUUCAGGAGCUACUUAUGGACCAAACUCAUAAUAUUGCCACUGCAUACCCAGUAACAGUAAUCAAGUAACAAGUCAAAACGAGAAUCAAACGUAGAAUUUUGAAAUCCAUACGAACUCUAACGUAUUAGAAUGAAAGAAUAAGGACGAUCGAUAAACUAGAAUCAAACAAAAACAUGCCCAGUUAAAAAACGAAGGUAAAUAAAUAAAAAUGGUAUAAAACUGCGAAAGAAAUUAAUAAAAUGAAGAGAAAAUCACAGGAAUCCUAUGAAGAGGAAGGUCAACAAAACCUUCGGGAGCCGAGAAGAUGCCUUUUUUUGUUCACUUUGUGCCUAUACAUACAAUUUUUUUUUUUGUAAUUUUGAAGAAAGUAUUGGUUAAAUAUUGUCAUAACGAAAUAUUAAUAAUAGAUGCUAGCAAUUUCAACAAGGACAAUCUUCGAUUCAAAUGUACCUCUAUGAUAAAGAAAAAGCCAGCUUGGCUAAAUUUUGAGCACCACAUUACAGGAUCUAGGUGCAUGUUUAACUAUGCAAAAUGAAACCUCUAUUAAUUGUAAGUCCCUUGACCUCUGGAACCAGCCAACCAGUCUCUUUCCUGUUAGACAAACUUCCAUCGAUCAGACUAAUAAUAUUUACUAAAUCAUGUUCUACAGUUAAUGGAGUUGGACCCAAGGCAAUUGUUAGAAGUCCGCCUAGACAUAGAGUGCGCUUAGAAGUGGGAUGCUUAGAAAUGGGCCGCCAACACAACCAGCCAACCGUAGUGUGCUUAGCAAAUCACUGAAGCCCGACCCAAGAUCUAGAACUAUCUACAAAUUAUAAAUCAGCUAAAAGUUUCUAAGUUUCUCUACAUAGGUCCCUAGGAUAUUUAUGGAAGUUGCUAGGAAGUUUCCUCCCCUAGAACUCUAAUACCUAUACCCUCUCAUUUGCCCACCAACCACACCACACAGACAAACACUCUAGCAUACACACAAGCUCUCUAGCUUUUGUAAAAAGCUCUCUUGUAUAUUUUCUCUUUGUGAGUAAUAAAAUCAUAUUUAGCCAUAUUGCUACACUUCUCUCUAGUAUUUUCUACAAGUGUUCUUGCUUUGCUAGUUUGAGGAGUGUUCUAGGCUUGCUUAACAACUUGUUCGCUAUAACGACAUCUUGGUCACAAAACAUGGACAUGCAAGAAAAAAAUAAUAUUGAUACGUUCUAAAAAUAAUACGCGUUCUUCUACAGUGAACCAAAAAAUUUAGGCUAAUGGUAGCAAGUGAAUGAUUUCACGUGCAUUUUGUUGACAUGAACGCAAAGGACUUUUUUUAUAGUUUAUAUUGUUUAAUAUAACAUUUGAAUUGUAAAAUAGGGGUACAAAAUAGAUACACGAAGUGAUAAAACUAAGCUGAUUAUAAUAAAUAUUGAAUUAUAAGAUUUAGGUUUAAUCAGAAAGACAUAAGUGGCGCACAAAGUCACGAAUUGAUAUCAUCCACGAUGCAAGUUCAAACAACUGCAUAAUAAGUUACCCCAAGCUAAACUAUUAAUCUAGUAACUAUUCCAGUCGAUGUGGGAUAAUUUUCCUAUCACCAUCUAUCAUGUGCAAGCUGAAUUUUUUGCUUGGUCGUUACAUGUGGUAAAGUAAUAUGAAUCCACUUGUGCAUAAAUUUGGCUCCGAUACUACAUAGACGCCUAUGACCCAAAAUUAUACUUAAAGGUUAUCUCAAGAUUUGAGGAUUGACUCAAGCUAAUAUUACUAUUAGCCUGGUAACCUUUUUUGUUUGUUGAUAUGUGAUAUUUUACCUAUAACUUUUAUUAAUCUUUAUGCUUAUGUUUUGUCAUUUAUCCUAAAAUAUAACAUUAACAAAAGUUCCAAAAUUUCCUUCAAGUGAUAUAUUUGAGACAAGUAAUUUGUGCAAUAACUUUGUAAAUUGAUGAGCAAAUUCGGAGAAAAGAAUAUAUGUGCCAAACAUAACGUUUAUUAUUGUGUUUAUUUGUAGAGCUAUUUAAAGCCCAAAAAAAAGCACCGGUCCGUUAUGAUUUCAAAUAAGUUCAAGCCCUAUGUCAUUAUUGGUACAAAAAUGAAUCAGAAAGGUUAAAACCUAUUUUUAUUUAACUUAUAAACUUAGGAAAUUAUCAAAUGUCCACCCUUAAAUUGCGCUAUUAUAAAAAAAUAUUACAACAUUUUCAAGUUGGAUCAUUCAUCCACCAUAAAUUUACAAUCUGCAUCAUUUAUCCACCAAAUCAUUAACUUCGUCAAAAAGUGAUAGACGUGACAAGGGUAAUUUAGACAUUUAACACAAAAAAUAAAAGAAAAAUAAUCUAAGCUUACCAUGUUAUCAAAAUUGCUACAAAAUUUUAAAUUUGUUCAAUUUUCCAAUCUAAGUUUAUGACCUCCAAGAUGUUAAUUGCAGUUUGUAAUUAAUGACUUCAUAAGGAUAAUUUAGACACUCAAUAUGCAAAAUAAAAAAUAAAAUAAUGGCUUAAAACAUUAAAACAAAAAACUACUUUUUAUAAUUGAUAUUCAAUUAAAUAAACAUAAACUCUAUUUUUUCUUAAUUAAAAAUAUUCUAAUUUAUUUUCUCAAUUUAUCUUCAUAAAUUUAUAUUAGUUAUGGUGCAAAGUAAAAAAAUGUCCUUAAAUCCAAGGGUAAAAUAGCAUUUUAUUUAAAUUCUAUAAAUUAUUCUAACAAUGUUAACAUUUUGGUGGAAGGUUAAUAUAAGUUACAAACUUAAAAUAGAAAAUCAAAUAAAUUCAAAAUUUCAAACUAUUUAGGACAAAUUUAGGAUAUAUGGUUAAUAAUUUUCCUCUGUCUUUUUACAUCAGUUGACAGAAGUUACAAACUUAAAAUAGAAAUCAAAUAAAUUUAAAUUUUCAAAUCAUUUAGGGCAAACUUAGGGUAUAUGGUUAAUAAUUUUCCUAUUUUUUUAACAUUAAAUUGAGUUUCAAAGACAUAAUGGUCAAUUUAUUAUAAUUCUAUUAAUUUUUUAAGGGAAGCAAGCGAUAUAAUGGAUGAAUGAUAUAAAUUGUAAAAUUAAGGUGCAUGAACGAUAUAAUUUUAAAGUAUUGUAGUACUUUUAAUAAUAGAACAAUUUAAAGGUGGAUUGGCGAUAAUUUAAACUUUAAUGAAGCAACUAAAAAAUUUUUUUAACAAAGAAAAAUAAUUGAAUGCUUUGUGAAACCAAAAAUAUUUGAAAUGCUUUAAGAAAAAUAAAGGAAAUUAAAUAUCUUUUUAAAAAACAUAAUUGAGUAAAAUCAUUUUACAAAAUGCUCUUUCAAAUGCACAUUCCACAAGCCAAGAAGGAUGGGUGGCUAACAAAAAUCUCACUUUUUAUGAGUUUAUAAAAUCUCACUUUCGCAAAAUCCAAAAAUAACCAAUACUAUCACACAAAAAAUAAAAAGUAUUGCUGUCACGACAUUACACACUUUCUUCGCCGUCUAGAAAGGUAGAACAUUUUGAAGUUCCUCAAUACAAAAUGCGUGCUAUUACUAAAUUGGCCAAAGUUUUAACAAUUGAAGAAAUAGUGAACUCAAAAGGAACAGGUAAAUUUUGAAGUUGAACAAACCUUAAAGUGCAUACAACAAAGCCUUGAAACUUUAGUCUUCACAAUUUAAUCACGCAAUAAUAUUAAGUAUCCACCUAAAAAACAAGUAUAGAGCAAAGCUUGUUAGCUUCUUGGGCAUUAACUAUGAAUGAUGAGUAAAAUUAAAAAAGCAAACAGAGAAAAUUAUAAGAAGAAGAAAAGCAAACAUUUAAAAAAAAAUUAUGAGAAGGAAAAUUUUGGUAGAACUUCGUGGCUCAUCUGUGAAAUUAAUGUCAAUAUGUAUUUUUAUGUAAAUAUGGUCUCUGGCUUUUAGGAUGAAUCAAUCAGCUACCACAAACGAAAACAUGAACCAACUAUAUAUAGAGUCAAUUAAUUAAAGUUCUCAAGAGCUUACCUCUGCUCCAGAAUUCUCGGAAUCAUCAAUCUCCUUCUGAAUUUGCGCGAAGCUUGGGACAACCAAGAAAGCGUCCAGGUGGAACUGGGUUUGGAUAACCCGCAGGCCAAAAGUUGGUGAGGUUUGGUAAAUUUAUCAGUUCUAUGCCCUGAAGUUCAUUCGUAACAAUUUCAUAGUAAUCCGUGACGUCUGCUCCACCUUUAUGCCAGAAUACUUCUUCUAAUUCAUCAUUACCUACUACGAAUAGGUACUUCAGUUUUGGAAGACUUGGAGCUACGCUGAUAUGAAAUAGAUGCUUUAGCUUGGGGCAAAAACAGACAGUGAUCCUUGUGAGUUUUGGGAAACAUACAGGUUGGAGAUGAUCCUCAUCCUCAUCCUCAUCAAUGAUUUGCUCUAAUUCCAAGCAAUUCGAAACAGAUAACUCCUCCAAUUGCAACAGAUUUCGAGCAAGUGUUGAUGAGAGGAGCCGUCUCAGCAUAGUGCACCGCUCUACUGUUAAUCGGGUAAGAUUUUGCAGGCUAAAAUUAUGCGCGGGACCUUCAUGAUAUAAUACUCUCAGUUCUCGAAGAUCUUCCAAUCCCAACCCUUUCAAACAUGGGAAUGGUUUGUUUGCUUGUCCCUCAGCGAUAAUAGAUUCCGACUGAAACACCACCAGUACUCCAAUUUUGCUAAUAUUCAAUUCUUCCAAAUUUUUUAAGCCGUGCUUCAACAGUACUGGAAUCGUGUCGCUCAAAUGGGAACAAUUGUCCACAUUUAGAAUUUUUAAGUUCUGAGACAAAUAAAUAAAUAACUUGAUGUAAUUAAAAUCUAUUAGCAGCUAGGAUUAUCACAUGAUAAGUGACGAACAUCGCAAAAAACAAAGAAACAAAAUCCAUUCAAAAAUAUAAUUGUUGAAUCCAAAUUAAUCUCCAAGACCAAUUUAGAACCCCCAAGACCCACUCUAAGAAGCUUGAUCUUUGUUCUGAAUUUAAUCACUAAAUAAGUUUUGACAAGAAACAAGAGUACCUACAUGAAAUCAAUCACACAGCUAAAGAAAAUCAGAUCACACACUUAAAACCAGGAUUAUAGUGGUUCGGCCAAGUUUCUUGCCCACAUCCACUGUGGAAAACGAAGCAACCCUUUUACUGAUUUCAGAGAACAAGUUACAAAUCUGGAGAAAAUAUGUAAAUGAAUAGAUAGCCUUUGACAACAGAUCCUAUGUCCUUUUAUACUCCAUUCUGACCAAUCCGAAAGAACCCCAAGAAACCAGUUCACGCUCCUGGGUUUCCAGCCAAGAAGAUCUCCAGCUGCUUCCCGCGUGAGCUAACGGUAAAAACCACUUCUUGAAUUUAGCUUUGGGACACUUGUCAAACAUUCACGCAAACUCUUGAUUAAAACACAGAGAAAGCUGCCGUUUUGAGUUAGUGAAACACGUGACACAUCACGUGCAAUACUAACGGAUCCAGCCGACAUAUCGUUUGUGUCAAACAUCUGUUCUGAACUCCAAUGCCUGACAUGUCGUUUAUCCUUGUUGACAAACAGACGACGUGUCAUACAUAUACCUGAGAUCAGAUUUGACUUCAUAAUUCCAACACUAAUAAUACAUAUGUAAACUAAUAAAAUAAUUAAAAAAUAAUAUGGAUUGAUAAUGUGAAGUGAUAUAAAGGUGACAUUAGAUUGUUUGAGAAAAAUUAGUAUUUUAUUAAUUUUUAUGGAUUGAUCAACUAAUUAAUUGAAUUUGAGUAAUAUUAUAUACACUUUAGUAAGUGUUUGCAUCAAUUCUUUCUAAACCAAAAUGAGAUAAGACUUCCAUUUGAACAAUGAUUUUAGGCCCUAAAAUAAAGAAAUUUCCCCAAGAUAUUUGAGCAUUAUUAUUAUCAUCACCACAUCCACGAUCAUCAUCAUCUCCAUAGGACCAAAUAAUUAAUGGUUGAUCAUAAAAUUAAUUGCUAAAUUAUCAUUUUGAGUAAAAUUGAAGGAAAAGAAAAAACAUAAACACAAACAAACAUACCUCUUCAAGAUACUGCAAAUUGGCUUCAAGUUCAGUACUGCUGACGGUCAAGUUAGAACAGCGAAUAAGGUCUAACUCUUCCAAUGCUGUCCAAAUUGAACGAUAAUUUUCUGAACAGAAGCUCUUGAGUUUUGGGAGAUUGCAAAGUGUUAAUUUUCUCAACAAAGGGAGGGCAAGCAUCGUAUUUCCAUCUCCGACACUUAUUUCCCCUUCAUUGUGAUCAAACUUUGCUUCGACAAUACAUUCCAUUCUCUGGCAUCCACUGACAAAGAGACUUUUAAGCUGCUUCAAACUUCUAGCUUGUGACAACGUGAAGAUAUAUGUCAAAUUGUUGCACCCAUACACACUCAAUUUUGUAAGAGCUUGGAGGCUGAUCACAUGUUGGGCGGGCGCCUUCCAUAUCCACUUCAGUUCUGGUAAUUGCCACAUAGAUAACUCUGCUAAUCUUGAGAGCAUCACAGGAUUCCCACUCUUUCCGUACGGCGACUUAGAGGCAUCCAUUAUGCAUUCUAAUUCUUUGCACUCAUUGGCAGAAAGACAAGGCAACUCAUUUAAGCCCUUUGGAUCUAUGCUUGGCACAAUAUUGUGACAACCUAUAAUCGUUCUUAAAUUAAGAAUUUCCAGUUCUUGAUACAAUGUCGAAAAAAUACCGAGCGAGGUCGCUUCACAAUUAUUAAUCUUUAAGCACCUUCUCUGUCCAAAAAUUUCAUCUUCUUCGUCCAUUAGAAAUUCAAGUUUGUUACCGUUACUGACGUAGUGCCUUUGCAAUUUCGGGAAUGUAAAGUCUUUUGGAAGACGUGCAAUUUUUUUGUCAGUAUGUAAAGUCUUUCCAUCGUCAUUUUCUUCUGAACUCAUCCCUUCAGCCUCCCAAUCUUUUAUCCGACCAUAAAAUUCUUCUAAUUGAGGAAAUUUUUUUAUCGUAAUGGGAGAAAUACGACCAGAAUUAAUUAAUAUAAGAAGUUUCAAUGUACUAAGUUGAUCCCCAAAUUCUUCAGGAAUUUCAAUGGGAGACCCCUUGACACAAAGGAUUUGAAGUCUCUUCAACUUUCCAAGGAAAGACGCGUCACUCAUGUUACAUCGAAUCAACUGCAGAACUUGGAGGUUGGUGAGGAAUUGAAGCGAUUUAAGUGAAAUGACUCCUCCUAUUAUAGUAACAACUUUCAAUGCUGGCAUCCCUUCGAAAAAAUGUUCUGGAAUAUGCAAUUGAUAGUCAUAUUCAGUAUUCUCCAGUCGCAAAAUAUGAAGAUUAGGGCAUACCAAACCACUUGGAAGCUCUUCUUUUUCAUUUCCCAUCAAAGAGAUUCCUCUGUAUUGUUCCACUGCCCGUUCUGCCAAUCCAAUGCCAACUUUACUAGUAAAAUAUUUUUUCUCCAUUGAGCCUAUCCAUAAGGCUACGUCACGUACAAUGUCAUGCAUUUUUACAAAUCUGUCAUUACCAGCGUCUAAUAGCAGUGAAGAAGCUUUGAGCUCUUUAAUCGUUCCACUCACUAGGCUCCUGGAAUCUUCGAUUGACUCAGCUUGAUACCAAUCCAACGCCACUGCAUAUCCAACCAAAUCCUCCAAAUCUAUCUCAUAAUCUUCUGGAAACAGCGAACACAACAAGAAGCAUGACCUGGAAUCGUCACCAUUCAAAUAAUCGUAACUAAACUUGAGACAAUGGUAAACGUCUUGGUCUUCCUUGCCAAUACCUUCUAUUGUAUUAAGUUUUGCAUUUUUUAGUUUAUGCAGAGCUACUUUCCAUUCACCAUAUCCUUUACCGCUUAGUGCACUUCCAACAGCUUUAAUAGCCAAAGGCAGCCCCUUACAUUCAUCAGCAACUCGUUCUGAAACACCAAUCAAUGAAUCAGCAUCAAUGCCGGCAUGCUUUCUUAGUAAAGCCAAUCCUUCUUCUCGCUUUAGAACACCUAGUUGAAUCCGCGUGUCACAACCCAUGCGAUCACAAACUGGCUGAAGGCGAGUGGUUAGAAGGAUUUUGCAACAAUUGUCUCUAUCACCAACAGGAAUACCUACUGUCUCCAAGUCGAGUUCAUUCCAGACAUCGUCAAGGAUUAUGAGGAUCUUGCGGCUUUUACUCUUAGAGAACAUCAAGCGCAAUCGGUCUGCUCUAUCAUUUUCAUCUUUCUCCGUUAAUGCCCAACCUAACGACUUUACCAGCUCACUUUGAACAUUUAUUAUAUUUGGAUCCCGAGAUAUAGUGGCUAUCCCUACGUCAUCGAAAAUCUUUUGCUGCCGAAGUUGAUUGCCCGCAAAUUUUGCCAAGGUCGUCUUUCCUACACCACCGAGGCCAUGCAGUCCCACCAUUUUUGUGCUUUCUCUUUUCAGUGAUUCAAUGAUCUGAUUGCAAGCCAGUUCUGUAGUCUCGAAAGACGUAAAAUGUCUUGGUGCGGGUAAUUCUUUGUUUGAUGGUAGAGGUUUAGGACGGGCAACUGUGCUGAAUUUGUCGCAUUUCUUUUAUAGAUCGGACAACUUGCGAGUCUCCUUUGAUGCUUUUCUACCCAGCCAAUAUAGGCAACGCCAAUUAGGACACCAUCCAUUAAGACAACUUUUGUUUUCAUCUAUCUUUGCUUUCAAAUUUUGAACAUUGGCCAUUUCUUUGACUACAUCCGCCAGCCACUUCUCUACAUCUUUCUCGACUACUAUGGCGCGGUGUUUUUGUCGAUAUUGUUCUACUUUUUCAUUGACGCCAUCUUGUGCCUCCUUCAAAUUAGUUUCUUUAUCCCCAAGUUCUUUAAUAAUGCUGUUGAAGCAGAACAGAUAGCGAGCUUGGUUUAUGGUUGCGUCCGCCAAUAAUUCUCCAAGCUUUGAUGAAACACCUGAUAAAAUUUCCAUGCUAUUUAUCUGCAAUUAAUGAAAUUGAUCUCAGUAUGCUAUAAGCAAUUAAAACAACAAGGCUUGAUUGCAAGAUCGAACGUGAACGUUUAAUUACUUUAAUUUUUUUUUGGCUUAUUAACGCCAGCAUUGAAAUUAGAUUACUUUAUCAAAACAAAUUUCAUAUUCACUAAAAUUAAUCAUAUUCAUAUUAUAAAAUAAAUAUAAAAACAAUAUCUGAAAAGUAAUGCUAAAUCCACUCUUAAAUUUUAUGUACCGCAUUAGAAUUGAUGAACAAUCUGACAAAGAUGCUCGACUUAAGUAGGGAUGACAAUUAAAGCCGGAUUUGAAAAAAUUCGUGUCUCCAAAUUAAAAAAUGUGGAUUCGGAUAUGGAAAUUUGGAAUUCACACGCAUCCAUAUAAAUUUUAUUUUAAAUUAAAAAUAUAUAUUAAAAAUUAAAUAAAAAACUAAAAAAUAAAUUUUAUUUGUGAUUUUAUGAUGUUGUUGUAUAUUAUUCAGGUUGAAUUAUUAAUGGUUGGAUUAUGAUUGAAUUUUAUUUGAUAUUAUUAGGUAAAUUAUUAAAUUUUAUUUAAAAUUAAAAAAAUAUAUUAAAAAUUAAAUAAAAAAUAUAUUUUAUUUAUAGAUUUAUGAGAUUAUUUUAUGUUAUUCAUGCUGAAUUAUUAAUUGUUGAAUUAUGAUUGAAUUUUAUUUGAUAUUAUUAGGUAAAUUAUUGAACUUUUAAAUUAUAUAUUAAAUUAAUAUCCAGAAUAUCCUCCAAUAUCCGUUGCGGAUAUUACCCGCUUCUGGAUCCACAUCUUUUUAUACGAAUUCAGAUAUAGAAAUAUGAAUGCGAAUCCGAAUCUAGAUUUUACCAACCUUGAACCUAAGCAUGAAUGGGCCUAAAGUUUUUACAACAAACAUGGAUCAUUCAAUGACACGAGAUGUUUUACAGCUCUCAUUAGUAUAAUUAAAUAAUUAAUUCAUCUCUAUAUUCAACUUACUCCGUCUCAAAUUGCAUGCAAAUACGAAAAUACACUUCUGAAUCGUUCACUUGAGGAAAAUUCCAAAUUCUCCACGUAGAAUUUAGAUUCAAACCAAAGCAAAUUAGACAUAAUUCUAAUUUAUAUGGGAAAUAUAAUUAGCGAAGACACUCUUUAUAUAAACAUUAUUGUCAUAGGAUGCCAAACGUAAUAAGAUUCAAGGUCUUAACAUACUUCAUAUGAAAUUUGAUCUUGGCGCGUACCGACACGCAUAACAUCGAGACUCUACUUCAUAUAAUGUAACUUCAUGGAUUUUUCGCUCUCUUGUGAAAUUGACAAUUAUAGGCGCUGUGUGGCAGUGGUACAUAAUAAAAUAAACGUUUAUUUUUAGAAUAUUAUUAUUUAUCUCAAUUUUUGAUUUAAUAGUUAAUCUUAAUCAAUUCUUAAACUGCCAUAAUCAAUAAAUUUUUUACAUUAUGGCAUCUUAAAUAAAUUUAGGAUAUGUAAUAAAUAAAAACUGGUAACGUUUGUUCUUUUAAAGCAUAAAACAACCGUAACAUUGGUUUUUACAUUUUGAAUUUUUCUUGCAUCACUGUUUAGAAAAAUGAUGUUAAAUCAAUUCACAAAAUAUAUCAAGCCAUCUAAAAUCCAAAUAUUAUUACAUUUGUAUUUGCAUUGUUAAAUUGUUGGAACGACGGCAAAGCAAUUGAAAAGAUAUUAACAAAAAAGUUACCUAUUGUUUGUGGUAGUAAAUAAUAUUAACUUGUUUUACUAUACCCGUGUUUAUGUUGGUCUCCUUUUUGUCCAUUUCUGUGCAACGAAAUAUUUGCAUGUUUUGAUAGAAAUUGGUUUAAAUGACAUUUAAAAUAGUAUAUCCCCAGACAAUUGACGAAAUAUUUGUAUGGUAAGAUGAAGUAAUAAAUAGUUUUACAAAUUACCAUAUUAGAGGUAAAAAAAAAUCGAGAGGUUACUUGACAAUUAUGACAUUACUAACUACAAAUUUAACACAAAAAGUUUAAUUAACUUUUCUUUUUGAGAUGGCAAAAUCUCUGGUGUUGAAAACAAUGAGGUUUGAGGUUCAAGCUUGAAUAUCAAGUUACAAUUAGUAGAUGGCCUUAGGACAUAUCAAAGAUUUCUUUAAAGACAAAAUAAUUAUUAUAAGCAAUAGGAAAUUAUGGUAUUCAGAACAUGUAACCUUCGCACAUGAAGCUUGAGUCCAGCAAAAGAUGCAGCUAGCCAAUCCUUCAACUUCCAAAACCCCACAAAAUCUCUGUCAAUAUGUCUGUUCUACUUCAAUAUUAAGCACAUUCAUAGCGGUAUCAACAGCUUACAGCUCCAAAAUAUUUUCCCCAAAAAGAGUGAGAGAUUUCACUGCCUAAAUGUUCUAUAACACGAUAUGAUUAUUCUAGUAACACAAAUCCAACAGCAUGCAACAUAAUCUACUCUCUAACAUUGUGCAUUAGUAAAAUAAAACAGAGUAAAAGGAGAAACCAUGCCUGUGAAUCUCUUCUCUUACCCCCCCACCACCCCUUUUUUUGGUAAAGUCCAUCAAAUGAAAAUGCAGCAUGACCACAUUGGCCACUGCCACUGCCAUUACUUCUUCAACUGUGCCUUUUGUUGCAGGAAAUAUUCAAGUGAAAGAUUGGAUUAUAUAAUUCAAGAUUCCAAUAAACCUGAGCUGCAAAGGUUGCCUUCCACUAGCCUAUCAGAGACUAUGCUUUCUAUUUUCCUAGUUUUUUAAUCAAAAUUUUGCAAGAUUUAUUUAUGGAAAUCUUGGACAAAAUUUUAUGUAAGAUACCAUAAAGCCAAACACAAUCUUUUUAAUUCUCAGCAGCAACAUUUAAAGUGAAAAACGGGAAGCCAUAUAAAUAUAACUAUGUUUGGUCAAGGAACAAUUAUUUCAAGCUUUCAGAAAUGCUAGCAAGAGAUUGUAAGAGAACUUUACCUAGUCACAGAAUAUGUCAAACAUACUACCACCAACUGUCUUCACCACGAUUGUUAUGAAGUAGCUUUUGAAUCGGAAGAUUCCAGCUUCCACCAGGCACCAUUAUUUUCAUUCUUGAUACAAUCUGCAUCACUGGCAUUAGUUAUAUCAUCAACAUUUGCAUCCUCACUCUCAUCAUCCCAAUCAAGGCUUCUUCUCCAGCUCUGGACUAUAAGUCCACUCCGACAUCUUCAAACAUCUCGGUCCUUCCAUUUGCCAACAACCGAUAUGGCUUCCUUCCUUGCCUUCCCCAUUAAUAUAUCACUCGAAGGAAAAAACGCAUCAGCAAUUCUCUUCAACGCCUCAUCGUUUAUAACCACCCAAAAAAAGGGUCUUCAGACACCUCAACUUUGCUUUCGGCAAAACCUCCACAAAAUCUGAAUUAUCCAACACAACAGCCAGACACUCAAUCCUUCUUUUGUCCAUCAUAUCCACCGUAUGAUUCCUCAACAAAAUAUCUACAGCUUGUGGCUUUUCUAACACUGUCUUGAUCCAAAACCCCGCUCUUUUCAACUCAUCUGCCAAUCCAUAACCCACUUUUGGAGUCAAAAUUGUCCUUGCAGCCCUUUUAUAUUUUUCCAUCUCCAUCGAAUACUUGCCACUCAAAUGGAAUUACCAGACAGGAAUCCCAGUAACAAGUCCACUCAACUUCUUCUCAUCCGAUCCCUCUUUCACUCUGGCGGAAACAUUAAUAACCAUUCACCAGCCACAAAUUACCCAAGUAAGUACUCGUGUCGUCAACACUUACCCUUCACUUCAUCUACGCAAACAAGAAUUCAAAUUGCUUAUUAGCUAGUGCUCGAGCGAAAGCCAAAAUAAAUUAAAUAUGUGUGUGUGUGUGUGUUAAAAGAGAAACGGUAGCGAAGUUAUUAUACAAUAAAGCAAACCAAAAUAAAUUCUACACUCAUGUGGGUGUUUCGGUCGCAAAAUCUGGACAAGAAAAAAUAAUAAUGAUACAAUCUCCAAAUAAAGAGCAUUCCUCUUGGUAAAAUAGACAAAUCCUAUAAAUUUUGAUUAAUGGUGCCAAAUGAAAGAGUUGUAAUUUCAUGUACAUUUUGUUAACAUGAAUAAGGGUACAAAAUAGAUAACAAAGUGAUAAAAACAAAGCUAAUCACAAUGAAUGAUAAGGUUUAGAGUAAACAUAAAGUUAUAAUCUUGAACAUAAGUGGCGCUCAAAGCCAUGAAUUUGAUAUCAUCCAUGAGGGGAGUUCAAACAACACCAUGUAAGAAGCAACAAGUGUUGAGAAAAAAAAAAAGUCAUUCUAACACAACAGAAUAAAUUGUAAAGAAAUCCCAGUUUGUAUAAAAGAAAGAAAACAAAAUUAAGGAAAGCAUAAGCACAACAAAAUUUGACUGAUUAUUAAAAAUGAGAAAUGAGUUAUAAUGAGAAUUUUGGCUUUGUGGUGAAAUAAAUUGGGAAGUAUCCAAAGUUCGCAUGUAAAUAAUGAAAAUGAUAAGAAGACGAAGGGAACAAAAUGAUAAUAAGCAAGCCAAAUAUUAAAAUGCAGAUUCUACGCUUCCGCCCCCCCCCCCCCCCAUACUUCAAGUUAGUGUCUUGCUAAUCAUUUUAGAUGUAUCAAUUACAAAGGGAGGCCAUCUAUUUAUAGUAAGCGUACGCCUCUAAUGCUUUGCCAAGUGUCCGUUGAUAAUGUGCUGAUAAAGUUUGUUGCACGUAUGAGUUGGUUAAGUCUGCUAGAAAUGCAAACGUGUAAAGCUUAGUUAGCAAGUUAGUUAAGGUUGUUACGAAUGCUUAGAUUCAGUUCACGUGUAUUGUAUGUAAUGCUUAGAUUCAGCUCAUGUAGAUUGUGUAUACAACUUUCUAAUAUUCUUUAGAUCUCAAUAUAAAUGCUUGUAAUCAACAAAUACAAUAAUAAGAGUCAUCAUUCUUCAUUUUCUCUCUGUUUCUCUCAUAUUUUCUCUGCAUCCAAACACAAUAAUCUCAGUUCUUGACUUGGUAUCAGAGUUGCAGUUUAAUUGUCAUGGCUUCCUUAAGCAUUCAAACACAAAUCAGUCUCCUUCAUUCUUUACCCUCACAAAUGCGAUCAAACUGGACAGAUCUAACUAUACGAUAUGCAAAUCUCAGAUCCUCUCUUCAGUGCGUGCCAAUGGACUUGAAGGCUUUCUUAAUGGAACUAAAAUUUGUCCAGAUCAGUUACUUACUCAAGAGAUUGAAAGUUAUGGUGUUGAAAAUGCUGUUGGUGAAAGCUCAGCUGCAAGCUCAGCUUAUUAAGUUGGCUCAUGUCCUCCAUCAGUGUUGAGAUACUUAGUCUUGUGGUAAAUUCUGAUUCUUCUCAUAAACUAUGGACUAAUCUUGAAGAAAAUUUUUGGAUUAGAAACAAUGGCUAAGAAAGCACACUUAAAAAUGAUGUUAAGCAAUCUCAAAAAGGGAUCAAUGACAAUAACUGAGUAUUUUGCCAAACUUAGAGCUGUAACUAAUAAACUUGCUCUAACUGGUAGCCCUGUUUCUAGUCUAGACUUUAUUACUCAUCUAAUCUCUAGAUUAGGCCAGCCAUACUACCCUGUUGUUUUGUAUAUUGAAGCUAAUAUGAUGAAAGUAUUUGUCAAUGAAGCAUAUUCUAUGCUUUUAACUCAUGAAGCAAGAAUUAAAGCUAAUCAUCCAAGUGCAAAUAAAGAAGCAAAGUUGAAUUAUGCUGCUAACAUAGCUUAGGCUGGACCUAGUACUAAAUAACAAUAAGAAGUCUAGUAAUCAAGCUAAUUACUAUCAGGGCAACCAAGGUAACUGGAAAACAAAUGCUCAUUGUUGUGGUAACAAUGGAGGAAGAGGUGGCUUUGGCAGAGGUUUUUCAGGGCAAGGAAGGGGUAAUUAGAAUAAUGGUGGUCAUUCGAACAAUGGACCUUGGAGUAGUAGUUGAGGAGGCUAUAAUGGUUCUGAUAUAAACAAUAUGACAUGGUUGCUGGUGAACUUGUAAACAUAACCGAAAAAGUAAGAAGGCAUAAUUUUUUAAUAAGAAACUCAAAAAUGUAUUAAUGAUGAAAAUUUUCAAACAGAUAGUGGACCAGCUGUCCAGUAAGAAAACAAAAAAUUGAAUAUUUGUGCUAUAAAAAGGCACACCCAAUCUCACCCCUUUAAAAGGCUAGAAUCAGCUACAAAUCCCUAUCUCAAAACCCCAUCCCAGUUUAGAUGAAUGAAGAAAAAAGAUGAAUCUUGAAACUCCUUAGAAACUGAAGCCCAAAGUGAAGCAAGAAGAUGAACUCUAUCCCAAGCAAGCAAUAUGGCAUAUUUCUCCAUUAAUGGUUCAAAUAAAGUGAAUGGCUUUCUCUGAUGAAUGGGAGAUUGUCAAGAUCAAUAGUCAAACUCACGCAAAGUAAACGGACUUAGUUCUCAGAGGCUACUCGUUCUAAGUCUGAAAGAAAAAUUUUCUAAUUUCUAAAAAUUAUAUGGGGAAAAAUCAUUAUUUUCUAACAUGGAAAAUUUGAUACGGUGUUUAAUGUCAGAUCACAAUAAUAAUAUGAGUACUAACAAAAACAUCUUUAAUCGGCAUGGUGCAAGUAAAACCCCAUCACUUCAUCUUUGAUGGAAAGAUGAUAAUCUAAGGAGAUGGUGAAAUGGUUUUGGUCCCUGGCAACUUGCAAUCAAAAGAAAACAAAAAACUACACUAUCAUUAAUGAUUACCGAAGCUACUGAAGUAUCAAAAUCGGAAAGUAAACAAUUGCAAAACACAUCAAUGACUGGAGGUUAGAUUCUAAAACUUCCGCAUUUAAUUUUCAGAGCAUGUUAUGUAUUAUUCAAAAAUAUGCUUUCACUUCAGGCAAUUGACCAAGACGCAUUAAACAUAAAACGUGGCGUUUUCAUGGACUAGUACAUUCCAUGCUUCGAAAGUUUAGGGCCCGUUUGGUAGCGUUUUUUACCCAUUGUUUUCAUUUUUGUUUUUAUAAUACAAACAUAAUAUAUGUUUGGUGAGAUGGAUUCAAAAAACAAAUCACAAAAUAACAAAUUCAGAUCCAGUGUUAUAACUACAAACAUGAAAACGUGUUUAACAUGUUUCCUAAAUAUUACAAACUAAACUCAAAAAUAGAUUAAGAAACAAAACUCAUUCUCUUCGGCAGCAACCCUCUCCCCCCUCUCAUCGUUGUCAAUCUGGUCACCCCACCCCCCCCCCCCCCCCCCCGCAAUCGUUAUCGAUCUAGUCACGGCAGCAGUGCUUUCUCCUUUUCUUACUCCAACAACACUUUCUCUCUCCUUAUCUCCUCAUCCUUUUCUUCGGUAGCAGUCUUCUCUCUACCCCUCAUCUUUCUCGAUGUGGUCACGGCAGCAGUUCUCUCUCUCCUUUUCUCCCUCCAACAACACUUUCUCUGCCGCUGCUGCAACUUCGUCUGUACCGCGGCUGUCCUUUGGUGUGCCGUACUCUCUCCGUCGUGGCCGUUGCUGCUCCGUUUGAGCAUAGCCACUGCUGUCCAUCUCCGUGUAGCCACCGUCGCUCCUACUUGAUAGACUGAACUGCUGCAUCUCUCUCGGCUUGCUGGUAAUUUUUUUUAUUUCAAAAAUUUUUUUUUUAUUUCAGUAAUUGUUUGAAUAAUUUUGAGAGAUUUUUUAAAGCAUGUUAAUUGUGUAUUCCCUCUAUUCAUGCCAAAAUAAUUUUGAGUAAUUGUUUUAGAUUAUGAGUAAUUGUGUUGAUUUGAAAACAAAACCGUGUGAAUAUAGUUUUGCUACACUUUGAUUUUGUUUGCGGAAUGGAAAAAAAAGGAAGCGAUGAACUGGAAUUGGGGGAUUUAAUUGUUGUUAUGUUGUUGCUUCGUGUGCUUUGUUAUUAUGAGUUUUAAUAAUUUUGAGUAAUUAUUUUAGAUUAUGAGUAAUUGUGUUGAUUUGAAAGCAAAACCGUGUAAAUAUAUUUUUGGUACACUUUGAUUUUGUUUGCGGAAUGAAAAAAAAAGGUAGCGAUGAACUGGAAUUGGGGGAUUUGUAUUAUGCUGCUGCUUUAAUUGUUGCUAUGUUGUUGCUUUGUGUGCUUGGUCAUUAUGAGUUUUAAUAUUUUCUCUAUGUCAUUGAAUCGAAAUGCAAGCUGGAAAUUGUAAUUUCAGAUAAAUAUAUUUGGGGAAAAGGAUGAUUGCCGAAUAGCAUUGUAUUUGUGUUUUAAGGAUGAAGAAUACAAAUAUCUGUUUUUGUUUAUGCCAUGAAAUUCUUUAUGCCAUUAAUUUGAAUUGGUGAAGUUGUAUUGGAAUAUUUUUUAUUUUGGACUGUUGAAUUUUUAAUUUAUGACAUAUUGGUAAAAUGGCUUUCAUGCUAUGUUGAAUUUGAUUAAUUUCAAAAGUUUGAGCUAUGUAUGUUUAGAAGUAGUUUAUUUAAUUUCAUUAAUAUUUGAUACAUGUUAUUUUUUCUAAUUUUCUAGUAACAAGAUAUGGAUCCACAUGAUGUUGAUGGUGAGGAUAGCAAGAUUUGGUUACCAGCGAAUGUCGCAGAGAUGAAUGCUAUAAGAGAUGGGAUUGCAGCUUCUAUGAGGCACGAUUACACAUAAUGCAUAAUGUGUACCAUAUAAUUUUUUAUAAUUAUUUUGUUGAAAUCAUGUGUUGUAAUAUAUAUCUUAAUUAUAGUGUAAAAACAAUGACAAUGUAAAACUUUUUUUAAUUAAUGGUAAUUAUAAAACUUUAUCAUCAUUUAAUUUUUUAUAAUAAUUUUGCUUAAAUUAUUAUGGUAUAUUUGUGUAUGUAAUAUUGUCACAAUUAUUUUCUAACUAUAAUUAUAACUUAAAAUACUUAGUAAAAACUAUUUUUGAAAAAGGUAUUACCGAACACAUAUUAUCUGUUUUUAUUAUUUUCAACUAUAUCUAUCAAACGCAUAUCACUGUUUUCAGUUUGGAAAUAUAGGAUACAGAAAAUGAUACCAAACGUAUACUUAAAUUCAAAAUACAGCAACUGUAAAACACCAUUUUCAUUUUCAUUUUUAUUCUUAGAAAAUACAAAUUCAGAAACAAUACUAAACGAACCCUUAUGUUUUAGACUGAUUGGUUUGAUACAUUAUUUGUUUAUUGCGUUUUUCUUGCUUUAAAUAUUAUGUUGGAUUGAUAAGCUUUGUACACAUUUAUAUUGCUCGCAGUAAAUAAUUUAUGACAUUUAAAAAACUAUCAACCGUCUGUCAAAAGAUUUCUACUAUAAAUAUAUAUACACAAAAAACUUUUAAUUUGGUCAAUUUGUUCUCUUAUUUAUUUUUGUUCUAUUUCUCUUUUCCUUUCAUUUCAUUUUAUUGUUUUAUGGUACAAAAUAAAAAAAAAAAUAACAUUAAAAUUUAAGGGUAAAAUACUCAUUUUACUAAAAUUCCGUUUAAUAUUAUAAAGCUGUCAAAUGUCAAUGGCAUAGGACACGAGUGAUACAAAUUAAAAACAAUAAAUUGAAAGUUUUUAUGCAUUUUCCUUUUAUUUUUUUUAUAGUCGAUUGAGAUUUCCCUUCAUAUUUUUAAAUUCAAUAGGUUUAGACUGUUUAACAAAUCUUAAAUUAAAAAAACCCGCGGUGUAAUAAUAAACUCACAUCAAACCCUGUACACUGUCAUCCCUAAUUAUAUUUACCACUAAUUAUAUUUACCACUUCAUACUCACAGUGAUAAUAACUGUGUAUCAUAAUUGAUUUUGCAUACGGGUAAAAGUUCCAAGUCCGGAUAUUUAGUUAAUGAAAUUUGAUGAAAAGGGCAUGAAAGAAAAUAAGAAAUUAAAUAAUACAGGUGGUAUUAAUCAUUACAUAUUUAGUUAAUGAAAAUUGAUGAAAAUAUUUCUGCUGACGUGAGCCAUAAUUAUAUUACCGUUAAGAAUGAAGCAGAAGAGUUUCCCCAAACAAGCUAAAACACAGCACUUCAAUUUAAAGAAUUUUUAUAUCACAGUACAGUAAGUUAAUUCCAUAAUCUAUCUCCAAAGAAAGGCAAACACAAGCUUAUAAGAUUAAAACUUUGGAAAACAUUAAAGAGUCAGACAAAAUUGUGUAAUCUUCAGAGUUUGGAGCCUAGUUCAUCCAGGAAAGCAAAAGAAAAUAAUAAUAAUAAUAAUAGUGGUGGUUUGAUCUCAAAAGGUGGCAUCAAAGCGGUAACUUUGGGGUAUUGGAAGCUAUAACAUCUUCAACUUUGUCCUGAUUUCGAAGUCCCUUAACCCAUCCGCCAUCAAUGGAUUGAAAGCUUCCAUUCAACCCAUCAUCCACAAAAUCACCAACCCGUUUCACCUUCAUCUCCUUGGGCUUAACAGGGUACUUUCCAGUGAAGCAAGCAAAACACAAAUUCUGAGAAUCAUCGCCUAACAACUUGUUCAGGCUGUUAAUUGGCAGAAAAGCAAGCGAGUCACACCCAAUAAACUCCCUGAUUUCCUCGACGCUCAUCCUGUUGGAAAUCAACUCCUCACUACUUGGGGUGUCCACUCCAUAGUAACAAGAAGCUAUGAUUGGUGGGCUUGCAAUUCUCCUGUGAACCUCUUUAGCUCCAGCCUCCUUAAGCAACCGAACAAUUUUCGAUGAAGUUGUUCCUCUCACUAUUGAAUCAUCCACAACCACAACUCUCUUUCCCUCCAACACUCCCCUUACAGGAGAGAGCUUAAGCUUGACACCAAAGUCCCUAAUUUUCUGGGAAGGCUCAAUGAAAGUUCUCCCAACAUAAUGUGACCUUAUCAACCCUUGUUGAAAUGGCACCCCGGCUUUCGCAGCGUACUCAAGUGCAGCCACCACUCCAGAAUCUGGUACUGCAAUCACGACAUCACACUCAACAGGAGCCUCGGUAGCAAGUACUUCCCCAAAAUGAUACCUCGACUCAUAAACAGACCUUCCAAAAACAACAGAAUUAGGCAAAGCAAAAUAAAUAUGCUCAAAGAUGCACUGCUUAGGUUCAGGGUGAGGCAUCAAACAAGGUGAUUGAACCCCAUCUUUAUCCACCAUCAAAACUUCACCGGGAUAUACCUCUCUCUCUCUCUCUCUCUCUCGUAUGUGGCCUCAAUCAAAUAGUGCACAAGUUUCUGAUGCAAAAACCACAGCACCGUUACUCCUCCUACCCAUCACCAAUGGCCUAAACCCAUAUGGGUCACGAACCGCAACAAGCUUAUCCUCAGUAACAAACACCAUUGAAUACACACCCUCAAGCUUCUCACAAGCAUCCACAAUCCUCAAAAAGAACGGCCUAGCUUUCGAUAUCGCAAUCAAAUGGAGAACAACCUCAGUAUCAGAACUAUUAUUAAAAAUGGAACCAUUAUCUUCAAGCUUAGCCCUCAAAGUAUUAUAAUUAACUAAAUUCCUAUUAUGUGCAACACCAACAGAACCAAACCUGUACCCAGCAACAAAAGGCUGCACAAUCUUAAGCAUAGAACUACCGCAGUCGAAUAUCUAACAUGACCAAUGGCCAUAUCACUAGGCAAUUGAUCAAGUUUAGACUGAUUAAACACAUCAGAGACUAAACCAACACCAGUAAUAGACUGAAGAACUUUGUUAUUCACAGCAACUAUACAGUGGCGAAGGGUACUUUAAGUAGAGGGGAACUUGUUCUAGGUUUUUUCCUGGAAUUGUGAGGGAAUCUGAUCCUGUGUUUGUGCAUAUGAUUCAAUUACUUAUAGGUGAUACUGUUGUGUCACCACAAAAUCUAAUUGGGAAGCUUCAGCUGUCAAUUUUUUUUCCUUGUGGAACAUGAAAAUUGAUGCAUGUUCCAAUGCAUUGCUCUGUCAGAAUUGGAAUUAAACUUAGUUUGUACUCUCCUAUUCCGAAAGCAAAACUUGUAAGUGAUAUUAUAAGAAGAAGAAAUUAAGAACCAUAACAAAUUUGAUGAUUCUAAUUUGCUAGAAAUAUUGCAAUCCAAAACUAAGAAAGUUAAAACCAAUUAUUAGAAGAAAAAAGUAGGACGGAAGCUCCCAGAAUAUUGUUAUGUGUUGUAUGUUUUCAGUUUGUAUUUCUCAAUCAAUAAGGAAAAGUAAGUACACAUGUUACAAAAAUUUAAUAAAAAAGAUUGGAGGUGACAAAACCGUCAAUCUUCUAAUUAACUUUCUCUCCUUUCGAAUUUCCUGAGUUUGGUAGAGACUGCUUAAGUGGUGUAUCUAUUAUAAACAGGCAAAACUAUGUUGCAACAGUGGUAUGGUACCACUGUUGCAACCAGCCAUUGAAUCGAUAGUUGUAUAGUUAUAUUAGAAAGAUCCAAUGACCGAAAGCAACAGUGAUAUCGUAUCACUGUUGCAACAUAGCUGGACCCAUUAUAAACACAUGAAGUCAAAGUUAAUGUUUUAAUUGUUAAGAAAAGUUAGAAGAAGAAAUUUUUGUAUAAGAGAAUUGUGUUUAAAUUUAGAAUUCUUUGGGAGGAAAUGAGUCUAAAUUCCAAUAAUAUAAUUCAGCACUAUUUAUAUAUAUCAUUAGUUGGGUGAAAAAUUAAUUUCCCUCCUUUGAUGUGAUUUUCAUCAUUAAUUGUUCAUAUGAUGGUAAUUUUUUGUUUAGAGUGAAGUUAUUGGCACCCUUUCAUUAUCCUUAUAAAAUCCUACUUCAAAUAAAAUUACACUUAAAAGACAAUAGAAUUAAAUAACAUAGUUUUUUUUUCAAACAAAUUAUUCACAUUCAUAAUUUUUUUUCUUCUAAUUUUCUACAGGUUGCUUUGUAUCUAACUAAAAUAAAUUGUACAAAUUUAGAAUAAUUUAUUUUUCUUUUUAAAUUUCUUAUUGAUUAAAUAUUUGUGUACUUAAGAUAGCUUUAAAAUUAUAAGAUAAAAUAUAUAUAAUUUAAGCCAAUGAUUAACAUUCAAAAAUUUAUCUCUCAUAAAAGUUUUUAAUUUGUGCGUAGGGUAAUAAUAAAAUUGCAAAAGAAAUGAAAAAUAGCAUAGCACUAUUUUGAGUUUAAACAAUAAAAAAUUAAAUGAAAAAUUAGAAGUGUAUUUAAAAAAAGGAUAUUUUUGAAAAAUAAAAUAAAUAUAAUUUUAAAAAAAGAGUUUCAUGUGGGGUGCAACAGUUCAACUCUUUUGUUUGUAAGUUUUAAGAUGUUGGUAUCCUUAGCUUAGCUUUUCCCUAAUUAUUAUAUUAAAAUGUAACAACAAUGAUGAUCAACCCUAAUUUCAUGGAGGUCAAAGAUUUUGGUCAUGCCGCAUUAAUUAGUUCGGUCAUACUUUCUACAAAUUUAUUUACAUUUAAUAAUUUGACCAAGACUAGGUAAGGUGCCGCCUGGAGUCAUAGAAUUUUAUAUGUCAAAAGUGCGUUUCACUUCAAUUAAGCCAUAAAUGUCGUUUAAUAUGCUCAUUUUGUAUAUUUUUUUAAAAAAGUUUUAUUAAUUUUUUUGUUUUUAAAAAUAUCAAUUAUUUUUUUAUUUUUUAAAAUUUUUUUAAAGGUAAAGAAGUGGGUAAAAUCUAAAUUCAAAUUUUAUCCCUUAUGUCCUGGUCCUAAGAUUUGAACUCAUGUGAAUAGCCAAAUGUAUAAUAACAGGUAUUUCAAUUUUCAUUUUAAAUGAUAUGCUAUUCAUUAAGUGAUUGUUAAUUUUUUAUAAGAUUAAAAUGAAUUAAUUGUAUUAUCUCACUAAUUAAUUGAUGAAUGUCAUAUUAUUUGGGAUAACUUUUGAAUAAAAAAAUUGUGAUGGAUGAAAUAUUCUUUUGAGAAUUUAUUGACUUAUAUCAUUUAUGACUUAUGGUUGCAUUUAAGUGAUAUUGCAAAUAAUUUUUCCGAUAAUAUUAUUGUUUUGAUGAGUAAGUUUGGAGUAAGGAAAAUUCUAUGAUGCCGUAAUUAAAAAUAAGGCAUUAAUGCCGUAAUUAUUAUGAACCAUUAGAUUAAAUCAACGGUUUACAAUAAUUAUAAAAUAAUAAAAUUUUUUAAUUUAAUUACAUCUAACCGGUUAUAAUCCGGUUAAGUACUUUUUAAAAAUAAAAAUUUACCGGUAUAACUUUAAAGGAAAAAAAGAAGAUUUACGUUUUAAAGAAAUAAAAAAAAUAUAAAGGGAAAAUUCGUUCAUAUUGAAAUCCCUAAUUAACGAAUUCCAAAAGAAACCCACUGCCGCGUUAACUUCCGUUCAAGUGCACCGGCGAUACGUCUGCAGAUUGCAGCCAUUGAGCUGAUUUUUUGUCUUGUUCGAAUUGCUGAGUCUUUGCCGUCGCUGCCUCUAUCUUGGUUUGGCCGUCAUCCCUGUGCAAGGUAAGUUUAAUCCUCUGUCUCGCUCGAAUUGCUAAGCAAUUUCGUUUUCUUUCAUGGUCAUAAUUUGUUCACGGAAUUGACUCUAAGAAUUAAGAAGUCGCUGCAAAGUGUUUGGGUUUGCAUAGUUUUCUUUCAUGGUCAUAAUUUUUGCAUUUGUUCACAGAAUUAAGUUCCUGUGCAAAGUGUUUGGGUUUGCUGGCUAACGCGAUUUUGUUUUCCUCCAAUACUCUUUUCCUGCCAAUCAUUGCUUUGGAAGUUGCUUGAAGCAAAAACAGAGGUGAAAAAGAAGCAAAAAAGAAAUAUGGAUAAAUUAAAUUAAGAAAUAUAGAGCAUGCACUAGACUUUGAUAUGAUUUUUUCUUGUUAUUACAAGUAAUAUGGAUAAAUUAGAUUAAUUGAUUUAUUUUGCUGGUAAUAUGGUUGUUUGAAUACACAUUAAUUGUGAAAUAAAACAAAAAAUAUGUAAACCACACAUAAAACUAGUAAAUUAAUGAAAAAAUGAUCAAUUAAUGUUGAAAUUGUAAUUUGUACGAAGAACUUGUAAACAAAACAAAAACUUAUAAAAAUGACAUAGAACUAGUAAAUUGACAUUAAUUGUGAAAUAAAACAAAAAAUGUGUAAAUCACACAUAAAACUAGUAAAUUGAUGGGAAAAUGAGUAAAUUAAUGUUGGAGUUGUAAUUUGUACGAAGAACUUGUAAACAAAACAAAAACUUAGAAAAAUGACAUAGAACUAGUAAAUUCACAUUAAUUGUGAAAUGAAACACAAAAUGUGUAAAUCACACAUAAAACUAGUAAAUUGAUGAAAAAAUGAGUAAAUUAAUGUUGGAGUUGUAAAUUGCAAGAAGAACUUGUAAAUUGACAUUAAGUGUGAAAUAAAACAAAAAAUUUGUAAACCACACAUAAAACUAGUAAAUUAAUCGAAAAAUAGGUAAAUUAAUGUUAGAGUUGUAAAUUGUAAGAAGAACUUGUAAACAAAACAAAAACUUGUAAAUGUUGCAUAAAACUUGUAAAUCAACAUUAACUUGUAAAAGUUUCAUAAAACUUGUAAAUCACACAUAAAAUUGGUAAAUAUAACCUGGAACUUGAACAAAAAAGAGUAAUUACCUGCUACUUAGGUAACAAGUUACCUAUUUAUUUAGAAUUAAUGGUAGAGAUUUUUUAUUCAAAUCUAACGAUUCACGUCCAUUACAGCAUCAAUGUCGUAAAUUUAGUUAUAGAAUGACCCUUGGAGUAAAUAAUACAUAUGGCAAGUGUGAGGUUUGUUAUUGCAUUUAUUUUGUGGAUCUCUUUUAAAGCCAAAAAAAGACAUUUCAAUUCAUUAUGAUUCCAAAUAAUUUCAAGGCAUAUGUCAUUAUUGGGAUAAAAAUAAAGUAAAAUGGUUAAAACUAUUUUUAUUAAUUUAUAAAAAUUAAUGAAGCAACUACAAAAAUUUUUAAACGAAAAACAAUUGAAAUGUGUGUGGAAAAAGAAGAAAAAAAAUAAGGCAUUUAAAUAUCUUCUUAAAAAAUACGAUUGAGUAAAAUCAUUUUAACAGAAUGCUCUUCCAAAUACAAUUCCACAAUAAUCAUUUUAACAAAAUGCUUUUCCAAAGAGAAACACACACACACACAAAGAGAUUAGUGGGGAGAUAUAUGAGUGUGUAAUUUGUAUAUAUAUCCCCAUUAAUUGUUGAUAGUCCAAUGGGUAUAUGCAAAAGGAAAAACUUGGCUGUCCUUUAAGACAAAAUUGACUGUCACGUGAAAAUGUUAGCACACUUGCCACGCAACGAAAAUAAAGAUUCCAAGAACAACUUUAUGGUCCCCUUUCUGUCCAAACAUAUGCGAUGGAAAUUAGUGUAAACGACACUUGAAAUAUAUAUGUAGAUCCUCACACAAUUGAUUAAAUAUUUAUAGUAGGGUGGAGUGAUAAAUAGUUUCACAAAAUUAUUGGAAUUAACUAUUUAAUACAUGAGAUCUAUCCCAUUAAGUAUAAAAGAUUGAGUGCUGCUUCAAAGGCAUGACGUUGAUGGCAACAAAUUUAACACAAAAAUUUAAUUAACUAUCCUAGUUGAGAUAUUAAAAUCUCGUGUUGAAAACAAAAGGUUUGAGGUUCGAACCUUCUGAUUCAAGAAAAUCAAGUCAAAAUAUUACAUCUUCCAGCACAUAUCAAAGAUUUUUGCAAAGGCAGACUGAUAAUUCAGGGUAAAACAAAAAAAAAAAAAAAACAAAAGGACUAUAUGCUAUUCAAGACAGGUAUACCUUGGAUAUGAAGUCUGAAUCCAAAACAAGAAGCACCUAGCUGAUCUUUCACUUUCAAUUUCCAAAACCCAACAAAAUCUUUGUCAAAAUAUAUGAUCUAGUCCCAUAUUAAGCACAUUCAUAGCCGUAUCAACAUGUUCAAAAUAUUUUCCCCAAAAUGAGAUAAAGAUUCCACUGAAGUUGAGUUGUGAAUGUCCCAACAUUCUGUAAUUAUAUGGUUCAGGAUACCAUGCCUAUGAAUCUUUUUUUUUUUUUUCAUGUUUCGAAGUCUAUCAAAUGAAAAUGUAAUUAUAUGGUUCAGGAUAUCAAUAUGCCGGAGCUGCAAAGGUUGACUUCUACUAUCCUAUCAAUGUCUAUACUUUCUAUUGAAUUUCCUUGUUUUUUUUUAAAUUGCGAGAUUUAUUUUUGGAAAUCUUUGACAAAUUUUAUGUAAGAUACCAUAAAGCCAAAUACAACCUUUUUUAUUCUCAGCAGCAACUUUUUUUUUUCCUUUUAAAAAAAGGAAGCCAUAUAAAUAAUGCUUAAAACAUUAUUUGCAACAAGGAACAAUUAUUUCAUGCUUUCAUGUAUUAGAAACUUUCCAAAAAUGCUAGCAAGAAAAUGAAAUGGAACUUUACCUAUUGAUGCGAGAUUCUGAUUUGCUGAUCGUCCACGACAAGGAUCUCUCCUCAACUAACUCGUCCACGAUCAGGAUAUCUCCUUGUAAUCCUUCUUCUCCGCAAGCUCCUGCGUACACAGAUACAGGUCAGAGCACGCCGGGUAUUUUCCCGGCGUAAAUCCUCCGACGCUCAAGUCAGAAAUGUAGGCUUUGCCUUUCUGGGAAAAACAGCCACAAAUCCUAUGGCUCUUUUACGAUUUCUUAAUAGGAGCUCUCUUUUUCUCAGUUAUAAUCUCAAAAAGUCUAACCCUUUUACCUUCGUUGGCUACCUUUUUAUAGGUUCUCUCUGGAUCCCGGCCUUCCACAACCCACGUCCAUUACCUCCCCCCAACUCUCGGAAGUGGACGCUCCGUUAUCGUAGUCGUGGUUGGAUAAACUUUGUGCCUUGAUUCUCGGAUAGGCGUGCACGCACGUCUUGCCAACCGUCGUUGACCGGGUCUCCUCACCUCAACCUCUAGCAGGAAUAGUUUUAUGCUCCUGGUAGGAGGUCAGCUCCCGUUGUGGCCCCGUGGAUGGUACACUCGUGAAUGAGCAGGAACAAUCCUGCUCGUAUUCACCUGCUACCAGACUUCUGCGGAAUAUAUCUAUUCGCGAGAUCCUGCUACCAGGUAUUUGCUCAUCAUGGCCGGUCUUGUCGAGGUAUAUCCCCUAAACAUUACCUAGUCACAGAAUAUGUACUGCUGUUAGCCCAAUUGUUAUGAAGUGGCUUCUGCAUCAGAAGAUUCCCGCUCCUACAAAGCAUUGUUAUCUCUCUUCUGAAUACAAUCUACAUCGCUGGGCAUGAGUUAUAUCAUUAAUGUCUACAUCCUCACUUACAUCAUCCCAAUCAAGUGCUUUUUCUCUACAUCUGGAUUAUAAGCCCACUCCAAUCUCUUCAAAACAUCCCAGUCCUUCCAUCACAACUGAUACGACUUCCUUCCUUACUUCCCCAUUAAUAAAUCGCUCUGAGAAAAAAAAAGCAUUAGCAAUUCUCUUCAACGCCCCAUCAUUCAUAUCCCCUACAACAACCAUCUUCAGACACCUCAACGUUGCCUCUUGAAAGACCUCCACAAAAUCCGAAUCAUCCGACACAAUCAUCAAACACCGUAACCAUCUUUUGUCCACCAUAUCCACCAUAUAAUUCCUCAACAAAACAUUGGCAUCUUGUGGCUUAUCUAACACCAUCCUGACCCAAAACCAUGCUCUUUUUAACUCAUCUGCAAAACCAUAACCCACUUUUGGAGUCAAAAUUGCACUUGCAGCCAUUUUAUAUUUUGCCAUCUUUAUUGAAUAGUUGCCAACCAAAAGCACUCUCACCUUCCCUCUAGCUGAUUCUAUUUGAUUCGACGUUUUCUUUUAUUCGCCCUCAUGAAUUUGCUUAGAAUGAUUAACAAGCUUGUCAUUAUUAUAAAAUCUCCUUCCAUAAUCACCAAUACAUACGGCUUAGCAGGCCUAAUUACACCAUUGAUUUCUAAUUGGUUAAACAAUUCUCUUUCUUUCUUUGCUCUCUUACAACUUGAGGCAUAUAACUAAACCCGUGGCUAUUAGCAUUUGCCACCAUGUAUUUAACAAUCCCGAAUGAAGAUAUUGAUUUUUUUCAGUUUAAUUGCUGCUUCAAAACGGGGUACUGAAUUUGGAUUUUGUUAUCCAAAUACCAAAAAUUUCCCACAUUGUGUUGGACAAUUUUUGGUUCUAAAGUUGAUGACUGGUUUUGCGAAUCAAGCUUCAAAUGAGAACUUCUAAACAAUAAGACAAAUGGGUUUUUGAGUUUCUAAUCUUGUAAACUUUGUUCUAUUGUAUAAGUUGUGAAAUCGCUUAAACAUCACUACAGCUAGAGGUCUUUAUGUCACUACUAGAAAAAUGGGCUUUAUUGACACCAAUUUAGUGUCAGUAAUUACUUUUGCUGACACUUGUUAAUUGUGUCAGUAAUGCUCAAGCCAGAACACACUGACACUAAUCUUUGGUGUCAGUGAUUUUUGCGUCAGUAUUUUGUGUCACUAUAGUAUCACCACCAUAGUGAUACUAUGAUGUUAGUAUCAGUUGAUACUAUUUUUAUGUCAGUAUUUUGUGUCACUAGAGAGUCACAAGGAUAGUGACUCAAUCGCGUUAGCAUUUAAUGAUACUAUUUACAUGUCACUGAUUUAUGUGACUACAGUAUUAGGAAUCCACUGACUCAGUAACAUCAAAAAUUCUUAUCGUCAUUUAAAUAAUUAGUGUCAGUAUUAACGGUGCUAUACCGGUUGUGUUUUAUUUUUUUUAAUGACAUUAUUCAUGUUUAUUUUACAAUUAAAAUAAACCCAAAAUAUAUUAAACAUACCAAAUCUUGUAAUGCAAUUCACAUAAUACACAUUUCAAAUACAUCAGUUAAAUUAAAAUAGUUCAAAUACAUCAUUGUUUGGGGGUAAAAACAUGUUCAAGUACAAAAUUAAGCUUUGAACAAGUAGUAUACACGAUAAAGUACUAAAUUAAUUUCGGAAAAUUUAGCCAAGAAGAAAAAACAAAUAACAAUGUCACUGAUUUUGGAGUCACUGAUUUUGGAGUCCGCAUAUGCCUUCAUUUUUUUUCCACCUACAAGUAUAUAAAAUCAAUUAGCACACCACAAAAAAUAAAUCACAGAUUUGUUUUAAGGAAAAAUAAUCAUAAAUUACUUGUAUGUUACCUCGCGAUUGUAGGCUGUAAUUAACUUGGCAACGUAUGUAGCCCACUGAUCACGAAGUCGCGAGAGGUCCUUGACAGUGUAUUCCUCAACUCCCUUGAACUUUAAUUUUAAAACAACAAGUUAUUCACCGAAAAUCCUUGACUAAACUACUUAAUUAUCAUUCAUUUAAAUACAUUUGUGUGUUAACAAUUAAAGCCAACAAAUAAACUCCAACAAUGUUACUGUUUUAUCCAAAAUUAUAUAGGUAAAUACUGAACAUCCUGAUCAUGGUAAUUCCAAAAAAAAAAAACUUGUGAACCCCAACAACAACAAUAUUUGAUAGCCGAAGCAACUUGUGAACCCCAACAGUACGCGAUUUAAUACAAAUAUGGAUGUACAUACAAAACCUUAAUUAGGAUGACAACUUAUCCUCAUCAAAGUAAAGUACAAGCAAUGACACCAUAGCACAUCCCCACUAACAACUACUUUGCAACCCAAACAAUUGUUUUGUGUUGGGAUAUGCAGUACAUUGUGUAUAUCCCAAAUCCUAAUUCAUGUCUAUAUGGAUAUUCAUAUAAUCUAUUCAACAGUAUGCAACAUAGUCACCAUUAUAAGUACCCUCACAGUUUAUAAAAUGCAUACAAUACGCAAUAAAAAGAUAACUGUAAAGAAGCACACAAGUGUUUGAGCUGAUUCAUUUCACAAUAAAUUAAAACAAUAUGAUACAGUAUUGUAAAAAUCAUUUUCAAUACUUACAUUAUUUUUCAGAACGUUCACAUUUGUGAUGAUAUCUUGCAUGUAUUUCAUCACAUAGUAACCACAUUCAAAGCUGCUCGGCUGCCUCGGACACUACAAGAUCAAAAUUACAUUAAUUUUUUACUGUACGUUAACAAUAAUUAGUUAGGUUUGUCUGAUUUUUACCUUGACAGGUAUCCAUUGAACAUUGGCCUUUGUAUCAGAAUUUAAACUCUGAUGUAUUCGAAUCCCCCUACAAUUAAGAGACAUAGCUAACGUUAGCAAAUAAUUAGCAUAAGACAUAAAAAUAAAAUAGCAUGAUCAAAGAUACAAAUAACAAACUUAACUGAUUGACAAUCUGCAUUAGCUCUUCAUCAGGACUACCUUCCAAAGGAUCAAGGUAAUAGGUUGUACGUCUCACCAUAUCAAUUGCCAAUAACACCCAGUGGGCACUAAACAAAGUAAAAAUUGUUCUCACACAUGAAUUACAAGUAAAAGUGAUUAAUCUACAAAUUAAAGAAUAUUACUAGCAAAUGAAAAAGGUUAUACCCAGGGUUAUACGGGAAUACGAUGACUUGUCCCAAUUCUGCCAAGCCUAACAGUUUUGAAAUGUAUUGAGUCCUGUCUUUGAAACUGACCCUUGGAUAUAGCUUCUCAAAAAGCCCAAACUGAACUGGUUUAGUACUUCCAUUGCUCUCCAUCUCCUCAUACAGGUGUCUAAGAGGAAACAAAUAUAUAUAACGAAGUAAGUUUGAAUAUAGGAAACAAAAUAAUAGGGCCAAGUUUACUAAAACAUAAGUUAUGAUUUACCGUACUUGAUCCAUAUGUUAAUGAUGCAGUUUGAGACCUCUUUAAACUCGAUGAUUUCAGCACAAAUCAUUUUGUCCAAGUGUGUUUCCCAAAUUUCACCAAAGGUUGCUGUGUCAUGCCGAAUCCUGAUCAACCGAGGUAAAGAAUUCUCGAUGAACAUGGUAAACAUGUUCAUAUAUUCACUCCUGUCAUUCUUUCUUGAUCGUGCUGCUGCCCGUGUAUUCUUCACACGUACAUUGAGGUCUUUUGCUGCUGGUCUGAUGACUCGGGGUUCUUUUUUGGCUAUUUCUGCUGGUCUGAUGACUCUGGGUUCUUUUUUGGCUACUUCUGCUGGUAUGAUGACUCUGGGUUCUUUUUUGGCUACUUCUGCUGGUCUGAUGACUGGUGGUUCUUUGUUGGGUACUUUGUCAUGACAGGAGAACUGCCUAUCUAGUACUUUAGGAGUUAGUCGAGGAGAUCUUCUCGGUGUGGGCUUUGAAGUAAUUUCACAAUCUACUUUUUCGGGGGUUUGUUGAGGAGUUGCUUGGGAAAUUGUGGUGGGACUGUCCUUGAUUUUACUCUUCACAGAUUUUGGAGUCGACUUACCCAAUGGGAAAUCAGCCUUUGCAAUAAUCAAAAUACAUACCAUUAGUAGUAAUACAUGCAUAUACAAAUGGAAAUAAAAUAAUGACAUGUAACAGGCCAUAUACCUUUCUUUUUCCAAGAGUUUCAGGGGAUUGUUGAUCAUUGUCAAUCUGAACACCAGUGGAAGUUUUGGGCUUAGGAAAGUUAGAACUUCCAACUUCAGUAUUGCUGUACGCAUUUAACCUUGCAUUCAUGCGUUCUAAUUGAGCAGACAUGAAUUGGAAACUCUCUUGAUACAUCUUUCUUUCUCUUGCUAACUCAGUGGCAUCAGGGACAUGAAAGUACAUAGAUGGGGUGACGAAUUGCCCCACUCCUUGCACCCUACUUCCAUUUGGCUGCUUCUGAAGAGCUUCACCUAGAAUGUCAUGUGACCCUUGUGAUUGGAAUGUUCCUUGUUCAACAUGACUCUUCAGUUCAUUCUACAAAAAAAAAUAUUGUAAAUCCGCAAUUACGAGUACAAGACAUCAGCUAAACUAAACUAAUAUCCUUCUUGAAUCUUUAACAAAGAGCAAAUCCAUAUACAGUUCAAAUUGAAACUACAGAAAAUAUUACAAGACAACACCUCAAACAAGUUUUAACCUUUUAAUAUGCGAAGAAAUAAGUUCUGAUGAAAUCUUACUGAGUUUCUGUCAAUUGUAAAUGUUGCCAUACAAUUAUUACAAAAAGCAGUAUAUAUGUACGUUAAUAUCUACCCCCACACACACAUAUUAUAAAGAAAAUUCAUAAGAAUUAAGUAUACAAGUGGCUUACUAUUUUCUCAGCAAUUGGCGUCACAUCAGAAGCAUAUUUGCCAUCUCGGUCUGCUCGUGCCAUUAACCAAGCUUCACUGCGAUCAAUCUCCCGCUCAGAAACUCCACUCUCCUUUUUCUGUUACAAGGUGACAUAAAACAUAAAUAAUUGAUUCUAUGAUAUUAUACGCAUUAGAUUACUUAUGUUACUGUAAUUACUCCAUAUUACCACACUUACUUUUCUAUACAACAUGCCACCAUAUCCUGUGCUACCCAAGCGAUGGUUGUAGACAUUCUUUGCUCUUUUGUCUUUUGCCUUCUUACUUUUUUCCUGCACAAACAGUUUAUAUGAAGAAUAAAAAGUUACCACUGAUUAUUAGUAACUACCAACAAUUACAUCAGGUAAUAUUAACAAACAACACACCUGAAAUUGUUCAGACAAAACUUUGUCAACAAAAAGUUUCCAAUCUUCUUUUUUAAUGCUUGGAUAUUCAAUAGGAGGCAACCUUAGUGACUUUCGAUCGUCCUUGUUAGGUAGAACGAAUUCAGUUGCCAGUUCACAACGAAAGUUUCUUGAUGCAACCCCCAUCCACUUUAAUACUUGGCUUUUGCAUUUCAAGCUCAAUUUGAAUUUUUUCUGUCAACCAAUAACAUGGAUUAGCAACAACUUUAAAAAAAUCUGGAAGUUAUAUAAAAUCUUUAAACAUACUAUGAAACAAGAAAACAAAACCUGAAAAUGAACCCACAAAGUUUCCUUCAUCUCCAGUGGCACACGCCUCCAAUCAUCAAGUAAAAUUGAAAUUGUUUCACGUACAAUGACUCCAAUGUAACUCCUAAGAUCAUUUCUUCCCUUUCCAACCGGAACACCAUAAGAAUUGUACUCAAUUGCAGCUUCAUGACUAACUUCUUGUUUUUGCAAACCUUUUUUUUUUGUUUGUUUUCUUCUCCUUGGUCUUCCGUCGAGCUCCGGAAGAGUGAACUCAACAUCGUCAGCCAUCUCCUACAAUCCUGAAAAUGAUUAAAAUAAAUAAGUAUAUCAUUUAGAUUAAUAAGUUAAUACAAGAGCAAUAGCAUAUAAUGAAAUAAAUAAAUCACUUACUGGAAAACUUUGAAAAUUGGUGCUGGAAACUAACUACAAUAAUGCAUUCACUGAUUUUCUAAAUCAAUAUCUAUUGGAAUAGCAUCACAAUCUUUUCUGUCAUAAAUUCCUUCAUCAUCUUUCUCAUCCAACUCACAUACUGGAAGUUUGUUAGAUAAUGGAGAAAAUACAUCCACGUCUUCACAUCUUUCCCCAUUUAACUUAUAAGCUUUGUCGGUCACUGAACAAACUAUUGAUUUAUUAUUCUCUAGCUGGUCCUUUACAUAAAAUACUUGCUUUGCAUGACAAGCCAGAAUAAAGCAAUCAGAUUUAUAGCCAAUCCGAUUUAAAUCAACUACAGUGAAACCUAAAUUGUCAGUGCAAACCCCUCUAUCAUCUACCCAAUCACACUUGAAAAGUGUUUUUUUAACCAUUAGAUAAUCAAGCUGCCAAAUCUCAUCAAUGACUCCAUAAAACGUCAUGUCUCCAAAAUGAGGACUUUUAUCUUUUGAGCUUGAAAUCUGUAGAGUGUUAGCAACAACCCUAACACCACUAUUUUGGGUCACACGAUUACAGUCUCGGUCCCUCGUUGUAAAAUUGAAGCCAUUUAUCUCGUAGCCAGAGAAGGUUACCACGCUUGAGCGUGGUUUGUUUGCUAACCAGCACACUAUUUCGUCAAUCGGCACAUUAUUUGCUUUAUCAUGUGCCACCUAUAAAUUAAUUUAACAAGUACAGUAAUUAGUAACAUGUAGAAAAAUCUUGUUAAGUUUAUAUCCUAUAUUGUAUUUAGUUACGUAAUUCUAACCUUUGCUUGUAACCAACCAGAAAAUGUUCGUAUGUGUUCAUUUUGCAACCACAGAUUUGUUUUUGCCUUAUAAGGGUUUCUUGAUGCCAAAUAAUGCAUAUGCUCCCUACAGUGAAACAUAUUAAGAUUUAAAAACUAGUAUAUUAAUCUAAUAAUACAAUAGUAAUAUUUUUUUGAAAAAUUAACAACUUACUCGAUAUAUAUUUGGAUUUCAGGGGUGUUCAUUAGAACACACCGGUGUGCUUGUGCCAACAAAGGAUCAUCAACCACCUUUAUGUUUGCACCUCCCAAAGGCUUUUCGAUAGAUAAAUCAGUUGGACAACCAGUAGGCAGCCCAAUAACAUCACAAUUUGAGAGGUACUCAGCACAAAAUGCAAGUGCUUCUUCUGCAAUAUAACUUUCUACAAUACAACCCUCAGGGCGGUAGCGAUUACGAACAUAAUCCUUGAGAGUUUUCAUUUGUCUCUCAAAAGGAUACAUCCAUCGAAGAUAAACAGGCCCACAUAACCUAACUUGUUCAACUAAGUGGACUGUUAAAUGGAUCAUUAUGUCAAAAAAGCUAGGUGGGAAGUACUGCUGCAGUAAGCAUAAAGUGAUUACAAGUUCCUCUUGCAAUUGGUCAAGAGUAUUAGGAUCUACCACUUUACAGCACAAUGUAUUAAAAAAGAAGCACAUCCUGAUUAUGGCCGUUCUCACAUUUAUAGGCAAACAGUUUCGAAUGGCUAGUGGUAGAAAUUGUUGCAUCAAAGUAUGACAGUCAUGGGACUUAAGGCCUUGAAGCCGACAAUCAUCUAUUGAAACAAGGUUUUGGACAUUGGAAGAAUACCCAUCAGGGACUUUCACACUCAGCAAGGUUUCACAAAACUGUUUUUUUUCUUUUUUACUCGAAGUAUAAGGAGCUGGAGGUAGGACUUUGUUUUUUUUGUUUGUUUCAUCAGGAACUAGUUUUCCCCUGAUCUUCAAAGACUCAAGAUCUUUUCUAGCAUUAAUCCCAUCUUUUGUUUUGCCUGGUUGAUGAAGUAAUGUGCCAUAUAUGUUUUCGCACACAUUUUUUUCAAUGUGCAUGACAUCUAAUUGAUGGCGAACUAAUAAAUGCUUCCAAUAAUCUAACUAAAAAAAGAUUGACUUUUUUUUGUACAAUUUUUCAGUUAUGUUCUCAUCACCACCACCACCACCACCGCCAUCAUGUUUCCGCUUUUUGGCCUUCUUUUUCCCGAACUUAAUAUCUAUAUCUUCCACCAUAUUAAAGAUUUCCUCACCAGACAAAGUUUUAGGAGGCUCAUUCCACUCUUGCUUCCCAUUAAAAACCUUUUUCAGUUUCCGAAAUAAGUGACCGAGUGGUAGAAAGCGGCGAUGGCCCAUAUAUGACAUUUUCCUACUAUGUGGCAGCCAACAUGCACAAGUGUCUAUCCCACAAAUUGGGCAAGCAUAAUAGCCCUUAACAGUACAACCAGAGAGGUUUCCGUAUGCUGGAAAGUCACUAAUUGUCCACAUCAAGACAGCCCGUAAAUUAAAGGUUUCUUUUCUAUAAGAAUCAUAAACAUCAAUACCUACAUCCCAUAGAGUUUUUAAGUCCUCAAUCAAAGGUGCUAGGUAUACAUCUAGAUCAUUUCCAGGUUGUUUAGGGCCAGAUAUCAAAAGUGACAACAUCAAAAACUUUCUCUUCAUACACAACCAUGGAGGAAGAUUAUAUGUUAUUAAUAUAACAGGCCAACAACUAUAAGUAGUGCUAAGUGUACUAUGUGGGUUAACCCCAUCAGUUGAGAGAGCUAAACGGAGAUUUCUAGGUUCUUGUGCAAAUUUUGGCCACUUAUUGUCAAUUAGUUGCCAGGCUGGUGAGUCUGCUGGGUGGCGAAGUUUGCCAUCUCUAAUUCUUUUAUUAGCAUGCCAUGUUAAAUUUUGAGCUGUUUGUGGUGAUUGAAACAAUCUUUUCAACCUAGGAAUAGGUGGAAAAUACCAUAAUACCUUUUUUGGAACCCCUUUCCUAAAUUUUGUUGAGCUAUCUUUUUUUUUUUAUACCUAGAUGCUCCACAAUUUGGGCAUUCAGCAAGAUCAGCAAAUUCAUUCCUAUACAAAAUGCAGUCAUUUGGACAUGCAUGUAUUUUUUCAUACUCUAAGCCUAACACUUUCAUUGUUUUCUUAACCUCGUACAUUGACAUAGGUAGAGUAUUAUUAUUUGGCAAAAUAUCAGCAAGGACUUCUAACAAAGCAGAAAACCCUGUAUCGGACCACCCAUAGUUCCCUUUCACAUUGUAAAGUCUCAUUAAACUAGAUAACUUUGAAUGUUUUGCACCCGGGUACAAAGGCUUUUCAGCAUCUUCAAGCAUAUCCUUAAAAGAACUAGGAUCUCUAUCACAAUGCUCGUAAGCAUCUUCGACCAUGUCAAUUAUAUUACUGUAAUCAUGACAUCUAAAUCUUUGACUAUGUGAAUGGUCUUCACAGUUUGUAAAUGUAGAUUUAGAGUCAGUCUCACCAUGCCAAGUCCAAACAAUAUAUCUUGGGAGAAAACCUUUUUCAAAUAAAUGAUCCUUCACUUGUUGAGGAGUAUGAAACUCCAUGUUACAACAAAAGGUGCAAGGACAUCUAAUUGACAUUCGAUUUUCAGCAUUCAAAAUGGCAAAAUCUAAGAAAUCAGCAACUCCAGAACGAUACUCUACAGACAAUCUAUCACAAGUUAUCCAACUUCUGUCCAUUUCAAAUAUUUUACCUGUUCACAUAUGUAAUGUUAGUUUAAGUUUAAUUAAAUUGCAUGAUUAAUUUAAAGUUCAAUGUUAUUAUGAUUAUAGUUGUAAUAAUAAACUUAUAAUUCUGAAAAAUCAUUAAUAGCCCUAUAAAUCAUUAAUUAUAAUAAUAAUUUAGACAAAAUCCUGAAAUUGAAACAAAAUAAGUUUUGAAACUUAAAUAGGAGAUUAAUAGGUAAGAUGGGUGCUAAUGGCUUUUUAAGUAGUCGAACUAAUUCAUAAGUCAAGUAACUAACAAAAGUUAAGAGUUCAAAUAAAUAAUGUCUUCAUACCACUUUGCAAGCCAUUUUUUAAGAUUCUAUAAAUCAUUUUUUAACUUCAAAUACAACAUGCAGAACUACUUUAAAACAAGCAUUUCUUUAUUGAAUCAAACACAAAUCAUCAACUUUAUACAAUCUCACAAUACUCACAACCACGAACUUAAUUAAUUCAUAUCAUAGUCAUUGUCUCUAUUACAAAUCGUCCAACCAAAACAGAAUAAAUAAACAAGUAGGAUUAUAUAACAAAAUUUGCCUCUCUUUACAUGAAACAGAGAUGUAAAUAGUUUGUAACCACUAAAUACACAGUCAUUCAGCCAAUAUAACACCCAAACAAUCAUCUCCUAAUCACAAAGGCAAAAGCUAAAAUCAAAUUUCAUAUUUUAGUACAUUCAAAAUCAACUAACUUAUUGCUCAAAGUUAAGAAACGGAGCUAACAGUUUAUUUCAGAAACUAAAAAAAAUGCACAUUCUUAGUUUUAAAUAACAAUGACAGUAAAUCACAUGCACAAAAGUUUGAAACUGACCUCAAAUGUGGCAGAAAAAACAGAGUCGCAGCAGCAAGUGUUUUGAGUUUAAGUAAUGCACCACUUAAAAUGCCUGUAUUUUUGGACUGCAUGUGAGUGAAGAUAUAGAAAAAUAAGAACAAAAAUUUCAAGUUACGAAUAAAUAAAUAAAAAAAAAUAUUUGGAAAACAAAACCCACCAGGGUUGCACGACUGUUCAAUUUCUGAAUAUCUGAAACAACCCAAAAAUAAAAAUUCAAAAAUAUUAUUCAUAAGCCAAAUUAAAACAAACCCAAUAAUUAAAUUGCACAAACAAAUAAAACAUUCUGCCAUUACCAGCUGAUAACCUCCUCUACAGUUCUUUCUCUGGACUUAACUUGUCAGGGAGAAUGAGAUUACCUGAAUACCGAACCGAUGGUGCCACUUCACCCCUUGUCGAUGGCUUUUACUUGCUUGCCUAGUAUAGGCACUGGAUGGUUAAGUUGGAGAAAAACCCCUUCGAUAACAAGCGAUUAGGGUUUUGGUUUGUGUUUCAAUUUGGGGAAAAUGGAAAAACGAAUCAGAGUUUUAGGUUUUCAUUAUCUAUCUAAAUUAAUUGAAUUUAAUUUGUAAAUGGAUAGUGCAAAACAGAAGAGAUCGAGAAGAGAAAAACGAAAGCGAAAGUGAACGAUGAAAGCAAGAUAGAGACAGUCGAUAUAGUCUAGAUGGGGAGAACAAGUGUGUUUUAUGUUAUUGUUAUUUAUAUUUUCAUUUUUUAAUAAUUUAAAUAUUAUUAUGACUUUGACUCAUCGAGAUUUGAUGGUCUGUGCUCCAAACAUUAAAGCUUUAAAUCUUAGAGCUCCCAGGUUCGAGUUGGAGCUAAAACAAAAUUUUUAUGAAUUUUUUUUAUCAUUGAUACUUUAGUGUUAGUGAUUUUUGAUGUUUAGUUUACUGACACCCUAGUAUCAUUAAUCUCUGAUUCCUAUUUGUCAAAAGCGGAAAAUGGUGCAUAUGUACAUAAGUACUGAUACUUUUUGCAAAGUGUCAGUAACGAAGUGUCAGUAAAGCCCAUUUUUCUAGUAGUGUCUGUCAAUGAACUGCAGAAGCUGAUGAUCUACCUGUAGUAGACUUCUAUUGCCCCUGUCGUUCUAGGAAGACAAAUAAGUUCAGGAACUACUUCUGGACCAAACUCAUAAUAUUGCCACUGCUUUGUGCCAAUCUACGAGGGAAAGCAUAUUGAAGUUCCUAAAUAAGGCACAUCACGAUUUGACUGAAGUACCAUUAUGAGGAACAAUUGAUUUUAGGAAAGCACUAAAAUAUGACAUAAUCUGCCCCUAAUGGUCUAAAGUAGUCAAGAAAUUAUAUCAACCAAGCAGAAACACAUAAACUAGUUGAGAUACAAAGUUAUUGUAAAAGUCAAUUUUGAUCACAAAUCCAUUAAAAUUAAAAGACAUCAGAAACUUAGAGAACAUUAUAAUUUAGGACUCAGCUAAGUUGCAGAUUCUGUAACUAACAGCUGAGUCCACAUUGGUCUUGCAUCAGCUAAGUUUGGGUUGCUUUCCCUCUCUCCUGCAACGCGUGGAAGCGCCCCAUUUGCUGUGUUAUAUACCGAGUCAGUACCGUAACAAGCUCCUAUAAUUUAAGUUUGAUUAAUGUAGACAAUAGUCUGCCUCUGCUCAAAAGCUAUGCUGCAAGAUAUAACAUCUUUGCAAUGUUAUACUUUCUAAAAGUAAUAAGAAAUGAAACCAAGGGGUAAAUCGAACACCAAAAGAAAUUUAGUCGGCCAACCACAUUAUGUUCCCACACAGUCCACUAAUUAAGUUAAUAAUUAAAGGAAUCAAAAUCUAAGAAAUCUAAGAAAUCGGCCAACCACAUUUUCCUUUUUCUCUCUCCGCUACAGUAGUCGCUAAUUGACCCAAUUGAUGUUCAAGCUUUAGAAUAGCUUGAGUGUUUGACUGAAAAGCUUGUUGGGUUGACUGAAUGAAACUUUGAAGUGUAUCCUCUAAAGAAGGCUUUCUUUGUUGGGGUGCAACAAAUUGAGACAUAGGUUGUUGGGCAGGAGGAUAUACUUGGUUAGGAGGGAUAAAUUGUUGAUUGGGCAUGUUAAAUUGUUGCCCUCCUUGAUUUGACAAAUGUUGAUUUUGUUUCCAAGAAAAAUUAGGGUGAUUCCUCCAAUUAGGAUUAUAUGUGGAUGAAUAUGGACUAUUGGAGGUUUUCUCAUAUGAUUGUAAGGCAUGUACCUGCUUAGAAUAAGCAUCUGGAUAGACUGGUAAUGAUGGACAAUUCUGUGCUGUAUGAGACAAGUUAGAACAAAUAGCACAAACUUCAUUAGCUACACUAGGAUGAUGAUUCAUUGAUUGGUUCAGAGCUAAGGCAUCUACUUUCCUAGAAAGUGUAGCUAGAGUGGAUUUCACAUCAAAAUCAUCCUUAACUUCAUAUAACCCCUUUCUAGAAACUUGAGAUGAUUUUUCCCUUUGAUUUGAAAAAUCCCAUUGUUGAGAGUUUUCAGAAAGUGAAUUAAAGAAAUCCCAUGCGGCCCAUUCAUGUAAGUUCAAAAAUCUCCCACCAUUCAUAGACUCUACCAUAUGACGAUUUGACAUGGUUAAACCGUUAUAAAAGCAUUGUAUAAGUCUCCAUUUUUCAAAACCAUGGUGGGGACACUUGAGGAGUAAAUCAUUGAAUCUUUCCCAACACUCGUAAAAUUGCUCACCCUCUCUUUGAUAAAAAUCACUUAUCUCUGUCCUAAGGGCAUUUGUUUUCGACAUAGGAAAAAACUUGGUGAGAAACUUAUUACUCAAUUCAUCCCAUGUACUAAUAGACCCAGCAGGAAGUGAAUUCAACCAAGCUUUUGCUUUGUCUUUUAAUGAGAAAGGGAACAUACGAAGCCUAAUUGACUCAUCAUUAAAAUUUUGAAAACGAAAUGUAGAGCAUAUGUCAAGAAAUUCCUUAAUGUGCAAAUAUGGAUCCUCUCUCUCUAACCCAUGGAAAGAUGGUAAAAGUUGAAUGACUGAGGGCUUAAGUUCAAAGUGUGUUGCUGUAGUUUGUGGCAACACAAUACAAGAUGGUUGGUUGGCUGCAAGUGGUGAAAAGUAUUCUCUGAGGGUUUUCUCUGCUUGCACUGGUGGAAGUAUUGGCAAUAGUCUAUUUGGGUCAUCCAUCACUUCUAAAGAACUAGUUUGACUACUAUCAAUUUUCGACUCUCUUUUAACCAAACGAUUUGUUGAAUCACGUUCCCAAACACUCAUAAACUAACUAGACAAGAAAAGAAAGAAAAAUAAAAUCAAAUAAACCAACAAUAAUGAGAAUAAAUGAAAUUUAAAAAUAAAAGAAAUCAAACAACCAAACAAUGAAUUUAAAGACAAAUAAAAGUUUUUUUGUGUUUUUUUUUAAUAAAAAAAAUAAAAGACAACCUAAGUUAAAACUAGUGGAAGAAUCAAAUCAACCUAGAUUAAACUGACUUUCUAGCACAAUCCCCGGCAACGGCGCCAAAAACUUGUGUUGAAAAUUUUAAUAUACUCGCAAGCGCACGAAUCUAGAAAUAGAAUAGUGGUAACGAGGUCGAUCCCACAGGGAUUGUUAUAAAUUGAAAAGUCUAAUUUAAAUAUAAAAUUAAUAUUAAUUCUAACCUAGUUGACCAAAUUGAGUUUUAAGAGAAAUUAAACUAAUUAAACUAAGGAAGCAAAAAAUAAAGGAGAAUUCAAUAAGAUAAGAAUUACCAAGGUUUUAGAAUCCACCACUAUUCAACUAGUAAUUAUCUAAUUAUUAAUUAAUCCCCAAUUUAGAGUGACAACUUGAAAUCAAUCUAUGUCAUCUCAUGGAUAUAACAAUUAAGCCCAAAUAAAAUUAAUCUUAUGUAGGUUCUUUUUCUGCUUGAUAAUAUGACAUCUAAGCAUCCCAUGUAAACAUAUUGAAUAACAAAGAAUCAAAGUUUUCCUAAGCACUCUAUGUAAACAAUUUAAUGAAAGACAUAAAAUCAAAGAUAGUCAUGUAUAAACUUUAUAAAUCCAAGCAUAGAUUUAAUCGAAUAUUAAUCCUAACAAUCAAUAAUGCAUGACAGAAUUGAUGAAAAGAUUUUAUUAACAUCCAAUUAAUCAUGUGAGAUAAAAACCAUAAUCAUCAAAGAACAUAUAUAGGGAAUUAAUUAAAUAAAAAGAGAUAAUUAUUUCAUUGAAUAGGGUUUCAUCUUUAACCUCAGUAUAAGAAAAUUAGCUAGACAUACUUGAAUUGAGAGCAACAAGAUAAAUAAAUUCAGCCAUGGGGAAGCCGAAUUGCUGCAGAUUUUCUUCUCUGUCUUGAAUCCUUGCGUCUCCAGUUCUCCCCUUCCUCUGGCGGCUCUCCCCCCUUUAUAUAAUGUUACUGGCUUGCUUAAUCCUUAUCGGAUUCUAAUUGCAUUAACUUAUCAUAAGUCACAAUCAUCCACCGACUUACAAAGCCCACUCACCAAGGCCUUUUUAAAUUAUUUCCUUAUUAAACUUUGAAAACUAGCCACACGUUUGACCACAAAAGCAAAAGACCAAUUAAUGACUUCUUCUUUUAAUGCCCAGCACAUGCACUCCAAAUUGCCAAAUCUUUGCUUUCCAAAUGCAUGCCCACCGUUCAUCUUUUGAAGGGAUUGACUUCCAAUUUUAAUCUUAUUGACUUCCAAAUUUGAACUUCCUCAUGCCCUUUUUAUCCUUAAUCUUCAAUUAAUUCCCUAUUCAACAAAAUAAUUCAAUUAAUUAAAAAUAACAAAUAAAAAUAACUAACAAUUAAAUAAUAAGAGUCAAAUAUGUAUAUAAAUUAUGCUCAUCAAAUACCCCCAAACUUAGAUUUUGCUAGUCCUCGAGCAAAACUAAAACUUAAAACAAAAGUAAAAACAAUGAAAAAAAAAAUAAAUCUUAACUAAACCACUUUCGCAGGUAAUCGCGAUUGCAUUUAGCGUAUGCAACAAGUCUUUAAACCCAUAGGCGGCCCUAGUGGACGAGUUAUAGUCUCGUGAGGGCUUCAGUGAUGUUACCCACAAACAUCAUUUUUCAAAGAAUUAAAAUAAAAAUAAAAUGAAAAGAACAACAAACUUUUAAACAAAACAUGAAGAUAGCCUCAAAGAUUGCAUAAAUUAUAUAGCUCAAAGAAAAUUUCAAAUAUUGGCAAAGUUCUAACUUUAAUUCAAUAGUCAAUCUCAUCUCUCUUUCGAUUCUUGUAGUGUGUGUGUGAAAUCAAUUCAAUCAAAUCCAUUCCCAAAACCCUCAAUAUCAACAGCCUUCGCCUCAAACAAAGAACAGAGUAGGUCAAACUAAUCUUAUCAUCUUGAUCUCCAAUUUUUUUUUUUUCACAGGCUUUUAUGUGCAUUUUCUUUUGAAUUUUUUUUUUCAGCACAUGCACUUGAUUUGAUUUUUUUUUCUUUUUUUUUUUAACCAUAGUCAGGAGCUUUCACUCUACCCCUUAAGGUAGCCUUCUUCUCAUGGUAGAUUAUCCUCUACAUACUUGUGGUACAUAGGCCCAAAUUACUCAAGGAUAGCUUCACUCUUAAGGGUUAUAGGUAGCUAUUUCUGACUCUGGCGCCUGUGUAUGCUAUUUUGUAUUGUGGAGAUAAGAAUCAAGAUAAAUAGUCAUUUACUCUAUCUAAAAUUCUCAAUUCAGGCUGUGUCAAUCUCAAAUUUCAAGUCAAAAUCAUGAAAGAACUGAUAUUAGUGCUCAUGGUUUAAAGAAUCUCAAUCAAGAGGAACUAACACAAGAAUCAAGUAUAAACUAAGACAAUAUUCAAUCCUUUCUAAAAACCAUAUUUAUUGUCAAUCAAAUUCUUAUCAUUGGCUUUUCACAUAAAAACAAAAACAACACAAAUUUUUUUUUUGAAUUUUUGAAUUUUUUUAUUUUUUUAUUAUUUUUUUAAACAAACAAAGCACACACUAUUCCCACCCCCAAACUUAUUUGGAACAUUGUCCUCAAUGUUUCACAAACAAAAGAUAUGCAUGCAAACAAAUGAAAGAGAAAUAAUAAUAAUAAUAAAAACAUAAAUAAUAAAAAGAAAGUUGAAGAUAACACACCUGGAUGGGCUGUGAAAGCUUAAAAGAAAAUGCCAAAUGAAAAGAAAACAUUAGAAAAGAAAAACAAACAAAGAAAAGAAAACCUACUGUUAAAAUAAAACAAGAGUGCAAAGAUGAACUUAAUUAAUCCUGAUAAACAGGAUCAUCUAACAGUAUCUCCUCAACUUCUGGUGUUCUUAACUCUAAAAAUGGUUUUAAUCUUUGACCAUUGACCUUAAAUAAAUCACCAUUUUUAGGAUUUUCAAUCUCAAUUGCCCCAUAAGGGAAGACAGUACGAACUAUAAAAGGACCAGACCAUCGAGAACGUAACUUACCUGGAAAGAGAUGCAAUCGGGAAUUAUAUAAAAGUACUUUCUGACCUGGUGUAAAGACUUUUCUCAAAAUGUAUUUGUCAUGAAAGACUUUCAUUCGCUGUUUAUAAAUCUUGGCAUUCUCAUAUGCAUCAUUCCUGAUCUCUUCAAGUUCUGCUAGUUGUAAUCUUCUCUUAGACCCAGCCUGCUGCAUGUCAAAAUUGAAUUUCUUGAUAGCCCAAUACGCACGAUGCUCCAACUCUACUAGCAGAUGACAUGCUUUUCCAUACACAAGUCGAUAAGGUGACAUCCCAAUUGGUGUUUUAAAAGCAGUCCUAUAUGCCCACAAUGCAUCAUCAAGUCUCAAAGACCAAUCCUUUCUAUCUGGCCUAACUGUUUUCUCUAGAAUCCGCUUGAUGUCUCUAUUAGAAAUCUCUACUUGGCCACUGGUCUGAGGAUGGUAUGGGGUGGUAACCUUAUGUGUAAUGGAAUAUUUGUCCAAAAGAGUUUUGAAAGGUUUAUUGCAAAAAUGGGUGCCACCAUCACUAAUGAUUGUUCUAGGGAAACCAAAAUGAGACAGAAUAUUACUCUUUAAGAAUUUCACUACAACCCUAUGAUCAUUGGUUUUGCAUGGAGUUGCUUCAACCCACUUCGACACAUAGUCCACUGCAACUAAUAUAUACUGAUAACCAAAAGAUGGAGGAAACGGUCCCAUGAAAUCAAUACCCCAUACAUCGAAGAUCUCAACCACAAGAAUAGGAUUGAGUGGCAUCAUGUUCCUCUUUGAAAUGUUACCCAUACGUUGGCACCUAUCACACAAAGAACAGAAAAUAUAAGCGUCAUGAAAAAGAGUAGGUCAAUAAAAACCACACUGUAAAAUUUUUGUUGCUGCCUUUUUAGCACUAAAGUGGCCUCUACAAGCUUGUUCAUGGCAAAAUGAGAUAACACUUUGAAUUUCAUUAUCGGGAACACAUCGCCUAAUAAUCUGAUCAGCACAAUAUUUAAAUAAAUAGGGAUCAUCCCAAAAGAAGUCCUUCACUUUAGUUAAGAACUUUGUUCUAUCUUGCUUAGUCCAGUGCUCUGGGAUUUGACCUGUAGCAAGGUAAUUAACUAUGUCAGCAAACCAUGGUACAACAUUUACACUCAUAAGUUGCUCAUCUGGGAAAGACUCAUUCAAAGGUAAAGAUUCUGGAAUAAAUUUAAGAUCAAGGCGAGAUAAAUGAUCUGCCAUAACAUUUUCAGAACCUUUUUUAUCUAUAAAUUCAAUGUAAAAUUCUUGUAAAAGCAACACCCAACGAAUCAAUCUUGCCUUAGCAUCUUUCUUAGUAAGCAAAUAUUUUAAAGCAGCAUGAUCAGUAAAAAUAAUCACUUUACAACCUAUAAGAUAAGAUCUGAAUUUAUCAAGUGCAAACACCACAGCUAGCAUUUCUUUUUCUGUAGUUGAAUAGUUCAAUUGUGCAUCAUUGAGUGUCAUACUAGCAUAAUAAAUCACAUAAGGCAUACGAUCUAAUCUUUGUCCUAAAACUGCUCCUACAGCAUAAUCAGAUGCAUCACACAUAAUUUCAAAAGGCAAAUCCCAAUUAGGUGGCUGAAUGAUAGGUGAAGAAGUCAACAAUUUCUUAAGCUUUGCAAAAGCAUCAAGACAAGAUUCAUCAAAGAUAAAAGGUGCAUCCUUAACAAGUAAAUUGCAUAAAGGUCUAGAAAUUUUACUAAAAUCUUUAAUGAAUCUUUUAUAAAAACCAGCACGUCCAAGGAAAGAUCUUACUUCUUUUACGGAUUUGGGAUAUGGAAGAUUAGAAAUUAAAUCCACCUUAGCUUUGUCGACUUCUAUACCUUUGCUGGAAAUUAUAUGACCAAGAACAAUACCUUGUUUUACCAUGAAGUGACACUUUUCCCAAUUUAGAACCAAGAUCUUUUCUUUACAUCUCUGCAAAACUAAUGUUAGGUGCUGCAAACAUUCAUCAAAAGAAUCUCCAUAAACAGAAAAAUCAUCCAUGAAUACUUCAAGAAAUCUCUCAACCAUAUCAGAAAAAAUACUAAGCAUGCAUCUUUGAAAGGUAGCAGGUGCAUUGCAUAAACCAAAUGGCAUUCUCCUAUAUGCAAAAGUUCCAAAUGGACAAGUAAAAGUAGUUUUCUCCUGGUCCUCUGGAGAUAUAGGGAUCUGAUUAUAACCUGAAUAUCCAUCUAGAAAACAAUAAAAAUCAUGACCUGCAAGUCUAUCAAGCAUUUGAUCAAUAAAUGGAAGAGGAAAAUGAUCUUUUCUUGUGAAUGAAUUCAAUUUUCUAUAAUCAAUGCAAACACGCCACCCUGUAGUUACUCUAGUGGGAAUUAAUUCAUUAUUAGCAUUAGUAACUACUGUAACACCAGAUUUCUUAGGAACAACUUGCACAGGGCUAACCCAAGAGCUAUCUGAAAUAGGAUAAAUAAUUCCUGCAUCUAAUAAUUUGAUUACUUCAGCUCUUACCACUUCUUUCAUGUUAGGAUUUAACCUACGUUGCAUCUCCCUAAUAGGUUUAGUAUUUUCUUCAAGAUGAAUACGAUGCAUGCAAUCUACUGGAUUAAUACCUUUAAUAUCAGCGAUGGUCCAUUCUAUUGCCUCCUUAUGCUCUUUUAGAAUGCCUAACAACUUACCUUUUUGCUCAAGAUCGAGGGAAGAAGAAAUAAUAACAGGUAGUUGUCAGAUUCUCCCAAGAAUGCAUAUUCCAGAGUGUCAGGCAGUGCUUUGAGUUCCAAUUUUGGUGGUGCCUCUGCAGAUGGGCCAAUUUUCUUCUCAGAAUGAGGCAGUAGUUCUGACUUUGUCUUCCAUUUAAUUGUGUCCGUAAUUAGAGGUGCAUCAAGUAAAGCGCUGACUUCUGCAAUUGCACUGUCAUUAUUAAAAGAUAAAUCAGAAUGAGUUAGACAUGCCUCUAAUGGAUCGUCAGUAUAGUUAGAAAUAAAUGAAUCUUCUACUAAUUCCUCUAUCAUAUUUGCUUCAACAAAUUCAUCUUCUUCUUGUGGCUGCUUGGUAACAUUAAAAAUAUUCAAUUCCAUGGUCAUAUUACCAAAAGAUAGCUGCAUGUUUCCAUUCCUGCAAUUAAUAAGAGCAUCAGCUGUAGCUAAGAAAGGACGACCUAGAAUAACUGGAGUGUGUUUCUUAGGAUCCUGUACAUGCUGAGUAUCAAUAACGAUAAAAUCAACAGGAUAAUAAAAUUUAUCAAUCUGUAUCAACACAUCCUCUAUAAUACCACGAGGUAUUUUCAUAGACCUAUCAGCGAGUUGCAAAAUAAUAUAAGUUGAUUUUAACUCACCUAGUCCAAGCUGCAUGUAAACAGAAUAAGGCAAGAGAUUAACACUAGCGCCUAAAUCCAAUAAUGCUUUAUCAAAACAUUGGUUCCCUAUAACACAUGAGAUAGUAGGAGAACCUGAAUCCUUAAAUUUUGGUGGCAUUUUACAUUGGAGUAAAUUGCUAGUUUGUUCAGUUAAAAAUGCCUUUUUGGUGACAUGCAAAUUUCUCUUUUUAGUGCAUAAAUCUUUCAAAAACUUGGCAUAGGAAGGAACUUGCUUAAUAGCAUCGAGUAAAGGGAUGUUUAUACUUACCUGUUUGAAGAUUUCCAUAAUCUCACCUGUUGAAGUCCCUUUCUUUACCUUUGUUAACCUUUGAGGAAAAGGAGCCUUGGGAAUGUAAGCUGGCAGACCACUCUCUUCUGGAUCAUUUGGUGAUGAGUCUUGUGAUGGAAUUGGAUCUGAAGAAGUAGGCUCAGAUGUCUUCCUUGUUUGAACCUCUACUUUGUUGUCAAAUAAUUUUCCUCUUCUCAAGGUCAUAACAGAUUUUGCUUGUUCAUGCUGAUGACUUGAACUCAAUCCAGCUUCGUGCACUCCUUUGGGAUUAGGAACUGGUUGACUUGGAAAUUUUCCUUUUUCUCUCUCCGCUACAGUAGUCGCUAAUUGACCCAAUUGAUGUUCAAGCUUUAGAAUAGCUUGAGUGUUUGACUGAAAAGCUUGUUGGGUUGACUGAAUGAAACUUUGAAGUGUAUCCUCUAAAGAAGGCUUUCUUUGUUGGGGUGCAACAAAUUGAGACAUAGGUUGUUGGGCAGGAGGAUAUACUUGGUUAGGAGGGAUAAAUUGUUGAUUGGGCAUGUUAAAUUGUUGCCCUCCUUGAUUUGACAAAUGUUGAUUUUGUUUCCAAGAAAAAUUAGGGUGAUUCCUCCAAUUAGGAUUAUAUGUGGAUGAAUAUGGACUAUUGGAGGUUUUCUCAUAUGAUUGUAAGGCAUGUACCUGCUUAGAAUAAGCAUCUGGAUAGACUGGUAAUGAUGGACAAUUCUGUGCUGUAUGAGACAAGUUAGAACAAAUAGCACAAACUUCAUUAGCUACACUAGGAUGAUGAUUCAUUGAUUGGUUCAGAGCUAAGGCAUCUACUUUCCUAGAAAGUGUAGCUAGAGUGGAUUUCACAUCAAAAUCAUCCUUAACUUCAUAUAACCCCUUUCUAGAAACUUGAGAUGAUUUUUCCCUUUGAUUUGAAAAAUCCCAUUGUUGAGAGUUUUCAGAAAGUGAAUUAAAGAAAUCCCAUGCGGUCCAUUCAUGUAAGUUCAAAAAUCUCCCACCAUUCAUAGACUCUACCAUAUGACGAUUUGACAUGGUUAAACCGUUAUAAAAGCAUUGUAUAAGUCUCCAUUUUUCAAAACCAUGGUGGGGACACUUGAGGAGUAAAUCAUUGAAUCUUUCCCAACACUCGUAAAAUUACUCACCCUCUCUUUGAUAAAAAUCACUUAUCUCUGUCCUAAGGGCAUUUGUUUUCGACAUAGGAAAAAACUUGGUGAGAAACUUAUUACUCAAUUCAUCCCAUGUACUAAUAGACCCAGCAGGAAGUGAAUUCAACCAAGCUUUUGCUUUGUCUUUUAAUGAGAAAGGGAACAUACGAAGCCUAAUUGACUCAUCAUUAAAAUUUUGAAAACGAAAUGUAGAGCAUAUGUCAAGAAAUUCCUUAAUGUGCAAAUAUGGAUCCUCUCUCUCUAACCCAUGGAAAGAUGGUAAAAGUUGAAUGACUGAGGGCUUAAGUUCAAAGUGUGUUGCUGUAGUUUGUGGCAACACAAUACAAGAUGGUUGGUUGGCUGCAAGUGGUGAAAAGUAUUCUCUGAGGGUUUUCUCUGCUUGCACUGGUGGAAGUAUUGGCAAUAGUCUAUUUGGGUCAUCCAUCACUUCUAAAGAACUAGUUUGACUACUAUCAAUUUUCGACUCUCUUUUAACCAAACGAUUUGUUGAAUCACGUUCCCAAACACUCAUAAACUAACUAGACAAGAAAAGAAAGAAAAAUAAAAUCAAAUAAACCAACAAUAAUGAGAAUAAAUGAAAUUUAAAAAUAAAAGAAAUCAAACAACCAAACAAUGAAUUUAAAGACAAAUAAAAGUUUUUUUGUGUUUUUUUUUAAUAAAAAAAAUAAAAGACAACCUAAGUUAAAACUAGUGGAAGAAUCAAAUCAACCUAGAUUAAACUGACUUUCUAGCACAAUCCCCGGCAACGGCGCCAAAAACUUGUGUUGAAAAUUUUAAUAUACUCGCAAGCGCACGAAUCUAGAAAUAGAAUAGUGGUAACGAGGUCGAUCCCACAGGGAUUGUUAUAAAUUGAAAAGUCUAAUUUAAAUAUAAAAUUAAUAUUAAUUCUAACCUAGUUGACCAAAUUGAGUUUUAAGAGAAAUUAAACUAAUUAAACUAAGGAAGCAAAAAAUAAAGGAGAAUUCAAUAAGAUAAGAAUUACCAAGGUUUUAGAAUCCACCACUAUUCAACUAGUAAUUAUCUAAUUAUUAAUUAAUCCCCAAUUUAGAGUGACAACUUGAAAUCAAUCUAUGUCAUCUCAUGGAUAUAACAAUUAAGCCCAAAUAAAAUUAAUCUUAUGUAGGUUCUUUUUCUGCUUGAUAAUAUGACAUCUAAGCAUCCCAUGUAAACAUAUUGAAUAACAAAGAAUCAAAGUUUUCCUAAGCACUCUAUGUAAACAAUUUAAUGAAAGACAUAAAAUCAAAGAUAGUCAUGUAUAAACUUUAUAAAUCCAAGCAUAGAUUUAAUCGAAUAUUAAUCCUAACAAUCAAUAAUGCAUGACAGAAUUGAUGAAAAGAUUUUAUUAACAUCCAAUUAAUCAUGUGAGAUAAAAACCAUAAUCAUCAAAGAACAUAUAUAGGGAAUUAAUUAAAUAAAAAGAGAUAAUUAUUUCAUUGAAUAGGGUUUCAUCUUUAACCUCAGUAUAAGAAAAUUAGCUAGACAUACUUGAAUUGAGAGCAACAAGAUAAAUAAAUUCAGCCAUGGGGAAGCCGAAUUGCUGCAGAUUUUCUUCUCUGUCUUGAAUCCUUGCGUCUCCAGUUCUCCCCUUCCUCUGGCGGCUCUCCCCCCUUUAUAUAAUGUUACUGGCUUGCUUAAUCCUUAUCGGAUUCUAAUUGCAUUAACUUAUCAUAAGUCACAAUCAUCCACCGACUUACAAAGCCCACUCACCAAGGCCUUUUUAAAUUAUUUCCUUAUUAAACUUUGAAAACUAGCCACACGUUUGACCACAAAAGCAAAAGACCAAUUAAUGACUUCUUCUUUUAAUGCCCAGCACAUGCACUCCAAAUUGCCAAAUCUUUGCUUUCCAAAUGCAUGCCCACCGUUCAUCUUUUGAAGGGAUUGACUUCCAAUUUUAAUCUUAUUGACUUCCAAAUUUGAACUUCCUCAUGCCCUUUUUAUCCUUAAUCUUCAAUUAAUUCCCUAUUCAACAAAAUAAUUCAAUUAAUUAAAAAUAACAAAUAAAAAUAACUAACAAUUAAAUAAUAAGAGUCAAAUAUGUAUAUAAAUUAUGCUCAUCAAAUACCCCCAAACUUAGAUUUUGCUAGUCCUCGAGCAAAACUAAAACUUAAAACAAAAGUAAAAACAAUGAAAAAAAAAAUAAAUCUUAACUAAACCACUUUCGCAGGUAAUCGCGAUUGCAUUUAGCGUAUGCAACAAGUCUUUAAACCCAUAGGCGGCCCUAGUGGACGAGUUAUAGUCUCGUGAGGGCUUCAGUGAUGUUACCCACAAACAUCAUUUUUCAAAGAAUUAAAAUAAAAAUAAAAUGAAAAGAACAACAAACUUUUAAACAAAACAUGAAGAUAGCCUCAAAGAUUGCAUAAAUUAUAUAGCUCAAAGAAAAUUUCAAAUAUUGGCAAAGUUCUAACUUUAAUUCAAUAGUCAAUCUCAUCUCUCUUUCGAUUCUUGUAGUGUGUGUGUGAAAUCAAUUCAAUCAAAUCCAUUCCCAAAACCCUCAAUAUCAACAGCCUUCGCCUCAAACAAAGAACAGAGUAGGUCAAACUAAUCUUAUCAUCUUGAUCUCCAAUUUUUUUUUUUUCACAGGCUUUUAUGUGCAUUUUCUUUUGAAUUUUUUUUUUCAGCACAUGCACUUGAUUUGAUUUUUUUUUCUUUUUUUUUUUAACCAUAGUCAGGAGCUUUCACUCUACCCCUUAAGGUAGCCUUCUUCUCAUGGUAGAUUAUCCUCUACAUACUUGUGGUACAUAGGCCCAAAUUACUCAAGGAUAGCUUCACUCUUAAGGGUUAUAGGUAGCUAUUUCUGACUCUGGCGCCUGUGUAUGCUAUUUUGUAUUGUGGAGAUAAGAAUCAAGAUAAAUAGUCAUUUACUCUAUCUAAAAUUCUCAAUUCAGGCUGUGUCAAUCUCAAAUUUCAAGUCAAAAUCAUGAAAGAACUGAUAUUAGUGCUCAUGGUUUAAAGAAUCUCAAUCAAGAGGAACUAACACAAGAAUCAAGUAUAAACUAAGACAAUAUUCAAUCCUUUCUAAAAACCAUAUUUAUUGUCAAUCAAAUUCUUAUCAUUGGCUUUUCACAUAAAAACAAAAACAACACAAAUUUUUUUUUUGAAUUUUUGAAUUUUUUUAUUUUUUUAUUAUUUUUUUAAACAAACAAAGCACACACUAUUCCCACCCCCAAACUUAUUUGGAACAUUGUCCUCAAUGUUUCACAAACAAAAGAUAUGCAUGCAAACAAAUGAAAGAGAAAUAAUAAUAAUAAUAAAAACAUAAAUAAUAAAAAGAAAGUUGAAGAUAACACACCUGGAUGGGCUGUGAAAGCUUAAAAGAAAAUGCCAAAUGAAAAGAAAACAUUAGAAAAGAAAAACAAACAAAGAAAAGAAAACCUACUGUUAAAAUAAAACAAGAGUGCAAAGAUGAACUUAAUUAAUCCUGAUAAACAGGAUCAUCUAACAGUAUCUCCUCAACUUCUGGUGUUCUUAACUCUAAAAAUGGUUUUAAUCUUUGACCAUUGACCUUAAAUAAAUCACCAUUUUUAGGAUUUUCAAUCUCAAUUGCCCCAUAAGGGAAGACAAUACGAACUAUAAAAGGACCAGACCAUCGAGAACGUAACUUACCUGGAAAGAGAUGCAAUCGGGAAUUAUAUAAAAGUACUUUCUGACCUGGUGUAAAGACUUUUCUCAAAAUGUAUUUGUCAUGAAAGACUUUCAUUCGCUGUUUAUAAAUCUUGGCAUUCUCAUAUGCAUCAUUCCUGAUCUCUUCAAGUUCUGCUAGUUGUAAUCUUCUCUUAGACCCAGCCUGCUGCAUGUCAAAAUUGAAUUUCUUGAUAGCCCAAUACGCACGAUGCUCCAACUCUACUAGCAGAUGACAUGCUUUUCCAUACACAAGUCGAUAAGGUGACAUCCCAAUUGGUGUUUUAAAAGCAGUCCUAUAUGCCCACAAUGCAUCAUCAAGUCUCAAAGACCAAUCCUUUCUAUCUGGCCUAACUGUUUUCUCUAGAAUCCGCUUGAUGUCUCUAUUAGAAAUCUCUACUUGGCCACUGGUCUGAGGAUGGUAUGGGGUGGUAACCUUAUGUGUAAUGGAAUAUUUGUCCAAAAGAGUUUUGAAAGGUUUAUUGCAAAAAUGGGUGCCACCAUCACUAAUGAUUGUUCUAGGGAAACCAAAAAUGAGACAGAAUAUUACUCUUUAAGAAUUUCACUACAACCCUAUGAUCAUUGGUUUUGCAUGGAGUUGCUUCAACCCACUUCGACACAUAGUCCACUGCAACUAAUAUAUACUGAUAACCAAAAGAUGGAGGAAACGGUCCCAUGAAAUCAAUACCCCAUACAUCGAAGAUCUCAACCACAAGAAUAGGAUUGAGUGGCAUCAUGUUCCUCUUUGAAAUGCUACCCAUACGUUGGCACCUAUCACACAAAGAACAGAAAAUAUAAGCGUCAUGAAAAAGAGUAGGUCAAUAAAAACCACACUGUAAAAUUUUUGUUGCUGCCUUUUUAGCACUAAAGUGGCCUCUACAAGCUUGUUCAUGGCAAAAUGAGAUAACACUUUGAAUUUCAUUAUCGGGAACACAUCGCCUAAUAAUCUGAUCAGCACAAUAUUUAAAUAAAUAGGGAUCAUCCCAAAAGAAGUCCUUCACUUUAGUUAAGAACUUUGUUCUAUCUUGCUUAGUCCAGUGCUCUGGGAUUUGACCUGUAGCAAGGUAAUUAACUAUGUCAGCAAACCAUGGUACAACAUUUACACUCAUAAGUUGCUCAUCUGGGAAAGACUCAUUCAAAGGUAAAGAUUCUGGAAUAAAUUUAAGAUCAAGGCGAGAUAAAUGAUCUGCCAUAACAUUUUCAGAACCUUUUUUAUCUAUAAAUUCAAUGUAAAAUUCUUGUAAAAGCAACACCCAACGAAUCAAUCUUGCCUUAGCAUCUUUCUUAGUAAGCAAAUAUUUUAAAGCAGCAUGAUCAGUAAAAAUAAUCACUUUACAACCUAUAAGAUAAGAUCUGAAUUUAUCAAGUGCAAACACCACAGCUAGCAUUUCUUUUUCUGUAGUUGAAUAGUUCAAUUGUGCAUCAUUGAGUGUCAUACUAGCAUAAUAAAUCACAUAAGGCAUACGAUCUAAUCUUUGUCCUAAAACUGCUCCUACAGCAUAAUCAGAUGCAUCACACAUAAUUUCAAAAGGCAAAUCCCAAUUAGGUGGCUGAAUGAUAGGUGAAGAAGUCAACAAUUUCUUAAGCUUUGCAAAAGCAUCAAGACAAGAUUCAUCAAAGAUAAAAGGUGCAUCCUUAACAAGUAAAUUGCAUAAAGGUCUAGAAAUUUUACUAAAAUCUUUAAUGAAUCUUUUAUAAAAACCAGCACGUCCAAGGAAAGAUCUUACUUCUUUUACGGAUUUGGGAUAUGGAAGAUUAGAAAUUAAAUCCACCUUAGCUUUGUCGACUUCUAUACCUUUGCUGGAAAUUAUAUGACCAAGAACAAUACCUUGUUUUACCAUGAAGUGACACUUUUCCCAAUUUAGAACCAAGAUCUUUUCUUUACAUCUCUGCAAAACUAAUGUUAGGUGCUGCAAACAUUCAUCAAAAGAAUCUCCAUAAACAGAAAAAUCAUCCAUGAAUACUUCAAGAAAUCUCUCAACCAUAUCAGAAAAAAUACUAAGCAUGCAUCUUUGAAAGGUAGCAGGUGCAUUGCAUAAACCAAAUGGCAUUCUCCUAUAUGCAAAAGUUCCAAAUGGACAAGUAAAAGUAGUUUUCUCCUGGUCCUCUGGAGAUAUAGGGAUCUGAUUAUAACCUGAAUAUCCAUCUAGAAAACAAUAAAAAUCAUGACCUGCAAGUCUAUCAAGCAUUUGAUCAAUAAAUGGAAGAGGAAAAUGAUCUUUUCUUGUGAAUGAAUUCAAUUUUCUAUAAUCAAUGCAAACACGCCACCCUGUAGUUACUCUAGUGGGAAUUAAUUCAUUAUUAGCAUUAGUAACUACUGUAACACCAGAUUUCUUAGGAACAACUUGCACAGGGCUAACCCAAGAGCUAUCUGAAAUAGGAUAAAUAAUUCCUGCAUCUAAUAAUUUGAUUACUUCAGCUCUUACCACUUCUUUCAUGUUAGGAUUUAACCUACGUUGCAUCUCCCUAAUAGGUUUAGUAUUUUCUUCAAGAUGAAUACGAUGCAUGCAAUCUACUGGAUUAAUACCUUUAAUAUCAGCGAUGGUCCAUUCUAUUGCCUCCUUAUGCUCUUUUAGAAUGCCUAACAACUUACCUUUUUGCUCAAGAUCGAGGGAAGAAGAAAUAAUAACAGGUAGUUGUCAGAUUCUCCCAAGAAUGCAUAUUCCAGAGUGUCAGGCAGUGCUUUGAGUUCCAAUUUUGGUGGUGCCUCUGCAGAUGGGCCAAUUUUCUUCUCAGAAUGAGGCAGUAGUUCUGACUUUGUCUUCCAUUUAAUUGUGUCCGUAAUUAGAGGUGCAUCAAGUAAAGCGCUGACUUCUGCAAUUGCACUGUCAUUAUUAAAAGAUAAAUCAGAAUGAGUUAGACAUGCCUCUAAUGGAUCGUCAGUAUAGUUAGAAAUAAAUGAAUCUUCUACUAAUUCCUCUAUCAUAUUUGCUUCAACAAAUUCAUCUUCUUCUUGUGGCUGCUUGGUAACAUUAAAAAUAUUCAAUUCCAUGGUCAUAUUACCAAAAGAUAGCUGCAUGUUUCCAUUCCUGCAAUUAAUAAGAGCAUCAGCUGUAGCUAAGAAAGGACGACCUAGAAUAACUGGAGUGUGUUUCUUAGGAUCCUGUACAUGCUGAGUAUCAAUAACGAUAAAAUCAACAGGAUAAUAAAAUUUAUCAAUCUGUAUCAACACAUCCUCUAUAAUACCACGAGGUAUUUUCAUAGACCUAUCAGCGAGUUGCAAAAUAAUAUAAGUUGAUUUUAACUCACCUAGUCCAAGCUGCAUGUAAACAGAAUAAGGCAAGAGAUUAACACUAGCGCCUAAAUCCAAUAAUGCUUUAUCAAAACAUUGGUUCCCUAUAACACAUGAGAUAGUAGGAGAACCUGAAUCCUUAAAUUUUGGUGGCAUUUUACAUUGGAGUAAAUUGCUAGUUUGUUCAGUUAAAAAUGCCUUUUUGGUGACAUGCAAAUUUCUCUUUUUAGUGCAUAAAUCUUUCAAAAACUUGGCAUAGGAAGGAACUUGCUUAAUAGCAUCGAGUAAAGGGAUGUUUAUACUUACCUGUUUGAAGAUUUCCAUAAUCUCACCUGUUGAAGUCCCUUUCUUUACCUUUGUUAACCUUUGAGGAAAAGGAGCCUUGGGAAUGUAAGCUGGCAGACCACUCUCUUCUGGAUCAUUUGGUGAUGAGUCUUGUGAUGGAAUUGGAUCUGAAGAAGUAGGCUCAGAUGUCUUCCUUGUUUGAACCUCUACUUUGUUGUCAAAUAAUUUUCCUCUUCUCAAGGUCAUAACAGAUUUUGCUUGUUCAUGCUGAUGACUUGAACUCAAUCCAACUUCGUGCACUCCUUUGGGAUUAGGAACUGGUUGACUUGGAAAUUUUCCUUUUUCUCUCUCCGCUACAGUAGUCGCUAAUUGACCCAAUUGAUGUUCAAGCUUUAGAAUAGCUUGAGUGUUUGACUGAAAAGCUUGUUGGGUUGACUGAAUGAAACUUUGAAGUGUAUCCUCUAAAGAAGGCUUUCUUUGUUGGGGUGCAACAAAUUGAGACAUAGGUUGUUGGGCAGGAGGAUAUACUUGGUUAGGAGGGAUAAAUUGUUGAUUGGGCAUGUUAAAUUGUUGCCCUCCUUGAUUUGACAAAUGUUGAUUUUGUUUCCAAGAAAAAUUAGGGUGAUUCCUCCAAUUAGGAUUAUAUGUGGAUGAAUAUGGACUAUUGGAGGUUUUCUCAUAUGAUUGUAAGGCAUGUACCUGCUUAGAAUAAGCAUCUGGAUAGACUGGUAAUGAUGGACAAUUCUGUGCUGUAUGAGACAAGUUAGAACAAAUAGCACAAACUUCAUUAGCUACACUAGGAUGAUGAUUCAUUGAUUGGUUCAGAGCUAAGGCAUCUACUUUCCUAGAAAGUGUAGCUAGAGUGGAUUUCACAUCAAAAUCAUCCUUAACUUCAUAUAACCCCUUUCUAGAAACUUGAGAUGAUUUUUCCCUUUGAUUUGAAAAAUCCCAUUGUUGAGAGUUUUCAGAAAGUGAAUUAAAGAAAUCCCAUGCGGUCCAUUCAUGUAAGUUCAAAAAUCUCCCACCAUUCAUAGACUCUACCAUAUGACGAUUUGACAUGGUUAAACCGUUAUAAAAGCAUUGUAUAAGUCUCCAUUUUUCAAAACCAUGGUGGGGACACUUGAGGAGUAAAUCAUUGAAUCUUUCCCAACACUCGUAAAAUUGCUCACCCUCUCUUUGAUAAAAAUCACUUAUCUCUGUCCUAAGGGCAUUUGUUUUCGACAUAGGAAAAAACUUGGUGAGAAACUUAUUACUCAAUUCAUCCCAUGUACUAAUAGACCCAGCAGGAAGUGAAUUCAACCAAGCUUUUGCUUUGUCUUUUAAUGAGAAAGGGAACAUACGAAGCCUAAUUGACUCAUCAUUAAAAUUUUGAAAACGAAAUGUAGAGCAUAUGUCAAGAAAUUCCUUAAUGUGCAAAUAUGGAUCCUCUCUCUCUAACCCAUGGAAAGAUGGUAAAAGUUGAAUGACUGAGGGCUUAAGUUCAAAGUGUGUUGCUGUAGUUUGUGGCAACACAAUACAAGAUGGUUGGUUGGCUGCAAGUGGUGAAAAGUAUUCUCUGAGGGUUUUCUCUGCUUGCACUGGUGGAAGUAUUGGCAAUAGUCUAUUUGGGUCAUCCAUCACUUCUAAAGAACUAGUUUGACUACUAUCAAUUUUCGACUCUCUUUUAACCAAACGAUUUGUUGAAUCACGUUCCCAAACACUCAUAAACUAACUAGACAAGAAAAGAAAGAAAAAUAAAAUCAAAUAAACCAACAAUAAUGAGAAUAAAUGAAAUUUAAAAAUAAAAGAAAUCAAACAACCAAACAAUGAAUUUAAAGACAAAUAAAAGUUUUUUUGUGUUUUUUUUUAAUAAAAAAAAUAAAAGACAACCUAAGUUAAAACUAGUGGAAGAAUCAAAUCAACCUAGAUUAAACUGACUUUCUAGCACAAUCCCCGGCAACGGCGCCAAAAACUUGUGUUGAAAAUUUUAAUAUACUCGCAAGCGCACGAAUCUAGAAAUAGAAUAGUGGUAACGAGGUCGAUCCCACAGGGAUUGUUAUAAAUUGAAAAGUCUAAUUUAAAUAUAAAAUUAAUAUUAAUUCUAACCUAGUUGACCAAAUUGAGUUUUAAGAGAAAUUAAACUAAUUAAACUAAGGAAGCAAAAAAUAAAGGAGAAUUCAAUAAGAUAAGAAUUACCAAGGUUUUAGAAUCCACCACUAUUCAACUAGUAAUUAUCUAAUUAUUAAUUAAUCCCCAAUUUAGAGUGACAACUUGAAAUCAAUCUAUGUCAUCUCAUGGAUAUAACAAUUAAGCCCAAAUAAAAUUAAUCUUAUGUAGGUUCUUUUUCUGCUUGAUAAUAUGACAUCUAAGCAUCCCAUGUAAACAUAUUGAAUAACAAAGAAUCAAAGUUUUCCUAAGCACUCUAUGUAAACAAUUUAAUGAAAGACAUAAAAUCAAAGAUAGUCAUGUAUAAACUUUAUAAAUCCAAGCAUAGAUUUAAUCGAAUAUUAAUCCUAACAAUCAAUAAUGCAUGACAGAAUUGAUGAAAAGAUUUUAUUAACAUCCAAUUAAUCAUGUGAGAUAAAAACCAUAAUCAUCAAAGAACAUAUAUAGGGAAUUAAUUAAAUAAAAAGAGAUAAUUAUUUCAUUGAAUAGGGUUUCAUCUUUAACCUCAGUAUAAGAAAAUUAGCUAGACAUACUUGAAUUGAGAGCAACAAGAUAAAUAAAUUCAGCCAUGGGGAAGCCGAAUUGCUGCAGAUUUUCUUCUCUGUCUUGAAUCCUUGCGUCUCCAGUUCUCCCCUUCCUCUGGCGGCUCUCCCCCCUUUAUAUAAUGUUACUGGCUUGCUUAAUCCUUAUCGGAUUCUAAUUGCAUUAACUUAUCAUAAGUCACAAUCAUCCACCGACUUACAAAGCCCACUCACCAAGGCCUUUUUAAAUUAUUUCCUUAUUAAACUUUGAAAACUAGCCACACGUUUGACCACAAAAGCAAAAGACCAAUUAAUGACUUCUUCUUUUAAUGCCCAGCACAUGCACUCCAAAUUGCCAAAUCUUUGCUUUCCAAAUGCAUGCCCACCGUUCAUCUUUUGAAGGGAUUGACUUCCAAUUUUAAUCUUAUUGACUUCCAAAUUUGAACUUCCUCAUGCCCUUUUUAUCCUUAAUCUUCAAUUAAUUCCCUAUUCAACAAAAUAAUUCAAUUAAUUAAAAAUAACAAAUAAAAAUAACUAACAAUUAAAUAAUAAGAGUCAAAUAUGUAUAUAAAUUAUGCUCAUCAAAUACCCCCAAACUUAGAUUUUGCUAGUCCUCGAGCAAAACUAAAACUUAAAACAAAAGUAAAAACAAUGAAAAAAAAAAUAAAUCUUAACUAAACCACUUUCGCAGGUAAUCGCGAUUGCAUUUAGCGUAUGCAACAAGUCUUUAAACCCAUAGGCGGCCCUAGUGGACGAGUUAUAGUCUCGUGAGGGCUUCAGUGAUGUUACCCACAAACAUCAUUUUUCAAAGAAUUAAAAUAAAAAUAAAAUGAAAAGAACAACAAACUUUUAAACAAAACAUGAAGAUAGCCUCAAAGAUUGCAUAAAUUAUAUAGCUCAAAGAAAAUUUCAAAUAUUGGCAAAGUUCUAACUUUAAUUCAAUAGUCAAUCUCAUCUCUCUUUCGAUUCUUGUAGUGUGUGUGUGAAAUCAAUUCAAUCAAAUCCAUUCCCAAAACCCUCAAUAUCAACAGCCUUCGCCUCAAACAAAGAACAGAGUAGGUCAAACUAAUCUUAUCAUCUUGAUCUCCAAUUUUUUUUUUUCACAGGCUUUUAUGUGCAUUUUCUUUUGAAUUUUUUUUUUCAGCACAUGCACUUGAUUUGAUUUUUUUUUCUUUUUUUUUUUAACCAUAGUCAGGAGCUUUCACUCUACCCCUUAAGGUAGCCUUCUUCUCAUGGUAGAUUAUCCUCUACAUACUUGUGGUACAUAGGCCCAAAUUACUCAAGGAUAGCUUCACUCUUAAGGGUUAUAGGUAGCUAUUUCUGACUCUGGCGCCUGUGUAUGCUAUUUUGUAUUGUGGAGAUAAGAAUCAAGAUAAAUAGUCAUUUACUCUAUCUAAAAUUCUCAAUUCAGGCUGUGUCAAUCUCAAAUUUCAAGUCAAAAUCAUGAAAGAACUGAUAUUAGUGCUCAUGGUUUAAAGAAUCUCAAUCAAGAGGAACUAACACAAGAAUCAAGUAUAAACUAAGACAAUAUUCAAUCCUUUCUAAAAACCAUAUUUAUUGUCAAUCAAAUUCUUAUCAUUGGCUUUUCACAUAAAAACAAAAACAACACAAAUUUUUUUUUUGAAUUUUUGAAUUUUUUUAUUUUUUUAUUAUUUUUUUAAACAAACAAAGCACACACUAUUCCCACCCCCAAACUUAUUUGGAACAUUGUCCUCAAUGUUUCACAAACAAAAGAUAUGCAUGCAAACAAAUGAAAGAGAAAUAAUAAUAAUAAUAAAAACAUAAAUAAUAAAAAGAAAGUUGAAGAUAACACACCUGGAUGGGCUGUGAAAGCUUAAAAGAAAAUGCCAAAUGAAAAGAAAACAUUAGAAAAGAAAAACAAACAAAGAAAAGAAAACCUACUGUUAAAAUAAAACAAGAGUGCAAAGAUGAACUUAAUUAAUCCUGAUAAACAGGAUCAUCUAACAGUAUCUCCUCAACUUCUGGUGUUCUUAACUCUAAAAAUGGUUUUAAUCUUUGACCAUUGACCUUAAAUAAAUCACCAUUUUUAGGAUUUUCAAUCUCAAUUGCCCCAUAAGGGAAGACAGUACGAACUAUAAAAGGACCAGACCAUCGAGAACGUAACUUACCUGGAAAGAGAUGCAAUCGGGAAUUAUAUAAAAGUACUUUCUGACCUGGUGUAAAGACUUUUCUCAAAAUGUAUUUGUCAUGAAAGACUUUCAUUCGCUGUUUAUAAAUCUUGGCAUUCUCAUAUGCAUCAUUCCUGAUCUCUUCAAGUUCUGCUAGUUGUAAUCUUCUCUUAGACCCAGCCUGCUGCAUGUCAAAAUUGAAUUUCUUGAUAGCCCAAUACGCACGAUGCUCCAACUCUACUAGCAGAUGACAUGCUUUUCCAUACACAAGUCGAUAAGGUGACAUCCCAAUUGGUGUUUUAAAAGCCUUAAAAAAUGAAAAUUACAAUUUCACCUUAAAAAAUGCCAUUUUACCAUUUUAAGGUAAUUUUUAAGGUGAAAUUGUAAUUUUCGUUUUGGGGGUAAAAUGGUAAUUUUUUUAUGUUUCCGUUAGUUUUCUUAACGGAUUUCAAACGGAAGUGGAAAAGUGAAAUAAAAUGUAACUUUAGGUGGAUUCCAGCCAAAAAAUGAAGGAAUUGUGUAUUUUUGAAAAAUGUGUAAAAAACGGGUGGACGGUGGAUAUUUUCCCUUAAAAAUAUUCUAAUUUAUUUUCUCAAUUUAUCAUCAUAAAUUUACAUUAAUAAACUAAAUCCACAAAUUACCCUAAACCCUAAUUCAUAAAUGCCCAAUCAAUCUAAUAGUUUAAUUCGAUUUCAUAAUUAAAAAAAGCUAAAUUUAUUAUAUUAGUUAUGGUGCAAAGUCAAAAAUGCCCUUAAAGUCAAGGGUAAAAUAACAUUUUAUUUACAUUCUAUAAAUUAUUCUAACAAUGUUAACAUAUUGGUGGACGGUUAAUAUAAGUUACAAACUUAAAAUAGGAAAUCAAAUAAAUUUAAAAUUUCAAACUAUUUAGGGGAAAUUUAGGAUAUAUGGUUAAUAAUUUUCCCACGUCUUUUUACAUUGUUGAUAUAAGUUACAAACUUAAAAUAGAAAAUCAAAUAAAUUUAUAUUUUCAAACUAUUUAGGGCAAACUUAGGGUAUAUGGUUAAUAAUUUUCCUUUAUCUUUUUACGUUAAAUUGAGUUUUAAAGGUAAAAUGGUCAAUUUAUUAUAAUUCUGUUAAUUUUUUAGUGGAAGCAAACGAUAUAAUGGAUGAAUGAUAUAAAUUGUAAAAUUAAGGUGCACAAAUGCUACAACUUUAAAGUAUUAUAGUAAUUUUAAUAAUAGAACAAUUUAAGGGUAGAUUGGCAAUAAUUUAAACUUUAAUGAAGCAACUAAAUUUUUUUUUUUUACAAAAGAAAAAUAAUUGAAAUGCUUUAAGAAAAAUAAAGGCAAUUAAAUAUUUUUAUAAAAAAAAUAAUUGAGUAAAAUCAUUUUACAAAAUGCUCUUUCAAAUGCACAUUCCACAAGCCAGGGAGAACGGGUGGCUAACAAAAAUCUCACUUUUUAUGAGUUUAUAAAAUCUCACUUUUGCAGAAUCCAAAAAUAACCAAUACUAAUCGCACAAAAAAUAAAAAUUAUUGCUGUCACGACAUUACACGCUUUCUUCGCCGUCUAGAAAUGUAGAACAUUUUGAAGUUCCUCAAUACAAAAUGCCUGCUACUACUAAAUUGGCCCAAUUAAUGCCUAUCGAAAAGGCCAUCAAUUAAGCCAUCAAUUUUGUCAAAUUUUCAACAAUUGAAGAAACAACGAUCACAAACGGAACAGGUGAAUUUUGAAGUUGAAUAAAUCUUGAGAUACAUACAACAAAGCCUUGAAACUUUAUUCUUCACAAUUUGAGCACGCACUAAAUAUUAAACAAGUAUAGAACAAAGCUUAUUAUCUUCUUGUGCGAACUGAACACGCUGAAAUGUUUUUUUUUCCUUGGAUUUUUGGAAUUUUUUAAAAUCAUUUAUGUUCGCUGCCAUCUUUUUCUUCGCUGGCGUCUUCAUUGGCAUCCCUCUCUUGGCUGGCAUCUGCCUCGUCUGUAGUUUGCUGUGCCUAUAUAUCCAACCAAUAAAUUGGGCAUUAAAUACGAAUGAUGAAUAAAGUUAUUAAAAAAAAAACAAACAGAGAAAAUUAUAAUAUAACACAUAUAUAUUGAAAGAGAAAUUUUGAUUUUAGGAUAGAUCAAUUAGCUAUCAGAAACGAAAACAUGAACCAACUAUGUAGAGUCAAUUAACUAAAGUUCUCAAGACUUGACCUGUGCUCCAGAAUUCUUGGAAUCAUCUAUCUCCUUCUGAAUUUCCACGAAGCUUGGGACAAUUACGAACAUCUUCAUCGGAUGCAGAUGGAAAUGGGAUCUGAUAACCCGCAGGCCAAAAGUUGGUGAGGUUUGGUAAGUUUAUCAGUUCCAACUUCCGAAGUUCAUUCAUAACAAUUUCAUUGUAAUCCGUGACGUCUGCUCCAUCUUUAUGCCAGAAUACUUCUUCUAAUUCAUCAUUAGCUUCUAUGAAUAGGUACUUCAGUUUUUGAAGACUUGGAGCUACGCUGAUAUGAAAUAGAUGCUUUAGUUUGGGGCAAUAACUGACAGAGAUCUCUGUGAGUUUUGGGAAACAUAGGGGUUGGAGAUGAUCCUUAUCAAUGAUUUGCUCUAAUUCCAAGCAGUUAUCAAUAACCAGCUUCUCCAAUUGCAACAAAUUUCGAGCAAGUGUUGAUGAGAAGAGACGUCUCAGCAUAGUGCACCCGUCCACUCUUAAAUAGGUAAGAUUUUGCAGGCUAAAAUUAUGCGUGGGACCUACAGGUUGGAGAUGCUCCUCAUCCUCAUCCUCAGUAAUGAUUUGCUCUAAUUCCCGGCAAUUAUAAAUUUCCAACUUCUCCAAUUGCAACAGAUUUCGAGCAAGUGUUGAUGAGAAGAGACGUCUCAGCAUAGUGCACCCGUGCACUCUUAAACAGGUAAGACUUUGCAGGCUAAAAUUAUGCGUGGGACCUACAGGUUGGAGAUGCUCCUCAUCCUCAUCCUCAGCAAUGAUUUGCUCUAAUUCCCAGCAAUUAUAAAUUUCUAACUUCUCUAAUUGCAACAGAUUUCGAGCAAGCAUUGAUGAGAGGAGACGUCUCAGCAUAGUGCACCCGUCCACUCUUAAAUAGGUAAGACUUUGCAGGCUAAAAUUAUGCGUAGGACCUUCGUGAUAUAAUACUUGCAGUUCUCGAAGGUUUUCCAACCACAACGACUUCAAACAUGGGAAUAGUUUGUUUUCUUGUCCCUCAACGAUAAUAGCUUCCACUUGAAAUACCACUUGUACUCCAAGUUCUCUAAUAUACAAUGUUUCCAAAUUUUUAAAGCCAUGCUUCAAUAGAGCGUCAAUUGUGUCACGCAAAUGGAAGCAUUCGCCUAUUUUUAGAAUUCGUAAUUUCUGAGACAAAUAAAUAAAUAACUUGGUGUAAUUAAAAUUAGUUAGCAGCUAGGAUUAUCACAUGAUAAGUGAUGCAAAAAACAAAAACAGAAAACAAAAUCAAUACAAAAAUGUAAUAAUACAUAUGUAAACUAAUAAAAUAAUUAAAAAGUAAUGGAAUUUUUUUUAAAUGAAAUUAGUUAGAAGAGAUCAUGUGAAGUGAUAUAAAGGUGACAUUAGAUUGUUUGAGAAAAAUUAGUAUUCUAUUAAUUUCUAUGGCUUGAUCGGCUAAUUAAUUGAAUUUGAGUAAUAUUAUAUACACUUCAAAAGUGUUUGCAUCAAUUCUUUCUAUACCAAAAUGAGAUAUGACUUUCAUUUGAAAAAUAAUUUUAGGCUCUAAAAUAAAGAUAUUUGAGCAUUAUGAUUAUCAUCACCACAUGCACCAUCAUCAUCAUCUCAAUAGGAGUAAAUAAUUAAUGGCUGGUAUAAAAUUUAUUGCUAAAUUAUCAUUUUGACCAAAAAUUGAAGGAAAAUAAAAAAAACAUAAAAACAAACAAACAUACCUCUUCAAGAUACUGCAAAUUGGCUUCAAGUUCAAUACUGUUGAUGGUCAAGUUGGGACAGUGCUCAAGACGUAACUUUUCCAAUGCUGGCCAAAUUGAACAAUAAUUUUCUGAACAGAAGCUGAUGAGUUCUGGGAGAUCAUCAAGUUUUAAUUUUCUCAACAAAGGGAGGGCGAGCAUCGUAUUUCCAUCUCCGACACUUAUUCCCCCUUCAUUAUGAUCAAACGUUGCUUCGACAAUAUAUUCCAGUCUCUCGCAUCCACUUACAUCGAGACUUUUAAGCUGCUUCAAACUUCGAGCUUGUGACAACGUGAAGAUAUAUGUCAACUUGUUGCACCUAUGCACAUUCAAUUCUGUAAGAGUUUGGAGACUGAUCACAUGUUGGGCGGGCGCCUUCCAUAUCCACUUCAGUUCUGGUAAUUGCCACAUAAUUAACUUUGCUAAUCUUGAGAGACUCUUUCCAUGCAGCGACUUAGAGGCAUCCAUUAUGCAUUCUAAAUCUUCGCAAUCGCCGACAUCAAGACAAGUCAACUCAUUUAAGCCCCUUUCAUCUAUGCUUGGCACAAUAUUGUAACAACCUAUUAACCUACUCAAACGAAGAAAUUUCAGAUUUUGAUACAAUGCUGAAAAAAUAACGAGCGAGGUCGCCGCUUCAUGAGGGCAAUUCUCAAUGAUUAAGCUCCUUGUUUCAUCACCAUCUUCCAUUUCAUCAUCAACUCCUUCACCUUUACGGAUGAUGUAUCUUUGCAAUUUCGGGAAUGUAAAGUCUUUUGGAAGACAUACAACAGAUCUGUCGGCUUGGGAGUUCAACUCAGCAAGCCUAGCAUUGCUUUCUUCUGAACUCAUCCCUUCAACCUCCCAAUUUUUUAUCCGACCAUAAAAUUCUUCCAAUUGAGGAAAUUUUUUUAUCGCAAUGGGAGAAAUGGAGCCAGUAGCAAUAUACAGAAGUUUCAAUCUACGAAGUUCAUCCGACAAUUCUUCAAGAAUUUUAAUGGGAGACGUCACGAGAAAAAGAAGUUCAAGCCUCUUCAACUUUCCAAGGAAAGACGCGUCACUCACCUCACAUCGAAUCAACUGCAGAACCUGGAGGUUGGUGAGGAUCUGAAGCGAUUUAAGUGAAAGAACUCCACCUAUUAUAGUGACAACUUUCAAUGCUGGCAUCCCUUCAAAAAAAUGUUCUGGAACUUGCAAUCGGUGGUCGUAUUCAGGAUUCUCCAAUCGCAAAAUAUGAAGGUUAGGGCAUACCAAACCACUAGGAAGCUCUUCUUUUUUAUUUCCCACCAAAGAGAUUCCUCUGUAUUGUUCCAGGCCUUCUUUCAUUGCCCGUUCUGCCAAUCCAAUGCCAACUUUACUAAAAAAUUUCUUCUCCUCUAGAACUAUUGAGCCUAUCCAUAUGGCUACAUCACGAACUAUGUCAUGCAUUUUCACAGAUCUGUCAUUACCAGUGUCUAACAGCAGUGACGCAGCUUUGAGCGCGUUAAUCGUUCCAUGCAGUCGGCUUCUGGCGUUUUCUAUUGACGGAUCACAUUGAUACCAAAUAACCCCCAAUGCGUAUCCAACCAAAUCCUCCAAAUAAAUCUCAUAAUCUUCUGGAAACAGAGAACACAGCAAGAAGCAUAACUUGGACUCCUCACUAUUUAAAUUAUCGUAACUGAAUUUGAGACAACCGUAAACGUCUUGGUCAUCCUUGUCAAUACCUUCUAUUGCAUAGAGUUUUGCUUCCCUUAGGUUAUAUAGUGCUAGAUUCCAAUCAUCAGAUCCUUUUUCUCUUAGUGCACUUCCAACAGCUUCAAUAGCUAAAGGCAGCCCCUUACAUUCGUCAGCAACUUUUUUUGAAACACCAUCCAAGGAGGAGUCGUUUACAUUAAUACCGGCAUUCAUUUUUAGUAGAGUCAAUCCUUCUUCUGGUGUUAGUAUACCAAGUUCAAUCUGUGGGUAACAACUGAAAAAACUACAAAUUGACUUUUUGCGAGUGGUUAGAAGGAUUUUGCAACAAUUGUCUCUAUCCCCAACGGGAAUACCUAAUUUUUUCUCCAAGUCGAGUUGUUUCCAAACAUCAUCAAGGAUUAUGAGGAUUUUGCUGCUUUUACUCUCAGAAAACAUCAACCGCAAUCGAUCUGCUCUCUCUUUUUCAUCUGUCUCAUUAAACGCCCAGCCUAACGACUUUACCAGCUCACCUUGAACCUUUAUUAUAUCUGGAUCCUGAGACACAGUGACUAUCCCAACUUCAUCGAAAAUCUUUUGUUGCCGAAGUUGAUUGCCCACAAAAUUUGCCAAGGUCGUCUUCCCUACACCACCGAGACCGUGCAAUCCCACCAUCUUUGUGCUCUCUUUUUUCAGUGCUUCAGUGAUCUGAAUGCAAGCCAACUCUGUAGCCUUGAAAGGAGAAAAACAUCUCGGUAUAGGCAAUUCUUUGUCUGAUGGUAGAGGUUUAGGACGGGCAACUGUGCUGAAUUUGCUGCGGUCUUGUAGCAGAUCGGACAACUUGCUAGUCUUCUUUGAUGCUUUUCUACCCAGCCAGUAUCGCCAACCCCAAUUAGGACACCAUCCAUUAAGACAACUCUUCUUUUCAUCUAUCUUUGCUUGCAAAUUUCGAACGUCGGCCAUUUCUUUGUCCACAUCCUCCAACCACUUCUCCACAUCUUUCUCGAUUACAAUGGCGCGGUGUUUUUGUCGUUCUUCUUCUACUUUUUCAUUGAUGCCAUCUUGUGCAUUCUUCAAAUUGGUUUCUUUAACCUUAAGUUCUUUAUCUAUGCUGUUGAAACAGAGCAGAUAGCGAGCUUGGUUUAUGGUUGCAUCCGCCAAUAAUUCUGCAAGCUUUGAUCCAAUACAUGAUAAAAUUUCCAUGCUAUUUAUCUGCAAUUAACAAGUUGAUGUCAGUAUGCUAUAAGCAAAACAUCAAGGCUUGAUCACAAGAUCGAACGAGAACGUUUAAUUGCUUUAAUUUUUUUUUUUUUUUGGGCUUAUUAACGCCAUCUUUGAUCAAUAAGAGCAAAAUGCAAAACAGAAGAGAAUGAAAUAAGGUUAACGUUAUAUAUGAUGGAUUACAUUGAAAUUAUAUUACUUUAGAAAUUUUUAAAUAAAAAUAUCAAACAACAAAUUUAAUAGAAUCCGGAUAAACCUAAGAGUUUGUUGUGCAUUGCGAGUGAAGACGGGCAGUUGCAUGGGGAAUAUGAUAAAAGUGAUGAAUAACUGAAAAGCCACCCAUAAUAACAAUUAAAAAGAAUAUUAGAGAUUAGAGGAGUUCAACAUCCCAUGCAAGCCCACUCAUGAAAAAAUAUGAAUGGUUUCAAGAUGAUUACUCCUUUUUUUUUUACCUUUAAUAAAUAUUCUAAUAAAAUAAUACCAUAAUUUUAAAUAAUAUCUUAAUUUCUUUUUCCUUUAAAUGUUCAUUGAACUCACAUAUUGGAUAAUUAAUUUAAUCACUUGUUAAAUUAUUUAUUACCCUAUGUCAUUAUUCGAUAGAUAUAAAUGACACCUUAUUUGGUAUGAUAAAAAUUGGGGUAAAUUUUCUUUUAUUCUCAUAAGUUUGGACUUAUUACUAGUUACAAUAUUUGUAAUUUUUGAAAUUUUACCUAAACGGUCCAUGUCAUUACUUUUAUAGCCAUCGAACAUGACUUUUCAAGUGUAAGAUAAUAUUUUUGUCUGUUAUAAAUUAAAAUUCAAAUGAAUCUAUCACGCAACAAAUAUAAAAAAUUGAUUUUUUAUUAAUUUUUGUGAAUUCUUUUAAUGUUCGAAUUAGAAUUGAAUAAUUUGUAUAAGGAUAAUUUAUAGGAAGAUAAUCUGCAAAAUAAGCUUAUAUGUUGAAUUUAAAAGAGUUAUAUUAGUAAUCAUAUAUUUAUCAAAUUUUUUUAAUAAAAAUUUUGUUUAAAAAUUGGCCAAAUGGGUUUCAUGAAGAAAAUAGAAGAGCAUGAACAGCGCCACUUUCAAUUUUUAUUGUGGUUGUACAAUUGAAAAGACGCAUUAAAUGGACCAAUUUGAAAUGGCAAGAGAGCAUAAUGGACUCAUGUUGGGACUUGGAUAGGAAAAUUAAUUUUAUUUUUGAAAGUAUGGUCAACAGUACUGACUUGGAGGUGAUUGACGUUAAGUUAAAUUAAUGGAAACAAAUGGCAAAAAUAAUUUAAUGAAAAAAAGCAUUAAAAAAUUAGAACUUAAGUUCUUGAUCAUUUUGUCCGUAUGUUUUUAAGCCAACGCCCAGAAUUGGCAUAAAACUAGCCAUUGGAAUUAGGUAAAACAAAAAUCAAAUUAAGGGCUUAUAAAACAAUAAGAUCUCAUACCUUCUUCGUUAUAAAUCCUCAAUUACUGCUGAAAGCUCUAGUUAAGAGAGUCGCACAAGUUCGGAGAAAAUUAAAAAGCUGCAUAUGGCAAUAUAAAUAAACAUCAGAUCAAAACGACAUAGGAUAUAUCUGGCUAAUUAACAUCUUAUAUAAGUCCUUGUUCUCAAUCAAAUCUUUCGUACUUAGAAAAAAAAAAGAUUGAAAUAAUAAUUGUACGUUUUUAAUCCAACGUGCAAAAUUGGCAUAAACAAACUAAUAUAGCAUAAAACAAAGAUCAAAUUAAUAGCCUAUGAAAUAAUAAUAUCUCAUACCUUCUUCCUUAUAUAUCCUCAAUUACUACUGACAGCUCCAGUUAGAGUGGCAUGAUUUCCGAGAAAAUUAAAAGCUGCAUCUAGCAAUAUAAAUAAACAUCAGGUCAAAACAAAAUAGGAUAUAUCUAGCUAAUGAACAUCAUAUAUAAGUCCUUGUUCUCUAUCAAAAUCUUUCCUUCUUAAAAAAAAAAAUAAUAAUAACAAUAAUAAUUGAAAUAAUAACUGUGGGUGACACAGGAAGCAAAAGUAACAUACCGAAAUGAGAGCAGCUCACAUAUCUGGUGACUUCCAAGAGAAUGAAAAAUGAUUGACCUUUGGCAGCAAGAUCCAAAUCAUGUAUCACAAAUUGCUACUGACUUCGUGGCUUCACUUUCCUUUUCUUUUUCUUUUUCUUUUUUAAUUAAAUUUUAUAUCACAGUGUGAAUUGAAAGGUGAAAAGUGAAAUGGUACACAUGCGUAUGAUGAGGAGGUAAUUUUUAGGCACCUCCCCGAGGUUUAAGGUCUUCUGAAUUAGAUGGAUUGUAUUUUCGUAUUAUCAAAUACCUCCCCUGCCCGUUUUUAUUCCAUUUAGUAUUUUCUAUAUGGCUGAAGGUAAAUUGGUAAAAACUCAUUUAAAAUAAAAAAAAAUCAAAGAAAUUCAAGAAGAAGCUUUGUAUCUGCCAUUUGUAUUUGGGGUAUCUUUUUGGUUGUUGAGUGAAUGAGCUUAAAUCUUAAAUAUUUAUUUUCUUAUUAUAUAUUUCUCAUUGGAAAGAAUUUGAAUCUUAUUCUUAUUAAACUUAUUCUCUUUAAAUAAAAAUAGAUUUCUCUCCAUGUAUUUAGCGUGUAUUUUGAAAUUAAUGUUCAACAUAUCUUUAGAUCCUAUUAUAAAUAUUCAUAUCUAAAAUCUCAAUAGAUUCCAACAUAUAAAUAUAUAUAAAGAGAGAGAGUAACGUUCUAAUAAGAAAUUUCUUAAAUUAUCAAAUUAAAGGAUAAUUCAAAAGAUAAAAAAAUACAUAAUCUAAUAUAUUAUAUAACAAAAUAUACUAUAUUAAAAUAUAUAUUUUGCUUAAUUUUUUAAUAUAUCCCAUAAUAACUUAAGAAACCCUUUAUUUACCUGAUAUAUAUAUGUGUGUGUGUGUGUGUGUAAUUUUUUACAAAAUAAACAAUUUAGAGUAAAACAAAGGACAUUCUGGGGGCCUUUUGCUAGACUACCAAUCUACCAUUUUGGAUUGCAAUAAAGUGAAAAUACUGGACUACCAGUCUACUAUUUUGGAUUGCAAUAAAGUUAAAAUGGGUUACACCAAAAAAAGAAAAAAAAAAAGUGACAAUCAAUCUUGUCGGCCAAUACAUCGACUUUUUUGCCGGAUUAGUAUCACCGUCGAAAACAAAUUAUUGCAAGCACUGGCAAAAAGCAAUCGAUGAUUUCGCAAUUUGGUUGUCAAAAAGCAAAUUAGAUCACGAUUCCUCAAUUCAAAAUGGCUAAAGCUACAAUGCCGGGACACAAGUACCCGGUACCAUGCCGGAGUAAUUAAUUUACCGUUGGAUUUAAGUUCAAGGAAUCCAACGGCUCAAAUAUAAUAAUUUUUGAAAUUAGAAAAUAAUUGGCUACCUUUGCAACCGGUUACACACACUCUAUUUUCCUCCUUUUUUUUUUCAAAUUCGUCUCUCAAAUCCCUAAUAAAUUUUUCAUUCUCAAAAUUGGCCUAUCUAUGUUCAAGCCCUAAUUUUUUCAUUCUCAAAUUUGAUAUCUCUCUUCAAGCCCUACAUUGCUCAGUGGGAGGCAGGAAUCAGAAUGAAUAAAGGUAUCCUUUUUUAUUAAAUUUCUAAUUUUUCAAAUUUGGCUUUCUCCUUCAAAGCCCUAACUUUUCAAACUUGAUCUUUCUCUCCUGAAGUCGUACAUUAGCUCGCUGGGGAGCAACGCCGAAUGAAUAAAAGGUAUUUUUUUAUAUUUUAUUUUGUCUUAUUUCUUAUUUUUGGAAUUUGCAUUUCUCUCUAAAAGCACUAAUUUUUCAAAUUUGGUCUCUCUCUCUCAAAAUCCUACAUGAGCUCAAUGGGAAGAUGACUCGUAAUGAACAAAAGAUAUUUUUCUUUCUAAAUCUUUUUUAUUUUGGUUAAAUUUCUAAUUUUUAAGAAUAUGGGUUUUUGCUUUCCAUAUUGAAUAUCUAAGAAUUUGGAUUUUUGGUUAAAUUCUUAUGAAACAGAUCUUGAAUUUAAUUUUAUAUAUUUUUUUUCUAUGGCUUUAAGUGUUCUUGAGCAUUUUGUUAGAUUCUCGUCAGGAAACUCAAGAUUUCAUGAUGGGUGUGUGUGAUUAUUAGGCUUUCCCCCUCCCCUCUCUUUAAAUGGCUAAGUGUUUUGGGUAGACUAUGGUCUUGGAGCUUGGAUUAGUUGCUUAUUUAUUGUGAUAGGUUUUGCUCUAAAAAUUUUCAUUUUUGAUUGCAGUUCAUAUAAUCAAUAUUUCUUUAUUAGGCAGUGAUAUAAUAAAUUCCGGACUUAUUUUUUUUAAAGAUGGAUCUUACUAUUUAUUUCUCGUACAAACUCUGGUUAGGUGUUGACUCAACACUUGGGGCUGGAGCAUAUAUUCUUGUUGGAACAGUUGCUAGAGAGCAUUCAGGACUGGCACUCACCCUUUCGUUUCCUUAUAGCUGGAAUAGCUUCUGCUUUUUCAGCCUUUUGCUAUGCUGAGCUUGUAAGUCGUUGGCCAUCUGCUGGGAGUGCCUAUCAUUAUUCAUACAUAUUUGUUAGAGAAGGGUAAGUCCUUGUUACCUUUAAUAUUGGUAUAACUCGUAAUAGUCAUUUCUUAGAGAUGUAGUUUAUUGAUUCAUAUAAUUGGAUCUUGUUUCUAAAGUGGGAUAAACUAGUGAUUAGCUGGGGCAUAGUAAUCGUUAUUAAUGUUUUGGUCUAAUAAAUUGAUUUAACUUAGUUGAUGUUGUAUUUUGGCAGUGUUAGGUGGUUGAUUGGCUAGCUCUGAUACUUGAGUACACAAUUGGCGGGUCUGCUGUUCCUCGUGGCAUAUACCCGAAUCUGGUCUGGUGAAUUUUAUCGAGCUUUGAUUGUAUAUUUAUUUACUUUAGUUGUUACUAUUGAGUCAUAUGUGUUUUGCACUAUCAACUAAAUUGGAAUGGUUUAAUUGUAUUAUUUGUUCAUUUAGCUUGUUUACUUUUUCCUUUCCCUUAUUUUCUGUGAGUUACCUUUUUGACAACUAAUCAUCUUUGUAUUGAUUUGAAUUCAUAUAUUUUAUGAGGGAGGUCUACAAUUGCCUAUGCAAUUUAAACAUUUCUGUUCUUAUGUUGUUGUUAUUAAUGAUUACAGGCUGUGCAUUCUUCCUUUCUUUUUGGCUCAUCAAGAAAUUCCUAGACUUGACAUUAUUGUUGAUCCCUGUGCUGCAAUUAUUGUGCUUUUUGUUAUUGGACUCCUGUGUGUGGGAAUCAAGGAGGUAUCCAUUUGUUCCUUUCAAUUGUAUUUAUAUUUCUCUUAUCACUUUUUUCUAUAUAUAUUUCUGUAUUGAUUCUCAAAUAUGUCACACCUGAUGAGGUGCCAGUUCUAUCCACACUUCAGUCAUUAAUUAAUUAUGUAUCAUUGCAAUUUAGUCAGAGUUCUCUGGCUAUUAGUGGGGAAAACCUUGUUGAUGUUGGCACUUUGAAAUAAACUCAGCCUUGCCAAAAAGGGUGGAGCAGCCAAUUAUCCUUUUAUAAAAUGAGUUCAAGGUAUUGUGCAACCUUUGUAUUUGGUCAUCUAGACCUUUAAAAUAUGCAAUUCUUGUAAAUUUUCAAAUAAUGAGGUGCAAUUUAUUAUUGCUUGAUCAAUAGCUGCUCUAAUUGGUGUGCCUGAAUUCACUGUGUGGUAAUUUUCCUAAUUUCAAAAGUAAAUAUAUUCUUAACUUGCCAUGUGCUUAAUCCGAAUAUGAAAAGCUGUGUUAUCUAAUGUAAAUUACAUCUCUUUGGAGUGUGUUUGAAUUAUGAUCCUUUCACCAUCAUAUUUAAACUUAUAGAGGUUGGAUUGAGCUGGACUCUUUGAUAUAUUACUCUCUCGAUUCCGCUGCGACAUUUAUUUCUUUUACCAUGCUUUUUGUACUUUAUCUUCUGGGUUCUGCUUAAGUGUUUAAUUAUGUUUUAUAUGACUAUUGCAUACAUUUAUAAUGAAACAAGCAAACAGUUGCUGGAUGGACUGUAAUUGUAAUUAUGUUUUAUAUGACUAUUACAUGCAUAGGGGUGUUUGUAUAGGGAUGUUUGCUCUUACAUAUGGAGCUUCAGAUUUGAGCCUUCAUUAUGUUACCUUUAACUCUUUAUGCGUUUUAUUUCUUUUCUUUCAUAGCUUUCUUUAGCAGUGGAAGAUUUUGCUACUAUCUUAGAUUUUUUCUACUGGUUUUAGGUAGUCUUCCAACUUUUGUUUAUGUUGUUUUUAGGCAUUUUUCACUGUUGUUUUAGGGUAAUUUUUAUUGCUGUUUUGGGCAUCUUUUUCUGCUGUUUUUGGGAAUUUUUUAUUGUUGUUUCUUGGUUAUAUUUGUUGUUUUGGUGCUUUUUUCCUGCUAUUUUUUAGUGUAAUUUGUUGUUGCUUCUUAUUGUGAUUUGUUGUUGCUUCUUAUUAUGAUUAACGGCUAUUUUUAUCUUAUCGAUUAACUUGAAAAUUUUAAUUAUUUGCAGGGGAGAAUUCAACCGGAUAUUGCUUGGUUCUAUAAAUUAUCUGGCAUAAGUGUUUUACUGGAAACUUUUUGAUGUUGCGUAACCUCUUGGUUUACAAAUACGAAUGAAAUUGUAAUUAGUUUGUAACUCAAUUUGACGAUGCUUUUAUUUUUUGGGAGAUUAUGCUUAUAAUAUUUUUUUUUCUUUUUAUAGCCUACUCUUAUAAAUGAGUGCUCUUGAUUUUCAUUAUUUUGUUUUUCAUUAACAAAUUUCUUUUGAAAUAAGUGUACUGUAGUUUGUUUUCACACAAUUAAAAAAAAAUGAAAAAAUUGUGAUAUAAUUUAAUCCAAAAUGAUUUAAGAUAUACUAGGUUCUAAGCCCUCAAAUGUGCCAUCAAUUUGUUGCAAUCUUUAGGUUUGGGGGGUGUUAUUGGUGAUAUUGAAAUUCUACGUCGUCAAUUUUGGAUGUUUAGUAUAUGGAUUUACCCUGGGAAGAUUUUCGCUUCAUUUUUCUUAUAACAAUGAUCAUAGUGAUGUUGCCUUUUUCUUUCUACCAUAUUUUCUUUUUAUCCCUCAAUAUUUUUUUGUUUUGCUAGCAUAUUUUCAUUCAUAAACGAUUGUAAAUUUCAAUUGAGCUUAGAAUUUUUGUGACUCAGUAAUUUAAAAUAUCCACCAUGAUUAGUUUGUUUAAAAAAAAAUCAAACAAAAUACACCUAAAAAAUAUUAUUAUGCAACAAAUAAGAAUAGUGAUUUUCACUUGAAUUAUCAAAUUCUUUUUCAAACUAUUAUUAGACUAAAGUAAGGGAAAAAAUUGGAUAGAUAUGUAAUUUUAUUAUAAUUAAUUGGAUUUUUUUUUCAAAUUACAAGUUCUUUUUAAAGCCAACAUUUUUAUCAAUCAUGUAAAAAAUAGUUAGACAAUUAAAUUUAUAUGUGUAAUGUAAUGAACACAUUUAUAAUUUGUGUAUGAGUUAAAUAAAAAUUAGUAAGUUAGAUAAAUUCCCAAAUAUAAUUAUUGGGUAUAAGUUGAAUUUAAUUCAAUUUAAUGUAUCUUUAUUAAUAAAAUCUAGUUUAGUAAAAUAACAUGAAUCUAAUGAGUAAUUAAUGGGGUUUCACCACAAACAUAAGAUCAAAAUAUUCAUGUGUAUGUAUGCGCGCACUCAUGUCUCUAUAUAUAUAACUCUAUAAUAUUACAAGAGCUUUGAAUAUUUUAAAACGCAAGAGAUUUGAUAAUUCCAAUUCCAUAGCAAAUUAUUUGUUUAUUUUCUAUUAUGUUUUACAAAUUUAUAAUUUAUAAAAUUCUAUUUUUGUUACUAUUAAUUGUAUUUUUUUCAUAAUUUUUUAAUUAAUAUAUUAUCUUAAUUAAUAUUUAAAUAGUACACCGUUUUAAAGUGUUUAAAAUUCUGGACAGUGACAUGAACCAUUAUUGAGCUAACAGUUAACCGACAGUUUCCAAAAACAUGUUAAUUUAAUUCUACAAGAUAACAAUGAAUCGUUUAUUUGAUAACGGUUAGCCGAUAUCUUCCAGAAAGAAGUGUAUUUGGUUAUUUGAUUCUGGAAGAGAACGGUGAACCUUUUUUUAGAUAAUGGUGAACCGAUAUCAUCCAGAAAGGUAUAUGAUUGCAGAUAAAGAUCCGUUAAGGGCAAAGGGUAGCUAAUAGCAAUUGCAAAGUUACUGGACAAACACAGCGAACCGACAUCCAGGUAAUGGUGAACCGCCAUUUUAAAUUUUAAAAUUUUAGGAAAGGUGUGUGUGAAUGAAACGGGGGGGAAAUUUUUAAAAUUUUUACUUUAUUUAAGACAUGUGACAUUAGACGUCAAACAUACAACUCUGACGUCCAACAUGCAACAACUGACGUUAAACAUGAAACCUACAAUAUUUUGCGUCAAACAUGCAACAUAUCACGUAAAGUAUGCAACUUUGAUGUCAAACAUAAAACAAGCGAGAAUAUUCGGGAAUAUUCUUUAUUUUGGCUUUAUUCAAGACAUACAACAUCUAACGCCAAACAUGCAACCCUGACGUCCAACAAGCAACAAUAGACGUAAAACAUAAAACCCGCAAGAAGUCAUGUUAAAUAUGCAAUUUAUCACGUAAAGUAUGCAACUUUGAUGUCAAACAUGAAACGGACAAGAAUAUUCUUUAUUUUGGCUUUAUGUAAAACAAGCAACAUCUAACGUCAAACAUGCAAGCUGGACGUCAGACAUGCAAUAACGGACGUUAAACAUGCAACCUGCAACACCGCACGUGAAAUAUACAACUUAUCACGUAAAGUUUGUAACUUCGACGUAAAACAUGAAACAGACGAGAAUAUUCGAGAAUAUUCUUUAUUUUGGCUUUAUCCCAAAUAUGCAACAGCGAAGGUCAAACAUGCAAGUUGGACGUCAGACAUGCAAUAACGGACGUUAAACAUGCAACCUACAACACUGCACGUGAAAUAUACAACUUAUCACGUAAAGUUUGCAACUUCGACGUCAAACAUGAAACGAACGAGAAUAUUCGAGAAUAUUCUUUAUUUUUGCUUUAUCCAAAACAUGCAACAUCGAACGUCAAACAUGAAACCGGGACGGCCGACAUGUAACAACAGACGUUAAACAUGCAACCUGCAACACUGCAUGUGAAAUAUACAACUUAUCACGUAAAGUUUGCAACUUCGACGUCAAACAUGAAACAGACGAGAAUAUUCGAGAAUAUUCUUUAUUUUGGCUUUAUCCAAAACAUGCAACAUCGAACGUCAAACAUGAAACCGGGACGGCCGACAUACAACAACGGAUGUUAAACAUGCAACCUGCAACACUGCACGUGAAAUAUACAGCUUAUCACGUAAAGUUUGCAACUUCGACGUCAAACAUGAAACGAACGAGAAUAUUCGAGAAUAUUCUUUAUUUUGGCUUUAUCCAAAACAUGCAACAUCGAACGUCAAACAUGAAACCGGGACGGCCGACAUGUAACAACGGAUGUUAAACAUGCAACCUGCAACACUGCACGUGAAAUAUACAACUUAUCACGUAAAGUUUGCAACUUCGACGUCAAACAUGAAACAGACGAGAAUAUUCGAGAAUAUUCUUUAUUUUGGCUUUAUCCAAAACAUGCAACAUCGAGCGUCAAACAUGAAACCGGGACGGCCGACAUGCAACAACGGACGUUAAACAUGCAACCUGCAACCUGCAACACUGCACGUGAAAUAUACAACUUAUCACGUAAAGUUUGCAACUUCAACGUCAAACAUCAAACAGAUGAGAAUAUUCGAGAAUAUUUUUUAUAUUGGCUUUAUCCAAAACAUGCAAUAUCUAACGUCAAACAUGCAAGCGGGACGUCGGACAUGCAACUACGGACGUUAAACAUGCAACCUGCAACACUGCACGUGAAAUAUACAACUUAUCACGUAAAGUUUGCAACUUCGAUAUCAAACAUGAAACGAACGAGAAUAUUCGAGAAUAUUCUUUAUUUUGGCUUUAUUCAAAACAUGCAAUAUCGUACGUCAAACAUGAAAUCCAACCGUCGAACAUGCAACAACUGCUGUUAAACAUGAAACUUGCAGCACUUCACGCGAAAUAUGCAAUUUAUCACGUAAAGUUCGCAACUUCGACGUCAAACAUGAAACGGACGAGAAUAUUUGGGAAUAUUCUUUAUUCUGGCUUUAUUCAAGACAUGCAACAUAUUACGUCAAACAUGCAAGACGUCCGACUUGCAACAACAGACGUUAAACAUGAAACUUGCAACACUUCACGCGAAUUAUACAACUUAUCACGUAAAGUUGCAACUUCGACGUCAAACAUGAAACAGACGAGAAUAUUCGGGAAUAUUCUUUAUUUUGGCUUUAUUCAACACAUGCAACAUCUUACGUCAAACAUGCAAUCGAGACGUCGAACAUGCAAUAACUGACGUUAAACCUGAAAUACUAUUUUUUUCAUUUUCAAUUUCUUUAUUUUUUUUCAUUUUAUUUAAUUAUAUUAUAUUGUAUUAUAGGGUUUGUAUUAUAUUAUUUAAUUUCUUUAUCUUUUGCUAUUAAUUAUAUUAUAAAAAACUAUUUUUGACAUUUUAUUUAAUUUUUUCAUUUUUAUAUUGUAUUUUUAAUAUAUAUUUUUUAAAAAAUAUGGUGCAACCGGUUUGUCAACCGGCUGCAUCAAGUCUUUGGCUGCCAAAUGGCAGCCAAAGACAGUCGGGCUCUCUUUUUGAGAGCCCGGCAUUGUAGCCAAACCCAUUCAAAAUGGGGCAAAAUUAUGGUAUCACAAUGGUACCGUAUUAUGGCCGGAUCCAGCCUACAGUUAUCAUCAUAAUUGGAUUCAACGGUUGGAUCCAUUUGUAGUAUAGUAUCACUGUGGUAUCAUAAAUGGACCCUUUAAAAUAAUACUUUUUUUAAUUAAAUAAGUGAAAAUUAAACCUACAAUUUAAAAUAGAGGACUGUAGAUGCGUAUAAAUUGAAAAAGGUAAAUUUUGUGUAUGCGCAAAUAUUUUAGUUAACAACAAAAAAUUCUAACAAGUUAAUAUAAGAGUAUCAUAGCACAAGAGAAUUUUUUUUUUUUUUAAUGUUAAGAGUUAUCGAGAUACCCAAUAUAUAUGUGUGUGUGAGAGAGUGGAGGAAGAAAAAAAAAUUAAGAAUAGUUUUGGCAUUUUGAUGGGUUUUAUACAGUAAAAUCUAUAUUUUCAAAUAUGAUAAUUCUUUAAUUUAAUUUGGUGUUAUGAAAAAAAGGGCAUUUUAAAUAUGUUUUAAGUUAUAAAUAACACCAUCCAAAAUUUAAAAAUGAAAUCUUAGGGGGGAAAAAAUUUCACCCGAACUAAGGCCCAAAGUAGCCACGGCAUUUUUCACCAAUUCUCCAAUUCCCAAUGUGGUCUAAUUAUUUAUAAGGAAUAUGAGUAGGGGUGGGCACGGUUCGGUCUGGUUCGGUUUGGAUCGAAAUUAAGCAGAACCGAUUAAAAUCGGUUAUUUUAUAAAAAGAACUAAAUAAGAACCAAACUCAAUAAAAACCGAACUCAAUAAAAACCAAACAUAAACGGAUCUUUUCGGAUCGGUUCGGUUUAGUUUUUUUCGAUUUUGGGCCUAUUUUGAAUUUCUAAAUUGUUAGCCCAUUAGGCCUCAUGAAUGUAAUAAUUUUAUUCAACAAUUAAUUUAUCCUAAUUUCAUUACAAAUAUUAACAAUAAAUACAAAGUAUUCAAAACACAUUUUAUCACUAAUAUCUUACUAACUACUAAUAAGGUACUUACAAAAUAUGAAAUAUUAAGAUUUGAAAAUACAUAAUCAAACUACAAUACUCCAUCUACAUAAACAUAAUGUUGUAAAGACAAAUAAAAAUAACAACAAUUAAAACUUACAACACAAAAUAAAAAGAAAAUUUGGAAACAAACACGAACAACAAUUUUUAAAUAUAUAUAUAUAUAUAUAUAUAUACCCGUAAUCGUGUGUGUGCAUGCCUAUUUUAGUUAUCUCACGCAAUCAAUUAAAAUUUAACAUGUGUCUAUUUAAAUAAAAUUCUAAAAAUAACUCGAUUUUUUUGUUCGGUUUUUUGGUUCAGUUGAGUGAACCGAAUACCAAACCUGUAUUUCAAUUUUUUUUACAAACCAUAUAUUUCAGUUAUUUUUUAAAAUUAAAACCAGUCCGAACGGAAUGGAACGGUUCGGAUCGAUUUUCUCUAGUGCACGGUUUUUUUUACCCACCCCUAAAUAUGAGAUUCUCUACCACCCCAAUUUAUCCCAUUGUUAGCAAUCCUAUUAGCUGUUUUAUAUCCUAUUUUUAUUAUGCUCCCCAAACAAAUAUGUUUCACCUAAAGGUGCCCAACGGGCUGCACCGUCCGUCUGAAUGAGCCCACGAGAGGCUCCCCAUGACACGGCAAUCUUUUCUUUUUAACGAGGGCGUGCCUGAUAUGCUUUUUCAAGUCUACAUAUGUAACGUUCUUUUUUUAAAUCCAUAUAUUUUUUUAAGCUCAUGUCAAAUUCAGUAGUAAGAGAAUGCAAUGCUAGUUAAUAAGCUAAAGUGCACCCGUGCCACUUUUUUUUCUAGUUGUUUUAUUUGUAUGAUAAUUAUCAUGGACCCACGUAACUUUCUUUUGCAUUUAAAAUUUCAUAAUAAAUUAAAUUAGACAAAAGAAAUGAGUCCCACAAAUAAUUUAUUUUAUAAUUUUGUAAAUAAUACUAUUUUAAAAUAAAUUAUCAAAACAAAUUUCAUAUUCACUAAAAUUAAUCAUCUUCAUAUUAUAAAAUAAAUAAAAAAAACAACAUUUUAAAAAUAAUGCCAACUACACCCUUAAAUUUUAUGUACGGCACUAGAAUUAAUGAACAAUUUUUGACAAAGAUGCUGCGACCUAAGUAGGGAUGGCAAUUAAAUUCAGAGCCGGCUCGGAUCUGUAAGGAUCCGAAAGAUCCAGAUCUUGAAAAAUCCGUAUCUGCAUAUUAAAAAAUGUGGAUCCGGAUAUAGAAAUUUGGGAUCCGCACGAAUCUAGAUGCAAGUGCAUUCGGAAAACCGGAUAUCGAGAUCCGGAUAAAUUUUAUUUCCAAUUAAAAAUUAAAUGAUACAUUUAAUUUAGAUUAUCAAUCCUAUCUGAAACUUAUUGAAUGAUACAUUUCAUUUCUAUAAAAUUGAGUUACUAUUACCACCUCACAUCUUAUAAAUUCUAGAAAAUAAUCAAGGCUUGACAUACUUUUAUUUAUGCAAAAGCAUAAGAAAAUAAUUUAAAGUACUAAUUAGUGUACUAUUCCUCAAAAUUCUAGAAUAAAUUUGCUAGUUCUCUUUAGUCAUAGAUUGAUCCAUGAUUGGCACCGCAAUAGCUCAGAAUCACCUCAACGAUUGUUCCACACGGCCCAACAUGACACACUGUAAACUAGUCUAAGAUGAACUUUCUGAGUGGCUUUUUAGCAAUAGUCUUAGAGAAAGUGUUUAGUAGUAUGAAGUCUUCUUUUUUAACACAAAUGUUGGCAUGAUAUUCUUAAUAUAUUUCUAAAAUUAAAAUAAGAUGCAUAGAGGACAACAAUAAUUUUAUUUCAUAAUUGAAUUUUUUGCAAAAAAAGUUUGAACAUGAGAGUGAUGAGAGAUGAGAAUAUUGAUGAUGGUGUGUACUUUGGAUGGAAAAGUAGAUUGGAAAUAUAUAUAGACAUAUUAAAAGAAAAAAAUUUGGUCUAUUUCUUAAGAGAAACAAAAAAUUAUAAACGUGGGUGUUAAAAUGUAUUCAGAAUUUAUAAAUUUUUAUAAAUAUGAUAAUCAUCAGACCCUUAUAAAAGUAUAACAAAAAAGUUUAAAAUUUUUUAAUAAAUGUAGAAGAGAUGAACGAAGAAAUCAUCCACCAGUUCAGAAUUAACAAUCAAAGAUAUGAGGACUUGAAUGAAAAAAUGGUGAAAAAUAAAAGGACACUGGGUUGGUUAGCGGGACCCUAAUAUUAAUGGUGAAAAAUAAAAGGACACUAGGUUGCUAUCAAUUUCUACCGUGUGGGUUCAUAGCCGGGGAAGUAAUUGGGCACAAAUAUCUCGGAUGAGAAAUAACCAUUUUAUCCCGCAACCAUAUGUUUAUGGCCUCUAAAAAUUUUCACCUCUUUCACUUCUGGAACCCGUGCUUUCUGGCACAUGCACAAUACUUGGUUGCUACUUAUAGAGCGUUUUUAGAAUUGCAACGACAUGGUGCUCUUUGAUAAUUCAAAAAUCCAAUAUAAUUUAUAGAGAAUUACAGAAUUGUGGUACGUGAUAAUUUUCUGAUGCAAUGAGGCGCCGAAAUUCUUAUACAUGUGAUCUAGGUUAUAUAUGUAUAAUUAAGUAAUUAGAAAAUACUAGUUGGGGGUAUUUAUGUCCAUGAAAAUUUACAGCUGGUUGUUGACAUUACACUGCGGGUGUGUAAGUGUAAUCUUGGAUCCGACCAUUCAAAUUAAAAAAAUGGGGGUCCCGCUAGCUUGCGGAGUUAGUAAUUAUUACAUAUGCAGAUAUGCUCCCGUACGAUAAUUUUAUCAUAAAUUUAAAGGAUACGAGGACUAGCUUGAAGAAAUGAACGAAUAUUUGAAUCAAAACAAAUUUUAGAAUAAAGACAAGUAUUAAUUUACUAUGAAUGUAACUUACAUAUGCUGUAAGUUAGCGUGACACUAUUGAAUCACAAGCAAAAAACAAUCUGUCUUCUUCUUGAUUCCGUAAUUUGGCUGUCAAAAUGCAAUCUAUAAAGAUUACGAUACCUCGAUUCAAAAUAUGUUGUUUUUGAUGAAAUAAAUGAAAAUUGAACGUACAAUCUGUCACGACCACCCUGGAUUCAAAAAAAUAUUAUUUCUAAUGAAAUAAAUGAAAAUUGAACGUACAAUCUGCCACGAACACUAUUCAAUUAACCGUUUAUUUCUCCUUAAAUUUUUAAUCUCAAAGAAACAUAGAUUUAAUGGGAACUACACAUAUAUAAAAAUACUAUAGAUUGAAGAAGUUGAAUUUUUCUUGUGUGUUAAGUAUUUUUGUUAAUACGAAAGGAUUCUAGCAAGUUAAUACAAAAGUAUCAUAAAUUCAUUGUAGUACAAGAGAUUUUUUUUUUCCUUUGAUGUUAAGAGUUUUGGAGAUAAAAAAAAAAAAAAGGUGAAAGAAGAAGAUGAGAGAAGAAAAAAUAUUAAGAAUAGUUUUAGCAUUUUGAUGCGUUUUAUAGAGUAAAAUCUAUAUUUUAUAGUAUAAAAUGGUACACCCAUAAUUUAAUGAUAAAAUUUUAGGAAAAAAUUGCACUCGUCAAAAAAAGAAAAAAGAAAAAAGGCUCAGCUUAGCCCAAAAUUUUUUUAUUAACCUUCUAGUCACUAAUGUAAUCUCUUUUUUAUGAGAUUCUUUGGCGUUUUAAUUCAGUCCAUUGUUAGCAAUCUAAUAGCUUUUAUGUGCAUCUAUUUUUUAUUGAAAUAUGUUUCAAACUUGAAUAAAAUCUGCGGGACAACUGGUAAGUAAUAAAGCUCAUCAUUUUUUUUUAUUUUGAAAAUAAAGGGAAUCACUUACACUUAGCAUGAUAUUAUUUUUGAUAAGUCAUUUUUUUGGUAGAUUAUUUUUUCUGACACGCUCUUAGAUUUAGUGAAAAUAAAUUGUAUACUUUUAAUGAAGAAAAGUAAAGAUCAACAAAAUAUUUUGUUGUUUUCGACAACUUUUGCGUUGUCAAGUGCGCCUGAUACCCUUUUUGUUUUUUUGAACAUGGGCCCACGUGCCAUUGUUUUCAUUUCAAGUUCAUAAUUUAACAGUAGAAAUGGGUUCCACAGAUAAUUUAUUUUAUAAUUUUUUAAAAAAUUACCAAAAUAUAAUAAAUAAGGUAAUAAUAAUUAAUAAAAUAGUAGAUUUUAAGAUGGAAAAAUAUUUUUGUGUACUUAAUAAAGAGAUGAUAAGAAUGGGAUGCUUUUGGUUUACAUUCUCAUAGCUAUUCAUACUGAAAAAUUACAUCAAAAUUUAAUUAAUAAAUCAGUGAACUGCAGACUUAUUAAAUUUAAGCUAUUUUACUUCUCAAAAAAAAAAAUUAAGCUAUUUUAAUAAGUCAUAAAUAUACUAAGUUAAAAUUGUAGUAAACCCAUUGUUACAGAAUACUCUCCAUUGAGUGUUCACCAUUUUAAGAUAAUCAUAAAAUGACACCGGAGGUGCUAUUAUAGCUGCCUCAUGGAAAGCCUUCACCAAUAAAAAUCCGGUGAGCAAAGUUGGUCAUAAGAAAAAGGAGUAUAGAGCACAUACAUCCAGUUUUUAUACCCUUUGAUGCUCAGUCGACACGUGCCAAUGCUAUAGACUAUCUGAUAAUCUACUAAGGUAACGCAUGCCAAUGCCAUAGACUAGCUUUUCAAAGGUUGAAGUGGGUAUACUUUUAGUAAAAAGACCUGCAAAAUUAGGCAAAUGCUAAGUUACAAUAAUUGUAACAUACAUUCCUCAUGUGAACCACAUAAAUUGUGGGUCCUAUAAUUUUGUGUGGUUCACAUGAGGGAUGUAUGUUACAAUUAUUGUAACUUAGAGGCUCCCGCAAAAUUAUAGUGUACCUAUUUGACAUCAACUUUUUUUAUCUGGUUUCGUAUUAUCAAAUACCUUCCCUACCCAUUUGUAUUCCAUUUGAUAUUUUCUAAAUGGUUGAAGGUAAAUUAGUAAAAAUUCAUUUUAAAAAAAAUUCAAAGAAAUUCAAGAAGAAGUUUUGUAUCUGCCAUUUGUAUUUGGGGUAUCUUUUUUUGGUUGUUGAGAGAAUGAGUUUAAAUCUAAAAUAUUUAUUUUCUUAUUAUAUAUUUUUCGUUGGAAAGAAUUUAAAUCUUAUUCUUAUUAGAUUUAUUCUCUUUAAACAAAGGUAGGUUUUUCUACAUGUAUUUAGCGUGUAUUUUAAAACUAUUGUUCAACAUAUCUUUAGAUUCUAUUAUAAAUAUUCAUAUCUAACAUCUCAAUAAUUUCCAACAUAUAAAUAUAUAUAAAGGGAGAUAGUAACGUUCUAAUAAGAAAUUUCUUAAGUUAUCAAGUUAAAAAAUAAUUUAAAAGAUAAAAAAAUACACAUUCUAAUAUAUUAUAUAACAAAAUAUAUUGUAUCAAAAUAUAUAUUUUGCUUACUUUUUUAAUAUAUCCCAUAUUAACUUAACAAAUCCUUUAUUUAACUAAUUAUUAUUAUUAUAUAUAUAUAUAAUAAUAAUAAUAUAUUAUAGUAGUUUUCUGAUAAGGAAUUUUAAAAUGUGAGAAAGUUCGGAAAAAUUUUAAAACCGCACGGCUUUACAAAUUUACAGUUUUAAGUUUGCUUUUAAAAUCAUACAGCUUUAAAAUUUUAUUAUACUUUUUCGUACUUUAAAAAUUUCGACUGAAAUAUAUAUAUAUAUAUAUAUAUAUAUAUAUAUAAUUUUUUAAAAAUAAACAAUUUAGAGUAAAACAAAGGACAUUCUCCGGGCCUUUUACCUGACUAGCAAUCUACCGUUUUGGAAUGCAAUAAAGUGAAAAUACUAGACUACCAGUCUACUAUUUUGGAUUGCAAUAAAGUUAAAAUGGGUUACAGCAAAAAAGUUAGAAAAAGAAAAAAGUGACAAUCAAUCUUGCCGGCAAUAUAUCAACUUUUUUGCUGGAUUAGUAUCACGGUCAAACACAAAUUAUUGCAAGCACUAGCAAAAAGCAAUCUAUGAUUUCGCAAUUUGGCUGUCAAAUUGAAUAACAAUAUGAAACAUAACUAGAAAUAUAAGCAAGACAGGAUUUCGAAAUCACCCAAAACUUUUUUCCUAUUUAUUUUGUUAAAUUUUUAUGGGGAAUUUUGAGAUGUUGCACAUUAACAUAUAUCUCUUACAACUUCAUUUGAACGCGUCAUCACCGAUCACUCAAUCAUAAUUUGCAUCGAAUUCAAUUAUAUGCGUGAAAAUGAAAAGAUCUUUGAGUGGUCAAAAAAUACACCGGUCCGUGUUACCAAUUUCUUAAGAAAUUAUAUGUUAUUCUGGAUUAUUAAUUUUAUUUUUAAGUAUUUCAGGAUUAUUAUAGUUUUUUAACUGUUUUACAAAUAUAAAAAAAUUAUAAGUAUGGGUCAGUUGAAAUUUAAUGGAAAAGUUUACGACAUAGUCAAUGUUCGAGAGCUAUUUUCAAUUUGAGGAUAAAACAAUGUUGCAAUUGUUGGCUUGUUGCAACAUUCCAUAACUUUUUUGUAUUUGUGGCUUUAGUAUAUGGCAGUCCUUGAUAUUGUAUAUUACAUAUAUCCUGCCUUCAACUCACUGAGAGUAAGAGUGCCACUGUUGUCAGUGUCCAUCUCUCUAAAUUUUUCCAUUAGCUUUUGCUUUUCUCCUGUUGGAAGAUUUUCCACAAUGACCUGAAAAUCCACUCAGUUUUAUCAGUAGAGGAAGCACAAUUAAAUGCAUAAAUUUAAUGGCUUGCACAUAUAUAGUGUUGUGGAAUUCCUUCAAGAUCCACUCUAAUUAAUCAAAUAACCUAAGCUUAUAGAACCCAAAUGAUUCAAGAUCAACAAUCUUUAAUCAAGAAAGCUAACCAGAUCAAACACAAGAAAUAACCAGAGAACAACAACAAGAAGAAGAUGAACCAGAAACAAUGAACACAAUAUAACGUGGUUCAGUACCAAAGUACCUACAUCCACGACCAAAUAAACCCCUCUGGGCUUGAAGCUUUUAUUGAACAAAGUGUUUACAAUGAGAGUAUUGAUGACAAAGAUUAAAUCUCUCCUACAGAGAAUUUUCUAUCUCUCAUCCUAGGCUUCUCAAAAUCGUGACUUUUUCUCUCUGUUGAUCAGCCCUGAGCCUAUGUAUAUAUAGCUCUGUUGUCCAGCUGUUAGCAGUAACGAAUUAACUAACUCUGGCCCCACAUAUAAGCUGACUCAGCACGCCACUUAGUCACAUAACAGAAUUAACUAAUCAGGCUUCACAAAUCUCCACCUUAGUUGAUUCUGUACCAGCUUCACUCAGACCUGGUUUAGAUAGUUAAUAUGCUUGACUUACAAGCUUGUAACUCCAAUCAAGUUCAGAGAGUUUCUGAACUUGACUGUUGGUAUUGGUUUUGUCAGUGCAUCUGCUGGAUUGACUUCAGUAGAGAUCUUUACAACAUCCACUACCCCUCUUUCAAUUUCUUCUCUUAUGAAAUGUAACCUCACAUCUACAUGCUUUGUCCUCUCAUGGUAUUUGGAGUUUUUGCUUAACUGAAUUGCACUUGAGCUGUCACAACAGAUUGGAAUUGUAUCCUGAGUCAACCCCAUUUCAGAUAUAAUCCCUCCAUUAUAACCAUGCCAUUUUUUGUAACUUGGAGUUCACCAUUCUCUGCCUUAAUGCUACAGCCUGACUGGUCAACUGUUCCUAAGGAUAUUAGAUUCCUUCUAAGCUCUGGAACAUAUCUUACAUUCUUUAGCUCUCUAUCUACUCCAUCAUGCAUAGUUAUGGUAACAGUUCCAAUUCCAGCAACCUUACAGGCCAAGUUAUUUCCCAAUAAAACCUUACCUGUAUCAACUUUCUCAAAAGUCUUGAAGAGUUGCUUGUUUGGGCUCAUGUGGAAGGAGCAACCUGAGUCCAAGAUCCAUUCUUCAGUGGGUUGUUUUUCUGCAGCUAUGAGAACAUCUGCCCCUUCUGAAUCCCCUUCAUCUUCUGAUGCAAUGGCUGCCUUCCCUGAUGAAUCUUUCUGGAUCUUUUCAAGUUUCUUCUUCUCGAAACAAUCCUUUAUGUAAUGCCCUUCCUUCUGACAGAAAUAGCACUUCCUCUUCUUCUUUUUCUUGUCAGCUUUAUCCUUCUGAUUGUUACUUUUCUUGUCAUGAUUCUUCUUCUUUUCAGGUUUUGAUUUGGCCAUCAGACCUUCACCAAGGCCCUGAUCUUUUCCCUCAGCUCUUUUCUUUAAUUCUUUUGAUUCCAGAGCAUUCUUCACAUCUUUUAAUGUAAGGGUCUGUCUCCCAUACAGUAAUGUGUCAACAAAGUGCUCAUAUGAAUCUGGCAGUGAGCUUAACAAGAUAAGAGCUCUGUCUUCAUCUUCAAGGUUCACAUUAACAUUCUCAAGAUCCAGGAUUAGCUUGUUGAAUUCGUCGAGAUGGUCUUUCAUGGCUGUUCCCUCCUUCAUUGAGAAUGUAUACAGCUUCCUUUUCAUAUAGAGUCUCUUGGCCAAAGACUUCUUCAAGAAUAGUUCUUCAAGUUUCGACCAGAGUCCAGAUGCAGAUUUUUCUUUAGCAACCUCUCUCAGCACUUCAUCAGACAGAUGCAAGAUUAUGGUGCUGUGAUCUUUGUUGUUAAUAGACCUUAUGUCUCCACCCAAGCUUGAGGAGCCUUCUGAUCUCUCCUUUUUGCCAAUCUGAUCUUCUUCAUUAUCAAGAGCACUGUCAAGCCCCUGUUGGAUCAAGAUUGCACGCAUCUUGAGACUCCAUAGGUAGAAGUCAUUUUCUCCAUUAAAUUUUUCUACAUCGAAUCUUGUACUAGCCAUUUGUGAACAAGAGCUGAGAUCUUUUAAUGCUCUGAUACCAGUUUGUUGUGGAAUUCCUUCAAGAUCCACUCUAAUUAAUCAAAUAACCUAAGCUUAUAGAACCCAAAUGAUUCAAGAUCAACAAUCUUUAAUCAAGAAAGCUAACCAGAUCAAACACAAGAAAUAACCAGAGAACAACAACAAGAAGAAGAUGAACCAGAAACAAUGAACACAAUAUAACGUGGUUCAGUACCAAAGUACCUACAUCCACGACCAAAUAAACCCCUCUGGGCUUGAAGCUUUUAUUGAACAAAGUGUUUACAAUGAGAGUAUUGAUGACAAAGAUUAAAUCUCUCCUACAGAGAAUUUUCUAUCUCUCAUCCUAGGCUUCUCAAAAUCGUGACUUUUUCUCUCUGUUGAUCAGCCCUGAGCCUAUGUAUAUAUAGCUCUGUUGUCCAGCUGUUAGCAGUAACGAAUUAACUAACUCUGGCCCCACAUAUAAGCUGACUCAGCACGCCACUUAGUCACAUAACAGAAUUAACUAAUCAGGCUUCACAUAUAGCUUACUGAAUAUAAUAACAAGUACUUCGCAAUAAAACAUUGUUGGUGAGGAAGUGCAGAUGCAGAAAUUCGAUCAAGCAUUUAACUAAUGAUUGUCGCUGUUGUAUCCAAUUCUCAUACUUAGCCCUAAUAUGAGCUAGCUCCUAAAUGGGAAGAAUCUUUUUAAUUACAUGCGUAUGUAUAUAAUUAUUAGUUAGCUAGGUGUGGUCAAUGUCAUCUGUAUUUUAUCAAUGGAAUUUUAAUUAGGUGUGCGCGACAUCACACAUUGUGCACUAGAUCAAUCCUCUUGUCAAUUAAUAUAUAUUAUAUAUAUAUAUAUAGACACGUAUGUGAGUGGAGGAAGAAAAAAAAAUUAAGAAUAAUUUUGGCAUUUUGAUGGGUUUUAUAGAGUAAAAUCUAUAUUUUCAAAUAUGAUGAUUCUUUAAUUUAAUUUGGUGUUAUGAAAAAAAGGGCAUUUUAAAUAUGUUUUAAGUUAUAAAUAACUCCAUCCAAAAUUUAAAAAUGAAAUCUUGAGAAGGGGGGGGGGGGGGGGGGGGGGGCGGAAUUUCACCCGAACUAACAAAGGCCCAGAGUAGCCGCGGCUUUUUUCACCAAUUCUCUAAUUCCCAAUGUGGUCUAAUUAUUUACAACGAAUAUGAGAUUCUCUACCACUCCAAUUUAUCCCAUUGUUAGCAAUCUUAUUAGCUGUUUUAUAUCCUAUUUUUAUUAUGCUCCCCAAACAAAUAUGUUUCACCUAAAGGUGCCCAACGGACUGCACCGUCCGUCUGAAUGAGCGCACGAGAGGCUCCACAUGACACGGCAAUCUUUUUCUUUUUAAUGAGGGCGUGUCUGAUAUGCUCUUUCAAGUCUACAUACCUAACGUUCUUUUUUUAAGUGCAUAUAUUUUUUUUAAAGCUCAUGUGAAAUUCAGUAGUAAGAGAAUGCAAUACUAGUUAAUAAGUUAGAGCCUACAAAAUAAUAAUAAUAAUAAUAAUGGUUAACAUUUUAUUGUUAAUUUGAAUUUACAUACAGAUUAUAGUCCAUAAUAAUAUUAAUACUUACAAGUUUCAAAUUAAAAUUUAAUAAUUAACAUUUCAUAAACACAACUAUAUUAUCUAAUUUUGCAAUAACAAAUUAUAAUACAACAAUACAUAAUUCUAAUUUCAUAGACCAUAGUAAUAAAAUCUCUACGUUAAUGAAAAUUUUAUUUUGAUAUAUGUCGGUCUGCUUGCUAUUGAUGGUCGAUGGUUGUAUGCUAGCUUGCUAAUGAAGCGUGUUUAUUAUUGGUUUUUUCACGUGUCUUGCUUUACCACAUCUCUAAUCAAAUUGUGCUCUUAAAAUCCACAGCCUAACCUAGCCUCUGUGUGUGUCCUGUCGUGCCAUACUAUACAAACACGUAUCCGGUACCAUGCCACGUACCGGUCGGCCGGUCAGCCCUUAGCCAUCUCUAGUUUCACGUUCACACUUUCACUUUCACCCCUAAAUGAAAUCUAAACGGCUACUGGCAAGUAAGAAAACCUGUUAUUCUUUAUUUUGAAAAUAAAGGGAAUUGCUCAGUUUGAUAUUGUUUUUCGUAAGUCAUUUUUUGUUUUGAAACAUUUUUCUGAGAUGUUGUUGUAUUUGGUGAAAAAUAAAUUAUUUUAUUUUAUACUUUUAAUGAAGAAAAGUAGAGAAAAACAUUUUGUUGUUUUCGACAACAUUUGCCUUAUAAGUGCACCCGUGCCACUUUUUUCUUGUUUUAUUUGUAUGAUAAUUAUCAUGGACCCACGUAACUUUCUUUUGCAUUUAAAAUUUCAUAAUAAAUUAAAUUAGACAAAAGAAAUGAGUCCCACAAAUAAUUUAUUUUAUAAUUUUUAAAUAAUACCAUUUUAAAAUAAAUUAUCAAAACAAAUUUCAUAUUCACUAAAAUUAAUCAUAUUCAUAUUAUAAAAUAAAUAUAAAAACAAUAUCUGAAAAGUAAUGCUAAAUACACUCUUAAAUUUUAUGUACGUCAUUAGAAUUGAUGAACAAUCUGACAAAGAUAUUACGACUUAAGUAGGGAUGACAAUUAAAGUCGGAUUUGGAAAAAUUCAUGUCUGCAAAUUAAAAAAUGUGGAUUCAGAUAUGGAAAUUUUGAAUUCACACGGAUCCAGAUAAAUUUUAUUUUAAAUUAAAAAUAUAUAUUAAAAAAUAAAUGAAAAAAAUAAAAAAAUAAAUUUUAUUUGUGGUUUUAUGAUGUUGUUGUAUAUUAUUCAUGUUGAAUUAUUAAUGGUUGGAUUAUGAUUGAAUUUUAUUUGAUAUUAUUAGGUAAAUUAUUGAAUUUUAUUUAAAAUUAAAAAUAUAUAUUAAAAUUAAAUAAAAAAUUAUAUUUUAUUUGUAGAUUUAUGAGAUUAUUGUAUGUUAUUCAUGUUGAAUUAUUAAUUGUUGAAUUAUGAUUGAAUUUUAUUUGAUAUUAUUAGGUAAAUUAUUGAACUUUUAAAUUAUAUAUUAAAUUAUUUAAUUUUAAUUUUUACAGAUCUGGAUAUCCAAAAUAUCCUCCAGUAUCCGUUGCGGAUAUUACCCGCUUCUGGAUCCGCAUCUUUUUAUAUGAAUUCAGAUAUAGAAAUAUGAAUGCGAAUCCGAAUCUGGAUUUUACCAACCCUGAACCUAAGCAUGAAUGGGCCUAAAGUUUUUACAACAAACGUGGAUCAUUCAAUGACACGAGAUGUUUUACAGCUCUCAUUAGUAUAAUUAAAUAAUUAAUUCAUCUCUAUAUUCAACUUACUCCGUCUCAAAUUGCAUGCAAAUACGAAAAUUCACUUCUGAAUCGUUCACUUGAGGACAAUUCCAAAUUCUCCACGUAGAAUUUAGAUUCAAACCAUAGUAAAUUAGACAUAAUUCUAAUUUAUAUGGGAAAUAUAAUUAGCGAAGACACUCUUUAUAUAAAACAUUAUUGUCAUAGGAUGCCAAACCUAAUAAGAUUCAAGGUCUUAACAUAAUUCAUAUGAAAUUUGAUCUUGGAGCGUACCGACACGCAUAACAUCAAGACUCUACUUCAUAUAUUAUAAUGUAACUUCAUGGAUUUUUCGCUCUCUUGUGAAAUUGACAAAUUAUAGGUACUGUGUGGCAGUGGUACAUAAUAAAAUAAACGUUUAUUUUUAGAAUAUUAUUAUUUUAUCUCAAUUUUUUAUUUAAUAGUUAAUUUUAAUGAAUUCUUAAACUGUCAUAAUCAAUUAAUUUUUUACAUUAUCGCAUCUUAAAUAAAUUUUGGAUCUGUAAUAAAUAAAAACUGGUAACGUUUGUUCUUUUAAAACAUAAAACAACCGUAACAUUGGUUUUUACAUUUUGAAUUUUUCUUGCAUCACUAUUUAGAAAAAUGAUGUUAAAUCAACUCACAAAAUAUAUCAAGCCAUCUAAAAUCCAAAUAUUAUUACAUUUGUAUUUGCAUUGUUAAAUUGUUGGAAUGACGGCAAAGCAAUUGAAAAGAUAUUAGAAAAAAAAAAUAAAGAUUGGCCAAGGAUUAUUCAUGUUUAGGAAAUGAAUUAACUUUUGAAAUAAUCAUUGUUAUAAUUGUAUUGUAGAAAUAAUCAAUUACCUAAUGUUUGUCGUGGUAAAUAUUAUUAACUUGUUUUCCUACAUCCGUGUUUAUGGUGGUCUCCUUUUUGUCCAAUUCUGUACAACAAAAUAUUUGCAUGUUUUUGAUAGAAAUUGGUUUAAAUGACAUUUGAAAUAGUAUAUCCCCAGACAAUUAACGAAAUAUUUGGAUGGUAGGAUGAAGUAAUAUAGUUUUACAAAUUACCAUAUUAGAGGUAAAAAAAAUCAAGAGGUUACUUCAGGUUAUUUCAGGCUAUAUCCAAAUAUUUCGUUAGUCUCAGUUGUGGGUUGGGCACUCAAUGAAAAGGAUUACAAAUUACCUAUAAAAGGCUAGAAUAAGCUACAAAACCCUAUCUCAAAACCCCAUCCCAGUUUAGAUGAAUGAAGAAAAAAGGUAAAUCUUGAAACUCCUUAGAAACUGAAGCCCAAAGUGAAGCAAGAAGAUGAACUCUAUCCCAAGCAAGCAAUAUGGCAUAUUUCUCCAUUAAUGGUUCAAAUAAAGUGAAUGGCUUUCUCUGAUGAAUGGGAAAUUGUCAAGAUCAAUAGUCAAACUCAUGCAAAGUAAACGGACUUAAUUCUUAGAGGCUACUCAUUCUAAGUCUUAAAGAAAAUUUUUCUAAUUUCUAAAGAUUAUAUGGGGAAAAAUCAUUAUUUUCUAACAUGGGAAAUUUGAUACGGUGUUUAAUGUCUGAUCACAAUCAUAAUAUGAGUACUAACAAAAACAUCUUUAAUCGGCAUGGUGCGAGUAAAACACCAUCACUUCAUCUUUGAUGGAAAGAUGAUAAUAUAAGGAGAUGGUGAAAUGGAUUUGGUCCCCGGCAGCUUGUAAUCAAAAGAAAAUAAAAAACUACACUAUCAUUAAUGAUUACCGAAGCUACAUAAGUAUCAAAAUCGGAAAGUAAACAAUUGCAAAACACAUCAAUGACUGGAGGUUAGGUUCUAAAACUUCCGCAUUUAAUUUUCAGAGCAUGUUAUGUAUUAUUCAGAAAUAUGCUUUCACUUCAGGCACUUGACCAAGACGCAUUAAACAUAAAAUGCGGCGUUUUCAUGGACUAGUACAUUCCAUGCUUCGAAAGUUUAUAUUUUAGACUGAUUGGUUUGAUACAUUAUUUGUUUAUUGCGUUUUUCUUGCUUUAAAUAUUAUGUUGGAUUGAUAAGUUUUGUACACAUUUAUAUUGCUCGCAGUAAAUAAUUUAUGACAUUUAAAAAACUAUCAACCGUCUAUCAAAAGAUUUCUACUAUAAAUAUAUAUACACAAAAAACUUUUAAUUUGGUCAAUUUGUUCUCUUAUUUAUUUUUGUUCUAUUUCUCUUUUCCUUUCCUUUCAUUUUACUGUUUUAUGGUACAAAAUAAAAAAAAUAACCUUGAAAUUUAAGGGUAAAAUACUCAUUUUACUAAAAUUCCGUUUACUAUGAUAAAGCUGUCAAAUGUCAAUGGCAUAGUACACGAGUGAUACAAAUUAAAAACAAUAAAUUGAAAGUUUUUAUGCGUUUUCAUUUUAUUUUUUUUUAUAGCCGAUUGAGAUUCCCCUUCAUUUUUUUAAAUUCAAUAGGUUUAGACCGUUUAACAAAUCUUAAAUUAAAAAAACCUGUGGUGUAAUAACAAACUCACAUCAAACCCUGUCCACUUUCAUCCCUAAUUAUAUUUACCACUUCAUACUCACAGUGAUAAUAACUGUGUAUCACAAUUGAUUUUGCAUACGGGUAAAAGUUCCAAGUCCGGAUAUUUAGUUAAUGAAAUUUGAUGAAAAGGGCAUGGAAGAAAAUAAGAAAUUAAAUAAUACAGGAGGUAUUAAUCAUUACAUCUUUAGUUAAUGAAAAUUGAUGAAAAUAUUUCUGCAGACGUGAGCCGUAAUUAUAUUACCGUUUAGAAUGAAGCAGAAGAGUUUACCCAAACUUCAAUUUAAAGAAUUUUUAUAUGAGAGUACCGGGACAAAAAGUUUAAUGCAACAACAUACAUUAAGUUAAUUCCAUAAUCUAUCCCCAAAGAAAGACAAACACAAGCUUAUAAGAUUAAAACUUUGGAAAACAUUAAAGAGUCAGACAAAAUUGUGUAAUCUUCAGAGUUUGGAGCAUAGUUCAUCCAGGAAAGCAAAAGAAAUAAUAAUAAUAAUAAUAAUAAUAAUAGUGGUGGUUUGAUCUCAAAAGGUGGCAUCAAAGUGGUAACUUUGAGGUAUUGGAAGCAAUAACAUCUUCAACUUUGUCCUGAUUUCGAAGUCCUUUAACCCAUCCGCCAUCAAUGGAUUGAAUGCUUCCAUUCAACCCAUCAUCCACAAAAUCACCAAUCCGUUUCACCUUCAUCUCCUUGGGCUUAACAGGGUACUUUCCAGAGAAGCAAGCAAAAAAAAAAUAUUCUGAGAAUCAUCGCCUAACACCUUGUUCAAGCUGUCAAUCGGGCAGAAAAGCAAGCGAAUCACACCCAACAAACUCCCUGAUUUCCUCAACGCUGAUCCUGUUGGAAAUCAACUCCUCAGUACUUGGAGUGUCUACUCCGUAGUAACAAGAAGCUAUGAUUGGUGGGCUUGCAAUUCUCAUGUGAACCUCAUUAGCUCCAGCCUCCUUAAGCAACCUAACAAUUUUUGAUGAAGUUCUUUCUCACACUAUCGAAUCAUCCACAACCACAACUCUCUUUCCCUCCAACCACAACCUUACAGGAGAGACUCGAGAGAGCUUAAGCUUGACACCAAAGUCCCUAAUUUUCUGGGAAGGCUCAAUGAAAGUUCUCCCAACAUAAUGUGACCUUAUCAACCCUUGUUGAAAUGGCACCCUGGCUUUCGCAGCGUACUCAAGUGCAGCCACCACUCCAGAAUCUGGUACUGCAAUCACAACUUCACACUCAACAGGAGCCUCGGUAGCAAGUACUUCCCCAAAAUGAUACCUCGACUCAUAAACAGACCUACCAAAAACAACAGAAUUGGGCAAAGCAAAAUAAAUAUGCUCAAAGAUGCACUGCUUAGGUUCAGGGUGAGGCAUCAAACAAAGUGAUUGAACCCCAUCUUUAUCCACCAUCAAAACUUCACCGGGAUAUACCUCUCUCUCUCUCUCUCUCUCGUAAGUGGCCUCAAUCAAAUAGUGCACAAGUCUCUGACGCAAAAACCAGAGCACUAUUACUCCUCCUACCCAUCACCAACGGCAUAAACCCAUACGGGUCACGGACUGCAACAAACUUAUCCUCAGUAACAAACACCAUUGAAUAAGCACCCUCAAGCUUCUCACAAACAUCCACAAUCCUCAAAAAGAACGGCCUAGCUUUCGAUAUCGGAAUCAAAUGGAGAACAACCACAGUAUCAGAACUAGUAUUAAAAAUGGACCCAUUAUCUUCAAGCUUAGCCCUCAAAGUGUUAUAAUUAACUAAUGUGGAACACCAACAGAACCAAACCUGUACCCAGCAACAAAAGGCUGCACAUUCUUAAGCAUAGAACUACCCGCAGUCGAAUAUCUAACAUGACCAAUGGCCAUAUCACCCGGCAAUUGAUCAAGUUUAGACUGAUUAAACACAUCAGGGACUAAACCAACACCAGUAAUAGACUGAAGAACUUUCACAGCAACUAUACCUGCACCUUCUUGGCCGCGAUGCUGCAUCGCGUGUAGCACCAAAUAGCACAAACGGGAGGCCUCUGGGUCACCAUAGAUGCCCACAACACCACACUCCUCACGGGGCUUAUCGUCGUCGUCAUCAUCAAAACUGCCAAAACCGUCAUCUGGGUAUUCUUUAUUUGUGGUGAAAAACUCAGAGAUGGGGUUUUUUGAUAGAACAGUGAAGUUAUUUUUGUGGAUUAAAGAUUGUUGUUUCUGAGGGAAAAAAGGGUUUUUUUGCAGGGUUUUGGAGAAAAGAGAAACAUGGGUUUUUUGCGACGGCUUAGGGUUAGCAGAGGGAGAUGGGUUUGAGAGAGGGCAGAUAUUGGCGGUGCCUGUGGUUGUGGCUGCCAUUAAUGGCUGAAUUUAUUCUAUUUUAUUUUAUUUUUUGGGUUGCCUUGCUCAAAGAAAAAACAGAGGUGGUGUGUGGAGGGAGACAGUGACGAAGGGUACUUUAAGUCGAGGGGAACUUGUUCUAGGUUUUUUUCUGGAAUUGUGAGGGAAUCUGAUCCUGUGUUUGUGCAUAUGAUUCAAUUACUUAUAGCUGAUACUGUUGUGUCACCACAAAAUCUAAUUGGGAAGCUUCAGCUGUCAAUUUUUUUCCAAGGGUUAAUUAGGUAGAACUUUCAUGUCGUCGAUUUUAUUUGGAGAUUCUAAAAGUAGUUUCCAAAUAAAGAGAUGGACCAAAAUCAACAAUGUGACAAAGAUACUUUAGAUUUUUUUUACUUGUGGGACAUGAAAAUUGAUGCAUGUUCCAAUGCAUUGCUCUAUCAGAAUUGGAAUUAAACUUAGUUUGUAUUCUCCUAUUCCGAAAGCAAAACUUAUAAGUGAUAUUCUAAGAAGAAGAAAUUAAGAACCAUAACAAAUUUGAAGAUUCUAAUUUGCUAGAAAUAUUGCAAUCCAAAACUAAGAAAGUUAAAACCAAUUAUUAGAAGAAAAAAGCAAGACGGAAGCUCCCAGAAUAUUGUUAUGUGUUGUGUGUUUCAGUUUGUAUUUCCCAAUCAAUAAGAAAAAGUAAGUACACAUGUUACAAAACUUUAAUAAAAAAGAUUGGAGGUGACAAAAUCGUCAAUCUUCUAAUUAACUUUCUCUCCUUUCAAAUUUCCUGAGUUUGGUAGAGACUGCUUAAGUGGUGUAUCUGUUAUAAACAGGCAAAACUAUGUUGCAACAGUGGUAUGGUACCACUGUUGCAACCAGCCAUUGGAUGCAUAGUUGUACAGUUACAUUAGCAAGAUCUAAUGGUUGAAAGCAACAAUGGUACUGUACUACUGUUGCAACAUAGCUGGACCCAUUAUAAACACCUGAAGUCAAAGUUAAUGUUUUAAUUGUUAAGAAAAGUUAGAAGAAGAAAUUUUUGUAUAAGAGAAUUGGGUUUAAAUUUUAGAAUUCUUUGGGAGGAAAUGAGUCUAAAUUCCAAUAAUAUAAUUCAGCACUAUUUAUAUAUAUCAUUAGUUGGGUGAAAAAUUAAUUUCCCUCCUUUGAUGUGAUUUUCAUCAUUUAUUUUCAUAUGAUGGUAAUUUUUUGUUUAGAGUGAAGUUAUUGGCACCCUUUCAUUAUCCUUAUAAAAUCCUACUUCAAAUAAAAUUACACUUAAAGACAAUAGAAUUAAAUAAAAUAGUUUUUUUUUCAAACAAAUUACUCACAUUCAUAAUUUUUUUUCUUCUAAUUUUCUACAGGUUGCUUUGUAUCUAACUAAAAUCAAUUGUACAAAUUUAGAAUAAUUUAUUAUUCUUUUUAAAUUUCUUAUUGAUUAAAUAUUUGUGUGCUUAAGAUAGUUUUAAAAUUAUAAGAUAAUAUAUAUAUAAUUUAAGCCAAUGAUUAACAUUAAAAAAUUUAUCUCUCAUAAAAGUUUUUAAUUUGUGCGUAGGGUAAUAAUAAAAUUGCAAAAGAAAUGAAAAAUAGCAUAGCACUAUUUUGAGUUUAAACAAUAAAAAAUUAAAUGAAAAAUUAGAAGUGUAUUUAAAAAAAGGAUAUUUUUGAAAAUAAAUAUAAUUUAAAACAAAAAAAAAAAAGAGUUUCAUGAGGGGUGCAAUAGUUCAACUCUUUUGUUUAUAAGUUUUAAGAUGUUGGUAUCCGUAGCUUAGCUUUUCCCUAAUUAUUAUAUUAAAAUGUAACAACAAUGAUGAUAAACCCUAAUUUCAUGGAGGUCAAAGAUUUUGGUCAUGCCGCAUUAAUUAGUUCGGUCAUACUUUCUACAAAUUUAUUUACAUUUAAUAAUUUGACCAAGACUAGGUAAGGCGCCGCUUGGAGUCAUAGAAUUUUAUAUGUCAAAAGUGCGUUUCACUUCAAUUAAGCCAUAAAUGUCGUUUAAUAUGCUCAUUUUGUAUUUUUUUUUUAAAAAGUUUUAUUAGUUUUUUGGUUUUUAAAAAUAUCAUUUAUUGGAGUUGCUAAAGUUGGUGGCGAAAUUGAUGGAAUUCUAGUAUCUCAUAAGGUAUCUCAUGAUUUAGUGCUAGCUUCCAAUCAACGUAAGAACAAAGGCAAAAACGAAAGUAAUGUUGGGCUUACAAAUGAGGACGAGGAGGAAAUAGAAAUGGGCUUGGUUAUUUCCGAUGCUAAAAGGCGAAGGUCUGAAAUUGGGCUGGAGGAAAAUGUGGAUCCUCAAAGUGGCACAUCUACUAUUAUGGAAAUGGUUAUGGUACCAAAAAAGGGGUUAGCGGUGGGUCCUGUCGAUCAGGCCCACUGCUCCCAAUGAGUACCCUUAGCUGGAACUGUCGUGGGCUAGGCCACCCACGGACAGUUCAGGUUCUGACAGAGUUGGUCAAAUCUAGAAAACCUUCUUUUAUUUUUUUAAUGGAAAUUCUUUGUUACAGACAUCAAUUGGAGCAUCUUAAACAAAAAUUAGGCUUUGAAAAUUUAUUUGUGGUGGAUCGAUUGGGCCGUAGUUGUGGGUUGGCAUUACUUUGGAAAGCCAAGUUUAAUGUUAGACUUUUAAAGUUUGCAAAAAAUUUCAUUGAUAUAGCUGUGAGUGAAACGGGUUCGGAUAUGGGUGAAUGACGGUUGACUGGUUAUUAUGGGUAUCCGGAAUUUGCUCGAAGACGAGAAUCUUGGAAUCUCCUCCGCCAUCUUGCUAACAGCUCCUCUCUUCCUUGGGUUUGCUUAGGGGACUUCAAUGAUCUUCUCUCCAGUGCUGAGAAACGAGGGAAGCGAGCUCACCCCAGUUGGAAGUUUAAUGGGUUUCGUGAGGCUGUGUCUGAUGCUGGUUUGGUGGACUUGGGAAUGGAGGGAUACCAAUUCACUUGGGAGAGGUCCCGGGGUACAAAUGCGUGGGUUGAUGAGUGAUGGGUGUCGAAGCCAGCAAAAAUAAAUACCUACUCUAAAUAAAUUGUGUAUAGUAAUUGAGCAGGGUCGUGUUCACAGAGAUCGGUAAUUAUUUAAAUCCUUUUGAAACGUAAAACGUAAAAUGGGGGAAUUGUUGAUAAUAAUAAAAAUCAAAUUAAAAUAACAAGAAUGCAAAUUAAAGUUGUAAUUCAAAUUAGAGAAAGCUCUGGUUGAAGGAAUUAACUCAGCUUGAUUCGACUACUGAUCAUUGAUUCAAAUAUAGAUUAUUAUUACUUAAAAAUAGACUGGUUAUAGCUAUUGAGACCCUCUAAUAGCCAAUCUCUCCUUAACUAGUCGAUAACCAAGGUACAAUCGUUGGUUAUUUCCCUAAUCAAUAGACAACCCUAGAUACGAUCAUAGGAUUUAAUCAAUUGACAGCCUGAAAAACCAGAGAGACCCAAAUCCUAAUAAACACAUCUGAUGAUUCAUUUAAAUUAGAUUGUUUAUUCUCACAACACAACUCUCUGCUAUGUUAUUUGUCACAAACAUUAAAUUCUUCAUACGAUGAAUCCUUUAAUUGACAAUAGAUUAAGUUGAUAAUUAAAUAGUGGCCAAUUACCUAAUUAACAAACUUGAUCAUGAAAAUAAUACAGAGAAUAAACAAAUACCCAAAAAGCAAUAAAACAAUUAAAGCACAAGAAAGAUCUCACAGUAGUGAUGAAUCAAAGCUUCAUUAUCCUUCAACCAGAAAAAUAAGUUUAGUUCUUCAUAGAGAGAAGAGAAAAAUUAAAAUCUAGGGUUUCUUUCUUUUCCUCCAAUCUAAAAUCCCCUAUUUUUCACAAUAGAUUCCUCCCUUAAAUACUCUCUCUCUCUUCUCCUCUAGAAUUCUAUUUAAAAUAAAAUACUAAUAUCUGAAAUAUUAAAUUCGUAAUUACAAAAAUAACCAAAAAUACAAAACACGUUAAACUAAAAACUGCAGGUCCGCAGUUAACAGCACGCACCCACGCCUUAUCAAUAAAGUUCUUCUGAUGCUCAUAAUUUCUCUAAGAGAACAAUCAUCCUUAAACAUCAUCUUAUAGCUCAAUUUUAUCACCAAUCAAUAGAAUUGCACCUACAAAAGUAAAACACAAGUAAAUUACUAUUAUUAAGUGCAAAACAUCGAUAUUAAGGGAAGUAAACAAUGCAAAACUAGUGCAUAAAUUGCACUCUAACAAAUUCCCCCACACCAAGAUGAUGCUUGUCCUCAAGCAUAUAACUCAAGAUUAUUCCCAAAUCUCCACUCAAUUCUCAUCUCAACUCAUCCAAAAAUAAUUUUAAGCAAGCAUACCUCAAGAAAUUAAGUCGAUCAACAUUCGAGAGACAAGGAUUUUAAAGCAUAGAAUUUCAUAAGAUAGAAUAAGAACAUUCAACCACCAAGAAGAUCCAUUCAAAAUUCAAGUGCAACAAGAUUUAAUAGCCCUCUCAAUAACUUCACUCCAUGCACUCAAAGUGUUUAGAGUGUCAUUUAUCCACUCAAAUCAAAUCAAAGAAUGCUAUUACCAUAAGCUUGCUCAUAUAUCACAUCUCAAUCCACAAAACAUGAAUAAAAUGCAAAAAUCUAAGGGUCUUAAAAGGGUUGUAAUGAGGUUAAAUGGGUGAAAUGAAAAAGAAAGGUCUACGAAGGAAAAAGAGAUCAAAACGAGAAGAAUGAACUCAUUGAAUGAACUUAUGAUAUCAAAAUGCUUAUUUCUACUCAAGUCACCAAGAAUGUAAACAUUUUUUUUCUUUUUUUUAAUUUUUCUUUUUCUUCUUUUUCUUCUUUUUUUUUCUUUUUUUUCUUUUUUUUUUGUUUUUGAAUCAAACAAAAGAAACAAACCUUGCACAAUUUAAUUCAAGCAUAAUGCUUGUUGAUCUAAUUGAGAAACUUUAAUACAAGGUAGAAAAAGCAACAAAAUAUAUUCACACAAUGAGUCCAAAAAUCUCCUUAAAUCGAGGCUCAAAAGAAGAAAAAUGGUUAAGUCGACGGAGAGAAUUAGAUGGGUAAUGGUUAAGGCUCAAACAAAGGUAGCAAAUAAAGGUCUUCGGGUAGAGAAAAAAAAAUGCAAGAAUAGAGAAAUGGAAUAUGGUUUGCCCUUAUCAUUUUAAUGCAUAAAAUCCCGUAAUGUGGCUUCAACAUGCAUAACAAAGCAAGUUCUAGAAUAAACAAACUAGGAUUGAUAUUCACAUAACAAAAAAAUAAUUAGAGCAAAGUGGUUGCUCAUAGGCUCAAAUCCUUACAAAGUUGAUAAAUUUGCCAUCAAAUCAUGUACACUCUUCAAAUGAAUCAACCAUCAAUAGUGGUGUAGAAUGAGAAGAAGGUAUGAGUGAGAUAUAAAAGGAAAGGUAAAAAAAAAAAUGUGAGUAAUGAAAGAGUAUGAUAGAAAGAAAAAAAAAUAGAUGUAAAUAAUUUGAGAUAGAUGGGAAAAGAGUAGUGAGAAAGAAAAGAAAAGAAAAUAAUAAUAUAUGAAGCAUACUAACUCCAAAAUCAUUUAAGGAUGAGUAGAGUGAAAAUACUACUUCCAGACAUCAAUAAUGCAAAAAUCCCUCCCCCACACCAAGAACUUACAUUGUCCCCAAUUUAAGAUAAUCAAAGCUCACAUAAAAAUUAAAACGUAAGGAUAAAAGUUUAAGGGCAAAAAGAAACUUCCCUGAAUUGUGAGCUUUGAUCCACAUAACGUUUAUGGGCUUGGCGGAAAUGGUGGGGUAAAUCCCACACUCUUAAAGUAUGCGGCCAAAUUCUGCUCCAUCUUGUUCAGCUUGUGCUCCAUUUUCUCUAACUGAAUGCUCAAAGUGAAAUAUAAGUGUGCAACCCAAGAGGGGGGGUGAAUUGGAAAUUUAAAAAUUAACCUAGCAAAUCCACACAACAAGCAAUCUAAUGCCUUAAUAAAAAUUGAAAGCAAUAAGUUUAAUAAAGGCACAAUAAUUAAAGAGUAAGGAAGAAGAGAAAUAAACACACGAAUUUUUACGUGGUUCGGCAAUCCCCGCCUACGUCCACGCCUCCAAGCGAUCCAAGCUUGAGGAUUCCACUAUCCAAGCCUUUCCAAGGCUUCAACGAUUACAAUUGACUUCGAGGUGUCAAUAAACCUUUACAACAAAGAGAUUAUCUCCCAAUCUCUUCACUCAAGUGUCUCACACACUCAAACUCUUACAAUUGAGAUGAAUAAAUGAAGGUUACAAUGAAACUCACUCAAUGAGUAGAUAUUCAAAAAUGAAGAACAAUUAAAGACUCAAUGUUUGUAUUUCACAAGUUUGAAGGCUCAAGAUAUCACGUGUGCUUUUUGUUCUUGCUUGUUGGAGAGCUUGAAAAUGAGUUGGAUUUGAGUUUUUAUAGUUUGAGCUCGAAAACUAGCCGUUACUCACAUUUUGGUCGUAACCGGAUUACCGGUUAUGGACAUCCGAAAUUCCGCUUAAUGUUACCGUUACAGCCACAAAUUUGAAUUUCUGAACAUCCGGAUUUCCGCUUUGUCACAUCCGGAUUUCCGCUUACGCUCAGUAGUUUACUGCCCAAUAACCGGAUUUCCGUUUGUCAGGAUCCGGAAUUCCGCUUUUAAUUCGGAUAGAUUUUGCCUCGAAUCCGGACUUCCGUUUAUCAGAAUUCGGAUUUUCGCUUGCUACAGUAACUGCUACAGUGAAUAUUUUUCCAAAUUUACAGUUUGACCCCAAAACUUUAUAAAACUAUAAUGUGGCCUAAAACGUUAUGAAAGUUUGCAAAAAGGUCCAAUUUCAGAACUUUAGAAUAAUGCUUUGUCAAUCCCACAACUUUCUGAAAUUAUGACUUUGCCCAAACUUUGUGAAAUUAUAGAAUGGCCCAAAAACAUUUAAAUAGUUUCAAAUAGGUCCAAAUCCGAAAUUUAAAAUACUAUCAAAGAUUUUAAAAAUACUUUCAUUUUAGUCCAAAAUGCUUUAAUUCCAUAACAUCGUUUUCUUAUUAUAAAAGCACAAUUCAUAAAUCUUUGCUUAAUAAAUACAUGUGGUUUGUUAUCAUCAAAAUCAAUAUUUAGCCAUAUAGGCUAACACAAAGGUGGUGCGGAUGUAGAAGGAAUAGUUGGCGGGGCAGCAGUGUCGUCGUCAAACUCAUCAUCAGAGGUAGCACCACUCCUAGCAUAAAGCUUCUUCGGAAGUUGAGUGGGUCCUGGUUCCGUAAAUUGAAAUCUCCCCUCCUUGAAUUCGACCACACCUGUUCUUUCAAACACAGACAUAUCCAAAAAUUCCUUUUUGCAAGCAGGAUGCAAAUCAUUAUUGUCAGGAUCAAGCACACAUAGGUUUAUAGCUAACAUAGUAAUGUAUGGACCAAGAAAUAAAGUCCUAUACCGUUUAAGCACACUUUGAAAUUGAUCCGCUAACCAAAAACCUAAAUUAGGCCUCACAUCAUGUAACAUGCACCAGAUAAAAUAAAAUUCAGUUUUAGAGAAAAUUCAUGAGUGAUCUUUCUUGCCUAAAAAAUUAUAUGCUAAGAAUCGAUGCACGCAUUUCAAAACAGGAUCACGUAAGAAAGAACUCUUUGAUUUACUCGGGUCAUAGGCAUUGUGAUCAACAGAUAAAUUACGCCAAAGACCAUAAGGCUCAAAAUUUUCGCUAAAGUCACAAGUUGUUCCUAAAUAUUCAUCACUAGUAGAAUAAUCAUCAUCAAUGAAUCCUAAAGCUAGGUUAAAAUCCGUGAUAGAGUGUGAAAAAUUUCGUCCCAUUAACCUAAACUUAAUGACAUCUGGAGUAUGCAAAGUAAAAUUAUUCGGCAUAGUAAAUUAAAAAGUAGCAUAAAACUCCCUAAUCAACUCAACAUAACCCAAACAAUCAACAUCAACAAACUUACGCAACCCAAUCUUAUCUAUCAAAGAAUCAAAAUUAUCUUUAACAUUCAAUUUUUCAAGAGUAGGGUAAUGAAUAUACUUAGCUGGAAGUAUUUUGCGCGUGGAAAUAUCUUUGUACCUCUCUUUCUCUUGUUGAGUCGCGAAUGCGAGGCACCCUCCGAGAUUGGAUUCCGCAAGUGGCAAAACACUCAUGCCUUUUCCGUGCUUUGAUCUUUGUCUCACGGCUUGGCGUGAAUUUGAAAUUGUGUUCCAUGGAACCGUAGUGGGAGCGGCAAUCUUAUAUUUCUUUGCGAAAGGAAGAAAAUAAAUUAUUUAUAACCUCGGAAUCAUGUGCGUCAUCAGAGUUGUCUGUCUGCUCCUGGUGGUCAUCAACAGCCACCUCAUCCUCAGAAGUGUCAUGACGCUGCUCUGGUGUUGGGUUUGGUAUGUCGUCAUGCUCGUUUGAUUGCCUUGUAAUGGACGGCAUCGCGUUAAUUGAUGGUUGGUGCUGUAUAAAGUAGCAUUUAAAAUUAGUAAAUGAAAAAUAAAAAAUUUCGAUUAAAUAAAUAAUAGUACUUAUAGGAUACCGACCUUAUGAACCCAGUCUGGAAUGUGUGGCAUGUAAUCCUUUACAGUGAGCCAAUAUUUUAUGCUACUCUCCUUUGUAUUCGGCUCAAGGGUUUGUAAAACGUCCCCCUAUCAUAAAUUCAAUCCAAAAUUUUAAGUAAGUAUAUAUAACUUAAAUUUAGUAACGUUAAAAAAAUAACUAAUACAUAUUACUUACAAGACGAGAUUCGUCGUUGAAGAACGAAUAAACCUCAGCAAAGUUGAUUCUCGAAGACCCCAUGGGCUUCCAUUGCACGAUGCGGGGAAUCUUCUUCUUCGUUUUCACGACCCAUGCUGACGGCAAACCUCCGAUCGCUUUGUAAAUCCAAGCCUGCAACAACCAAAGUGAAAAACCUAUUAAAACAACUAUCAAAUAUUUAAUACUAUAAAACUUAUUAAUAAACAAAAAAACAACGCACCUGAACCCCGGACAUAUAGCCGUAAAGAUUGUACUUUUCAAUGUUAUGAUCUAGGUUUUUCAACCGAGUCGUCUUAAAUUUCUCGUCUUUCUCGAACAGUGCAUUGUCAAGACUCUCGUAUAUCAUUUCCCACGACAAAAGACCCCAUGGAUGCUUUCGGAAGUACUCUAUAUCAUCUACUUCGUUAAGCGAUGAGAAAUUGAUUUGACAGUAAUUUUUUCUUGCAUUUAGAACUAUGUCCGCAAAAUAAAAUAGUGCAAUCUUUAAUGCGUCAAUAUCGUCCAUUUCCUCGAAUUUCAACUUCUUAAAUAAUGCAUCGAAUUCCUUAAGAUUGAUCUUGCGAUGCACACCACCAAAAUACGUAUUCCGUAGCCUAUGCACCGUUUUGUUAUUUCUUAGUUCGGUAUCUACACCAUAUGAAAGUCCAAUAACCAGGCACCAUUCUACAAUUGACAAGCGAAUCAAAUGCUCACCAAUUUGAAACCAUAACUGAUCCUCACGGCUAUCUUCUUCAUGGGCCACUUGCCUCAGUAAAAAAUUGUGCAAAAUUACCCCACUAAAUGAAAAGUUUCGACACUCCAAGAAAUGCCUAAAUAUGUCCUUCUUGAACAGAUUCAAUUGCCGCUUUGUUAAUUUUUUUUCGGUGGCUUUUACGACCGAAGAUAAAUUACACAUGCUCGAAAUUCGACCCGGAAAGUGAUCGGCGUAACGAAAAUACAUCCUGCCUACUUCGAUUUCUGAUGAUUCUGAUUUUUCCAUGUAUCGGUAAUAUUUAUAACAUUAUUACAUUGCAUUUACAACAAAAAUAAAAUAAAUUGACUUGAUGGAAAAAAAAAUUAAACCCACUAUAAUUUGGUGCGACAGCACAGCAAGCGCGUGCGCGCUGUUGCCCAGCGACGGUUCUACACCAUAUGUGCAGCACCAUUCAACCCAAAACAAGUGAAAGAACAAAUCACUCCCAAAACAACAACAACCACCACAAACACCACCACCACCACCACCAUUAUUCUCAAACUACAACCACUAUUAUUCUAAAAUUUCAUUUUAAAUUAAUGAAAUAUAAAUAAAAUGGCUAACUUAGGUUUUGUUGAAGGCUGUAGAUGGUAAAUUGGACGCCGAUAAUAGAUGGAGCAGCCGCCGACGAGGGCUGAUGUUGCCGCCGACUAUAGGUGUUUCUUCGGUUUGGGAGAGAUGAGUGAAAGAGAGAUUAUUGGGGGAGAGAUGUGAGAGGGGUAUUUUGGUCUCAAAGGUUUUUUUGUGGGUAAUGUUGAUAGAAAUUAGUUUGGGGGGUUAAGAUGGAAAAACAAAAACUUUUAUAGUUAUUGGUGUAAAUUUCCCAUUGUAUGUAAUACUUUAGAUUCAGGUAAUGUAGAUUGUGUAUACAACUUUCUAAUAUUCUGUAGAUCUCAAUAUAAAUACUUGUAAUCAACAAAUACAAUAAUAAGAGUCAUCAUUCUUCAUUUUCUCUUUGUUUCUCUCAUAUUUUCUCUUCAUCCAAACACAAUAUUCUCAGUUCUUGACUUGGUAUCAGAGUUGCAGUUUAAUUGUCAUGGCUUCCUUCCUUAAGCACAAAUUAAAAAAAAAUCAGUCUCCUUCAUUCUUUACCCUCACAAAUGCGAUCAAACUGGACAGAUCUAACUAUACGAUCUGGAAAUCUUAGAUCCUCUCUUCAGUGCGUGCCAAUGGACUUGAAGGCUUUCUUAAUGGAACUAAAAUUUGUCCAGAUCAGUUACUUACUCAAGAGAUUGAAAGUUAUGGUGUGUUGAAAUUGCAGUUGGUGAAAGCUCAGCUGAUAGAUCUUAGGAGAAUCCAGCCUUUGUUGCUUGGAAAAGGUAGGAUCAAUUGUUAUUAAGUUGGCUCAUGUCCUCCAUCAGUGUUGAGAUACUUAGUCUAGUGGUAAAUUCUGAUUCUUCUCAUAAACUUUGGACUAAUCUUGAAGAAAAAAUUGGAUUAGAAACUAUGGCUAAGAAAGCACACUUAAAAAUGAUGUUAAGCAAUCUCAGAAAGGGAUCAAUGACAAUAACUGAGUAUUUUGCCAAACUUAGAGCUGUAACUAAUAAACUUGCUCUAACUGGUAGCCCUGUUUCUACUCUUGACUUUAUUAUUCAUCUAAUCUCUAGAUUAGGCCAGCCAUACUACCCUGUUGUUUUGUAUAUUGAAGCUAUUGUUUUGUAUAUUGAAGCUAAUAUGAUGAAAAUAUUCGUCAAUGAAGCAUAUUCUAUGCUUUUAACUCAUGAAGCAAGAAUUAAAGCUAAUCAUCCAAGUGCAAAUAAAGAAGCAAAGUUGAAUUAUGCUGUUAACAUAGCUGAGGCUGGACCGAGUACUAAAUAACAAUAAGAAGUCUAGUAAUCAAGCUAAUUACUAUCAGGGCAACCAAGGUAACUGGAAUAGAAAUGCUCAUUGGUGUGGUAACAAUGGAGGAAGAGGUGGCUUUGGCAGAGGUUUUUCAGGGCAAGGAAGGGGUAAUUAGAAUAAUGGUGGUCAUUGGAACAAUGGACCUUGGAGUAGUAGUCGAGGAGGCUAUAAUGGUUCUAAUAUAAACAAUAUGACAUGGUUGCUGGUGAACCUGCAAACAUAACCACAAAAGUAAGAAGGCAUAAUCUUUUUAUAAGAAACUCAAAAAUGUAUUAAUGAUGAAAAUUUUAAAACAGAUAGUGGACCAGCUGUUCACUAAGAAAACAAAAAACUGAAUAUUUGUGCUAUAAAAAGGCACACCCAAUCUCACCCCUAUAAAAGGCUAGAAUCAACUACAAAUUCCUAUCUCAAAACCCCAUCCCAGUUUAGAUGAAUGAAGAAAAAAGAUGAAUCUUGAAACUCCUUAGAAACUGAAGCCCAAAGUGAAGCAAGAAGAUGAACUCUAUCCCAAGCAAGCAAUAUGGCAUAUUUCUCCAUUAAUGGUUCAAAUAAAGUGAAUGGCUUUCUCUGAUGAAUGGGAAAUUGUCAAGAUCAAUAGUCAAACUCACGCAAAGUAAACGGACUUAAUUCUCAGAGGCUACUCAUUCUAAGUCUUAAAGAAAAAUUUUCUAAUUUCUAAAGAUUAUAUGGGGAAAAAUCAUUAUUUUUUAACAUGGAAAAUUUGAUACGGUGUUUAAUGUCUGAUCAAAAUCAUAAUAUGAGUACUAACAAAAACAUCUUUAAUCGGCAUGGUGCGAGUAAAACACCAUCACUUCAUCUUUGAUGGAAAGAUGAUAAUAUAAGGAGAUGGUGAAAUGGUUUUGGUCCAUGGCAGCUUGUAAUCAAAAGAAAACAAAAAACUACACUAUCAUUAAUGAUUACCGAAGGUACAGAAGUAUCAAAAUCGGAAAGCAAACAAUUGCAAAACACAUCAAUGACUGAAGGUUAGGUUCUAAAACUUCCGUAUUUAAUUUUCAGAGCAUGUUAUGUAUUAUUCAGAAAUAUGCUUUCACUUCAGGCACUUGACCAAGACGCAUUAAACAUAAAACGCGGCGUUUUCAUGGACUAGUACAUUCCAUGCUUCGAAAGUUUAUGUUUUAGACUGAUUGGUUUGAUACAUUAUUUGUUUAUUGCGUUUUUCUUGCUUUAAAUAUUAUGUUGGAUUGAUAAGUUUUGUACACAUUUAUAUUGCUCGCAGUAAAUAAUUUAUGACAUUUAAAAAACUAUCAACCGUCUAUCAAAAGAUUUCUACUAUAAAUAUAUAUACACAAAAAACUUUUAAUUUGGUCAAUUUGUUCUCUUAUUUAUUUUUAUUCUAUUUCUCUUUUCCUUCCCUUUCAUUUUAUUAUUUUAUGGUACAAAAUAAAAAAAUAACCUUAAAAUUUAAGGGUAAAAUACUCAUUUUACUAAAAUUCCGUUUAAUAUUAUAAAGCUGUCAAAUGUCAAUGGCAUAGUACACGAGUGAUACAAAUUAAAAACAAUAAAUUGAAAGUUUUUAUGCAUUUUCCUUUUAUUUUUUUUAUAGCCGAUUGAGAUUCCCCUUCAUUUUUUUAAAUUCAAUAGGUUUAGACCGUUUAACAAAUCUUAAAUUAAAAAAACCCGUGGUGUAAUAACAAACUCACAUCAAACCCUGUCCACUGUCAUCCCUAAUUAUAUUUACCACUUCAUACUCACAGUGAUAAUAACUGUGUAUCACAAUUGAUUUUGCAUACGGGUAAAAGUUCCAAGUCCGGAUAUUUAGUUAAUGAAAUUUUAUGAAAAGGGCAUGAAAGAAAAUAAGAAAUUAAAUAAUACAGGAGGUAUUAAUCAUUACAUCUUUAGUUAAUGAAAAUUGAUGAAAAUAUUUCUGCAGACGUGAGCCGUAAUUAUAUUACCGUUAAGAAUGAAGCAGAAGAGUUUCCCCAAACAAGCUAAAACACAGCACUUCAAUUUAAAGAAUUUUUAUAUCACAGUACCAGGGCAAAAAGUUUAAUGCAACAACAUACAUUAAGUUAAUUCCAUAAUCUAUCCCCAAAGAAAGACAAACACAAGCUUAUAAGAUUAAAACUUUGGAAAACAUUAAAGAGUCAGACAAAAUUGUGUAAUCUUCAGAGUUUGGAGCCUAGUUCAUCCAGGAAAGCAAAAGAAAUAAUAAUAAUAAUAAUAAUAAUAAUAGUAGUAGUGGUUUGAUCUCAAAAGGUGGCAUCAAAGUGGUCACUUUGAGGUAUUGGAAGCAAUUACGUCUUCAACUUUGUCCUGAUUUCGAAGUCCCUUAACCCAUCCGCCAUCAAUGGAUUGAAUGCUUCCAUUCAACCCAUCAUCAACAAAAUCACCAACCCGUUUCACCUUCAUCUCCUUGGGCUUAACAGGGUACUUUCCACAGAAGCAAGGAAAACAAAAAUUCUGAGAAUCAUCGCCUAACAACUAGUUCAAGCUGUAAAUCGGCAGAAAAGCAAGCGAAUCACACCCAAUAAACUCGCUGAUUUCCUCAACGCUCAUCCUGUUGGAAAUCAACUCCUAAGUACUUGUCUGCUCUGUAGUAACAAGAAGCUAUGAUUGGUGGGCUUGCAAUUCUCAUGUGAACCUCUUUAGCUCCAGCCUCCUUAAGCAACCUAACAAUUUUUGAUGAAGUUGUUUCUCACACUAUCGAAUCAUCCACAACCACAACUCUCUUUCCCUCCAACCACAACCUUACAGGAGAGAGCUUAAGCUUGACACCAAAGUCCCUAAUUUUCUGGGAAGGCUCAAUGAAAGUUCUCCCAACAUCAUGUGACCUUAUCAACCCUUGUUGAAAUGGCACCCCGGCUUUCGCAGCGUACUCAAGUGCAGCCACCACUCCAGAAUCUGGUACUGCAAUCACGACAUCACACUCAACUGGAGCCUCGGUAGCAACUACUUCCCCAAAAUGAUACCUCGACUCAUAAACAGACCUUCCAAAAACAACAGAAUUAGGCAAAGCAAAAUAAAUAUGCUCAAAGAUGCACUGCUUAGGUUCAGGGUGAGGCAUCAAACAAGGUGAUUGAACCCCAUCUUCAUCCACCAUCAAAACUUCACCGGGAUAUACCUCUCUCUCUCUCUCUCUCUCUCUCUCGUAUGUGGCCUCAAUCAAAUAGUGCACAAGUCUCUGAUGCAAAACCAGAGCACCAUUACUCCUCCCACCCAUCACCAAUGGCAUAAACCCAUACGGGUCACGAACCGCAACAAGCUUAUCCUCAGUAACUUAUCUCAUUUAUGACUUAUUGUUGCAUUUAAGUGAUUUUGCAAAAAUUAUUUUGCAAUAAUAUUAUUUUUUUGACGAGUAAGUUUGAAGUAAAUAAUACAUAUGGCAAGUGUGAGGUUUGUUAUUGCAUAUAUUUUGUGGAUCCAUUUUAAAGCCAAAAAAAAGGCAUUUUGAUUCAUUCUGAUUCCAGAUAAUUUCAAGCCAUAUGUCAUUAUUGGGAUAAAAAUAAAGUAAAAUGGUUAAAACUAUUUUUAUGUAAUUUAUAAAAAUUAAUGAAGCAGCUACAAAAUUUUUUAAACGAAAAACAAUUGAAAUGUGUGUGGAAAAAGAAGAAAAAAAAUAAGGCAUUUAAAUAUCUUCUUAAAAAAUACGAUUGAGUAAAAUCAUUUUAACAGAAUGCUCUUCCAAAUGCAAUUCCACAUUAUUUUUAUUACAUUGGGAUAUUCCAAAAUUGGCACAACUCAUUAAGAAUUCGGCAACUCAAAUUUUAUUUAUCUCUCUUUGCAUUUGACAAAUUAAAAAGAAAAAAAAAUUCAUAUGUCUUCUGUUCAAAAGAAACCUUGGUAAAUAUUGUAAAACAAAUUACCAAUUUUUUUAAAUUUAUGCCAUUAUAUCGUCGCUAUUUUCUCGCCCACUUUCUUAAAAUACAAUCAAUAUUUAUUGAUGGGUUGCGUUCCAGAGUAAGCACCAAUUCAGCAAAAUGGUUUUAUAGCAGAAAAAGCACUUGUAAGACAUUCAGAACACAUUUUUCAAUUUUGUCUUUUGAAAAUGAGUCUUGAGUUUCCGCAAGCCAAGUAGAAUGGCUAAAAAAUGUAUGGUAUCAAAGAAAGAGAAACACACACACACACACAGAGAUUAGUGGGGAGAUAUAUAUAUGUGUGUAAUUUGUAUAUAUAUCCCCAUUAAUUGUUGAUAGUCCAACGGGUGAGUAUAUGCAAAAGUAAAAAAUUGGCUGUCCUUUAAGACAAGAUUGACUGUCACAUGAAAAUGUUAGCAAACUUGCCACACAACAAAAAUAAAGAUUCAAAGAACAACUUUAUGGUCCCCUUUCUGUCCAAACGUAUGUGAUCGAAAUUAGUGUAAACGACACUUGAAAUAUAUAUGUAGAUCCUCACACAAUUGAUUAAAUAUUUAUAGUAGGAUGAAGUGAUAAAUAGUUUCACAAAAUUAUUGGAAUUAAUUAUUUAAUACAUGAGAUCUAUCUCAUUAAGUAUAAAAGAUUGAGUGCUGCUUCAAAAGCAUGACGUUGCUGGCAACAAAUUUAACACAAAAAUUUAAUUAAUUAUCCUAGUUGAGAUAAUAAAAUCUCGUGUUGAAAACAAAAGGUUUGAGGUUCAAACCUUCUCAUUCAAAAAAAUCAAGUCAAAAUAUUACAUCUUCCAGCACAUAUCAAAGAUUUUUUCAAAGGCAGACUGAUAAUUCAGGGUAAAAAAAAACAAAAAAACAAAAGGAAUAUAUGCUAUUCAAGACAGGUAUACCUUGGACAUGAAGUCUGAAUCCAAAACAUGAAGCACCUAGCUGAUCUUUCACUUUCCAAAACCCAACAAAAUCUUUGUCAAAAUAUAUGAUCUAGUCCCAUAUUAAGCACAUUCAUAGCCAUAUCACCAGGUUCAAAAUAUUUUCCCCAAAAAGAGAUAGAGAUUCCAUUGAAGUUGAGUUGUGACUGUCCCAACGUUUUGUAAUUAUAUGGUUCAGGAUACCAUGCCUAUGACUCUUUUUUUUUUUUUUUUUCUGUUUCCAUGUUUCGAAGUCUAUCAAAUGAAAAUGUAAUUAUAUGGUUCAGGAUACCAAUAUGCCGGAGCUGCAAAGGUUGACUUCCACUAUGCUAUCAAUGUCUAUACUUUCUAUUGAAUUUCCUUGUUUUUUUUUUAAAUUGCAAGAUUUCUUUUUGGAAAUCUUUGACACAUUUUAUGUAAGAUACCAUAAAGCCAAAUACAACCUUUUUUAUUCUCAGCAGCAAUUUUUUUUUUCCUUUUAAAAAAAGGAAGCCAUAUAAAUAAUGCUUAAAACAUUAUUUGCAACAAGGAACAAUUAUUUCAUGCUUUCAUGUAUUAGAAACUUUCCAAAAAAGCUAGCAAGAAAAUGAAAUGGAACUUUACCUAGUCACAGAAUAUUGCUGUUAGCCCAAUUAUUGCUGUUAGCCCAAUUGUUAUGAAGUGGCUUCUGCAUCAGAAGAUUCCAGCUCCCACCAAGCAUUGUUAUCUCUCUUCUGAAUACAAUCUGCAUCGCUGGGCAUGAGUUAUAUCAUUAAUGUCUGCAUCCUCACUUACAUCAUCCCAAUCAAGUGCUUUUUCUCCACAUUUGGAUUAUAAGUCCAAUCUCUUCAAAACAUCCUAGUCCUUCCAUCACAACUGAUACGACUUCCUUCCUAAUUACUUUCCCAUUAAUAAAUCGCUCCAAGAAAAAAAAGCAUUAGCAAUUCUCUUCAACGCCCCAUCACUCAUAUCCCCCACAACAACCAUCUUCAGCCACCUCAACGUUGCCUCUUGAAAGAUCUCCACAAAAUCCGAAUCAUCCGACACAACCACCAAACACCCAAACCUUCUUUUGUCCACCAUAGCCACCAUAUAAUUUCUCAACAAAAUAUCGGCAUCUUGUGGCUUAACUAACACCAUCCUGACCCAAAACCAUGCUCUUUUUAACUCAUCUGCAAAACCAUAACCCACUUUUGGAGUCAAAAUUGCGCUUGCAGCCGUUUUAUUUUUUUCCAUCUUUAUUGAAUAGUUGCCAACCAAAAGCACUCUCACCUGCCCUCUAGCUGAUUCUAUUUGAUUCGACCUUUUCUUUUGUUCACCCUCAUGAAUUUGCCUAAAAUGAUUAACAAGUUUGUCAUUAUUAUAAAAUCUCCUUCCACAAUCACCAAUACAUACGGCUUAGCAUGCCUAAUUACACCCCUGAUUUCUAAUUGGUUAAACAAUUCUCUUUCUUUCUUUGCUCUCUUACAACUUGAGGCACAUAACUAAACGCGUGGCUAUUAGCAUUUGCCACCAUGCAUUUAACAACCCCAAAUGAAGAUAUUAAUUUUUUUAGUUUAAUUGCUGCUUCAAAAUGGGAUACUGAAUUUGGAUUUUGUUAUCCAAAUACCAAAAAUUUCCCAUAUUGUGCUGGACAGUUUUUGGUUCUAAAGUUGAUGACUGGUUUUGCGAAUCAGGCUUUAAAUGAGAACUUCUAAACAAUAAGACAAAUGAGUUUUGAGUUUCUAAUCUUGUAAACUUUGUUCUAUUGUAUAAGUUAUGAAAUCGCUGAAACAUCACUACAGCUACAGGUCUUUAUGUGUCAAUGAACUGCAGAAGCUGAUGAUCUACCUGUAGCAUACUUUUAUUGCCCCUGCCGUUCUAGGAAGACAAACAAGUUCAAGAACUACUUCUGGACCAAACUCAUAAUAUUGCCAUUGCUUUGUGCCAAUCUGAGAGGGAAAGCAUAUUGAAGUUCCUAAAUAAGGCAAAUCAUGAUUUGACAGAAGUACCACUAUGAGGAACAAUUGAUUUCAGGAAAGCACUAAAAUAUGACAUAAUCUCCCCCUGAUGGUCUAAAGUAGUCAAGAAAUGAUAUCAACCAAGUAAAAACACAUAAACUAGUUGAGAUACAAAGUUAUUGUAAAAGUCAAUUUUGAUCACAAAUCCAUUAAAAUUAAAAGACAUCAGAAACAUAGAGAACAUUAUAAUUUAGGACUCAGCUAAGUCGCAGAUUCUGUAACUAACAGCUAAGUCCACAUUGGCCUUGCAUCAACUGAGUUUGGGUUGCUUUUCAUCUCUCCUUCAACGCGUGGAAGCGCCCCAUUUGCUGUGUUAUACAGAGUCGGUACCGUAGCGAGCUCCUAUAAUUUAAGUUUGAUCACUGUAGACAAUAGUCUGCCUCUGCUCAAAAGCUAUGCUGCAAGAUAUAACGUCUUUACAAUGUUAUACUUUCUAAAAGUAAUAAGAAAUGAAACCAAGGGGUAAACCGAACACCAAAAGAAAUUUAGUCGGCCAACUACAUUAUGUUCCCACACAGUCCACUAAUUAAGUUAAUAAUUAAAGGGAAUCAAAAUCUAAUAAAUCUCAUCUUCAAGCAGAAUACAAACACACCGAGAUUAAAAAUCACAAAAUCAUAAAAAGAAGCUGACUUUAAAAGCUCAAAUAUACGUUCAUCAGCCUCUCAACUUAUAUCUAAGAACAAAUGCCUGCAGCUUGUGAAGACAUAGAUAAUUGAAGCUGAUGAGGCAUAUUUAACAGAUGAUAAUCAAAACUCGUGUGAUUAAAAUUAUAAUUCAAUAAUCGAGCACAUAAAACAAGAAGUAACUAGUUGUAUACAUACCAAACAACAUUCUGAAGUUAAGGCGUAAAACCACUAGUGUAAACAAGCGCUAGUGUCAAGAACUAUUGUUAAUAACUCAAAAACCACUAGUGUCAAGAACUAGACUAAUAAGUGAAACCCAUAAUCAAACACAACUACAUCAAAAUCUCUGAAAAUUGAGGUCUAAACAUUGAAAACAAUUAGACAUAUAUAACAGUCAAUCGAAACAAAGCCUCAAAAUAAUAAUGAACUACAAUAAGACAGAACCUAAAUUGUAAACAAGCGCAUACCCAGUAACAAUAAUCAAGUAACAAGUCAAAACCAGAAUCAAACGUAGAAUUUUGAAAUCCAUACGAACUCUAACGUAUUAGAAUGAAAGAAUAAUGACGAUCGAUAAACUAGACUCAAACAAAAACAUGCCCAGUUAAAAAACGAAGGUAAAUAAAUAAAAAUGGUAUAAAAUUGCGAAAAAAAUUAAUGAAAUGAAGAGAAAAUCACAGGAAUCCUAUGAAGAGGAAGGUAAACAAAACCUUCGGGAGCCGAGAAGAUGCCUUUUUUUGUUCACUUUUGUGCCUAUACAUACAUUUUUUUUUUUGUAAUUUUGAAGAAAGUAUUGGUUAAAUAUUGUCAGAACGAAAUAUUAAUAGAUGCUGGCAAUUUCAACAAGGACAAUCUUCGAUUCAAAUGUACCCUUAUGAUAAAGAAAAAGCCAGCUUGUCUAAAUUUUGAGCAUCACAUUACAAGAUUUAGGUGUAUGUUUAACUAUGCAAAAUGAAACAUCUAUUAAUUGUAAGACCAUUGACCUCUGGAACCAGACAACCAGACUCUUUCCUACUAGACAACCUUCCAUUGAUCAGACUAAUAAUAUUUACUAAAUCAAGUUCUACAGUUAAUGAAGUUGGACCAAAGGCAAUUGUUAGCUUAAUGUCAUAGGCCACUCAAAUUUCUCGUAAUUGGAGGAUAAUUUUGUGCACAUGAGUUCGCUUAGCAAAAGUCCGCCUAGGCGUGGAGUGCGCUUAAAGGCGGGAUGCACUUAGAAGUGGGAUGCACUUAGCAAAUCAUUCAAGCCCAACCCAAGAUCUAAAACUCUAUGCAAAUUAUAAAUAAGCUAAAAGUUUCUAUGUUUCUCCACAUAGUUCCCUAGGAUAUUUAUGAAAGUUGCUAGGAAGUUUCCUCCCCUAGAACUCUAAUACCUAUAAAUAGGGGUGGGCCCCCUCAUUUGCCCACCAACCAUACCACACACACAAACACUCCAGCACACACACAAACACUCCAGCACACACACAAGCUCUCUAACUUUUGUAAAAAGCUCUCUUGUAUAUUCUCUCUUUGAGAGUAAUGAAAUCAUAUUCAGCCAUAUUGCUCUACUUCUCUCUACCAUUUUCCGCAAGUGUUCUUGCUUUGCUAGUUUGAGGAGUGUUCUAGGCUUGCUUAGCAACUUGUUUGCUACAAGGACAUCUUGGUCACAAAACAUGGACAUGCAAGGAAAAAAAAAAGAUAUUGAUAUGUUCUAAAAAUAAAACGCAUUCUUCUACAGUGAACCAAAAAAUUUAGGCUAAUGGUAGCAAGUGAAGGAAUUGUGAUUUCACGUGCAUUUUGUUGACAUGAAGGUAAAGAGCUUUUUUAUAGUUUAUAUUGUUUAAUAUAACAUUUGAAUUGCAAAAUAGGGGUACAAAAUGGAUACACGAAGUGAUAAAACUAAGUUGAUUAUGAUAAAUAUUGAAUUAUAAGAUUUAGGUUUAAUCAUAAAGACAUAAGUGGCGCACAAAGUCACGAAUUAUCAUCCAUGAUGUAAGUUCAAACAACUGCAUAAUAAGUUGCCCCAAGCUAAACUAUUAAUCUAGUAACUAUUCUAGUCGAUGUGGGAUAAUUUUCAUAUCACCUCUAUCACGUGCAAGCCGAAUUUGUUGCUUGGUCCUUACAUGUGGUAAGGUAAUAUGAAUCCACUUGUGCAUAAAUUUGGCUCCGAUAUUAUAUAGAAGCCUAUGACCCAAAAUUAUACUUAAAGGUUAUUUCAAGAUUUGAGGGUUGCCUCAAGCUAAUAUUAUUAUUAGCCUGGUAACCCUUUUUUUUGUUGAUAUGUGAUAUUUUCCCUAUAACUUUUAUUAAUCUUUAUGCUUAUGUUUUGUCAUUUAUCCCAAAAUAUAACAUUAACAAAAGUUCCAAAAUUUCCUUCAAGAGAUAUAUUUGAGAAAAGUAAUUUGUGCAAUAACUUUGUGAAUUGAUGAGCAAAUUCAGAGAAAAGAAUAUAUGUGCCAAACGUAACGUUUAUUAUUGUGUUUAUUUGUAGAGCUAUUUAAAGCCCAAAAAAAAAAGCACGGGUCCACUAUUAUUUCAAAUAAGUUCAAGCCCUAUGUCAUUAUUGGUACAAAAAUGUAUCAGAAAGGUUAAAAAAAAUUUUUAUUUAACUUAUAAACUUAGGAAAUUAUCAACUGUCUGCCCUUAAAUUGCACUAUUAUAAAAAAUAUUACAAUAUUUUCAGGUUGUAUCUACCAUAAAUUUACAAUUGCAUCAUUUAUCCACCAAAUCAUUAACUUCGUUAAAAAGUGAUAGACGUCACAAGGGUAGUUCAGACAUUUAACACACAAAAAUAAAAGAGAAAUUAUCUAAGCUUACCAUGUUAUCAAAAUUGCUACAAAAUUUUAAAUUUGUUCAAUUUUUCAAUCUAAGUUUAUGACCUCCAAGAUAUUAAUUGCAGUUUGUAAUUAAUGAGUUCAUAAGGAUAAUUUAGACACUCAAUAUGCAAAAUAAAAAAGGAAAAUUAUCAUUUGUAUACCUUAAAGUUGCGCUUUUAUAAAAAAUAUUACAGCACUUUAAUGGUGUAUCAAUCGUCCACCUUAAAUUGGCAAAACUUAUCUACCGACCACUAAACCAUUAGCUGCCGUUUGAAAGUUAACGGAACUGAAGCGAAUUGACGAUUUUACCCUUGAAAAUUAUCACUUGUAUACCCUUAAAAUCUCUUAUUAUCAAUUAUAUACUCUUAAAUUAUCACUUGUAUCUAUGAAAAGACUAGAUUAACCCUUUGACGUCAUCAUGUUUAAACGGCAACUAAUGGUUUGCUGAACGACAAAUACAUUUUGUCAAUUUAGGGUGGACGACUGAUAUACCCUGAAAGUAUUGUAGUAAAUUUGAUAACGGAGUAAACUAAGGGUAUACAAUUGAUAAUUUCACAAUAAAAAAUAAAAUAAUGGCUUAAAUUAAAACAAAAAACUUGAUAUUCAAUUAAAUACACAUAAACUCUAUUUUUUUCUUAAUUAAAAAUAUUCUAAUUUAGUUUCUCAAUUUAUCAUCAUAAAUUUACAUUAAUAAACUAAAUCCACAAAUUACCCUAAACCCUAAUUCAUAAAUGCCCAAUCAAUCUAAUACUUUAAUUCGAUUUCAUAAUUAAAAAAGCUAAAUUUAUUAUAUUAGUUAUGGUGCAAAGUAAAAAAUGCCCUUAAAUUCAAGGGUAAAAUAACAUUUUAUUUAAAUUCUAUAAAUUAUUCUAACAAUGUUAACAUUUUGGUGGACGGUUAAUAUAAGUUACAAACUUAAAAUAGAAAAUCAAAUAAAUUCAAAAUUUCAAACUAUUUAGAGGAAAUUUAGGAUAUAUGGUUAAUAAUUUUCCCAUGUCUUUUUACAUUGGUUGAUAUAAGCUACAAACUUAAAAUAGAAAAUCAAAUAAAUUUAUAUUUUCAAACUAUUUAGGGCAAACUUAGGGUAUAUGGUUAAUAAUUUUCAUUUGUCUUUUUAUGUUAAAUUGAAUUUCAAAGGUAAAAUGAUCAAUUUAUUAUAAUUCUGUUAAUUGUUUAGUGGAAGCAAACGAUAUAAUGGACGAAUGAUAUAAAUUGUAAAAUUAAGGUGCAUGAAUGAUACAACUUUAAAAUAUUGUAGUAAUUUUAAUAAUAAAACAAUUUAAGGGUAAUGAUACAACUUUAAAAUAUUGUAGUAAUUUUAAUAAUAAAACAAUUUAAGGGUCGAUUGGCAAUAAUUUAAACUUUAAUGAAGCAACUAAAAAAUUUUUUAACAAAAGAAAAAUAAUUGAAAUGCUUUAAGAAAAAUAAAGGAAAUUAAAUAUCUUUAUAAAAAGGCCAUCAAUUUAGCCAGCAAUUUUGUCAAAAUUUCAACAAUUGAAGAAACAAUGAUCACAAACGGAACAUGUGAAUUUUGAAGUUGAAUAAAUCUUGAGAUACAUACAACAAAGCCUUGAAACUUUAGUCUUCACAAUUUGAGCACGCACUAAAUAUUAAACAAGUAUAGAACAAAGCUUAUUUUUAGCUUCUUGUGCGAACUGAACGCGCUGAAAUGUGUGUUUUUUUUUUGGAUUUUUGGAAUUUUUUAAAUUCAUUUAUGUUCGCUGCCAUCUUUUUCUUCGCUGGCGUCUUCCUCCUCUGUAGUUUGCUGUGCCUAUAUAUCCAACCAAUAAAUUGGGCAUUAAAUGCGAAUGAAUGAUGAAUAAAAUGAUUAAAAAAAAACAAACAGAGAAAAUUAUAAUAUAACACAUAUAUUGAAAGAGAAAUUUUGAUUUUAGGAUAGAUCAAUUAGCUAUCACAAACGAAAAUAUUAACCAACUAUGUAUAGAGUCAAUUAAUUUAAAGUUCUCAAGAAUUACCUCUGCUCCAGAAUUCUCGGAAUCAUCUUCUCCUUCUGAACUUGGACGAAGCUUGGGACAAUUACUAACAAAUACAGACUCGGCAGAUGGAAAUGGGAUCUGAUAACCCGCAGGCCAAAAGUUGGUGAGGUUUGGUAAGUCUUCCAGUCUCAAGUACCGAAGUUCAUUCAUAACAAUUUCAUUGUAAUCCGUGACGUCUGCUCCAUCUUUAUGCCAGAAUACUUCUUCUAAUUCAUCAUUACCUAUUAUGUAUAGGCGCGACAGUUUUUGAAGACUUGGAGCUACGCUGAUAUGAAAUAGAUGCUUGAGUUUGAGGCAAUAACUGACAAUGAUGAUUGUGAGUUUUGGGAAACAUACAGGUUGGAGAUGAUCCUCAUCCUCAUCAAUGAUUUGCUCUAAUCCCAAGCAGUUAACAAUACCUAACAUCUCCAAUUGCAACAGAUUUCGAGCAAGUGUUGAUGAGAAGAGACGUCUCAGCAUAGUGCACCCCUUUACAGUUAAUCCAGUAAGAUUUUGCAGGCUAAAAUUAUGCGCGGGACCUUCAUGAUAUAAUAAUACUUGCAGUUCUGGAAGAUCUUCCAAAUGCAACGACUUCAAACAUGGGAAUAGUUUGUUUUCUUGUCCCUCAGCGAUAAUAGCUUCCACUUGAAAUACCACCUGUACUCCAAGUUCUCUAAUAUCCAAUCCUUCCAAAUUUUUUAAUCCGUGCUUCAACAGUGCUGGAAUCGUGUCACUCAAAUGGGAACAAUUGGCCACAUCUAGAGUAUUUAAGUUCUGAGACAAAUAAAUAAAUAACUUGAUGCAAUUAAAAUCUAUUAGCAGCUAGGAUUAUCACAUGAUAAGUGAUGAACACCGCAAAAAUAUCAUAAUACAUAUGUAAACUAAUAAAAUAAUUAAAAAGUAAUGGAUUUUUAAAAAAAAAUUGAAAUUAGUUAAAAGAGAUCAUGUGAAGUGUAUAAAUGUGACAUUAUAUUGUUUGAGAAAAAUUAGUAUUCUAUUAAUUUCUAUCGAUUGAUCAACUAAUUAAUUGAAUUUGAGUAAUAUAAUAUACACUUUAGUAGUGUUUGCAUCAAUUCUUUCUACAGCGAAAUGAGAUAUGACUUUCAUUUGAAGAAUGAUUUUAGGCUCUAAAAUAAAGAAAUUUCCUUAAGAUAUUUGAGCAUUAUUAUUAUCAUCACCACAUCCACGAUCAUCAUCAUCUCCAUAGGACCAAAUAAUUAAUGGCUGAUCAUAAAAUUUAUUGCUAAACUAUUAUUUCGAGUAAAAUUGAAGGAAAAGAAAAAACAUAAACACAAACGAACAUACCUCUCCAAGAUACUGCAAAUUGGCUUCAAGUUCAGUAUUGUUGACAGUCAAGUUGGGACAUUUAUGAAGGUCUAACUGUUCCAAUGCUGGCCAAAUUGAACAAUAAUUUUCUGAACAGAAGCUGACGAGUUCUGGGAGAUUUCGAAGUGUUAAUUCUCUUAACAAAGGGAGGGCGAGCAUCGUAUUUCCAUCUCCGACACUUAUUUCCCCUUCAUUGUGAUCAAACUUUGCUUCGACAAUACAUUCUAGCCUGUCGCAAUAAGUCACACUGAGACAUUUAAGCUGCUCCAAACUUCGGGCUUGUGACAACGUGAAGAUAUAUGUCAACUUGUUGCACCUUUGCAAAUUCAAUUCUGUGAGAGUUUGGAGGCUGAUCACAUGUUGGGCGGGCGUCUUCCAUAUCCACUUCAGUUCUGGUAAUUCCUGCAUAAAUAACUCUGCUAAUCUUGAGAGCACCACAGGAUUCCCACUCUUUCCAUGUGGCAACUUAGAGGCGCCCAUUAUGCAUUCUAAAUCCUCACAUUGUUUGACAAAUAGACGAGUCAACUCAUUUAAGCCCCUUUCAUCUAUGCUUGGCACAAUAUUAUGACAACCUAUUAACCCCCUCAAACGAAGAAAUUUCAGAUUUUGAUACAAUGCUGAAAAAAUAACGAGCGAGGUCGCUUCAUGAGGGUAAUUCUCAAUGAUUAAGCUCCUUGUUUCAUCACCAUGUUCCAUGUCAUGAGCAGAUAAUUGACCAUUACUGAUGACGUACCUUUGCAUUUUCGGGAAUGUAAAGUCUUUUGGAAGACAUAUAACUUGGGAGUUCAACUCAGCAAGCCUAGCAUUACUUUCUUCUGAACUCAUCCCUUCAACCUCCCAAUUUUUUAUCCGACCAUAAAAUUCUUCCAAUUGAGGAAAUUUUUUUAUCCCAAUGGGAGAAACAGAACCGGUAUCAAUAUAUAGAAGUUUCAAUCUACGAAGUUCAUCCGACAAUUCUUCAAGAAUUUUAAUGGGAGACUUCUCGAGAAAAAGAAGUUCAAGCCUCUUCAACUUUCCAAGGAAAGACGCGUCACUCACCUCACAUCGAAUCAAUUGCAGAACCUGGAGGUUGGUGAGGAUCUGAAGCGAUUUAAGUGAAAGAACUCCACCUAUUAUAGUGACAACUUUCAAUGCUGGCAUCCCUUCAAAAAAAUGUUCUGGAACUUGCAAUCGGUGGUCGUAUUCAGGAUUCUCCAAUCGCAAAAUAUGAAGGUUAGGGCAUACCAAACCACUAGGAAGCUCUUCUUUUUUAUUUCCCACCAAAGAAAUUCCUCUGUAUUGUUCCAGGCCUUCUUUCAUUGCCCGUUCAGCCAAUCCAAUGCCAACUUUACUAAAAAAUUUCUUCUCCUCUAGAACUAUUGAGCCUAUCCAUAUGGCUACAUCACGAACUAUGUCAUGCAUUUUCACAGAUCUGUCAUUACCAUUGUCUAACAGCAGUGACGCAGCUUUGAGCGCGUUAAUCGUUCCAUACAGUCGGCUUCUGGCGUUUUCUAUUGACGGAUCACAUUGAUACCAAAUAACCCCCACUGCGUAUCCAACCAAAUCCUCCAAAUAAAUCUCAUAAUCUUCUGGAAACAGAGAACACAACAAGAAGCAUAACUUGGACUCCUCACUAUUUAAAUUGUCGUAACUGAAUUUGAGACAACCGUAAACGUCUUGGUCAUCCUUGUCAAUACCUUCUAUUGCAUAGAGUUUUGCUUCCCUUAGGUUAUAUAGUGCUAGAUUCCAAUCAUCAAAUCCUUUUUCUAUUAGUGCACUUCCAACAGCUUCAAUAGCUAAAGGCAGCCCCUUACAUUCGUCAGCAACUUGUUCUGGAACACGAUCCAAGGAGGAGUCGUUUACAUUAAUACCGGCAUUCAUUUUUAGGAGAGUCAAUCCUUCUUCUGGCGUUAGUGUACUAAGUUGAAUCUGUGUGUCACAACCCAAAGAAUCACAAACUGACUUUUUGCGAGUGGUUAGAAGGAUUUUGCAACAAUUAUCUCUACCACCGACGGUAAUACCUAAUUUUUUCUCCAAGUCGAGCUCUUUCCAGACAUCAUCGAUGAUUAUGAGGAUCUUGGUGCUUUUACUGUCAGAAAACAUCGAGCGCAAUCGGUCUGCUCCAUGUUUUUCAUCUUUCUGUUUUAAUUCCCAACCUAAUGAAUUUGCCAGCUCGUUUUGAACAUUUAUUAUGCUUGGAUCCUGAGAUACAGUGGCUAUCCCCACCAUAUCGAAAAUGUUUUUUUCCCGAAGUUGAUUGCCCACAAAUUUUGCCAGGGUUGUCUUUCCUACACCACCGAGACCAUGCAAUCCCACCAUCUUUGUGCUCUCUUUUUUCAGUGCGUCAAUGAUCUGAUUGCAAGCUGAUUCUGUGGUCUCGAAAAUAGAAGUAAAAUGACUUGGCAAACUUAAUUCUCUUUCUAAUGGUAGAGGUUUAGGAAAGGCAACUGUGUUGAAUUGGCUGCAGUCUUGUAGCAGAUCAGACAACUUGCUAGUCUUCUGUGAUGCUUUUCUACCCAGCCAAUAUCGGCAACACCAAUUAGGACACAAUCCAUGAAGACUACUAUCCUUUUCAUCUAUCUCUGCUUGCAACUUCCAAACAUCGUCCAAUUCUUCGACUCCAUUAUUCAGCCACUCCAUUACAUUUCCAUUGACUACUAUGUCGGGGCAUUUUCGUAGCUCAUCGUAUAUUCUUGUUUUGAUGCCAUCUCGUGCCUUCUUCAACUUAGUUUCUUUAUCCUUAAGUUCUUUAACAAUGCUGUUGAAACAGAACAUAUAGCGAGCUUGGUCAAUUGCUGCAUUCACCAAUAAUUCUUCAACCUUUGAUUUUAAAGCUUCCAUGCUAUUUAUCUGCAAAUAACGAAGUUGAUCUCAGCACGCUAUUAGCAAAACAACAAGGCUUGAUCACUAGACAAAAUGAGAACGUUUAAUUACCUUUUUCUGUACUGUGAAUGCACGUCUAUUAACACCAGCUUUGACCAAUAAGAGCAAAAUGCAGAGGCCGGGGGGGGGGGCUUAAGAGUUUCAGUGGCCUUUAGCUGCAAAACGGAAGAUGACAAAUAAGGUAAACGUUCCCAGCAAACGUGAUUUACGGUGAAUUAUAUUCAAAUUAGAUUAUUUUAAAAGUUGGUAAAUUAUUUAUCACUCUAUCUUAAUGAUACCUUAUUUGGGAUGGUAAAGAUUGGGGGUAAACUCCCUUUUAUUCUCACAUGUUUAUAGUAUUUAUAUUUUUAUAAAUUACCUAAAACAUCCACGUCACUACUUUUAUGGCUAUUGAACAUAUCAUUUCAAAUAUAAAAUACUAUUUCGGUCUAAUAUAAAUUAAAAAUCAAACAAAUCUAUUGUGCAAUAAAUGAAAAGUAAAGAAUAUUAAUUAGGUUUUAAUGGAAACAAAUAUAAAACAUAGAGGUUUUGAGUAACUUUUGUGAUUUUUUUUUUAAUGUUCAAUUUAGAAUUGAAUAAUUUGCAUAAUGAAAUUUUGAGGUUUCUAUAAUUUAUAUGAAGAUAAACUGAAAAAUAAGUUUAUAUGCCGAAAUUAAAAUAGUUAUAUAUUAGCAAUCAUAUAAUUAUCAAAAAAAUUAAUAAAAUUUAUUUAAAAAUUGGCCAAUUGUGUUUCAUGAGGAAAACAGAGAGCAUAAUGGACUUAUGUUGGGUCUUGGGAUUGAAGGACUAAGGGCAAGGGGCUGGGAGGUAGGACGGUAGGAAAAUUAAUUUUUUUUUUUUUUUAAAGUAUGGUCAACAUUAGUGACUUGGAGGUGAUUGCCGUUAAUCAAUUACCUUUAACUUAAGAAUUAAUACAAAUAAAUGGCAAAAAUAAUUUAAUGAAAAUUAAUUUAAUAAAAAAUUGCACUAAAAACUUAGAACUCAAAUUCUCGAUCAUUUUAUCCGUACGUUUUAAUCCGACGCUCAGAAUUGGCAUAAAACAAACUAAUAUAGCCAUUGGAAGUAAAACAAACAUCAAAUCAAGAGCCUAUGAAACGAUAAUAUCUCGUACCUUCUUCCUUAUAGAUCCUCAAUUGCUGCUGAAAGCUGCAUAUGACAAUAUAAAUAAACAUGAGAUCAAAACAUCAUAGGAUAUAUCUAACCAAUUAACAUCAUAUAUAACUCCUUGUUCUCAGUCAAAUCUUUCAUUCUUAGAUUAAAAAAAAAAGAAAUAAUAACUGUUAAGUGAUAUAGGAAGCAAAAGUAACACACCGAAAUGAAAGCAGCAAGUUCACAAAUGACAGAUGCGGUGACUUCAAGAGCAUGAAAAAUGAUUAAACUUUGGUAGAAAGGUCUGAGCCGUGUUUCACAAGUUGCUAUUGACUUCGUGGCUUCGCUUUUAUUUAUUAUUAUUAUUAUUUUUUUAAAUUCUAUAUCAGUGAGAAUUGAAAUGUGGAAAGUGUAAUGAUACACAUGCCUUAUCAUCUAUCAUGAGGGGUGAUUUGGUAAAACCGAUUUAAAAUAAAAAAAAGUUUAAAAAAAUUGAAAAAAGAUGCUUUGUGUCUGACUGCCUGUAUUUGGGGUAUUUUUCGGGUUGUUGAGAGUCAGUUUAAUUAAAUAUAAGAUUUUCAUUUUUCUUAUUAUAUUUUUCUCUUUAGAAUGAAUUUAAAUCUCAUUCUUAUUAAAUCCAUUUUUUUAAAUGAAAGUAGAUUUCUCUCCACACAUUUGAGAUAUAUUUUAAAAUUAAUGUUCAGCAUAUCUCUAAAUUAUAUUAUAAAUAUUUUUAUUUAAAAUCUCAACAAAUUUCAUAACACACAGAGAGAAAUACAUAUAUAUGUUGUAAUGUUUUAAUGAUGGAUCUCUAAAGUUGUCAAGUUAAAAAAUAAAUAAAAAAAUAAAAAAUACACACUUCAACUUAUUAUAUGAUAAAAUAUAGUAUAUUAAAGUGAGUAUUUUUUGUGUGAAAUAAAAUUAAAGUGAGUACUAUUACCACCUCACAUCUUAUAAAUUCUAGAAAAUAAUCAAGGCUUGACAUACUUUUAUUUAUGCAAAAGCAUAAGAAAAUAAUUCAAAGUAAUAAUUAGUGUACUAUUCCUCAAAAUUCUAGAAUAGAUUUGUUAGUUCUCUUUAUCUAUAGAUUGGUCCAUGAUUGGCAUCGCAAUAGCUCAGAAUCGCCUCAACGAUUGUUCCACACGGUCCAAGUCUUCUUAGCAAUAGUUUUAGAGAAAGUGUUUAGUAGUUCCAAGUCUUCUUUUUUUAACACAAAUGUUGGCAUGAUAUUCUUAAUAUAUUUUUAAAAUCAAAAUAAGAUGCAUAGAGGACAAUAAUUUUAUUUGAUAAUUGAUUUUUUUGCAAAGAAAGUUUGAACAUGAGAGUGAUGAGAGAUGAGAAUAUUGAUGAUGGUGUGUACUUUAGAUGGAAAAAUAGAUUGGAAAUAUAUAUAGACAUAUUAAAAGAAAAAAAUUUGGUCUAUUUCAUAAGAGAAACAAAAAAUUAUAAACGCAGGUGUUAAAAUGUAUUCAGAAUUUAUAAAUUUUUAUAAAUAUGAUAAUCAUUAGACCCUUAUAAAAGUAUAGCAAAAAGUUUAAAAUUUUUUAAUAAAUGUCGAAGAGAUGGACGAAGAAACCAUCCACCAGUUCAGAAUUAAUAAUCAAAGAUAUGAGGAUUCGAUCGAAGAAAUGGUGAAAAAUAAAAGGUCACGGGAUUGGUUAGUGGGACCCUAACAUUAAUGGUAAAAAAUAAAAGGACACUGGGUUGCUAUCAAUUUUUACAGUGUAGGUUCAUAGCCGGGGAAGUAAUUGGGCACAAAUAUCUCGGAUGAGAAAUAUCCAUUUUAUCCCGCAACUUUAUGUUUAUGGCCUCUAAAAAUUUUCACCUCUUUCACUUCUGGAACCCGUGCUUUCUGGCACAUGCACAAUACUUGGUUGCUACUUAUAAAGCGUUUUUACAAUUGCAACGACAUGGUGCUCUUUGAUAAUUCAAAAAUCCAAUAUAAUUUAUAGAGAAUUACAGAAUUGUGGUACGUGAUAAUUUGCUGACGCAAUGAGGCGCCUAAAUUCUUAUACAUGGGAUUUAAGUUAAAUAUGUAUAAUUAUGUAAUUAGAAAAUACUAGUUGGGGGUAUUUGUGUCCAUGAAAAUUUACAGCUGGUUGUUGACAUUACACUGCGGGUGUGUAAGUGUAAUCAUGGAUCUGACCAUUCAAAUUAAAAAAUGGGGGUCCCACUAACUUACGGAGUUAGUAAUUAUUACAUAUGCAGAUAUUCUCCCAUACGAUAACCUUAUCAUAAAUUUAAAGGAUACGAGGACUUGAUUGAAGAAAUGAAUGAAUAUUUGAAUUAAAAAAAAUUUAUAAUAAAGACAAGUAUUAAUUUACUAUGAAUGUAACUUACAUAUGCUGUAAGUUAGCGGGACACUAUUGAAUCACAAGCAAAAAACAAUCUGUCUUCUUCUUGAUUCCGUAAUUUGGCUGUCAAAAUGUAAUCUAUAAAGAUUACGAUACCUCGAUUCAAAAAAAUAUUUUUUUUUCUUAUGAAAUAAAUGAAAACUGAACACCAUUCAAUUAACCGUUUAUUUCCCCUUAAAUUUUUAAUCUCAAUGAAACAUAGAUCUAAUGGGAACUACACAUAUAUAAAAAUACUAUAGAUUGAAGAAGUUGAAUUUUUCUUGUGUGUUAAGUAUUUUUGGUUAAUACGAAAGGAUUCUAGCAAGUUAAUACAAAAGUAUCAUAAAUUCACUGUAGUACAAGAUUUUUUUUUUUUUCCUUUGAUGUUAAGAGUUUUGGAGAUUAAAAAAAAAAGAUGAAAGAAGAAGAUGAGAGAAGAAAAAAUAUUAAGAAUAGUUUUGGCAUUUUGAUGCGUUUUAUAGAGUAAAAUUUAUAUUUUAUAGUAUAAAAUGGUACACCCAAAAUUUAAUGAUAAAAUUUUAGGAAAAAAUUGCACUCGUCAAAAAAAAAAAAGAGGCUCAGCUUAGCCCAAAAUUUUUUUAUUAAUCGUCUAGUCACAAAUGUAAUCUCUUUUUUAUGAGAUUCUUUGGCGUUUUAAUUUAGUCCAUUGUUAGCAAUCCUAAUAGCUUUUAUGUGCACCUAUUUUUAUGUGAAAUAUGUUUCAAGCUUGAAUAAAAUCUGCGGGACAACUGGUAAGUAAUAAAGCUCAUCAUUUUUUAUUUUGAAAAUAAAGGGAAUCACUUACACUUUAGCACGAUAUUAUUUUUGAUAAGUCAUUUUUUGGAUAGAUUAUUUUUUCUGACGGGUAAUUUUUAGGACCUCUCCUGAAAUUUGAUGUAUUAACACUUAGAUGAAAUGUAUCCAUAUAAUUACAUAUACCUCCCCUAUUGUUAAUAUAAAAAUAUGUAUAGCGUCAGAUAAAAGGGUAAAUAUGUAAAAAUAUAUUUAAAAUUAAAAAUAUUUACUUUUACCAAAUCAUUAAAAUUUUGACCCACUUGCCCGCUGUUGGCCCAACCUUGACCAGCCGGUCAUGGCUCCACCGGCGACUGGUGGUGGUGCUUUGCCACUGCCGGAGUCCUCUCCUCACACCUGCGACCAAUCCCAUUCACGGCAGCCUUUGAAUCAACUGCAUCAACCAACACACAUUAACACAAGUACACGGCUUUUUGAAGUCUCUUUUGUUUUGCGUUUUCCCUUCACUGAGAAAAUUUGUCAGCUAAUAUAAUAAGCUUUGUUGCCUUAGAUUUGAGAUUACAGAGUCCUGAGCAGAUGUUGUGGCUGUGAUGUGGGUUUUAUUGUAUUUGACUAAUAGGCAAAAUACCUUUUAUUGGCCUACAAGGACGGUGCCUUUUUCUUCUUGUUGGGGAACUUCGUGAAGAAUCCAGCUUGCUUUUUUCUUCCUUUUCUUUCUUCAUUUUAAUUCAUUUUUUAAUUUAUAAUAACUUUUUGAGAUUGAAUUAUCGGCUUCACAUGUAAACAAUGGCAUUUGGUAUGUCACAAGUGCAUAGUUAUUCUUAUUUUUUAAUUUAUUUUUUUCUGAUGUUUUUGUUGCUGGAAUUAAUUUCUCAAGGUUUUGGCAUCACUCCCCAUUGGAUUUGCUAUGUUCAUGGUACAAUUGGCCACAAUCCCAAUCACUCGCACUGGAAUUAACCCAGCAAGGAGUCUCGAAGCUGCUGUUAUUAACAAUAAGGACAAGGCUUGAGAUUGACCAAUGGCUCUUUUGGGUGGUGGUGCUUUGCCACUGCCGGAGUCCUCUCCUCACACCGGCGACCAACCCCAUUCAAAGCAGCCUUUGAAUCAACUGCGUCCACCAACACACGUUAAUCCAAGUAUGCUUUUGUCUCAUCAGAACCCCCACACCCCCGCUGCCCCUUUGGCAAUCGCCGACGCCACCCAAUAGCGGCUAACAUCACCCUUGAACCAUCCCGAUACCAUGCCGCAACCUCUAGCAUCCCAAAACCCAAACUGCACACAACUCUCAAAACCCUUGCUCGAGCUUGUCACGCCGCAUACCACUGCCGUAAUUUGUACCAACAGUGAUGGUUCCAUAUCGUCACUGUCCAUCCCCUCAACCAACCCCCCAUGCAACCCCGACCUCAAUAACAUCUCAACAACCACGAACGCACGAUUUCUUCAACCUGCACUUACGGCCACUUUUAAUGAAAUUCUCACUGCCAACGGAAUUCUCAAAGUUAUAUAUAAUAAUUUAUUAUUUCAGCAGCAAGGAUAGUUUAAUAAUUUUAAAUGUUUAUUAACGGUCAUCUUAAUUAGUAACUAACGGCAGGGGAGGUAUAUGUAAUUACAUAAAUACAUUCUAUCUAAGUAUUAAUAAACCAACCCUCACAGAAGGUCAUUAGAAAUUAUCCUUUUUCUGACAGGCUCUUAGAUUUGGGAAAAUAAAUUGUGUACUUUUAAUGAAGAAAAGUAAAAGAUCAAUAAAAUAUUUUGUUGUUUUCGACAAUUUUUGCGUUGUCAAGUGCGCCUGGUACCUUUUUUUUUUUUUUAACUUUUGAGUUGUUGUUUAAUUUGUAUUAUAAUUAAUUAUCAUGGACCCACGUGCCACUGUUUCCAUUUCAAGUUUCAUAAUUUAACAGUGGAAAUGGGUUCCACAGAUAAUUUAUUUUAUAAUUUUUUAAAAAAAUUAUCAAAAUGUAAUAAAUAAGGUAAUAAUAAUUAAUAAAAAGUAGAUUUUAAGAUGGAAAAAUCUUUUUGUGUACUUAAUAAAAAGAUGAUAAGAUUGGGAUGCUUUUGGUUUACAUUCUCAUAGCUAUUUCUACUGAAAAAUUACAUCAAAAUUUAAUUAAUAAAUCAGUGAACUGCAGACUUAUUAAAUUUAAGCAAUUUUAAUAAGUCAUAAAUAUACUAAGUUAAAAUAGUAGUAAACCCAUCGUUACACAAUUCUCUCCAUUGAAUGUUCACCACUUUAAGAUAAUCAUAAAAUGACACUGGAUGUGCUAUUAUCUGUUUCAUUAAAAGCCUUCACAAAAUAAAAGGCCGGUGAACAAAGUUGGUCAUAGAAAAAAGGAGCAUAGAGCACAUACAUCCAGUUUUUAUAUCCUCUGAUACUGAGUCGUCACAUGCUAAUGCUAUAGACUAUAUGAUAAUCUACUAAGGUGACGCAUGCCAAUGCUAUAGACUAGCUUUUCAAAGGUUGAAGUGGGUAUACUUUUAGUAAAAAGACCUGCAAAAUUAUAAUGUAUCUAUUUGACAUCAACUUUUUUUAUCUGCUGGAGCUUAUGAUUAUAGAAGAUCUUCGGUAAGAUGUGUUUGAUUUUAUCUUCUUUUAUAUAUCCUCCUCUAACUUGUGUAAUAGUAGUAAACCCCUGCCCGUUUUUAUUUCGUUUAGUAUUUUCUAAAUGGCCGAAGGAAAAUUGGUAAAAACUCAUUUAAAAAUAAAAAAAAAUCAAAGAAAUUCAAGAAGAAGCUUUCUAUCUGCCAUUUGUAUUUGGGGUAUUUUUUUGGUUGUUAAGUGAAUGAGCUUAAAUCUAAAACAUUUAUUUAUAUAUUUCUUGUUGGAAAGAAUUUAAAUUUUAUUCUUAUUAGACUUAUUCUCUUUAAACAAAGGUAGAUUUUUCUCUAUGUGUUUAACGUGUAUUUUAAAAUUAAUGUUCAACAUAUCUUUAGAUUCUAUUAUAAAUAUUCAUAUCUAAAAUCUCAACAGAUUUCAUAAUAUAUAAAGAGAGAGAAUAACGUUUCUAAUAAAAAAUUUAUUAAGUUAAAGAAUAAUUCAAAAGAUAAAAUAACACACUCCAAUAUAUUAUAUAAUAAAAUAUAUUGUAUUAAAAUAUAUAUUUUGUUUACUUUUUUUAAUAUAUCUCCUAAUAACUUAAGAAAUCAUUUAUUUAACUAUAUAUAUAUAGAGAGAGAGAGAGAAAAAUGUUCACGAGAAACCUUUAAAACUGCAUGGUUUUAAAUGUUUAAAAUGUAAGAACCGAUGAACAAUUUUUGACAAAGACGUUGCGACCUAAGUAGGGAUAGCAACUAAAUUCGGAUCCAACUCGGAUAUGUAAGGAUCCGAAAGAUCCAGAUCCAGAAAAUUUUUUAUCUGAAUAUUAAAAAAUGUUGAUCCGGAUAUAGAAAUUUGGGAUCUGCACGUAUUGGGAUGGAAGUACAUUCGGAAAAUUGGAUAACGAGAUCUAGAUAACUUUUGUUUCAAAUUAAAAAUAUAUAUUAAAAAUUAAAUGAAAAAUUAAAAAAGUAAAUUUCAUUUGUGGAUUUAUGAUGUUGUUGUAUAUUAUUCAUGUUGAAUUAUUAAUUGCUGGAUAUGAUUGAAUUUUUUUUGAAAUUAUUGGGUAAAUUUUUGAAUUUUAUUUUAAAUUAAAAAUAUUUAUUAAAAAUUAAAUAAAAAUAAAACAUUAAAUUUUAUUUGUAAAUUUAUGAGAUUAUUGUAUGUUAUUCAUUUUGAAUUAUUAAUUGUUGAAUUAUGAUUAAAUUUUAUUUGAUAUUAGUAGGUAAAUUAUUAAACUUUCAAAUUAUAUAUUAAAUUAUUUAAUUAUAAUUUUUACGGAUCCGAAUAUCUAGAAUAUCUGUUCGCAUCCGGAUCUACAUAUUUUUUUACGAAUCCAGAUAUAAAAAUAUGAAUGUGGAUCCAAAUUCGGAUUUUGCCAACCCUAAACCUAAGCAUGAAUGUGCCUAAAGUUUUUACUAAGAACAUGGAUCAUUCAAUGACACGACAUGUUUUGCAGCUCUCAUUAGUAUAAUUGAAUAAUUAAUUCAUCUCUAUAUUCAGCUUACACCGUCUCAAAUUGCAUGCAAAUACGAAAGUACACUUUUGAAUCGUUCACUUGAGGAAAAUUAGAUUCUCCACGUAGAAUUUAGAUUCAAAGCAUAGCAAAUUAGACAUAAUUCUAAUUUAUAUGGGAAAUAUAAUUAGCGAAGACACUCUUUAUAUAAACAUUAUUGUCAUAGGAUGCCAAACCUAAUAAGAUUCAAGAUCUUAACAUACUUCAUAUGAAAUUUGAUCUUGACGCGUACCGACACGCAUAACAUCAAGACUCUACUUCAUAUAAUGUAACUUCAUGGAUUUUUCGCUCUCUUGUGAAAUUGACAAUUAUGGGCGCUGUGUGGCAGUGGUACAUAAUAAAAUAAACAUUUAUUUUUAGAAUAUUAUUAUUUAUCUCAAUUUUUUAUUUAAUAGUUAAUUUUAAUCAAUUCUUAAACUGUCAUAAUCAAUUAAUUUUUUACAUUAUGGUAUCUUAAAUAAAUUUUGGAUCUGUAAUAAAUAAAAACUGGUAACGUUUGUUCUUUUAAAACAUAAAACAACCGUAACAUUGGUUUUUACAUUUUGAAUUUUUCUUGCAUCACUAUUUAGAAAAAUGAUGUUAAAUCAACUCACAAAAUAUAUCAAGUCAUCUAAAAUCCAAAUAUUAUUACAUUUGUAUUUGUAUUGUUAAAUUGUUGGAACGACGGCAAAGCAAUUGAAAAGAGAUUAACAAAAAAGUAAAGAUUGGCCAAGGAUUAUUCAUGUUUAGGAAAUGCCUUAACUUUUGAUAUAAUCAUUGUUAUAAUUAUAUUGUAGAAAUAAUCAAUUACCUGUGUUUAUGUUGGUCUCCUUUUUUUCCAUUUCUGUACAACGAAAUAUUUGCAUGUUUUGAUAGAAAUUGGUUUAAAUGACAUUUAAAAUUGUAUAUCCCCAGACAAUUAACGAAAUAUUUGGAUGGUAGGAUGAAGUAAUAAAUAGUUUUACAAAUUACCAUAUUAGAGGUAAAAAAAAAUAAAAUCGAGAGGUUACUUGACAAUUAUGACGUUACUAACUACAAAUUUAACACAAAAAGUUUAAUUAACUUUUCUUUUUGAGAUGACAAAAUCUCUGGUGUUGAAAACAAUGAGGUUUGAGGUUCAAGCUUGAAUAUUAAGUUACAAUUAGUAGAUGGUCUUAGGACAUAUCAAAGAUUUCUUUAAAGACAAAAUAAUUAUUAUAAGCAAUAGGAAAUUAUGGUAUUCAGAACAUGUAACCUUCGCACAUGAAGCUUGAAUCCAGAACAAGAUGCAGCUAGCCAAUCCUUCCAACUUCCAAAAACCCACAAAAUCUCUGUCAACAUGUCUGUUCUACUUCAAUAAUAAGCACAUUCAUAGCGGUAUCAACAGCUUACAGCGCCAAAAUAUUUUCCCCAAAAAGAGUGAGAGAUUUCACUGAAGCUAAGUUGUGACUUGUGACUGCCCAAAUGUUCUAUAACACGAUAUGAUUAUUCUAGUAACAUCAACAUUUGCAUCCUUCUGUAUCUGUCUGAGCUCCUGAAGCAUGAUACCCGGUUGCCCAGCAAAAGAUGCAGCUAUCACAAUGAAUAAGGGAACAAAAUAGAUAACAAAGUCACAAAAACAAAGCUAAUCACAAUGAAUGAUAAGGUUUAGAGUAAACAUAAAGUUAUAAUCUUGAACAUAAGUGGCGCUCUUGAGGAAAAAAAAAAUUCAUUCUAACACAACAGAAUAAAUUGUAAAGAAAUCCCAGUUUGUAUAAAAGAAAGAAAACAAAAUUAAGGAAAACAUAAGCACAACAAAAUUUGACUGAUUAUUAAAAAUGAGAAAUGAGUUAUAAUGAGAAUUUUGGCUUUGUGGUGAAAUAAAUUGGGAAGUAUCCAAAGUUCGCAUGUAAAUAAUAUAAAUGAUAAGAAGACGAAGGGAACAAAAUGAUAAUAAGCAAGCCAAAUAUUAAAAUGCAGAUUCUACGCUUCCGCCCCCCCAUACUUCAAGUUAGUGUCUCGCUAAUCAUUUUAGAUGUAUCAAUUACAAAGGGAGGCCAUCUAUUUAUGGUAAGCGUACGCCUCUAAUGCUUUGCCAAGUGUCCAUUGAUAAUAUCACAAGGGCAAUUAAAUUGGUGUAUGUGUAUUACACCUCCUAAAGUCAUGUUAAGAUAGUUAGUGAGCUGAUAAAGUUUGUUGCACGUGUGAGUUGGUUAAGUCUGCUAGAAAUGCAAACGUGUAAAGCUGAGUCAGCAAGUUAGUUAACGUUAUUAUGAAUGCUUAGAUUCAGCCCACGUGUAUUGUAUGUAAUACUUAGAUUCAGGUCACGUAGAUUGUGUAUACAACUUUCUAAUAUGAGUAAUGAUACAGCCACAAACUCUUGUACAAACUUAUUUUAUACAAACUGACGUGAUAUUUAAUUCAAACUGAUGUGGGCCAAGUGAUAUUUAAUUCAACCAAUCUUAUCAUGCCACAUCAGUUUGUACAAAAUAAAUUUGUACAAGAGUUUGUGGCUGUAUCAUUACUCUUCUAAUAUUAUUUAGAUCUCAAUAUAAAUACUUGUAAUCAACAAAUACAAUAAUAAGAGUCAUCAUUCUUCAUUUUCUCUCUGUUUCUCUCAUAUUUUCUCUGCAUCCAAACACAAUAUUCUCAGUUCUUGACUGGUAUUAGAGUCGCAGUUUAAUUGUCCUGGCUUCGUUAAGCACAAAUUCAAACACAAAUCAGUCUCCUUCAUUCUUUACCCUCACAAAUGCGAUCAAAUUGGACAGAUCUUACUAUACGAUCUGGAAAUCUCAGAUCCUCUCUUCAGUGUGUGCCAAUGGACUUGAAGGCUUUCUUAAUGGAACUAAAAUUUGUCCAGAUCAGUUACUUACUCAAGAGAUUGAAAGUUAUGGUGUUGAAAAUGUUGUUGGUGAAAGCUCAGCUGAUAGAUCUCAGGAGAAUCCAGCCUUUGUUGCUUGGAAGAGGUAGGAUCAAUUGUUAUUAAGUUGGCUCAUGUCCUCCAUCAGUGUUGAGAUACUUAAGUCUUGUGGUAAAUUCUGAUUCUUCUCAUAAACUUUGGACUAAUCUUGAAGAAAAUUUUUGGAUUAGAAAAUAUGGCUAAGAAAGCACACUUAAAAAAUGAUGUUAAGCAAUCUCAAAAAGGGAUCAAUGACAAUAACUGAGUAUUUUGCCAAACUUAGAGCUGUAACUAAUAAACUUGCUCUAACUGGUAGACCUGUUUCUACUCUAGACUUUAUUACUCAUCUAAUCUCUAGAUUAGGCCAGCCAUACUACCCUGUUGUUGUGUAUAUUGAAGCUAAUAUGUUGAAAAUAUUUGUCAAUGAAGCCUAUUCUAUGCUUUUAACUCAUGAAGCAAGAAUUAAAUUUAAUCAUCCGAGUGCAAAUAAAGAAGCAAAGUUGAAUUAUGCUGCUAACAUAGCUUUGGCUGGACCUAGUAAUAACAAUAAGAAGUCUAGUAAUCAAGCUAAUUACUAUCAGGGCAACCAAGGUAACUGGAAUAGAAAUGCUAAUUGGUGUGGUAACAAUGGAGGAAGAGGUGGCUUUGGCAGAGGUUUUUCAGGGCAAGGAAGGAGUAAUUAGAAUAAUGGUGGUCAUUGGAACAACGAACCUUGGAGUAGUAGUCGAGCAGGUUAUAAUUGUUCUGAUAUAAACAUUAUGACAUGGUUGUUGGUGAACCUGUAAACAUAACCACAAAAGUAAGAAGGCAUAAUCUUUUUAUAAGAAACUCAAAAAUGUAUUAAUGAUGAAAAUUUUAAAACAGAUAGCUGACCAGCUGUUCACUAAGAAAACAAAAAACUGAAUAUUUGUGCUAUAAAAAGGCACACCCAAUCUCACCCCUAUAAAAGGCUAGAAUCAGCUACAAAUCCCUAUCUCAAAACCCCAUCCCAGUUUAGAUGAAUGAAGAAAAAAGAUGAAUCUUGAAACUCCUUAGAAACUGAAGCCCAAAGUGAAGCAAGAAGAUGAACUCUAUCCCAAGCAAGCAAUAUGGCAUAUUUCUCCAUUAAUGGUUCAAAUAAAGUGAAUGGCUUUCUCUGAUGAAUGGGAAAUUGUCAAGAUCAAUAGUCAAACUCACGCAAAGUAAACGGACUUAAUUCUCAGAGGCUACUCAUUCUAAGUCUUAAAGAAAAAUUUUCUAAUUUCUAAAGAUUAUAUGGGGAAAAAUCAUUAUUUUCUAACAUGGAAAAUUUGAUACGCUGUUUAAUGUCUGAUCACAAUCAUAAUAUGAGUACUAACAAAAACAUCUUUAAUCGGCAUGGUGCGAGUAAAACACCAUCACUUCAUCUUUGAUGGAAAGAUGAUAACAUAAAGAGAUGGUGAAAUGGUUUUGGUCCUUGGCAGCUUGUAAUCAAAAGAAAACAAAAAUCUACACUAUUAUUAAUGAUUACCGAAGCUACAGAAGUAUCAAAAUCGGAAAGUAAACAAUUGCAAAACACAUCAAUGACUGAAGGUUAGGUUCUAAAACUUCCGUAUUUAAUUUUCAAAGCAUGUUAUGUAUUAUUCAGAAAUAUGCUUUCACUUCAGGCACUUGACCAAGACGCAUUAAACAAAAAACGUGGCGUUUUCAUGGACUAGUACAUUCCAUGCUUCGAAAGUUUAUGUUUUAGACUGAUUCGUUUGAUACAUUAUUUGUUUAUUGCGUUUUUCUUGCUUUAAAUAUUAUGUUGGAUUGAUAAGUUUUGUACACAUUUAUAUUGCUCGCAGUAAAUAAUUUAUGACAUUUAAAAAACUAGCAACCGUCUAUCAAAAGAUUUCUACUAUAAAUAUAUAUACACAAAAAACUUUUAAUUUGGUCAAUUUGUUCUCUUAUUUAUUUUUGUUCUAUUUCUCUUUUCCUUUCCUUUCAUUUUAUUGUUUUAUGGUACAAAAUAAAAAAAUAACCUUAAAAUUUAGGGCAAAGCUAUGGUACCACAAUUGUAUGGUACCACAGCUGGAUCCAACCAUUGGAUCUAUCCCACAGUUGUCACCAGAAUUAGAUCCAAAGGCUGGAUCCAGCUGUGGUACCAUACAACUGUGGCACCAUAGUUAGACCCUAAAAUUUAAGGGUAAAAUACUCAUUUUACUAAAAUUCCGUUUAAUAUUAUAAAGCUGUCAAAUGUCAAUGGCAUAGUACACGAGUGAUACAAAUUAAAAACAAUAAAUGGCACCCCGGCUUUCGCAGCGUACUCAAGUGCAGCCACCACUCCAGAAUCUGGUACUGCAAUCACGACAUCACUCAACAGGAGCCUCGGUAGCAAGUACUUCCCCAAAAUGAUACCUCGACUCACAAACAUGUUGAAAAGUCAUGCACAUGACAUUCAAAUUCAAAAAUGCAUGCAAAAUUUCAAAUGGCUACCAAACAUUUGAAGAAAAAAAUGAAAAGUUGGCAAAUUUGUCAAAUUUGAGAAAUGGACACCAUUGACUAUUGGCUUAGGUUAGGUGGAAUAGUAAAGGGGUUGGUGCAAUAGUGCUAUUAUUUUUCCUAUAAAUAGAUGGCACUUAUUCCAUUCUUAAGCAUCCCAAAAUUGUUAAGCUUAUAAGUUUCUAAGAUUUUAAGAGAAGUGAGAGAAGUGUGUCUGUGGAAUUUAUCUUUCCUGCAGAGUGUGAGAGUACUGGGUAUAUUUAGGUUUUUGGGAAGUGAGAUUCGUUACUCAAAUAUUGUACUCUAUUAAUUGUUAAAUAAACAAUUAUUCUUUCUUACCUCCGUGGAUGUAGGUUUAAUUACCAAACUACGUAAUUCUUGUGUCCUUUAUUUUUUUGUAAUUAUUUGGUGCGCUUGAUUCCGCAUUCCGCGCACAACAAGUGGUAUCAGAGCCGACGGUUCGUACUUGGGGAGAUACGGUACUGUUCACGUAUACGGUAUUAUUCCCGUAUACAGUACUAUUCACGAAUACGGCGGAGACGGCCAUUUGUACUUGGGAGACAGUCUAUUAUAAGUAGUGUGUAUUUUUGCAUGUCUAGGAAAGUUUUGUCAACAAAGGCGAUAAGAGUCUAAGGAUUCUGGUUUUUAAUUGGGACCGAGUUCCCGUCCAGUCUCCUGAAAACUUUCCUGGUGCAUUUAUUCACGUGAAAUUAACAUUAUAGAGACUGUUUUUCAAGUGGAAAUAGUUCGUUGAGAAAAUGGUAGAAGGUGAAACUUCCAGAAUUGGGGAGAGAUCUACCGAGACUAUUUCAGGAGACACUUCAGGUGGGAGGCGAGAUUUGUCAAAUCGCUAUUCAGCACCUGUUAUAGGAGGCUAGAAGACCGAUGUUGAAAAGUUUGAUAGGAAAAUCAACUUCGGCAUGUGGAGGCGCGAAGUUAUGGAUGCCCUUAUUCAAAUUGAUCUCGGUGUUGUGUUGUUGAGAAAGAUCGAUACCAAAGAUAAUCCAUCAGAUAUAUUGAUGAAGGUAGUUUCUGGAGUUAAGUUUCAACAUUACUUGAAAUUAAUUCAAAUCCUUCAAUUGUAUUAAGAUAUGUCCUUCGGGAAUUAUGAACUACGGUUGGCUUGAUCCCAAAUUUUGGGUACGUAGGCAGUCGAAUCGACACAGCCAUUCUGGAUCCUUAUUGAAGGAUCACUUUGGGGAUGAGGGUUCAUUGGUAGUUGGCUCAGAUUUGGACAAAUUUUCGUCGAGGUGGAGAAUUGUUGAAAAGUCAUGCACGUGACUUUCAAAUUCAAAAAUGCAUGCAAAAUUUCAAAUUGCUACCAAACAUUUGAAGAAAAAAUGGAAAGUUGGCAAAUUUGUCAAAUUUGCCAAAUGGACACCAUUGACUAUUGGCUUAGGUUAGGUGGAAUAGUAAAGGGGUUGGUGCAAUAGUGCCAUUAUUUUCCCUAUAAAUAGAUGGCACUUCUUCCAUUCUUAAGCAUCCCAAAAUUGUUAAGCUUAUAAGUUUCUAAACUUUUAAGAGAAGUGAGAGAAGUGUGUCUGUGGAAUUUAUCUUUUCUGCAGAGUGUGAGAGUACUGGGUAUAUUUGGGUUUCUGAGAAGUGAGAUUCGUUACUCAAAUAUUGUACUCUAUUAAUUGUUAAAUAAACAAUUAUUCUUUUUUACCUCCGUGGAUGUAGGUUUAAUUACCGAACCACGUAAUUCUUGUGUCCUUUAUUUUUCUGUAAUUAUUUAGUGCGCUUGAUUCCGCAUUCCGCGCACAACAAAACAAACCUUCCAAAAACAACAGAAUUAGGCAAAGCAAAAUAAAUAUGCUCAAAGAUGCACUGCUUAGGUUCAGGGUGAGGCAUCAAACAAGGUGAUUGAACCCCAUCUUUAUCCACCAUCAAAACUUCACCGGGAUAUACCUCUCUCUCUCUCGCUCUCGUAUGUGGCCUCAAUCAAAUAGUGCACAAGUCUCUGACGCAAAAACCAGAGCACCAUUACUCCUACCCAUCACCAAUGGCAUAAACCCAUACGGGUCACGAACCGCAACAAGCUUAUCCUCAGUAACAAACACCAUUGAAUAAGCACCCUCAAGCUUCUCACAAACAUCCAUAAUCCUCAAAAAGAACGGCCUAGCUUUCGAUAUCGGAAUCAAAUGGAGAACAACCACAGUAUCAGAACUAGUAUUGAAAAUGGAUCCAUUAUCUUCGAGCUUAGCCCUCAAAGUAUUAUAAUUAACUAAUGUGCAACACCAACAGAACCAAACCUGUACCCAGCAACAAAAGGCUGCACAUUCUUAAGCAUAGAACUACCCGCAGUCGAAUAUCUAACGUGACCAAUGGCCAUAUCACCCGGCAUUUGAUCAAGUUUAGACUGAUUAAACACAUCAGACACUAAACCAACACCAGUAAUAGACUGAAGAACUUUGUUAUUCACAGCAACUAUACCUGCACCUUCUUGGCCGCGAUGCUGCAUCGCGUGUAGCGCCAAAUAGCACAAACGCGAGGCCUCUGGGUCACCAUAGAUGCCCACAACACCACACUCCUCACGGGGCUUAUCGUCGUCAUCAUCAUCAAAACUGCCAAAACCGUCAUCUGGGUAUUCUUUAUUUGUGGUGAAAAACUCAGAGAUGGGGUUUUUUUGAUAGAACAGUGAAGUUAUUUUUGUGGGUUAAAGAUUGUUGUUUCUGAGGAAAAAAGGGGUUUUUUGCGGGGUUUUGGAGAAAAGAGAAAGAUGGGUUUUUUGCGACGGCUUAGGGUUAGCAGAGGGAGAUGGGUUUGAGAGAAGGCAGAUGUUGGCGGUGCCUGUUGUGGUGGCUGCCAUUAAUGGCUGAAUUUAUUUUAUUUUAUUUGUUUUGGGUUGCCUUGCUCAAAGAAAAAACAUAGGAGGUGUGUGGAGGGAGACAGUGGCGAAGGGUACUUUAAGUAGAGGGGAACUUGUUCUAGGUUUUUUUCUGGAAUUGUGAGGGAAUCUGAUCCUGGGUUUGUGCAUAUGAUUCAAUUACUUAUAGGUGAUACUGUUGUGUCACCACAAAUUCUAAUUGGGAAGCUUCAGUUGUCAAAUUUUUUUCCAAGGGUUAAUUAGGUAGAACUUUCAUGUCGUCGAUUUUAUUUGGAGAUUCUAAAAGUAGUUUCCAAAAUCAACAAUGUGACACAGAUGCUUUAGAUUUUUUCCCUUGUGGGACAUGAAAAUUGAUGCAUGUUCCAACGCAUUGCUCUAUCAGAAUUGGAAUUAAACUUAGGUGCCGUUUGUUUUUUUGUCUGAAAUCUGAAUAGACUUGAAUUAGUCUGAAUUCUGAAUAGGUCUAAAUGUCUGAAUCCGAAUAAUAUGUUUGUUUUUUCGUCUGAAUCUCGAAAAAUAAGUAUUAAGUUGUUUUUUUUUUUUCAACUUAAAAAGCUGAAAAUAUGUACUUUUACAUUUGUAUCCUUAUUAAAUUUGAAUGUCAAAUAAAUAAUAUAUUAAAUACCACAAUAUUUUAAUAUUUAUAAAUAAAACUAUAUUCAAGUGAAUACAUAAUUAUUUUAGAAUUUUAAUAUAUAAAAUACCAUAAAUUUCAAAUUUUAUCGUAUAUAAUAUAAGAAAGAAAAAACAUGGAUAUUUUUAUAUGGGGUAAAUAUCUAUAGGUAAGUUUUGGGAUAAACAUGAAAAAUAAAUUAUAAAACAGAGAUAUUUUUGACAUUAGCAAGUAAUUGACUUAAUUCAGAUUUCUCCAUUAAGUAAAAAGCCAAAAAAAUUAGCUUAUUUUAUUAAGUCAAAAUUAUCUAAAAAGUCUCAUUAAGUUAUAAAAACAAACACCUCUAAUUAACUUAAUUAAUUAAAUUAAGUCACUGUAAGUCAUUAAGUUAAACAACAAACGCCACCUUAGUUUGUAUUCUCCUAUUCCGAAAGCAAAACUUAUAAGUGAUAUUCUAAGAAGAAGAAAUUAAGAACCAUAACAAAUUUGAUGAUUCUAAUUUGCUAGAAAUAUUGCAAUCCCAAACUAAGAAAGUUCAAACCAAUUAUUUGAAGAAAAAAGUAGGACGGAAGCUCCCAAAAUAUUGUUAUGUGUUGUAUGUUUUAGUUUGUGUUUCCCAAUCAAUAAGGAAAAGUAAGUACACAUGUAACAAAAAUUUAAUAAAAAAGAUUGGAGGUGACAAAACCGUCAAUCUUCUAAUUAACUUUCUCUCCUUUCGAAUUUCCUCGAGUUUGGUAGAGACUGCUUAAGUGGUAUAUCUAUUAUAAACACCUGAAGUCAAAGUUAAUAUUUUAAUUGUUAAGAAAAGUUAGAAAAAGAAAUUUUUGUAUAAGAGAAUUGAGUUUAAAUUUAGAAUUCCUUGGGAGGAAAUGAGUCUAAAUUCCAAUAAUAUAAUUAAACACUAUUUAUAUAUAUCAUUAGUUGGGUGAAAAUUUAAUUUCCAUCCUUUGAUGUGAAAAACUCUCUUGAUCAUCUAUUUUCAUAUGAUGGUAAUUUUUUGUUUAAAGUGAAGUUAUUGGCACCCUUUCAUUAUGCUUAUAAAAUCCUACUUCAAAUAAAAUUACACUUAAAGACAAUAGAAUUAAAUAAUAUAAUUUUUUCUUUAAAACAAAUUACUCAUCUAAUUUUUUAUAGGUUGCUUUGUAUCAAAUUAAAAAAAUUUUUUACAAAUUUAAAAUAAUCUAUUUUUUUUUCAAAUUUCUUAUUGAUUAAAUAUUUGUGUGCUUAAGAUAGCUUUAAAAUUAUAAGAUAAAAUAUAUAUAAUUUAAGCCAAUGAUUAACAUUAAAAAAUUUAUCUCUCAUAAAAGUUUUUAAUUUGUGCGUAGGGUAAUAAUAAAAUUGCAAAAGAAAUGAAAAAUAGCAAAACACUAUUUUGAGUUUAAACAAUAAAAAAAUUAAAUGAAAAAUUAGAAAUGUAUUUGAAAAAGGAUAUUUUUUGAAAAUAAAAUAAAUAUAAUUUAAAAAGAAAGAGUUUCACGAGGGGUGCAAUAGUUCAACUCUUUUGUUUAUAAGUUUUAAUGUGUUGGUAUCCUUAGCUUAGCUUUUCCCUAAUUAUUAUAUUAAAAUGUAACAACAAUGAUGAUCAACCCUAAUUUCAUGGAGGUCAAAGAUUUUGGUCAUGCCGCAUUAAUUAGUUCGGUCAUACUUUCUACAAAUUUAUUUACAUUUAAUAAUUUGCCCAAGACUAGGUAAGGCGCCGCCUGGAGUCAUAGAAUUUUAUAUGUCAAAAGUGCGUUUCACUUCAAUUAAGCUAUAAAUGUCGUUUAAUAUGCUCAUUUUGUAUUUUUUUUUAAAAAGUUUUAUUAAUUUUUAAAAAAAUAUUAUUUAUUUAUUUAUUUAUUUUUUUAAAGGUAAAGAAGUGGAUAAAGUUCAAAUUUAAUUUUUAUCCCUUACGUCAUGACCCUUAAGAUUUGAACUUAGGUAACCAAACGUAUAAUAAUAAUAUCUCAAAUUUCAUUUCAAAUGAUAUGCAAUAUAUUAAGUGAUUGUUAAUUUUUAUAAGAUCCGAGUGAAUGAAUUGUAUUAUCUCACUAAUUAAUUAAUGAGUGUCAUAUCAUUUAUGAUAACUUUUGUAUAAAAAAAAUUGCAUGGAUGAAAUAUCCUUUUGAGAAUUUAAUGGUUUAUCUCAUUUAUGAUUUAUUGUUGCAUUUAAUGAUAUUGCAAAUAAUUUUCUGAUAAUAUUAUUGUUUUGACGAGUAAGUUUGGAGUAAAUAAUACAUAUGGCAAGUGUGAGGUUUGUUAUUGCAUUUAUUUUGUGGAUCUAUUUAAAAGCCAAAAAAAGGCAUUUCGAUUCAUUAUGAUUCCAGAUAAUUUCAAGCCAUGUCAUUAUUGGGAUAAAAAUAAAGUAAAAUGGUUAAAACUAUUUUUAUGUAAUUUAUAAAAAUUAAUGAAGCAACUACAAAAUUUUUUUAAACGAAAAACAAUUGAAAUGUGUGUGGAAAAAGAAGAAAAAAAAUAAGGCAUUUAAAUAUCUUCUUAAAAAAUACGAUUGAUUAAAAUUAUUUUAACAGAAUGCUCUUCCAAAUACAAUUCCACAUUUUUUUUUAUUGCAGUGGGAUAUUCCAAAAUUGGCACAACUCAUUAAGAAUUCGACAACUCAAAUUUUAUUUAUCACUCUAUGCAUUUGACAAAUUAAAAAGAAAAAAAAUUCAUAUAUCUUCUGUUCAAAAGAAACCUUGGUAAAUAUUGUAAAACAAAUUACCAAUUUUUUUAAAUUUAUGCCAUUAAAUCGUCGCUAUUUUCUCGCCCACUUUCUUAAAAUAGAAUCGAUAUUUAUUGAUGGGUUGGGUUCGAGAGUAAGCACCAAUUCAGCAAAAUGGUUUUAUAGCAGAAAAAGCACUUGUAAGACAUUCAGAACACAUUUUUCAAUUUUGUCUUUUGAAAAUGAGUCUUGAGUUUCCGCAAGCCAAGAAGAAUGGCUAAAAAAUGUAUGGUAUCAAAAGAAAGAGAAACACACACACACAUUUUAUGUAAGAUACCGUAAAAGCCAAAUACAACCUUUUUGAUUCUCAGCAAUAACUUUUUUUUUUCCUUUUAAAAAAAGGAAGCCAUAUAAAUAAUGCUUUAAACAUUAUUUGCAACAAGGAACAAUUAUUUCAUGCUUUCAGGUAUUAGAAACUUUCCAAAACUGCUAGCAAGAAAGUGAAAUGUAACUUUACGUAGUCACAAAAUAUGUAUUGCUGUUAGCCCAAUUGUUAUGAAGUGGCUUCUGCAUCAGAAGAUUCCAGCUCCCACCAAGCAUUGUUAUCUCUCUUCUGAAUACAAUCUGCAUCGCUGGGCAUGAGUUAUAUCAUUAAUGUCUGCAUCCUCACUUACAUCAUCCCAAUCAAGUGCUUUUUCUCCAUAUCUGGAUUAUAAGUCCACUCCAAUCUCUUCAAAACAUCCUAGUCCUUCCAUCACAACUGCUACAACUUCCUUCCUAAUUACUUACCCAUUAAUAAAUCGCUCCAAGAAAAAAAAGCUUAGCAAUUCUCUUCAACGCCCCAUCACUCAUAUCCCCUACAACAACCAUCUUCAGACAAAAUCCGAAUCAUCCGACACAACCACCAAACACCCAAACCUUCUUUUGUCCACCAUAUAAAUCCUCAACAAAACAUCGGCAUCUUGUGGCUUAUCUAACACCAUUCUGACCCAAAAUCAUGCUUUUUUUAACUCAUCUGCAAAACCAUAACCCACUUUUGGAGUCAAAAUUGCGCUUGCAGCCAUUUUAUAUUUUUCCAUCUUUAUUGAAUAGCUGCCAACCAAAAGCACUCUCACCUUCCCUCUAGCUGAUCCUAUUUGAUUCGACCUUUUCUUUUGUUCACCCUCAUGAAUUUGCUUAAAAUGAUUAAAAAGCUUGUCAUUGUUAUAAAAUCUCCUUCCACAAUCACCAAUACAUACGGCUUAGCAGGCCUAAUUACACCCUUGAUUUCUAAUUGGUUAAACAAUUCUCUUUCUUUCUCUGCUCUCUUACAACUUGAGGCAUAUAACUAAACCCGUGGCUAUUAGCAUUUGCCACCAUGUAUUUAAGAAUCCCAAAUGAAGAUAUUGAUUUUUUUCAGUUUAAUUGCUGCUUCAAAACGGGGUACUAAAUUUGGAUUUUGUUAUCCAAAUACCAAAAAUUUCCCACAUUGUGUUGGACAGUUUUUGGUUCUAAAGUUGAUGACUGGUUUUACGAAUCAGGCUUCAAAUGAGAACUUCUAAACAAUAAGACAAAUGGGUUUUUGAGUUUCCAAUUUUGUAAACUUUGUUCUAUUGUUUAAGUUAUGAAAUCGCUGAAACAUCACUACAGCUACAGGUCUUUAUGUGUCAAAGAACUGCAGAAGCUGAUGAUCUAGCUGUAGUAGACUUCUAUUGCCCCUGUCGUUCUAGGAAGACAAACAAGUUCAGGAACUACUUCUGGACCAAACUCAUAAUAUUGCCACUGCUUUGUGCCAAUCUGAGAGGGAAAGCAUAUUGAAGUUCCUAAAUAAGGCACAUCAUGAUUUGACAGAAGUACCACUAUGAGGAACAAUUGAUUUCAGGAAAGCACUAAAAUAUGACAUAAUCUGCCCCUAAUGGUCUAAAGUAGUCAAGAAAUGAUAUCAACCAAGCAAAAACACAUAAACUAGUUGAGAUACAAAGUUAUUGUAAAAGUCAAUUUUGAUCACAAGUCCAUUAAAAUUAAAAGACAUUAGAAACUUAGAGAACAUUAUAAUUUAGGACUCAGCUAAGUUGCAGAUUCUGUAACUAACAGCUGUGUCCACAUUGGUCUUGCAUCAGCUGAGUUUGGGUUGCUUUUCCUCUCUCCUGCAACGCGUACGUGGAAGCGCCCCAUUUGCUGUGUUCUAUACCGAGUCGGUACCGUAACAAGCUCCUAUAAUUUAAGUUUGAUUACUGUAGACAAUAGUCUGCCUCUGCUCAAAAGCUAUGUUGCAAGAUAUAACAUCUUUGCAAUGUUAUACUUUCUAAAAGUAAUAAGAAAUGAAACCAAGGGGUAAAUCGAACACCAAAAGAAAUUUAGUCGGCCAACCACAUUAUGUUCCCACACAGUCCACUAAUUAAGUUAAUAAUUAAAAGGAAUCAAAAUCUAAGAAAUCUCAUCUUCAAGCAGAAUUAAUACAAACACACAGCGAUUGAAAAUCACAAAAUCAUAAAAAGAAGCUGACUUGAAAAGCUCAAAUAUACGUUCAUCAGCCUCUCAACUUAUAUCUAAGAACAAAUGCAGCUUGUGAAGACAUACAUAAUUGAAGCUGAUGAGCCAUAUUUAACAAAUGAUAAUCAAAACUUGUGUGAUUAAAAUUAUAAUUCAAUAAUCGAGCACAUAAAACAAGAAGUAACUAGUUGUAUAUAUACCAAACAACUUUCUGAAGUUAAGGCAUAAAACAACAACGUAGAACAAAUUAAUUAAAUAUACCAGCACCAAUACUCUUAUUAUUAUCCAAAUAUAGAAGACCAAUGUAUCAAACAAGGAAAAUGAAAUAUUGUUAAUAAAUAAAAAACGACUAGUGUCAAGAACUAAAGUAAUAAGUAAAACCCAUAAUCAGACACGACCACAUCAAAAUCUCUGAAAAUUGAGGUCUAAACAUUGAAAACAAUUAGACAUAUAUAACAGUCAAUCAAAACAAAGCCUCAAAAUAAUAAUGAACUACAAUAAGACAGAAACUAAAUUGUAAACAAGCGCAUACCCAAUAACAGUAAUCAAGUAACAAGUCAAAACCAGAAUCAAACGUAGAAUUUUGAAAUCCAUACGAACUCUAAUGUAUUAGAAUGAAAUAAUAAGGGCGAUCGAUAAACUAGACUCAAACAAAAACAUGCCCAGUUAAAAAACGAAGGUAAAUAAAUAAAAAUGGUAUAAAACUGCGAAAAAAAUUAAUGAAAUGAAGAGAAAAUCACAGGAAUCCUAUGAAGAGGAAGGUAAACAAAACCUUCGGGAGCCGAGAAGAUGCCUUUUUUGUUGACGUUUGUGCCUAUACAUGCAAUUUUUUUUUUUAAUUUUGAAGAAAGUAUUGGUUAAAUAUUGUCAGAACGAAAUAUUAAUAAUAGGGACUUGACUAGCUUACAGAAUCUGUAAGGUACAAACUGCAGCAUCAGCCGUUGGAUGUGGUUGGAUGUGGAGUGAGAAACUAAACAAUAGAAAAUCGGAUGGUGGGAUGACGGGAGAUGUUUGUUACAGAAUCUGUACUGUAGACAAGUCCUAAUAAUAGAUGCUGGCAAUUUCAACAAGGACAAUCUUCGAUUCAAAUGUACCCUUAUGAUAAAGAAAAAGCCAGCUUGGCUAAAUUUUGAGCACCACAUUAUAAGAUCUAGGUGUAUGUUUAACUAUGCAAAAUGAAAUAUCUAUUAAUUAUAAGUCCCUUGACCUCUGGAACCAGCCAACUGGUCUCUUUCCUACUAGACAACCUUCCAUCGAUCAGACUAAUAAUAUUUACUAAAUCAUGUUCUACAGUUAAUGAAGUUGGACCCAAGGCAAUUGUUAGCUUAAUGUCAUAGGCUGCUCAAAUUUCCUGUAAUUGGAGGAUAAUUAUGUGCACAUGAGUUCGCUUAGCAAAAGUCUGCCUAGGCGUGGAGUGCGCUUAAAAGUGGGAUGCACUUAGAAGUGGGAUGCACUUAGCAAAUCAUCCAAGCCCAACCCGAGAUCUAGAACUCUCUGCAUAUUAUAAAUAAGCUAAAAGUUUUUAUGUUUCUCCACGUAAGUCCCUAGGAUAUUUAUGGAAGUUGCUAGGAAGUUUCCUCCCCUAGAACUCUAAUACUUAUAAAUAGGAGUGGGCCGCCUCAUUUACCCACCAACCACACCACACACACAAACACUCCAGCACACAUACAAGCUCUCUAGCUUUUGUAAAAAGCUCUCUUGUAUAUUCUCUCUUUGUGAGUAAUAAAAUCAUAUUCAGCUAUAUUGCUCUACUUCUCUCUAGUAUUUUCCGCAAGUGUUCUUGCUUCGCUAGUUUGAGGAGUGGUCCAGGCUUGCUUAGCAACUUGUUUGCUACAAGGACAUCUUGGUCACAAAACAUGGACAUGCAAGGAAAAAAAAAUAUUGAUUCGUUCUAAAAAUAAUAUGCACUCUUCUCCAGUGAACCAAAAAAUUUAGGCUAAUGGUAGCAAGUGAAGGAAUUGUGAUUUCACAUGCAUUUUGUUGACAUGAAGGUAAAGAACUUUUUUAUAGUUUAUAUUGUUUAAUAUAAUAUUUGAAUUGCAAAAUAGGGGUACAAAAUAGAUACACGAAGGGAUAAAACUAAUCUGAUUAUGAUAAAUAAUGAAUUAUAAGAUUUAGGUUUAAUCAUAAAGACAUAAGUGGCACACAAAGUCACGAAUUGAUAUCAUCCACGAUGCAAGUUCAAACAACUGUAUAAUAAGUUGCCCCAAGCUAAACUAUUAAUCUAAUAACUAUUCCAGUCGAUGUGGGAUAAUUUUCCUAUCACCAUCUAUCACGUGCAAGCCGAAUUUGUUGCUUGGUUCUUACAUGUGGUAAGGUAAUAUGAAUCCACUUGUGCAUAAAUUUGGCUCCGAUAUUAUAUAGAAGCUUAUGACCCAAAAUUAUACUUAAAGGUUAUUUCAAGAUUUGAAGGUUGCCUCAAGCUAAUAUUAUUAUUAGCCUGGUAACCCUUUUUUUUUUGUUGAUAUGUGAUAUUUUCCCAAUAACUUUUAUUAAUCUUUAUGCUUAUGUUUUGUCAUUUAUCCCAAAAUAUAACAUUAACAAAAGUUCCAAAAUUUCCUUCAAGAGAUAUAUUUGAGACAAGUAAUUUGUGCAAUAACUUUGUGAAUUGAUGAGCAAAUUCAAAGAAAAGAAUAUAUGUGCCAAACGUAACGUUUAUUAUUGUGUUUAUUUGUAGAGCUAUUUAAAGCCUAAAAACAAAAAGCAUCAGUCUGCUAUUAUUUCAAAUAAGUUCAAGCCCUAUGUCAUUAUUGGUACAAAAAUGUAUUAGAAUGGUUAAAAACUAUUUUUAUUUAACUUGUAAACUUAGGAAAUUAUCAACUGUCCACCCUUAAAUUGCACUGUUAUAAAAAAUAUUACAAUAUUUUCAGAUUGUAUCAUUCAUCUACCAUAAAUUUACAAUCUGCAUCAUUUAUCCACCAAAUCAUUAACUUCGUUAAAAAGUGAUAGACGUCACAAGGGUAAUUUAGACAUUUAACACACAAAAAAAAUAAAAGAGAAAUUAUCUAAGCUUACCAUGUUAUCAAAAUUGCUACAAAAUUUUAAAUUUGUUCAAUUUUCCAAUCUAAGUUUAUGACCUCCAAGAUGUUACUUGCAGUUUGUAAUUAAUGAGUUCAUAAGGAUAAUUUAGACACUCAAUACGCAAAAUAAAAAAUAAAAUAAUGGCUUAAAACAUUAAAACAAAAAACUACAUUUUAUAAUUGAUAUUCAAUAAUACACAUAAAUUCUAUUUUUUUCUUAAUUAAAAAUAUUCUAAUUUAUUUUCUCAAUUUAUCAUCAUAAAUUUACAUUAAUAAACUAAAUCCACAAAUUACCCUAAACCCUAAUUCAUAAAUGCCCAAUCAAUCUAAUAGUUUAAUUCGAUUUCAUAAUUAAAAAAGCUAAAUUUAUUAUAUUAGUUAUGGUGUAAAGUCAAAAAUGCCCUUAAAUUCAAGGGUAAAAUAACAUUUUAUUUAAAUUCUAUAAAUUAUUCUAACAAUGUUAACAUAUUGGUGGACGGUUAAUAUAAGUUACAAACUUAAAAUAGAAAAUCAAAUAAAUUCAAAAUUUCAAACUAUUUUGGGCAAAUUUAGGACAUAUGGUUAAUAAUUUUCUCAUGUCUUUUUACAUUGGUUGGUAUAAGUUACAAACUUAAAAUAGAAAAUCAAAUAAAUUUAUAUUUUCAAACUAUUUAGGGCAAACUUAGGGUAUAUGGUUAAUAAUUUUUCUUUGUCUUUUUACGUUAAAUUGAGUUUCAAAGGUAAAAUGGUCAAUUUAUUAUAAUUAUGUUAAUGUUUUAGUGGAAGCAAACGAUAUAAUGGACGAAUGAUAUAAAUUGUAAAAUUAAGGUGCAUGAAUGAUACAACUUUAAAGUAUUGUAGUAAUUUUAAAAAUAGAACAAUUUAAGGGUGGAUUGGCAAUAAUUUAAACUUUAAUGAAGCAACUAAAAAACAUUUUUAACAAAAGAAAAAUAAUUGAAAUGCUUUAAGAAAAAUAAAAGAAAUUAAAUAUCUUUAUAAAAACAUAAUUGAGUAAAAUCAUUUUACAAAAUGCUCUUUCAAAUGCACAUUCCACAAGGCAGGGAGAACGGGUGGGUAACAAAAAUCUCACUUUUUAUGAGUUUAUAAAAUCUUACUUUCGCAGAAUCAAAAAAUAACCAAUACUAAUCACACAAAAAAUAAAAAUUAUUGUUGUCACGACAUUACGCACUUUCUUCGCUGUCUAGAAAUUAGAAAGCUAGAACAUUUUGAAGUUCCUCAAUACAAAAUGUGUGCUACUACUAAAUUGGCCCAAUUAAUGCCCAUCGAAAAGGCCAUCAAUUUAGCCGGCAAUUUUGUCAAAAUUUCAACAAUUGAAGAAAUAAUGAUCACAAACGGAACAGGUAAAUUUUGAAGUUGAAUAAAUCUUGAGAUACAUACAACAAAGCCUUGAAACUUUAUUCUUCACAAUUUGAGCACGCACUAAAUAUUAAACAAGUAUAGAACAAAGCUUAUUUUUAGCUUCUUGUGCGAACUGAAUACGCUGAAAUGUGUUUUUUUUUUUUUGGAUUUUUGGAAUUUUUUAAAAUCAUUUAUGUUCGCCGCCAUCUUUUUCUUCGCUGGCGUCUUCCUCUCUUGGCUGGCAUCUGCCUCGUCUGUAGUUUGCUGUGCCUAUAUAUCCAACCAAUAAAUUGGGCAUUAAAUACGAAUGAAUGAUGAAUAAAAUGAUAAAAAAAAAACAAACAGAGAAAAUUAUAAUAUAACACGUAUAUAUUGAAAGAGAAAUUUUGAUUUUAGGAUAGAUCAAUUAGCUAUCACAAACGAAAACAUGAACCAACUAUGUAUAGAGUCAAUUAAGUAAAGUUCUCAAGAGUUGACCUGUGCUCCUGAAUUCUUGGAAUCAUCUAUCUCCUUCUGAAUUUCCACGAAACUUGGGACAAUUAUUAACAUCUUCAUUGUAUGCAGAUGGAAAUGGGAUCUGAUAACCCGCAGGCCAAAAGUUGGCGAGCUUUGGUAAACCAAACAAUGUCAAGUUCCGAAGUUCAUUCAUAACAAUUUCAUUGUAAUCCGUGAUGUUUGCUCCAUCUUUAUGCCAGAAUACUUCUUCUAAUUCAUCAUUAGCUUCUAUCCAUAGGCCCUUCAGUUUUUGAAGACUUGGAGCUACGCUGAUAUGAAAUAGAUGCUUUAGCUUGGGGCAAUAAUGGACAGAGAUCCAUGUGAGUUUUGGGAAACAUACAGGUUGGAGAUGAUCCUCAUCCUCAUCCUCAUCGAUGAUUUGCUCUAAUUCCGAGCAAUAUAAAAUACGUAACUCCUCCAAUUGCAACAGAUUUCGAGCAAGUGUUGAUGAGAAGAGACGUCUCAGUGUAGUGCACCCGUCCACUCUUAAAUCGGUAAGACUUUGGAGGCUAAAAUUAUGAGUGGGACCUUCAUGAUAUAAUAAUACUUGCAGUUCUGGAAGGUUUUCCAACCACAACGACUUCAAACAUGGGAAUAGUUUGUUUUCUUGUUCCUCAGCGAUAAUAGCUUCCACUUGAAAUACCACAUAUACUCCAAGUUCUCCAAUACCCAAUGUUUCCAAAUUUUUAAAGCCAUGCUUCAACAGUGCUGGAAUCGUGUCACUCAAAUGGGAACAAUUGUCCACAUAUAGAUUUCGUAAUUUCUGAGACAAAUAAAUAAAUAACUUGAUGCAAUUAAAAUCUAUUAGCAGCUAGGAUUAUCACAUGAUAAGUGAUGAACACCGCAAAAAUAUCAUAAUACAUAUGUAAACUAAUAAAAUAAUUAAAAAGUAAUGGAUUAAAAAAAAUGAAAUUAGUUAAAAGAGAUCAUGUGAAGUGAUAUAAAUGUGACAUUAGAUUGUUUUAGAAAAAUUAUGGCUUGAUCAACUAUUUAAUUGAAUUUGAAUAAUAUUAUAUACACUUCAGAAGUAUUUGCAUCAAUUCUUUCUAAACUAAAAUGAGAUAUGAAUUUCAUUUGAAGAAUGGUUUUAGGCCCUAUAAUAAAGAAAUUUCCCUAAGAUAUCUGAGUAUUAUUAUUAUCAUUACCACAUCCACCACCACCAUCAUCAUCUCCAUAGGAUCAAAUAAUUAAUGGCUGAUCAUAAAAUUUAUUACUAAACUAUCAUUUUGAGUAAAAUUGAAUGAAAAGAAAAAACAUGAAUCCAAACAAACAUACCUCUUUGAGAUACUGCAAAUUGGCUUCAAGUUCAUUACUGUUGAUGGUCAAGUUGGGACAGUUAUGAAGGUUUAACUUUUCCAAUGCUGGCCAAAUUGAACAAUAAUUCUCUGAACAGAACUUGGUGAGUUCUGGGAGAUCUUCAAGUUUUAAUUUUCUCAACAAAGGGAGGGCGAGCAUCGUAUUUCCAUCUCCGACACUUAUUUCCCCUUCAUUAUGAUCAAACUUUGCUUCGACAAUAUAUUCCAGUCUCUCGCAUCCACUUACAUUGAGACUUUUAAGCUGCUCCAAACUUCUAGCUUGUGACAACGUGAAGAUAUAUGUCAACUUGUUGCACCUAUGCACAUUCAAUUUUGUAAGAGUUUGGAGACUAAUCACAUGUUGGGCGGGCGCCUUCCAUAUCCACUUCAGUUCUGGUAAGUCCCACAUAGAUAACUCUGCUAAUCUUGAGAGACUCUUUCCAUGCGGCGACUUAGAGGCUUCCAUUAUGCAUUCUAAAUCUUCGCAAUCGCAGACAUCAAGACAAGUCAACUCAUUUAAGCCCCUUUCAUCUAUGCUUGGCACAAUAUUGUAACAACCUAUAAUCCCACUUAAAUAAAGAAUUUCCAGUUCUUGAUACAAUGCCGAAAAAAUACCGAGCGAGGUCGCUUCAGGAGGGUGGUUACCAAUCAUUAAGAUCCUUGCCUUAUCAUCAUGUUCCCUUUCAUCAUAAACUCCUUCAACUUUAUAGAUGACGUACCUUUGCAAUUUCGGGAAUGUAAAGUCUUUUGGAAGACAUACAACAGAUCCGUCGACUUGGGAGUUCAACUCAGCAAGCCUAGCAUUACUUUCUUUUGAACUCAUCCCUUCAACCUCCCAAUUUUUUAUCCAACCAUAAAAUUCUUCUAAUUGAGGAAAUUUUUUUAUCGUAAUGGGAGACAUAGAACUAGAACCAAUAUACAGAAGUUUCAAUCUACGAAGUUCAUCCGACAAUUCUUCAGGAAUUUCAAUGGGAGACCGCUGGAGAUAAAGAAGUUCAAGUCUCUUCAACUUUCCAAGAAAAGACGCGUCACUCACAUCACAUCGAAUCAACUGUAGAACUCGGAGGUUUUUGUCGAGGAAUCGAAGCAAUUUUAGUGAAAGGACUCCACCUAUUAUAGUAACAACUUUCAAUGCUGGCAUCCCUUUAAAAAAAUGUUCUGGAAUUUGCAAUUUGUAAUUAUAUACGGUGUUCACCAAUCGCAGAAUAUGAAGGUUAGGGCAUAUCAAACCACUAGGAAGCUCUUCUUCCUUUUUAUCUACGACCAAAGACAUUCCUCUGCACUGUUCCAGGCCUUCUUCCACCCCCUGUUCCACCAUUUCGAUGCCAGUUAUACUAAAAAAUCUCUCCUCUUUCUCCUCCUUUUUGCUUAUCCAUAUGGCUACAUCACGGACUACGUCAUGCAUUUUCACAGAUCUGUCAUUGCCAGUGUCUAACAGCAAUGAAGAAGCUUUGAGCUCUUUCAUCGUUCCACUCAGUAGGCUCCUGACUUUUUCAAUUGCAUCAGCUCGAUACCAUCUCAACCCCACUGCAUAUCCAACCAAAUCAUCCAAAUCUACCUCAUAAUCCUCUGGAAACAAAGAACACAAUAAGAAGCACGACCUGGAAUCCUCACCAUUCAAAUAUUUGUAACUAAAUUUGAGACAAUGGUAAAUGCCUUGGUCCUCCUUGCCAAUACCUUCUAUUGUAUUGAGUUUUGCAUCUUGUAGUUUAUCUAGAGCUAGGUUCCACUCAUCAAAUCCUUUAUCUCUUAGUGCACUUCCAACAGCUUUAAUAGCUAAAGGCAGCCCCUUACAUUCAUCAGCAACCUGUUCUGAAACACCAAUCAAGGUUGAAUCAGCAACAUCAAUGCCAGCAAGCUUUCUUAGUAAAUCCAAUCCUUCUUCUUGUUGGGAAAAUAUGCUCUUUAAAAGCAUAUGUGUUUAUUUAAUUGUAAUAAACAAUUUUUCUGAUUAAUAAAAUAAAUGAGGUAUUUUAUUCAAAUAUCUUAAUUGCAUUAAUAUUUGUAUUAAAGUCCAUUUAAUCAUAUUAUAUGUAUUUAUGUGAUCACCAUGUGGAUUCACAGAAGACAUAAAUACAAGUUAUCUUAUGAUUAAAUAAAUUUAGUUCGCAGUUGAUAAAUAAAGUUGGGCACUUUAUUUAGGUAUAGACUGUAAUAAAUUCAUUGAAUGAUUUGUCUUAAUCAUGUAUGAAUUUAUUGAUGUAGUACGACUACAUUGAACAGGAUCACAUAUGAGAUUUAAUUAACUUUGUAAUAACUGUCAGACUUAUUAAAUCUCAUAGGCGUUGAUUUUACUGUAAUCUUAAUCUUGAGUUAAUUAUGAUUUCAUGAUUGUGAUUGUUAUUUCAUUUGAGUUACCAAUGGGCACGACACAUCCUUGUGGUCAAGAUUACCCGGUAUCUUGGUGGGAGCAAUUAUAAAUAUUGGAGUUAUGGAUUAACAAUAUAGAAUUUGUACAACACAUCUCUUGAUAGGUUUUCGGUACUUGAUCAUAGAAUUCUCUGGCCAGAGUGUGUCAACAUAUUUAGUAUGUUGAAAAUGAUCAUUAGAGAAAACCAGUAAGGAUCAAGGAAUAAGAUGUUAUUAAAUUGAUUGGACAGUUGAGAUAUCAAUUUAAUUAACGAUGUGGUACAAAGGAUUGUGCAGUAAAGAAAUCAAUGUGGCUUGGGACGAAUUAUUAUUCGAGCGUACAAUUAUGGAAGUCGGUUCCAAUCUUUUAGUGGAGUAGAUUUGGAAUUAAAUAAUUGGGCUAGUUUAAUUACAGGCAUAAUUAUUGUAGCCACUAUUGUAUGUUCCCAAAUGAUCCCCGGGUUAGCUCAUUUAAUUGACUGCACCACUACUGGACUAAUAAGCAAGAUAACUAGCUAUUUGGGUCAAAAACCUAAAUAUAUCAUUUAGUGGGAGGCUCCAUUUAAUUAGCUUAUGUGUAAGGGGCCUUAUGUUAUUUUACAUGGUGGGUCCCCUACAAAAUAAAAAGGAACGUGAGUUUUAUUUUGGGCUUUAUUUGGAGCCUAGGGUUUUCACUAAAGGGAGAUAUAUAAGGCUUAUUUUCCCAAAAGAAAAGAGAGAAGCCACUUUAUACAGAUCAGAGAAAAAGAUUUUUCUCUCCAUUGUUGAGAGAAAAAUUUUCUCGUGCUAGUUGCUUUGGUAGUGAUAAAGGCGCCCACACGUCAAGUGCAGAUCGAACCUGAGUCAUAACCUGGAAGAUCAUUGGAGACAGUUCGUGAUCUAACAAGAGUGGUGGUGGCGGAUCGUGAUCUAAGAGCCUAAAUCACUUCAACGGAAAAAGUCCAAUCGGAUUUUCAAGGUACGAUUUCUGGAUUACGUAUUCCUAUAUAUUAUAUGAGAGCGGUCCUUAAAAAGGUUUUAUAAAAUUUUAAAAACCAGAUUUUUCCCCAACACUUCUCGCUUUAGAACACCUAGUUGAAUCUGCGGGUCACAACGCAUGCGAUCACAAACUGGCUGCAGGCGAGUGGUUAGCAGGAUUUUGCAACAAUUGUCUCCAUCACCAACAGGAAUACCUACUGUCUUCAAGUCAAGUUCAUUCCAGACAUCGUCAAGUAUUAUGAGUAUCUUGCUGCUUUUACUCUCAGAAAACAUCAAGCGCAAUCGGUCUGCUCUCUCUUUUUCAUCUUUCUCAUUUAGUGCCCAGCCUAACGACUUUGCCAGCUCACCUUGAACCUUUAUUAUAUCUGGAUCCUGAGACACAGUGGCUAUCCCCACCUCAUCGAAAAUCUUUUCUUGUCGAAGUUGAUUGCCCACAAAGUUUGCCAAAGUCGUCUUUCCGACACCACCGAUACCAUACAAUCCCACCAUCGUCGUGCUAUCUCUUUUUAGUGCUUCAAUAAUCUGAUUGCCAGUCGAUUCUGUGGUCCCGAAAGACAUAAAAUGUCUUGGCAUAUGCAAUUCUUUGUCUGAUGGUAGAGGUUUAGGAAGGGCAACUGCGCUGAAUUUGCAACGAUGUUGCAGUUCGGACAACUUGCUACUCUUCUUUGAUGCUUGUCUACCCAGCCAAUAUUGCCAACCCCAAUUAGGACACCAUCCAUUAAGACAGCUCUUCUUUUCAUCUAUCUUUGCUUUCAAAUUUCGAACAUCGGCCAUUUCUUUGUCCACAUCCUUCAGCCACUUCUCCACAUCUUUCUCGAUUACAAUGGCUCGGUGUAUUUGUCGCUCUUGUUUUACUUUUUCAUUGAUGCCAUCUUGUGCCUCCUUCAAAUUAGUUUCUUUAUCCUCAAGUUCUUUAAUAACGCUGUUGAAACAGAGCAGAUAACGAGCUUGGUUCAUGGUUGCAUCCACCAGCAAUUCUCCAAGCCUUGAUGCAACACCUGACAAAAGUUCCAUGCUAUUUAUCUGCAAUUAAUAAAGUUGAUCUCAGUAAGCUAUAAGCAAAACAAUGAGGCUUGAUCACAAGAUUGAACGAGAAAGUUUAAUUACCUUUUUCUAUUCUGUGAAUGCACGUUUAUUGACACUAGCUUUGACUAGGGAUGGCAAUGGGGCAGAUAUGGGUUGGAUCUACUCUGCUCCAGAUCCAAAUCCAUAAUAAAAAUUAAGAUCCAUAUCUGCUCCAGAUCCGUCAUGAAUCCAUAUUUUUCGCUCCAUAUCCAGAUCCAAAAAAGAAAUAAAUAUCUAUAUCUGCUCCAAAUCCGAAAAAAAAAUAAAAAUCCAAAUCUGCUCUAGAUCUGUCGUGAAUUCUAAAAUUCAUUAAUAAAAAAGUAAUAAUUUUUUAGAUUGAAAAUUGAAGGGUAAAAUGUAUUGAUAACAAAUAAAUUAUAUAAUUUUUCUCAAAAAUAUAAUAAAUAUUGUAGCUUAUACUUUUACACCAAAACAACAAAUAAGUAAUUGCAAGAGUAAGAUCAAUCUAAUAUUCUAUUGUUUCCUUCAUCAUUUAAAUAUCCACGAUACACCUAUCUUCAUUCCUACAACAUUAGAUAAUGACAUAUAAAUUAAAUAUGAUUUAUAUUCAGUCCUUUAUUAUUUUUAUUAUGACCAUAUUUGACUAAAUAUAUGAAUAACUAUAUUCCUUAAAAAUUAUUUGGCCAAUAUAAUAAAAUAAAUUGCCAGGUUAUUUUACUUGGUUUGCAAUUUGAAUAUUGCAUGUACAUGCUUUGGGGCUGGCUGACCUUUAAAUUUACAAAACUAACCUUUAAGUUUUAAGAGUUUAAAUGCAUGGUAAAUACUACUAAUAUGUUAUGAAUAAAAUUUAUUAUCAUUAUAAUUUCACAAUUGUUAAGAAACUUUUAAAAUAAAAUAAAAUUAAAAGAUGAGUGGAUAUGGAUAUGGAUUUAGAUAUUAAGAUAGAUCCAUAUCUGCUCCAGAUCCGUCUUAGAUCCGCACAUCGAUAUCCAAAUCCGAUCCAAAUCCAUUUUAAACCGAUCCAAAUCCGAUCCGAUUGGAUUUGGAUCACGUGGAUCUUGGAUCAGAUCCAAUCCAUUGCCAUCCUUAGCUUUGACCAGUAAGAGCAAAAUGCAAACGCCGAGCUUUAAGUAGCCUUUAGCUGCAAAACAAAAGAGAAGAAAUAAGGUAAUUUAUUAUUAUUAUUAUUUUUAAGGACGGAUAAAGGGUAGCUAGCUUGCAGACAAAUUUAAUAAAAUCAAGACAAACCUAAGAGUUUUCCUAAUUUGUUCAAACAUGGAAUAAGCGUUUCACAACAGUAUAUCCAUAAAGGCCCCAGCGAACGUAAUAUGUGCUGGACUAUAUUGAAAUUAGAUUAUUUUAGAAAAUUUUAAAUAAAAAAUAUCAAACAACAAAGAAAUCUAAUAGAAUCUGGAUAAACAGCAUGGGAGAAUAUGGUAAAAUUGAUCAACUUGGUUCAAAAAUUACAAUUCUUUUUGAGAUUUGAACCAACGAUUUUGACUAAGGUCUCCUAAGCCACAAAGCAUAACUCUUACUACUAAAUUACACGCAUUUUGUUACAUUUAAAUGUGGUCAUAUUCUUUUUAUUAUCUUUUUUUAGAAGGGACUCAUGGUAUACUUAAAAGAAAUAAUAAUGAUUUAGAUGGGGCUGAAGCCCACUCAUGAAAAAAUUUAAAGGUUUUCAAGAUAAUUAACGAUUUUUUUCCAUCCAAUAUUCUAAUAGAAUGGUGCCAGAAUUCUCAAAUAAUAUCUUAAUAUUAUUCAACUAGUUGGCACCCACCUAUUGGAUGAUUAAUUUAAUAAUUUGUUAAAUUAUUUAAUACUCCAUCUCACUAUCUAAUGAUGUAAAUGGUGGAGAAGGAUCGUCUCCUAGACUUUUUUCUCUCACUAAUCUCUUAGUGAAAUAAGUGGCCGAAAUUGAAUUUUAAUUUUUGAUAUUGACAAUUAAAUUGGCUUGUUUCACAUUAUUAACAAUUAAGCCAACUUUUUUUUUCUCAUUUUUUCAAUUAGAUUUGGAAGGCUAUAAGAGAGUAGGAGAGAAAAAACACUAGAAGGAGAUCUUAAUCCAUAAAUAGUACCUUAUUUGGGAUGGUAAAGAUCGAGAUAAAUUUCCUCUUAGUCUCUAAAGUUUUGGCCUAUGCGCAGCCAUAAUUUUAGUAUUUUUAAAAAGAAUGGGAUUAGUUACAUUCUAAAAUUUAUUUUGAAUACUCUUUUACUCAACACACUCAUUCAAUAAAUAAAUUUUAAAAAAAAUAAUUUUUACUUUACACACUAUUUCAAUUGUCAAAACUAUCCUUCAUUAGGACCAUUUCAUUAACUAAUUAUUUUCUAUUGACACCCAUAAAAUAUUCAUCAUUCUUGAACCAUGUGGCGUUAAUUAAUGAUUCCGAAGCAUUAUCAAGAUUCAAGAUUUAUGUUGAAAUUCUUUCAUCAGACAUUUGAACCCAGCCACUAGCUAUAUACAUAUAUACUUUCAAAUGCAGCUCUGGGAAUAUUUUGUGACUGAUUUAUAAAGUGUUUUAGUUACAUUAAUGCAGUGAAACAAUAAAGAGUACGUGGCUUUGCUGAUUUCCAAAUCAAGUUGGGGAAAAAACAGAGCAUUUUUCUUUUAUAAUGGAUUAGAUUAGACGAUGAAGGAAAAAUUAUUAGCGAUAAUUAGUACUUUUGUGUGUGUUUAGAGUAAUAAUAUUAUUUUAAAUUAUAUUAAUGCCUUUGGUAGUGAAUUCAAUUAGGGUUAUUUUAGUAAUAUAAAUUUUCAUUAAAAUUAAAGUGUCCAAAUUAUAAUUUAGAUUUUUCAAAUGUAAAAUAAUAUUUUUUUAUCUGAUAUAAAUUAAAAUUCAAACAAAUGUAUCAUGCAACAAAUGAAAAGUAAAGAAUAUUAAUUAGGUUUUAAUAGAAACAAAUAUAAAUAGAUGUUUUGAGUAGUUAAUUUUUGUUAUUUUAUGCUAUUGGUAGUUUGUGGAUUAAAUAAUUUGUAUAAGGAUAAAUGGGGGUUUGUAUAAUUUAUACGAAGAUAAUCUCCAGAUAAUCUCCAAAAUAAGCUUAUAUGUCGAAUUUAAAAGUGUUAUAUAAGUAGUAAUCGUAUAUGCAUCAAAAUUUUUAAUAAAAUUUAUUUAGAAAUUGGCCAAUUGGGUUUUAUGAAGAAAAUAGACGGGCAAGUAAUUAUGUAACAAGUAAUUUGUAGGUUGUGGUACUUCUCCAUACUUCAAAUCACUUUUAUCUAAUCAAUUGAUAAAUAUUUUUUGGGCUCCAAUAAAAUGAAAAGAAAAAGUUAAAAAUAAUUCUGAAAUUAAAAACGUUAGGUACUGCCUAUAAGCUAUACAAUUUUACCUUUUCUUCUAUCACAAUUAGUAUUAGAAAUAAAAAUAGUUUCCAAAUAAAUGUAAUUAGGAGGUAAUAUUAUCUCAACAAUACCUUAUAGGGAAAAAGACAUCUACAUCCUAAAGUUCGGAGAAAUGGUCGUAAAGACCCCAGGUUUUCAGAAAGGGAUAUCAAAACCCUUUUUUGACCGUAAUACCCUUUAAAUCUAGUAAUUAGAAAAUUGUCUUUAAGAUUUUUUAAUUGACAAAUUUAAUAUAAAUAAUAUAAUCUAUCUAGUAGAUUAAUAAUAUUAACAAUAAAAAUAAUAUUAAAAUUUAAAUUCUUAUAUUUAUUUUAAUAAUAUAUUUUUAUUUAUUAUAAAGAUUUUAAAUAAAUCCUUGGGUUAAAUAGGUUUUCUAGUUAACAAAAUAUACCCCUAUUAAUAAUAUUGAAAUUACUUUCUACAUAAUAUUUAAAAUAAUUAUAAUUUAUUUAUUUUAAUAUUAUGUUUCUAUUUAUUAUUAAAAAUUACUUUAUUAGAGUAAAUUUUUAUUAAUUAAAGCUUUAAAAUCAAUUUUCUAAUUACUAAAUUAAAAGGGGAUUAUGGUCAAAAGGGGUCUUUCCUUUUUGAAAACUUAGGGUUUUUGCGACCAUCUCCCCAAACUUUGGAAUAUAGGUGUCCUUUUCCUGACUUCAUAUAAAGAUAUUCCAUAAGGUCUUAUAAUAACUUAUAUUAUAUGAAUUUAAUUAAAAGAUCAUUAAUACUUAAAUAAUAAUAAUUAUAGAAGACAUUGUAAUAAAUUAUUUGAUAUAUAUUAUUAAUGAUACUAUAUGUAUGUGUAUAUAACUACAUGAUGGCUUGGAUAUAUAUUGUUAGUGGUAAUAAAUUUUUUAAAAAAAAUUAAACUAAUGAUUUCAUGUGAUUCAAUGGUGGAUAAUUUAAAAUCAUAAAAUAUUAUUUUGACUUUCAAUAUUAACCGUUAGACUGUGAGAAAUUAAUUGCUCAAUAUUUUUUGUUAAAGUUUUAAAUUAAAAUAUCCCAAACCAUUUGUUUUACUUAAAAUACAAAAAAUAUAUAAAGAAAAUUUCUCAUUAAUUUUCAUAUUUUUAUUAGAGGUAAUAUUUUAUGUAUCGUCACCAUUAAUUGCCAUCAUUAAAGUAGUGACUCUCGGUAAUAUAAAAUUUUAUAAUUAGUUAAUUGCAAUCAAAUGAUAUCAAUAAAAUAAUAUUUCAUGAUUCAUAAAUUAAAGCUAAUUAAGAAUAUAUGUUAGUUUUAACUUUUAUGAAAUCAACUAAGUGAUAUUAGAAAAUAAAAUGAAAAUAAACUAGUGAAACUUAAAUUUUAUAAGGUUUGAAUAAUUUUCUACUAUGUAAGAAUAUUAAUUGUGACAUAAACCAUAGUUUCAUGGUAUAUGUAUGCCAAAUGGGGUAACAAAUAAUAUAUACUUCAUGAUCAUGAUAGUAUAUAAAGUAGUGGAUAUUUUAAUAUAUAACAUAAAAUUCUUUAAGACAUAGGUGGUCAAUUAUAUAUUUUUUAGGAUAUAGACAAUCUCAAUCAAGAGUUUAUUGAUGUGAAUAGAUGGCAUUCUCUUAAAUGUAUGUACUUAAUUGUGUUGUUUAUUGGUAUUAGAUACUCACUUAAAUGUAUAUACUUAAUUUUGUUGUUUAUUGGUAUUACAUGUAACAAAAUUUUAUAUUAAAUUUUGAAGUUUUAUAUUGUUGUUUCUAUUGAAUUUAUAAAUACAAUAAAAUUAUGGCCAUCAACAAUCACAACCAACUGCCACCAACAAUUAGAUUCUCAUAUCUGUUGACGACAAUUUUUUAUACUAUUGGAACUCCAAUCUUUGAUGCUACACAAUAGUUAAAGUACCGACAUCAAUAGAAUUUCCGUUCAUUGUAGAUCUAUAGUCAAAGUUUCGAAUCUUAAAAAUUUGACAGCAGAUUUAUGUCAAAUGAAAGCUUGUUACCAGUGAUUCUUAUACAAUUAUGUUGUUAUAGUAAUAAGGAUUCUAAUGGUACUAAAAUGCACUCCAUUAGACAUAAAGAUCCGACGACUAGUGGCGACAAUAACUAUCAUUAGUGACUUGGAGGUAAUUGCUGUUAAUAAAUUAUUUUUUAACUUAAUAAUUAAUACAAACAAAUAAAAAAGUAAUUUAAUGAAAAUUAAUGUAAUAAAUAAUUGAAUUAAAAAAAUUAAAACCUAAAUUCUCGACCAUUUAUCCGUAUGUUUCAAAUCCAACGUUCAAAAUUGGAAUAAAACAUAGUAUAGCCAUUGGAAGUAAAACAAACAUUAAAGAGACUAGGAAAAAAAUAUCUCAUACCUUCUAUAAUGAUACAUCCUCAAUCACUGCAGAAAGCUCCAAUUAAAAAGUCGCACAAGUUCGGAGAAAAUUACCUAACAACACAAAUAAACAUCAAAUCAAAGCAACAUAGGAUCCAGCUAAUUAACAUCAUAAGUAAGUCCUUGUUCUCAGUCAAAUGUUGCAUUCUUAGGAUAAAAUAAAAAAAAAAUUGAAAGAAUAACGGUAACUAGAAAGUUUGACGACAUAAAGAUCUAGCUAAAUUUUAAGAAGCAAAAGUAAAUAAUGAAAGCUCAAUAAAAGAUCAUCAGCAUUAACAUACCGAAAUGAGAGCAGCUCACAGAACUGGUAAUUUCCAAGAACGGGAAAAAUAAGUGAGCUGAUAUUGAGGACAACUAAAGUAGUCAUGGAGUAAUUUGCUAUUGAGGACACCUAAAAUAAGAAAAUUAAUUAACAUUGCUCUAUACACCAUUUCAAUAAUUUGACUAUUAAAAAAAAAAUCUAUCUAGAUCACGAUUUCUCAAAAUGAUACUUUUUCUAAUUAAAUAAAUCAAAAUGCUUGCUUCUUUCUUUUUCAGAAAAGAAAAAGUGGCAAUGGCAUCAAUUUUUUUGCUAGAUUAUUAUCACCAAAAGCACAAGCAAGGAAUAAGAAUACUCUCUGAAACCAACCAUGUAAAGAGUAGAAGUAAGUGGUCAAUUGUAAAUUAGUCUUUCUUUUUUCUUUGUUAUUUUUUCAUUUUUUGAAUGUGAACUAAAUAAAUUUAAGGGUGAAGCUAUUACACCUUGAAAACUAUAACUGAACACCCAUUUUUUUAAUUAAAUUUUUAUUACUAAAAUAACCAUGGAGUAAUUUGCUACUAAGGAAAACUAGAAUAAUAAAAUGAAUAAUGAUUGCUCUAUACACCCUUUUCUAAGUCUAUCUUCUUCUUAAUUUCAUAAUUUGGCUGUCAAAAAGUAAUCUAUCUAGAUCACGAUUUCUCAAAAUGAUGCUUUUUCUAUCUAAAUAAAUGAAAAUGCUUGUUUCUUUCUUUCUCGAAAAGAAAAAGUGGCAAUGGCAUCAAUUUUUGCUUGCAAGCACAGCGAGGAAUCAGUAUAAUCUCGGAAACUAACCAUAUUAAGAGUAGAAAUAUUUAUUUGGUUAUCACGAAGUAAGUUAGAAAUCAAUUAUAAAUGGUCUUUUUUUAUUUUUUAAUGUGAACUAUAUAAAUUUAAGGUGAGGUUAUUUACACUUUGAAAAACAUUCUGAAAACCAUUAUUUCAUUAAAUUUUUUAUUAUUAAAGGUCCGUUUGGGGCAGCUACGUUGAAGCAGCGCAGCUGCCCCAAACGCUCUCUAAAAUAGCCAUGGAGUAAUUUCUUACUGAGGAAAACUAGAAUAAUAAAAUCAAUUAUCAUUCUUCCAUGAACCCGUUUCUAGAUGUAUCUUCUUCUUGAUUUGGUAACUUGGCUGUCAAAAAGAAAUCUAUCUAGCUCACGAUUCCUCAAAAUGAUGCUUUUUCGGAUGAAAUAAAUGAAAUUGAACCUACGUACAAUCUGUCACAAACACGUUAUAAUGAGCCUAAUGAAAAGCAGUAUGAGAAAUUUUGCUUCCAUGUUGUUUCUUCCAUAUGUAAAGGUAGUAAAAAGAAAUUUAAGUCCUAGAAACAAAUGGAUGAAGAAUUAUCAAUAAUUAAAAUUAAAAAAAGAAACAGAGUUAUAAAAGAAUCACAGUUCCACCAAAAAUUAAGAGUUAUUUUAUUUGGUGGUUUCCUAUCCCGAAAGCAUUACUUGUAAAUAUGUGCUAACAAGUAAUAAUUAAGAAAGUUAAGGCCAAUCAUUUAGAAGGGAGAAAAAUGGAAACAUCCGGAAUAUUGUUAUGUGUUUUCAGUGCGUAUCUACCAAUCAAUAAUGAAAAAUUAAAUACGCAUGUGACGAAAAUUUAAUAAAGAGAACUGGAGGUGACAAAAUUUUUAUUAUUCUAUCUUUCUCUCCUCUGAAACUUCCUUAAUUUGGUUGGGAAGUGCUUUGUCUUAGGCAGUGGAUCUGUUAUAAAUACCCUAUGCUAAAGUUAAUAUUUUGAUUGAAGAAAAAAAUAGAGGAGAAAAAUUUUAUUAAAGUAUAACAUAAUUUGAUAAAUUUAGAAUUGAGGAGAGAAAAUGAGUCUAAAUUCGAAAAUUUUGGCACUAUUUACAUAUCAUUAUUUGGGCAAAAAUUCAUUUCUCUGCUUUCAUAUGAUUUGGUCUUUCAUUGUUACGGUGCCAAUUUUUUAUUUAAAGAUGUAAGAUAGUGGUACUAUAGCUUAGAUUUUCCGUAAUUACUACAUGGUAAGUACAAAAUAAAAUACUAGUUUAAAAUAUAAAAAUGAAAAACUAUUUUUAUAACCAAUAUUCAAUUAAAUACACUUGAAACUCUAUUUUUUCUUAAUAAAAAAAUUCUAAUUUAUUUUCUCAAUUUAUCUAAACAACUUUACCUAAUCAAGCUAAAUCUACAUAUUACCCUAAACCUUAAUUCAUAAACACCCAAUCAAUCCAAUUGUUAAAUCCGAUUUCAUAAUUAAAAAAGCUAAAUUCUAUUUUAUUAUUUAUGGUGCAAAGUAAAAAAUGCCCUUGAAGUUAAGGGUAAAAUUGAUAUUUUAUUUAAAUUUUGUUAAUAUUCUAAUAAUGUUAAUGUCUUAGUGGUUAAUAAAAUCACAAAGUCAAACUUUUGUAGUAUUUUUUAUAAUAAGUUAAAGAUAUAUGUUUGAUAAUUUUCCUACGUCUUUUUACGUUAAAUUGAGUCUCAAGAGAAAAAUGAUUAAUUUGCUACAAUUCUGUCAGUUUUCUGAUGGAAGAUAAUGAUACAAUGAAUAAAUAAUACAAAUUAUUAAAUUGAUGUUGAUGAAUGAUACAACUUGAAAAUAUUGUAGUAUUCUUAAUAGUAGAGAAAUGUAAAGGUGGAUGGUUGAUAAUUUAAUGAAGUAACUACAGAAUUUUCCUUUCAAAUAUUUUUUUAAAAUAUAUAAUGAGUAAAAAUCAUUUUACAGAAUGAUCAUACGCAUUUUGUAUCACAAACGAAAACAUGAACCAACUAUGUAUAGAGUCAAUUAACUGAAGUUCUCAAGAGUUGACCUGUGCUCCUGAAUUCUUGGAAUCAUAUAUCUCCUUCUGAAUUUCCACGAAGCCUGGGACAAUUAUUAACAUAUACAAACUUGGCAGAUGGAAAUGGGAUCUGAUAACCCGUAGGCCAAAAGUUGGUGAGGUUUGGUAAAUCUGACAGUAUCAACUCCCCAAGUUCAUUCAUAACAAUUUCAUUGUACUCCGUGACGUCUGCUCCAUCUUUAUGCCAGAAUACUUCUUCUAAUUCAUCAUUACCUAUUAUCCAUAUGUACUUCAGUUUUUGAAGACUUGGAGCUACGCUGAUAUGAAAUAGAUGCUUUAGUUUGGGGCAAUAACCGACAGAGAUCCUUUUGAGUUUUGGGAAACAUACAGGUUGGAGAUGAUCCUCAUCCUCAUCCUCAUCAAUGAUUUGCUCUAAUUCGAAGCAAUUCCAAACAUAUAACGCCUCCAAUUGUAACAGAUUUCGAGCAAAUGUUGAUGAGAAGAGACGUCUCAGCAUAGUGCACCCGUCCACUGUUAAAUAGGUAAGACUUUGCAGGCCAAAAUUAUGCGUGGGACCUACGUGAUAUAAUACUUGCAGUUCUCGAAGGCUUUCCAACUGCACCUCCUUCAAACAUGGGAAUAGUUUGUUUUCUUGUCCCUCAGCGAUAAUAGCUUCCAAUUGAAAUACCACAUGUACUCCCAGUCGUCUAAUACCCAAUUCUUCCAAAUUUUUUAAGCCGUGCUUCAACAGUGCUGGAAUCGUGUCACUCAAAUGGGAACAAUUGUCCACAUAUAGAAUUUUUAAGUUCUGAGACAAAUAAAUAAAUAACUUGAUGCAAUUAAAAUUUAUUAGCAGCUAGGAUUAUCACAUGAUAAGUGAUGAACACCGCAAAAAACAAAAAACAGAAAACAAAAUCCAUACAAAAAUAUCAUAAUACAUAUGUAAACUAAUAAAAUAAUUAAAAACUAAUGGAUUUAAAAAAAAAAUGAAAUUAGGUAAAAGAGAUCAUGUGAAUUGAUAUAAACGUGACAUUAGAUUGUUUUAGAAAAAUUAUUAUUCUAUUAAUUUAUAUGGCUUGAUCAACUAUUUAAUUGAAUUUGAAUAAUAUUAUAUACACUUCAGAAGUAUUUGCAUCAAUUCUUUCUAAACCAAAAUGAGAUGUGAUUUUCAUUUGAAGAAUGAUUUUAGGUCUUAUAAUAAAGAAAUUUCUCCAAAAUAUCUGAGCAUUAUUAUUAUCACCACCACAUCCACCACCAUCAUCAUCUCCAUAGGAUCAAAAGUUUAAUGGCUGAUCAUAAAAUUUAUUGCUAAACUAUCAUUUUGAGUAAAAUUGAAUGAAAAGAAAAAACAUGAACCCAAACAAACAUACCUCUUUGAGAUACUGCAAAUUGGCUUCAAGUUCAUUACUGUUGAUGGUCAAGUUGGGACAGUUAUGAAGGUCUAAAUUUUCCAAUGCUGUCCAAAUUGAACAAUAAUUCUCUGAACAGAACUUGGUGAGUUCUGGGAGAUCUUUAAGUUUUAAUUUUCUCAACAAAGGGAGGGCGAGCAUCGUAUUUCCAUCUCCGACACUUAUUCCCCCUUCAUUGUGAUCAAACUUUGCUUCGACAAUAUAUUCCAGUCUCUCGCAAUAAGUCACAAUGAGACUUUUAAGCUGCUCCAAACUUCUAGCUUGUGACAACGUGAAGAUUGAAAAAUUGAAUCGAAAAUGCUGUUUGGUUACUAAGAAAACAGAGAGAAAUAUGAUGAAUAUACUGGAUUGUUUAUUAAUAAUAACAAAUGAGUAAAACUCCAGACUUUAUAUAGUUACAUAUUUUGUUAGUAAAAGCUAUAUCAACUAAUCUAUAUUACUCUGAAAUUUAACUAACUAAUCAGUAAGAGGUUAGCUAAUACUAACUAACUGCAACACACGUGAGCUCUCAUUGUUGUUUAACAGAAUCAGCUGACUCAGCAUUGUUGACGUGGCAUUGCUGAUGAACCUUAGCUUCUGACUUCCUCUCUUUUCUCAGUUCAGCACAAUGAGCUUUCUUCACAGCCCCUCUCAAACUCAAGGGGCAUAAAUGCACAUUAAGUUUGUCUCUCAGAUAGGUGAACUGAGUAGAGUUUAAAGGCUUAGUCAUUAUGUCUGCUAUCUGCUCUGCACUGGGAACAUAGAGAAUCUUAAGAUCUCCAGCUAGAACCUUAUCUCGGAUAAAAUGCAGAUCAAUUUCUAUGUGUUUUGUUCUUGAGUGAAACACUGGAUUAUAAGCAAGUUCUUUGGCACUCACAUUGUCACACCAUAUAACUGGUUUCUCCACACAACAUAAACCAAUCUCAAGAAAUAAGGAUUUUAACCAUGUUAUCUCUGAAACAGCUGCUGCAAGUGCUCUGUAUUCACUCUCUGCAGAAGAUUUUGUAACUACAGAUUGCUUCUUUGAGGACCAUGAGAUUAAAUUGUUCCCUAGAUACACACAAUAGGCACCAGUGGAUCUUCUGUCAUCAAGAUCACUUCCCCAAUCUGCAUCUGUAAAUGCUGUAACCUUCAACUCACCUUCUUUAACAAAUUUCAGCCCAUAGUCUUGUGUUUCCUUAAGAUAUCUAAGCACACGUUUACAAGCCAUAAGAUGUUGAAGUGUUGGUGAAGCUACAUACUGACUUAGCUUAUGAACAGAGUAGGCAAUCUCAGGUCUUGUCAAAACUAAAUACUGGAGGCCUCCUACUAUGCUUCUGUAAUGAGAUGGAUCUUCUAUGUAGUAACCCAUUUCUCCUUCAACACUCUUCUGCAAUCUGUAAUCUUUGCUGCUGCUCAUUGGUGUGUCUAUUCCUUUACACUCGAGCAUAUCAACUUUAGCCAGCAGAUCUCUAAUAUACUUCCUUUGUGAUAGAUAUACACUAUCAGUAUCAUACAAGACUUCUAUUCCAAGGAAGUAAGAUAGCUUUCCCAGAUCCUUUAAUGCAAAUGCAGAACUAAAUAGCUUGAUAAAAUCUUCCAGCUCAUCACCAUUUGAUCCUGUAAUCAAUAUAUCAUCUACAUAUAUCAGGAUUAAAAUAAUUGAUCUUUUAUUCUUCUUCAAGAACAAAGAUGAAUCAGACUUUGAGUUCUCAAAUCCCCAUUGCAUAAGACUGUUUCUCAGCUUGUCAAACCAUGCUCGUGGAGCUUGUUUCAAACCAUAGAGUGCCUUGUGAAGUUUGCACACAAAAUCAGGCCUUUUGGAAUCAAUAAACCCUUCUGGUUGACUCAUAUAUACCUCCUCAAUUAGAUCUCCAUUUAGGAAUGCAUUAUUUACAUCAACCUGUCUUAUUUGCCAUUGAUUCAUUACUGCUAAGCUUAGGACCACUCUAACUGUUGCUGCUUUCACCACUGGACUGAAAGUCUCAAAGUAGUUAACUCCUUCUAUCUGCUGAAAUCCUUUAGCAACCAACCUUGCCUUAUAUUUUGCAACACUUCCAUCAGUGUUUGAUUUUACUCGAAACACCCAUUUGUUACCAACAAGUUUGUGAUGUUCUGUUCUUGGCACAAGUGUCCAGGUACCAUUUGACAUCAGUGCAUCAUAUUCAGUCUUCAUUGCUUGAAACCAUCUCUCAUCAUUUAUAGCCUCCUGAGCAGUAUCUGGUUCUUUAUGCAACAAUACUGCAGUAUAUACCUUUGGUUUAAAGAUACCUGCUUUCCCUCUAGUGAUCAUAGGAUGUUGGUUUAAUGGUGGUGGGGUUAUCACUGUCUGAUUGAGAUGAGAGGUAUUAUUAUUGUGUUGGUUUUGGGAAAUUUCAUCUGAGGGCUGAUCUAAUAUUGUAUCAGGUACAGAAGGCAACACUGUAGGUGCAGAUGAAUUAUUUCUAUCUGUGUUUGAGGGUUGCUGAUCUGUUACCUGUGUUGAGACUACUGCUGGAGGGAAAAUGUUGCCACUGGAGUAUGCUUGAGAAAAAGAUUCAUUGCUGGUGACUGAAAGAUCUGAUAUGACAGGUAAUGUUGACAACUGAAAAACUUGAAUAGGAGUAAUUGUGCAAUAUGUAUCAGACUUAGAUUUAUCUGAAGGAUGAAAGCUAGGAUCUGAAGCAAAUGGAUAUGAGUAUUCAUCAAAAACAACAUGCCUAGCUAUAUAUAUAUGACCAGAGGGAUGAAAACACUUAUAACCUUUAUGAAAUGGGCUGUAACCAAGAAAGAUGCACUUGGUUGUGUGAUAGUCAAACUUAUGCUUAUUGUAAUCUCUCAGAUAUGGAUAACAAGCACAUCCAAAGCAUUUCAGCAUGGUAUAAUCAGCUUUGUGUUUGUAAAGUUUUUCAUAUGGAGUGGUCAUCUUAAGUGCAGAAGUAGGGAGUCUAUUAAUGUGAUAAACUGAGGCAUGAAAAGCAUCCCACCAGAAUUGAAAAGGGAGUUUGGCUUGAGCUAGAAGUGUCAAUCCUAAUUCUACAAUCUGUCUGUGUUUCCUCUCAACAAGGCCAUUUUGAUGGUGAGUGUAAGGGCAAGAAUGUCUAAAGAGAAUGCCACAUUCAUUUAGGAAGGCAGUGAAUGGCCUGUAUUCUCCCCCCCAGUCAGAUUGGAGAAUUUUGAUAGUUGUUUGAAAUUGAUUUUCAACUUGAAGUUUAAACAGUUUGAACACUUCUAGAGCUUCUGAUUUCAGUUUCAAAGGAUAAAUCCAGGUGUAUCUUGUAUAAUCAUCCACAAAGCUAAUGUAAUAUCUAAAACCAUCUCUAGAACAUGCUGGUGAGGGACCCCAUAAAUCAGUAUGAACAAGUUCUAGUGCUGAUUUGGAUUUUAUAUCUGUAAUUGGAAAGUGGAGUCUGUGAAAUUUUCCCAGCUGACAUGCUUCACAGAAAUGCUUUGUUGCUUGAUUAACAAUAUUUGUAGAGCACAAAUUAGGAUGCACAAGCUUAAGUAAAUGAAUUAGACUUUGAGUAUUAGGAUGACCAAAUCUUUUGUGAAACAAAGACAUUUUAUUGAAUGAAUCAGUGCUACAAGUGUUCUUAUUGGACUGAGAAUAUUUUCCAGAACAAUGACUAUUGACUGAAGUGCUGAAAUGACACUGAGAUAGCAUAGAUACAGGCUUAUUUAUUGAACUCUGGGAUAGAAAAGAUGUAUAUGUAGGUUGUGGUGAUGAACUCAGCUGCGAUUUGUAUAAACCUUUCUCAGCAAUACCAAGUAGCAGAAUUUUCCCUUUCAGUAUAUCCUUCACAAAGCAAACAGAACCAAGAAAUUCAACAGAUAAGUCAUUAUCAGUGGUGAGUUUAGAAACACUUAUUAGGUUCUUUGUAAUAGAUGGAACAAGCAGUAUAUCUUUAAGUGCAAUGCAUGUACUAGCAGAUUGUGUUUUAGAGCUUUGAACUUUAAAAUUGGCAUUACCAACAUGUGUGAUUGACAGACCUUUACCAUCACCAAUGAUAAGCUUGUCAUUACCUCUGAACUCACUGCUGACAUGCAUAUUUGCCAUAUCAUUUGUCAGAUGGUGUGUAGCUCCACUGUCAAGAUACCAUCCUUCAUCUGCUGGUCCUUCAAAGUUAGCAGCAUAAGCAGCUCCAGCUCCAGCCACAGGCAAGCUCAUUGAAUCAGAUAUGUAUGAAGAACAUGGUGAUUAUACAUGUGAGGUAUUCCUGAAUAAGCAGCUGUAGCAGGCCAUGAAUCUUCAGAAGGUGCAGUAAGGUAUGUCAUAUAGGCUGAUCUCUGAUUUCUUCCUCUUUUCAUGUGUUGAGGCAUAUAGUUUUCUUCAAACCUAUGCCAACAUUCAGCUGCUGUGUGUCCAGUUUUAAAGCAGAUUUGACAAACAACAGAUUGUUCAUCACUACCAUCAGGAUUUGACAAACCAGAGUUAAUACUAUAUUGUCCUCUCAUGAAUUGUGUCUGCUUAUUGUUGUUUCCAAUCAUUUGACCUCUACCAAGAUUAUUACCAAAAUUUCCAGAUCCAGAAGGAAAUCCUCUUGGAUGAGAAUUGAUAAACAUUCCCCUUCCAGUAUGAAAAUUAUUCCUUCCAAAUUGAUUUCCACCAUGAAAUCCUCCAUUAUAUCCACCUCUUCGAGCAUUACCUCUUGUUUGAGCAUAAUAAGUAUUCAUCAUACCAUAGCUAUUGUUAUUAUGAGAAACAUUAGCAAGAUUUGCAUUGAGCAUCUGUUUUUCAUUUAGACUCUGUUCUAAUCUUGUUUCAUGUGUCAAUAGCAAUGCAUAUGAAUCAUCAAAAUCCAGCUUACUUGCAGUAAUGAAAGUUGCUAAAUCUAGAUAGCCUGGUCCAAGACCAUUAAGAAUCUGUUGUAACAGAUCUUUAUCAGAAACUGGACUACCAGCACAGGUUAAUUUGUCAGCUAUUUGUUUCAUUUUCAAACAAUAAUCCUCUAUAUUUAGCGAAUCUUUUCUCAAAACACUCAUCUCAUAUUUGAGUUGAAGAACUCUACCUUCUGAUUUUGCACCAAACUUUUUCUCCAAAGUUUUCCACACAUCAUAUGCAGUAUUACAAGAAUGAACAUGACUGAGAAUACCUUCAGUAAUUGAGCUUAAUAGCCAGCUUAGUAAUGUCUGAUCCUGUGAUCUCCAGAUCGUGUAUUCUGGAUUUUCAACUUGUUGUGAAACUCUUCCCAUUGUUUCAGCAUAGCUUCCAGAAGUAAGAAACUGAGUAGGUGCUGCUUUUUCUCCAUUGAUAUAGCCUUCGAGUCUGUUUCCUCUUAUGGAAGCUAAUACUUGAUUUCGCCAGAGCAUAUAAUUGGAUCUAUCCAAUUUGAUUGGCGUAAUAAAUGAAAAGGUAGUUUGUAUUGAUUGAUUCAUGUUUGUUGCGUUUGGAUUUGUGUUUAAAUUGCUUGAGCUUGCCAUAUUUCUGGCUCUGAUACCAUGAAAAAUUGAAUCGAAAAUGCUGUUUGGUUACUAAGAAAACAGAGAGAAAUAUGAUGAAUAUACUGGAUUGUUUAUUAAUAAUAACAAAUGAGUAAAACUCCAGACUUUAUAUAGUUACAUAUUUUGUUAGUAAAAGCUAUAUCAACUAAUCUAUAUUACUCUGAAAUUUAACUAACUAAUCAGUAAGAGGUUAGCUAAUACUAACUAACUGCAACACACGUGAGCUCUCAUUGUUGUUUAACAGAAUCAGCUGACUCAGCAUUGUUGACGUGGCAUUGCUGAUGAACCUUAGCUUCUGACUUCCUCUCUUUUCUCAGUUCAGCACAAUGAGCUUUCUUCACAAAGAUGUAUGUCAACUUGUUGCACAUAUGCACAUUCAAUUCUGUAAGAGUUUGGAGACUGAUCGCAUGUUGGGCGGGCGCCUUCCAUAUCCACUUCAGUUCUGGUAAUUGCAACAUAAAUAACUCUGCUAAUCUUGCGAGACUCUUCCCAUGCGGCGACUUAGAGGCAUCCAUUAUGCAUUCUAAAUCUUUGCAAUCGCGGACAUCAAGACAAGUCAACUCAUUUAAGCCCCUUUCAUCUAUGCUUGGCACAAUAUUGUGACAACCUAUAAUCCCACUCAAAUAAAGAAUUUCCAGUUCUUGAUACAAUGCCGAAAAAAUAACGAGCGAGGUCGCUUCAGGAGGGUAAUUAUUAAUUAUUAAGCUCUUUCUCUGACUAACAUAUUUCAUUUUAUCAACAACUCCUUCAACUUUAUAGAUGAUGUACCUUUGCAAUUUCGGGAAUGUAAAGUCUUUUGGAAGACAUACAACAGAUCCGUCGGCUUGGGAGUUCAACUCAGCAAGCCUAGCAUUACUUUCUUCUGAACUCAUCCCUUCAACCUCCCAAUUUUUUAUCCAACCAUAAAAUUCUUCCAAUUGAGGAAAUUUUUUUAUCGUAAUGGGAGAAACAGAACCGGUAUCAAUAAAUAGAAGUUUCAAUCUACGAAGUUCAUCCGACAAUUCUUCAGGAAUUUCAAUGGGAGAAUCCUCGAGAUAAAGAAGUUCAAGUCUCUUCAACUUUCCAAGAAAAGAUGCGUCACUCACAUCACAUCCAAUCAGCUGCAGAACUCGGAGGCUGCUGGCGAGGAAUCGAAGCGAUUUUAGUGAAAGGACUCCAUCUUUUAUAGUAACAACUUUCAAUGCUGGCAUCCCUUCAAAAAAAUGUUCUGGAACUUGAAAUUUGUAGUCACAUAGAGUAUUGUCCAAUCGCAAAAUAUGAAGGUUAGGGCAUACCAAACCACUAGGAAGCUCUUCUUCUUUAUUUCCCAUUACAAAGAUUCCUCUGUAUUGUUCCAGGCCUUCUUCCAUUGCCCAUUCUGCCAAUCCAAUGCCAACUUUACCAAAAAAUUUCUUCUCCACUAGUACUUCUGACCCUAUCCAUAUGGCUACAUCACGAACUAUGUCAUGCAUUUUCACAGAUCUGUCACUACCAGUGUCUAACAGCAGUGAAGCAGCUUUGAGUCCUUCAAUUGUUCCACGCAGUAGGCUUCUGGCGUGCUCUAUUGAUUCAGCUUGAUACCAGGUCAGCCCCACUACAUAUCGAACCAAAACCUCCAAAUUAAUCUCAUAAUCUUCUGGAAACAGUGAACACAACAAGAAGCAUAACUUGGAAUUGUCAUCAUUCAAAUUGUCGUAACUAAAUUUGAGACAACCGUAAACGUCUAGGUUCUCCUCAUCAAUACCUUCUAUUGCAUAGAGUUUUGCAGCCUUUAGGUUAUGUAGAGCCAGGUUCCAUUCAUUAAAUCUUUUUCCUCUUAGUGCACUUCCAACAGCUUCAAUAGCUAAAGGCAGCCCCUUACAUUCUCCAGCAACUUCUUUGGAAACAUCAUUCAACGUGGAGUCAUUUACAUCAAUGCCGGCAUUUUGUCGCAGUAAAGCCAAUCCUUCUUCUGGCGUUAGUGUACUAAGUGGAAUCUGUGUGUCACAACCCAAAGAAUCAAAAACUGACUUUUUGCGAGUGGUUAGAAGGAUUUUGCAACAAUUAUCUCUACCACCGACGGGAAUACCUAAUUUUUUCUCCGAGUCGAGUUGUUUCCAAAUAUCAUCAAGGAUUACGAGGAUUUUGCUGCUUUUACUCUCAGAAAACAUCAAGCGCAAUCGGUCUGCUCUCUCUUUUUCAUCUUUCUCAUUUAGUGCCCAGCCUAACGACUUUGCCAGCUCACCUUGAACCUUUAUUAUAUCUGGAUCCUGAGACACAGUGGCUAUCCCCACCUUAUCGAAAAUCUUUUGUUGCCGAAGUUGAUUGCCCACAGAUUUUGCCAAGGUCGUCUUUCCUACACCGCCGAGACCAUGCAAUCCCACCAUCUUUGUGCUGUCUUUUUUCAGUGCUUCAGUGAUCUGAUUACAAGCCGAUUCUGUAGUCUCGAAAGAAGAAAAAAAUCUUGGAAUAGGCAUUUCUGUGUCUGAUGGUAGAGGUUUAGGAAGGGCAACUGUGCUGAAUUUUCCGCGGUCUUGUAGAUCGGACGACUUGAGAGUCUCCUUUGAUGCUUUUCUACCCAUCCAAUAUCGGAAACCCCAAUUAGGACACCAUCCAUUAAAACAACUCUUCUUUUCAUCUAUCUCUGCUUUCAAAUUUCGGACAUCGGCCAUUUCUUCGACUACAUCCGCCAGCCACUUCUCUACAUCUUUCUCAACUACUACAGCGCAAUGUUUUUGUCGUUCUUCUUCUACUUUUUUGUUGAUGCCAUCUUGUGCCUCCUUCAAAUUAGUUUCUUUAUCCUCAAGUUCUUUAACAAUGCUGUUGAAACAGAACAGAUAGCGAGCUUGUUUUACGGUAGCAUCCACCAAUAAUUCUACAAGCUUUGAUCCAAUACCUGAUAAAAUUUCCAUGCUAUUUAUCUGCAAUUGACAAAGUUGAUCUCAGUACACUAUAAGCAAAACAACAAGGCUUGAUCACAAGAUCGAACGAUAAUGUUUAAUUACUUUUUUAUUGAAUGUUUAAUUACUUUCUUUUAUUAUAUGAAUGCACGUUUAUUAACGCCAGCUUUGAUCAAUAAGAGCAAAAUGCAAACGCCAGGCUUUAAGUAGCCUUUAGCUGCAAACAAAAGAGAAGAAAUAAGGCAAACGUGAUAGAUGGUGGAUUAUAUUGAAAUUAGAUUACUUUAGAAAUUUUUAAAUAAAAAUAUCAAACAACAAAUUUAAUAAUAGAAUCUAGAUAAAUCGAAGAGUUUGUUGUGCAUUGCGAGUGAAGACAGGCAGUUACAUGGGGGAAUCUUGUAAGAGUGAUGAAAAUUAAAAAGCCAUCCAUAAUUGAAGUUAAAAAGAGUAUUAGAGAUUAGAGGGGUUCAACAUCUUAUGCAAGCUCACUCAUGAUAAAAUUUGAAGAUAAUUAUCCCAUUUUUACUUCAAUCAAUAUUCUAAUACAAUAAUUCCAUAAAUCUCAAAUAAUAUCUUAAGAUUUUUUUUUUUCCUCAAAAUUACCAUUAAAAGUAAAACAAACAUGAAGCUAAGAGCCUAUGAAACAAUAAUAUCUCAUACCUUCUUUCUCAUAGAUCCUCAAUUACCCCUGAAAGCUCCGGUUAGAGAGUCGCACAAGCUCGGAGAAAAUUAAAAGCUGCAUCCAGCAAUAUAAAUAAACAUCAGAUCAAAACAACAAAGCAUAUAUCUAGCUAACUAAACAUCAUCUAUAACUCCUCGUUCUCAGUCAAAUCUUUCAUUCUUAGGAGAUAAAAAAAAGAUUGAAAUAAUAACUGUAACUGAUAUAGGAAGCAAAAGUAACAUACCAAAACGAGAGCGGCUAGCUCACAGAUCUGGUGACUUCCAAGAGCAUGAAAAAUGAUUGAGGUUUAAUAGCAAGUUCACAGAUGACAGAUGUGGUGACUUCAAGAGCAUGAAAAAUGAUAAAACUUUGGUAGAAAGGUCUGAGCCGUGUUUCACAAGUUGCUAUUGACUUCGUGGCUUCGCUUUUAUUUAUUAUUAUUAUUUUUUUUUUAAAUUCUAUAUCAGUGAGAAUUGAAAUGUGGAAAGUGAAAUGAUACACAUGCCUUAUCAUCUAUCAUGAGGGGUGAUUUGGUAAAACCGAUUUAAAAUAAAAAAAAGUUUAAAAAGAUGCUUUGUGUCUGACUGCUUGUAUUUGGGGUAUUUUUCGGGUUGUUGAGAGUGAGUUUAAUUAAAUAUAAGAUUUUCAUUUUUCUUAUUAUAUUUUUCUCUUUAGAAUGAAUUUAAAUCUCAUUCUUAUUAAAUCCAUUUUUUUAAAUGAAAGUAGAUUUCUCUCCACACAUUUGAGAUAUAUUUUAAAAUUAAUGUUCAGUAUAUCUCUAAAUUAUAUUAUAAAUAUUUUUAUUUAAAAUCUCAACAGAUUUCAUAACGUACAAAAAGAAAUACAUAUAUAUGUUGUAAUGUUUUAAUGAUGGAUCUCCAAAGUUAUCAAGUUAAAAAAUAAAUUAAAAAAUAAAAAAUACACACUUCAACUUAUUAUAUGAUAAAAUAUAAUAAAUUAAAGUGAGUAUUAUAUUUAUUUUUUAUUUUAUCUCUUAACUUAAUAACCUAAAAUAUAUUUAUUUAAUAAUGAUUAUAUAUAUAUCUAUAUAAUUUUUUUAAAAAAUAAACAAUUUAAGUGAAGCAAAGGACAUUUUAGAGGCAUUGCGAGACUACCAAUUUACCAUUUUGGGUUGCAAUAAAGUGAAAACUGUAGACUACCAAUCUACCAUUUUAUUGAAUCGGGUCCCGCUGACUUGGAGCUUAUGUAAAGUUACAUUCAUAACAAAUUAAUGAUGUCGUUGUAUAUUAUUCAUGUUGAAUUAUCAAUUGUUGGAUUAUGAUUGAAUUUUAUUUGAUAUUAUUGGGCAAAUUAUUGAAUUUUAUUUUAAAUUAAAUAAAAAUAAAAAAUUAAAUUUUAUUUGUAGAUUUAUGAGAUUAUUGUAUGUUAUUCAUUUUGGAUUGUUAAUUGUUGAAUUAUGAUUAAAUUUUAUUUGAUAUUAUUAGGUAAAUUAUUAAACUUUUAAAUUAUAUAUUAAAUUAUUUAAUUUUAAUUUUUGCGGAUCUGAAUAUUCAGAAUAUCCGCCUGCAUCGGUUACGGAUAAUACCCGCAUCUGGAUCCACAUCUUUUUCUACGAAUCCAAAUAUAGAAAUAUGAAUGCGGAUCUAAAUUCGGAUUUUGCUGACCCUAAACUUAAGAAUGAAUGUGCCUAAAGUUUUUACAACGAACAUGGAUCAUUCAAUGACAUGACAUGUUUUGCAGCUUUCAUUAGUAUAAUUGAAUAAUUAAUUCAUCUCUAUAUUCAGCUUACACCGUCUCAAAUUACAUGCAAAUACGAAAGUACACUUCUGAAUCGUUCACUUGAGGAAAAUUAAUUUUAACUCAAUAAGUCGUAAUUCUCCACGUAGAAUUUUAAUUCAAACCAUAGCAAAUUAGACAUAAUUCUAAUUUAUAUGGGAAAUAUAAUUAGCGAAGACACUCUUUAUAUAAACAUUAUUGUCAUAGGAUGCCAAACCUAAUAAGAUUCAAGGUCUUAACAUACUUCAUAUGAAAUUUGAUCUUGGCGCGUACCGACACGCAUAACAUCAAGACUCUACUUCAUAUAUUAUAAUGUAACUUCAUGGAUUUUUCGCUCUCUUGUGAAAUUGACAAUUAUAGGCGCUGUGUGGCAGUGGUACAUAAUAAAAUAAACGUUUAUUUUUAGAAUAUUAUUAUUUAUCUCAAUUUUUUAUUUAAUAGUUAAUUUUAAUCAAUUCUUAAACUGUCAUAAUCAAUUAAUUUUUUACAUUAUGGCAUCUUAAAUAAAUUUUGGAUCUGUAAUAAAUAAAAACUGGUAACGUUUGUUCUUUUAAAGCAUAAAACAACCGUAACAUUGGUUUUUACAUUUUGAAUUUUUCUUGCAUCACUAUUUAGAAAAAUGAUGUUAAAUCAACUCACAAAAUAUAUCAAGCCAUCUAAAAUCCAAAUAUUAUUACAUUUGUAUUUGCAUUGUUAAAUUGUUGGAACGACGGCAAAGCAAUUGAAAAGAUAUUAACAAAAAAUAAAGAUUGGCCAAGGAUUAUUUAUGUUUAGGAAAUGCCUUAACUUUUGAUAUAAUCAUUGUGAUAAUUAUAUUGUAGAAAUAAUCAAUUACCUAAUGUUUGUGGUGGUAAAAAUUAUUAACUUGUUUUAGUAUACCCGUGUUUAUGGUGGUCUCCUUUUUGUCCAAUUCUGUACAACAAAAUAUUUGCAUGUUUUGAUAGAAAUUGGUUUAAAUGACAUUUGAAAUAGUAUAUCCCCAAACAAUUAACGAAAUAUUUGGAUGGUAGGAUGAAGUAAUAUAGUUUUACAAAUUACCAUAUUAGAGGUUAAAAAAAAUCAAGAGGUUACUAACUACAAAUUUUAACACAAAAAGUUUAAUUAACUUUUCUUUUUGAGAUAACAAAAUCUCUGGUGUUGAAAACAAUGAGGUUUGAGGUUCAAGCUUGAAUAUCAAGUUACAAUUAGUAGAUGGUCUUAGGACAAAUCAAAGAUUUCUUUAAAGACAAAAUAAUAAUUACAAGCAAUAGGAAUUUAUGGUAUUCAGAACAUGUAACCUUCGCACAUGAAGCUUGAAUCCAGAACAAGAUGCAGCUAGCCAAUCCUUCCAACUUCCAAAACCCCACAAAAUCUCUGUCAACAUGUCUGCUCUACUUCAAUAUUAAGCACAUUCAUAGCGGUAUCAACAGCUUACAGCUCCAAAAUAUUUUCCCCAAAAAGAGUGAGAGAUUUCACUGAAGCUAAGUUGUGACUUGUGACUUGUGAGGCCAUCUUUUUUUAUAGUAAGCGUACGCCUCUAAUGCUUUGCCAAGUGUCCAUUGAUAAUAUCACAAGGGCAAUUAAAUUGGUGUAUGUGUAUUACACCUCCUAAAGUCAUGUUAAGAUAGUUAGUGAGCCGAUAAAGUUUGUUGCACGUGUGAGUUGGUUAAGUCUGCUAGAAUUGCAAACAUGUAAAGCUGAGUCAGCAAGUUAGUUAAGGUUAUUAUGAAUGCUUAGAUUCAGCAAGUUAGUUAAGGUUAUUAUGAAUGCUUAGAUUCAGCAAGUUAUGGUGUUGAAAAUGCUGUUGGUGAAAGCUCAGCUGAUAGAUCUCAGGAGAAUCCAGCCUUUGUUGCUUGGAAAAGGUAGGAUCAAUUGUUAUUAAGUUGGCUCAUGUCCUCCAUCAGUGUUGAGAUACUUAGUCUUGUGGUAAAUUCUGAUUCUUCUCAUAAACUUUGGACUAAUCUUGAAGAAAAUUUUUGGAUUAGAAACUAUGGCUAAGAAAGCACACUUAAAAAUGAUGUUAAGCAAUCUCAGAAAGGGAUCAAUGACAAUAACUGAGUAUUUUGCCAAACUUAGAGCUGUAACUAAUAAACUUGCUCUAACUGGUAGCCCUGUUUCUACUCUAGACUUUAUUACUCAUCUAAUCUCUAGAUUAGGCCAGCCAUACUACCCUGUUGUUUUGUAUAUUGAAGCUAAUAUGAUGAAAAUAUUUGUCAAUGAAGCCUACUCUAUGCUUUUAACUCAUGAAGCAAGAAUUAAAUUUAAUCAUCCGAGUGCAAAUAAAGAAGCAAAGUUGAAUUAUGCUGCUAACAUAGCUUAGGCUGGACCUAGUAAUAACAAUAAGAAGUCUAGUAAUCAAGCUAAUUACUAUCAGGGCAACCAAGGUAACUGGAAUAGAAAUGCUAAUUGGUGUGGUAACAAUGGAGGAAGAGGUGGCUUUGGCAGAGGUUUUUCAGGGCAAGGAAGGAGUAAUUAGAAUAAUGGUGGUCAUUGGAACAAUGGACCUUGGAGUAGUAGUCGAGCAUGUUAUAAUUGUUCUGAUAUAAACAUUAUGACAUGGUUGCUGGUGAACCUGUAAACAUAACCACAAAAGUAAGAAGGCAUAAUCUUUUUAUAAGAAACUCAAAAAUGUAUUAAUGAUGAAAAUUUUAAAACAGAUAAUGGACCAGCUGUUCAUUAAGAAAACAAAAAACUGAAUAUUUGUGCUAUAGAAAGGCACACCUAAUCUCACCCCUAUAAAAGGCUAGAAUCAGCUACAAAUCCCUAUCUCAAAACCCCAUCCUAGUUUAGAUGAAUGAAGAAAAAAGAUGAAUCUUGAAACUCCUUAGAAACUGAAGCCCAAAGUGAAGCAAGAAGAUGAACUCUAUCCCAAGCAAGCAAUAUGGCAUAUUUCUCCAUUAAUGGUUCAAAUAAAGUGAAUGGCUUUCUCUGAUGAAUGGGAAAUUGUCAAGAUCAAUAGUCAAACUCACGCAAAGUAAACGGACUUAAUUCUCAGUGGCUACUCAUUCUAAGUCUUAAAGAAAAAUUUUCUAAUUUCUAAAGAUUAUAUGGGGAAAAAUCAUUAUUUUCUAACAUGGAAAAUUUGAUACGGUGUUUAAUGUCUUAUCACAAUCAUAAUAUGAGUACUAACAAAAACAUCUUUAAUCGGCAUGGUGCGAGUAAAACACCAUCACUUCAUCUUUGAUGGAAAGAUGAUAAUAUAAGGAAAUGGUGAAAUGGUUUUGGUCCCUGGCAGCUUGUAAUCAAAAGAAAACAAAAAACUACACUAUUAUUAAUGAUUACCGAAGCUACAGAAGUAUCAAAAUCGGAAAGCAAACAAUUGCAAAACACAUCAAUGACUGAAGGUUAGGUUCUAAAACUUCCGUAUUUAAUUUUCAGAGCAUGUUAUGUAUUAUUCAGAAAUAUGCUUUCACUUCAGGCACUUGACCAACACGCAUUAAACAUAAAACGCGGCGUUUUCAUGGACUAGUACAUUCCAUGCUUCGAAAGUUUAUGUUUUAGACUAAUUGGUUUGAUACAUUAUUUGUUUAUUGCGUUUUUCUUGCUUUAAAUAUUAUGUUGGAUUGAUAAGUUUUGUACACAUUUAUAUUGCUCGCAGUAAAUAAUUUAUGACAUUUAAAAAACUAUCAACCGACUAUCAAAAGAUUUCUACUAUAAAUAUAUAUACACAAAAAACUUUUAAUUUGGUCAAUUUUUUCUCUUAUUUAUUUUUGUUCUAUUUCUCUUUUCCUUCCCUUUCAUUUUAUUGUUUUAUGGUACAAAAUAAAAAAAUAACCUUAAAAUUUAAGGGUAAAAUACUCAUUUUACUAAAAUUCCGUUUAAUAUUAUAAAACUGUCAAAUGUCAAUGGCAUAGUACACGAGUGAUACAAAUUAAAAACAAUAAAUUGAAAGUUUUUAUGCAUUUUCGUUUUAUUUUUUUUAUAGCCGAUACAAAUUAAAAACAAUAGGUUUAGACCGUUUAACAAAUCUUAAAUUAAAAAAACCCGUGGUGUAAUAACAAACUCACAUCAAACCCUGUCCACUGUCAUCCCUAAUUAUAUUUACCACUUCAUACUCACAGUGAUAAUUAUAUUACCGUUAAGAAUGAAGCAGAAGAGUUUCCCCAAACAAGCUAAAACACCGCACUUCAAUUUAAAGAAUUUUUAUAUCACAGUACCGGGACAAAAAGUUUAAUGCAACAACAUACAUUAAGUUAAUUCCAUAAUCUAUCCCCAAAGAAAGACAAACACAAGCUUAUAAGAUUAAAACUUUGGAAAACAUUAAAGAGUCAGACAAAAUUGUGUAAUCUUCAGAGUUUGGAGCCUAGUUCAUCCAGGAAAGCAAAAGAAAUAAUAAUAAUAAUAAUAAUAGUGGUGGUUUGAUCUCAAAAGGUGGCAUCAAAGCAAUAACGUCUUCAACUUCCAUUCAACCCAUCAUCCACAAAAUCACCAACCCGUUUCACCUUCAUCUCCUUGGGCUUAACAGGGUACUUUCCAGAGAAGCAAGCAAAACAAAAAUUCUGAGAAUCAUUGCCUAACAACUUGUUCAAGCUGUCAAUCGGCAGAAAAGCAAGCGAAUCACACCCAAUAAACUCCCUGAUUUCCUCAACGCUCAUCCUGUUGGAAAUCAACUCCUCAGUACUUGGAGUGUCUACUCCGUAGUAACAAGAAGCUAUGAUUGGUGGGCUUGCAAUUCUCAUGUGAACCUCUUUAACUCCAGCCUCCUUAAGCAACCUAACAAUUUUUGAUGAAGUUGUUUCUCACACUAUCGAAUCAUCCACAACCACAACUCUCUUUCCCACCAACCACAACCUUACAGGAGAGAGCUUAAGCUUGACACCAAAGUCCCUAAUUUUCUGGGAAGGCUCAAUGAAAGUUCUCCCAACAUAAUGUGACCUUAUCAACCCUUGUUGAAAUGGCACCCCGGCUUUUGCAGCGUACUCAAGUGCAGCCACCACUCCAGAAUCUGGUACUGCAAUCACGACAUCACACUCAACAGGAGCCUCGGUAGCAAGUACUUCCCCAAAAUGAUACCUCGACUCAUAAACAGACCUUCCAAAAACAACAGAAUUAGGCAAAGCAAAAUAAAUAUGCUCAAAGAUGCACUGCUUAGGUUCAGGGUGAGGCAUCAAACAAGGUGAUUGAACCCCAUCUUUAUCCACCAUCAAAACUUCACCGGGAUAUACCUCUCUCUCUCUCUCUCUCUCUCGCGUAUGUGGCCUCAAUCAAAUAGUGCAGUGCACAAGUCUCUGACGCAAAAACCAGAGCACCAUUACUCCUCCUACCCAUCACCAACGGCAUAAACCCAUACGGGCCACGAACCGCAACAAGCUUAUCCUCAGUAACAAACACCAUUGAAUAAGCACCCUCAAGCUUCUCACAAACAUCCACAAUCCUCAAAAAGAACGGCCUAGCUUUCGAUAUCGGAAUCAAAUGGAGAACAACCACAGUAUCAGAACUAGUAUUACAAAAUGGAUCCAUUAUCUUCAAGCUUAGCCCUCAAAGUAUUAUAAUUAACUAAUGUGCAACACCAACAGAACCAAACCUGUACCCAGCAACAAAAGGCUGCACAUUCUUAAGCAUAGAACUACCCGCAGUCGAAUAUCUAACAUGACCAAUGGCCAUAUCACCCGGCAAUUGAUCAAGUUUAGACUGAUUAAACACAUCAGAGACUAAACCAACACCAGUAAUAGACCGAAGAACUUUGUUAUUCACAGCAACUAUACCUACAUCUUCUUGGCCGCGAUGCUGCAUCGCGUGUAGCGCCAAAUAGCACAAACGCGAGGCCUCUGGGUCACCAUAGAUGCCCACAACACCACACUCCUCACGGGGCUUAUCGUCGUCAUCAUCAUCAAAACUGCCAAAACCGUCAUCUGGGUAUUCUUUAUUUGUGGUGAAAAACUCAGAGAUGGGGUUUUUUGAUAGAACAGUGAAGUUUUUUUUGUGGGUUAAAGAUUGUUGUUUCCGAGGAAAAAAAGGGUUUUUUUGCAGGGUUUUGGAGAAAAGAAAAAGAUGGGUUUUUUUGCGACGGCUUAGGGUUAGCAGAGGGAGAUGGGUUUGAGAGAGGGCAGAUAUUGGCGGUGCCUGUUGUGGUGGCUGCCAUUAAUGGCUGAAUUUAUUUUGUUUUAUUUUAUUUUUUUGGGUUGACUUGCUCAAAGAAAAAAGAGAGGAGGUGUGGAGGGAGACGGUGGCGAAGGGUACUUUAAGUAGAGGGUUACUUGUUCUAGGUUUUUUUCUGGAAUUGUGAGGGAAUCUGAUCCUGUGUUUGUGCAUAUGAUUCAAUUACUUAUAGG
rnacentral:lncRNA from 1 species